rnacentral:lncRNA from 1 species
GAGAGUGAGGAAACUGUGCAACCUGAUCAACAUGGUGGUCGCUACGGUGACAAUGGAGGCUACAGCGGAGGGGGAGGAGGCCACGGUGGCCACGGAGGAGGAGGAUACCAAGGAGGAGGAGGAGGAGGAGGAGGGGGCGGUGGGCGACGCGGAGGAGGGGGAGGUUACUGCCGCCACGGCUGCUGCUACAAAGGUUACCGUGGCUGCUCAAGGUGUUGUUCAUAUGCCGGAGAAGCUGUUCAGACUCAGCCUGGUCACUAAAUCUACAUAAUGUAUCAACCACCAUGUAUGAUUGCAUCUAUAUCUACACUUAAGGUGUAUAUAUGACUAUAAGUUAACCAUGGUGCGUUUGUGAUGAAGUGCCUUAAGUUUAAGAAAAGAAACUAUGGGAAUAAAGUUUCAUAAUGUAAUGGCUUUGUGCAUGUUUAAGUUGUGAUCUACGCUGUUUGCAUAGUAAAAUUGUUUCUCGUUUAAUUAAUUCUCUUUCGGUUAUGGAUCCAACUCUAUGGUUGAUUUGCUUGUUGUAAAAUUUUAAUUUUCUUUCUCGGCUUUUCUUAUCAGCAAAACGAUGCACUAGUUGUACAAACGUUUUUUAUUUUUCUUUUGAAUACUAUUUAACAUUAAAUUCAAAAAGAAAAAAAAAAUUAAAUAUUCUCUUUUGGUUUUAUGUGACACUUUUAAUUUAUUAUUAGUACUCUUGGCCUAUGAAAAAAUAAAAGAUUUAAACAGGCAAGGAAUAGGCUUUUUCUUCAAAGAAAAGAUUACUAGAUACUUAAUUAAGAGACUCUAUCGAGUUUUACGAAGUUCACUAUAUAUACGAUAGAACCAUAAAGAAUCUCUCACAAGAUUUAUCGCUCUAAAAGCUAUAGGGUCGAUUGGUAACAAAAAAUUUAGCGGUAAACUAGAGCAGUAAACUUCUAUGGAAUAUUGCAAAAUUGUAAAAAUGAGUAGUACAUGAAAACUAUAUAAAAAACUGAAAGUAAAGUUUUUAGAAUUGUUUUUGUGAUUGACAAAUGUCAAAGAAGUACAUCCUAUACCACAACAGUACAUGGUACCAAUCAAAAUCAUAAAAUUAAAUCACAUUUUGUCGGUCUUUUCAGAAUUACUUUGGAGGUUUAGAGACUUUCACAGCUUUUUGUCUCUUAAGCUGGCAAUGAAUGCCUCCCAACCACAACCACGUACAAAUCUCAACUGGUCCUAUUAUAUUGGUGGAGAUAAAAACAUGCUGAAGAACGUUAUCUUUUCACCAAGCCUCGAAGCAUAUUUCACCUAAAGUCAUGCAUAAAGUUGAUCGUGGGAAAGAAUAUCACAUCUCAUUAUACGACACCAACAAGUGGCAUUUUAUGAUUUUCAGGGACGAAAGUAUAUCUUUGAACACAGUACAUCCAAGGCCGGUCCUAGCCUGUAGGUGGCCUAAAGCAUAUUUUAAAAAUGUGGCCUUCUUAUAUAAAUAACUAACGAUAAAAUUUAAUAUUAAACCACUGGAAAAAAUGUUAAAAAUCAUUAAAUAUAGUUGAUGAAAAACGUUAUUAAAUAUGUUAACAACGUAAAACAUGAAAAUAAAGCUAAUUAACUAAGCGUAAGCCAAAAGUCGAACCGACGCCACGAAUGUGGUGGCUCACACACGCUGGUCGGAGACAAAAACGUUAAUUAAGCGGCAGAUUUGUCUAGAAGAAAAGAGAAGGGAAAGCGAUUUUCUAAGAGAUAGAAAAAAUUGAAGUGAACCACCGAAUUAUUCCAAAUUUAUUGUUAUGAUUUUAGGUUUGUUUAUAAAGGUGUAUGACUUUAUCAAGCAAACAAAAUGUAUAGAUAAAGUAAAGGAAACUACUAUGAAGAGAAGAAGAAUAAAAAGAUAAUUAUGGAAAAAAGAAAUACAGGAAAGUGAAAAAAUAUUAACCAAAAAAAGAAUAGAAGCGUGAGAAACUGAGAGUUGACUCGAACCCUGAAACCUCACACAAUCUGCAGACCUACAUAGCCACUUUACCAACCUAACACUAUCAUAACCGUGGCCCUCAAAUUUUAUUUAUAUUGUGUGGCCUAAAGCAAGUGUUUUGCUUGCUUUAUAGACGGGCCGGGUCUGAGUACAUCUCUCUAAAAACGUAGGAAGUUUGGGGUUAGAAAGCUUAACUAUGUGGAAUAAAACGUUGUAUCUCCAGUUUGUUAGGAUCUCUUGUGAAUAUUCUAGAAUAUACGUAUAGAAUAUGGAAUGUGUCUUAUGUAUAAAUACUCCUCUCUUAUGAUUAAUAGAAAUCAAGCUUUCACAAAACCUACAUGGUAUCAUAGCAGGCUUUUAUCUAAAAAAAAAAAAAAAACCCUAGCCGCUCUCUCUUUUUUUUUUUUUCUCUCUCGCCUCCUUCAUCUUCCUCGUUACCUCUCAUCCUCUCUCUUCUCUAGUCAACACCAUGACUACCGCAGCAUAGUCUUCUCUCAUCAUCAACACCAAAGACUCCAAAGCUCCGUUAAUCUCUUUGAAUCUUUCGUGCAUCACCAAACUCACAUCGUCCACCAAUCUCUUUGAAUCUUUCACCCCUCUUUUUUGUGUUCAAUGAGGGGUUUUUUGUUAGAAUAUUAGAGGUUUAAAUAGCCAUGGCCGUAAGAGUAUGGUCAGAAGUUGGAUUGCUUCGAACAAUUUACUCGUAGGUUCUUUUUUGGAAACUCAUGUUUCUGAAGCUAAUGCAUCUGCUGUUUUAGCUUCUGUUCUACCAGGUUGGCGAUCGGAUAAUAACUAUUAUUCUUCUGAACUGGGUAGGAUUUGGCUUGUUUGACAUCCCUCAGUUUCAGUUGUGGUCUUCAAGAAAUCAGAUCAGAUGAUUAUUUGCAGUAUAAAGCUGCCUACUGUUUGCCGAUCCUUUGCGAUCGCUUUUGUUUAUGGGAAAAACACACCGAUAGAGAGAAGACUUUAUGUGAUGAUAUUCCUUCUUGGCCUCUUCUUCCCCUCUCAAUUCUACUCCUUGGGCAGUAAUGGGAGAUUUUAAUCAGAUCGCAAACUCCGCUGAACACUUCUCUGUCAUUCAUUCUUCAUUACCUUUAAGUGGAAUGGAGGACCUGCAGAAUUGCCUAAGGGAUAAUGAGCUGGACGACAUCCCUAGCAAGGGUGUCUUUUUUACUUGGUCUAACCAUCAGGAUGACAACCCUAUUAUCAGAAAACUGGACAGGGCUUUAGCCAAUCGAGAGUGGCUUUCUUCUUUCCCCAACGAUGUGGCUGUUUUCGACCCUCCUGGAGAUUCGGAUGAUGCUCCUUGCAUCAUCAAUAUUGAUAUUCUUCCUGAAAGAUCAAAAAAAUGUUUCAGGUACUUCUCUUUCCUCUCUACCCACCCGACUUUUCUCUCAUCCAUCUCUUCUGCUUGGGAAGAUCAGAUUCUUGUGGGGUCUUCUAUGUUCUCUUUGGGAGAACGGUUAAAGGCGGCUAAGAAGUGCUGUAAGAGAUUGAAUAGGAUGGGGUUUGGUAACAUCCAGCAGAGAACCAAAGACGCUCUGGUCUCCCUGGAGAUCAUCCAGACCGAUUUACUAUCCUCUCCAUCGGAUUCUUUAUUCAGAGAAGAACAUGUUGCUAGGAAAAAAUGGAACUUUUUUGCUGCAGCCUUGGAAUCCUUCUACAAGCAAAAAUCCAGGAUCAAAUGGUUAAAAUAAGGGGAUGCAAAUACAAGAUUUUUCCACAGGACAGUCCUUGCUCAUCAAGCCAGAAACCUCAUCUCUUACCUUAGAGGGCCAAACAACGAAAGAGUGGAAAAUGUGCCUCAGAUCAAAGACAUGAUCGUUGCUUACUUUACUCAUCUAUUGGGAACUGAGAGUGCCAUUUCUCAGCCUUACUCUGUUGAAAGAAUCCAAGAUCUUCAGCCUUUCCGCUGCGAUUCUGAUCUUGCUUCUAAGAGCAUCGCCAACCCUACUGAUGAAGAGAUCAUUAAAACAAUUUUCUCCAUGCCAAAAAACAAAGUUCCUGGCCCAGAUGGGUUUUCUGAAGAUUUUUUCUGGGAGGCUUGGCCUGUGGUCAAGGACUGCACUAUCAAGGCAGUGAGAGAAUUUUUUGUGACUGGUCACCUACUACCAAAUUUUAAUGCAACUGCUAUCAUGCUGAUACCGAAAGAGACUGGUGCAGAUCAUUUAUCCAAGUUCAUACCUGUCUCCUGCUGUAAUACAGUGUACAAAAUCAUCACUCGCCUGUUAUCCAAGCGGCUUCAGCUCUUCAUCUCAAAAGCAGUCCAAGGUAACCAAGUAGGUUUUAUUAAAGGAAGGCUUCUCUGUGAGAAUUUUUUGCUCGCUUCAGAAUUGGUUGAGAAUUUCCAAGCUGAGGGGAAUGUGUCAAGAGACUGCUUGCAAAUCGAUAUUUCAAAAGCUUAUGAUAAUGUCAAUUGGACUUUCCUCUUUAAUAUUUUAAAGGCAUUGCAGCUGCCUGAGGUUUUCAUAGGUUGGAUUCGAGUCUGCAUCUCAUCUCCCUCUUACAGUGUUGCCUUCAAUGGAGAACUGAUUGGUUUCUUCAAAGGAAAGAAAGGUAUUAGGCAAGGCGACCCUAUGUCAUCCCACCUAUUUGUUCUUAUUACGGAUAUUUUGGCUAGAUCAUUGGACAAAGGAGCUGCUAAUGGUCUUUUUCAACCUCAUCCAAAGUGCUUUGCUCCUUUGGUGACACAUCUCAGCUUCGCCGAUGAUUUGUUAAUCUUUUUUGAUGGUACAGAGACCUCGAUUGCGGGUAUUCUUCAGAUCUUAGAAAACUUUAAAUGCGGUUAUGGUCUGGGGAUAAAUACACAAAAGACUGCCCUCUUGCUUGAUGGAGGGGACUUUCAAAGAAACAGAAACAUGGCAGCCCUUUUUGAUUUAACUCAUGGAUCUCUCCAGGUUCGUAUUCUUGGAGUCCCAUUAAUGGCACAAAAGAUGCGUAGACAAGACUACCAUCCACUCAUUGACAGGAUUAAUAAUAGAUUCUCUUCAUGGACAGCAAGACACCUCUCCUAUGCUGGGAGACUUCAACUUCUCAAAUCUGUUAUCUUCUCUACUAUCACCUUUUGGACUUCCAUUUUUCUUCUACCAAACCAAUGUCUUCUCAAACUUGAACAGAUGUGUUGUGCUUUCCUUUGGAAAGGUACUCCAGAUUCUCCAAGAGGGGCAAAAAUAGCGUGGGAUGUUGUUUGUACUUCAAAGGAAUGCGGUGGUUUGGGUCUCAGAAGACUAACUUCAUGGAACAAGGUACUAGCUCUAAAGUUGAUUUGGAUUCUGUUUUCUGCUGCUGGCUCUCUUUGGGUAUCUUGGGUCCGCUUGAAUUUGAUUGGUAAUAGAUGCUUCUGGGACUUAAACCCAGCCUCCUCUGAUAGUUGGAUUUGGAGAAAGCUUUGCAAGCUUAGACCGUUGGCUAGACCAUUCCUUGUUUGCGAAUUGGGGUCUGGCAUUACUGCGAGGUUUUGGCAGGACAAUUGGACGGGUCUUGGGCCUCUUCUUGAUAUUACCGGCCCUCUUGGUCCUCAAAUUUCUGGCUUGCCUCUCGAUUCUGUGGUAAAAGAUGCAGUUCGUAGCAGCUCUUGGAGGAUAUCCUCCUCCAGAAGCCGCAACCAUAUCAUUUCCUUACUCAAUAGUAUUUUGCCAAGUCCGGAGAACAUGAUUGAGACCCAGCAUGAUGACUCUUAUCUUUGGAAAAUAGACCAUCAUGCUCCCUCAAAUACCUUCUCUGCGACAAAGACUUGGCUGGCUCUUUUCCCUCCUAUUGCCACGGUUACUUGGAGCAAGUCCGUGUGGUUCAAGGGAAAUAUUCCAAAGCAUGCCUUCAUCUCUUGGGUGGCUGCUUGGAAUAGACUGUAUACACGUGACAGAUUGAGACGUUGGGGACUGACGGUUCUGGCUACUUGUGUUCUAUGUAAUACACAGCCCGAAUCCAGGGAUCAUCUGUUUUUUUAAUGCAGUUUUAGUUCAAGCAUUUGGAGGUAUUUUACUUCUAGAGCUAGGUUGAAUCCGCCCAUUCAUUAUAUGGGAACUCUCCUCUGGUUACAAACUUCUUCAAGGAAUAAAAACAUCAAGCUCAUUGUUCAGCUCCUUCAUCAACCAUCUAUUUACUUCAUUUGGCGUGAGCGGAAUCAGCGUAUAUACUCCGCCUCUCCUCGUUCUGCGCCUCCAAUCAUCAAGGAAAUCAAACUCUUUAUUCGGGCAAAACUUGAUCCUCUAUCGCGUGAACAACGAAUUCUGCCUCCAGCUUUAACUCUUCUUGCAACUUGGUUUUCUUUGUUUUAGUGAUGAAGAUUCGGCCUGGCUGUCUACCCUUGAUCUCUCUCUCUUUUUGUUUGUUGUUUCCUGUCAGGAGAAGGUUUGUUUCUUCAUGUUUGGGCCUGUGGCCUGUUGUAGACGUUUGCCAUGUAUGUUUCUCCCUUUCUAAUGGAAAUUUAAAAUGAAAAAAAUAAAAAAUAAAAAAAUAAAAAAAAAUAAAAAAAAACUCACAUCGUCCAACUACUUAACUUGGCAACUCCAAGUUCGUGCUCUUCUUGAAGGUCACGAGAUUCAUGUCUUCAUUCAAGAUAACGCAGCACCAGAUCAAACCAUCGACAUCAAUGGCACCUUUGUUCCCAAUCCUCUGUUUCAACAUUGGAAACGACAAGAUCGACUCCUCUACGGUGCCCUCCUCGGCACGUUAUCACUCCAUGUGCAAGCUCUAGUCAACCGCACCAUAACUUUUUUGGGUCUCUGGACCAAUCUCCUCAACACCUUUGGCAAGGCGUCUUAUGCCCAUGUUCAGGCACUAAAGAAACAACUCAAAAGCAUCUCCAAGGGAACUCAAUCCAUUGAAGAAUACAUGCGUAGCAUCAUAGCCAAAGCUGACCAAUUGGCUCUCAUUGGGUCUCCGAUGGAACACGAAGACCUUCUUGAGAUCAUCGCUGCCGGACUCACUGAGGAGUUCAGUCCCGUCAUUGAUAUGGUUAAUGGUCGCGACACUCCGAUUGGGAUACCGGAACUUCUUGAGAAACUACUCAAUCAAGAGAACAACAUCCUCCUCACUGAGUCAUUUCCACCACACUCGCUUCCAACCACGGCAAACACAACCCAAUACCGUUCUCCAUCAUUAGCAACAUGAGGCAACUAUCGAGGCUUUCAUUCUUCUCGUGGUAAUUUCCGUGGCAGUGGCCGUGGCUACCAUGGCAAGUGUCAGAUUUGUGGCAUCUUUGGUCAUAGUGCAAGAAGGUGCUCUCAACUCUCCUCCUCUGCGCAACAGUUUCAACCACUUGCCGGUACUUAUCGUGGAUCACAACAACCAUCCCUGCCACAAAUGCAAUGGACUCCACAGGCGCAUUACACGACGUCUACACCGGCUGACUCGGCUCCAUGGUUGCUGGACAGUGGCGCCUCCCACCAUAUUGCCUCUGAUCUCAACACAUUGUCACUAUACUCACCAUACACGGGUACCGACGAAGUCCAGAUUGGUGAUGGAAACAGACUGAACAUCACACACACGGGUUCCACAAAUCUCUCAACUGGUUCACGUUCUUUACUUCUCAAUAAUGUGCUUUGUGUGCCUUCUAUGAAGAAGAAUCUUAUUUCGGUGAACAAAUUGUGUAAGACUAACAAUGUUAUGGUGCAAUUAUGUCCUCUUGAUUUUCAGGUGAGGAAUCUAAUAUGAUCCUUGUUAGGAGAUCUUAGUCCCUUGAUGCACUUCGUGAGGUGGUUGAAUAGAUCAAGCUAAAAUGAUGCGGAAUGGAUAUGAAGUAAGUGAAUGAUACCGAGUAGGAAGUCUAGUAGGUGAAGAGACAUAUCGAAUAUGGUGUGAAUGAUGGUUAUCGAGUGGUCUGGUGAGGAGGUGAUCGAGUAGUUUGGUGGUGAGGUCGAGUAGGAUGGUCGAGUGGUGACAAAAAGGUGAGAUCGAGUAGGUUUUGGUGGUGAAGUGGAAGAUGGAUCGAGUAGGGACUUGGUGGUCGAGUAGAAAAGGUUGUGAUCGAAUAACCAAGGUGAAGUCGUGUAGAUUUUGGGUUUGGUGGUCGAGUGAAUGAGAGUGAGAUCGAGUAUGAUGAAGAUUGAUGGUUUGAAUGAUCAAGUGAUGGUGAAAAUGAAUGGAUCGAAUGACGAAGGUGAGAUCGAGUAUAUGAGAAGGUGAGGGGUCGAGUAGAACUUCCAAAGGCUGCGAGACUCCUUUGAACUUCCAGACUUGAUUUUGCUUGGAUAUGACACACCAAGAGCAGUCUCAAGUUGAAUUCAAGAUAUUACACACUCAAACUCAAGAUCAAACGAAAUCAGAAAAGAUGAUUGAUAAGAAAUUGUUUGAUAACGUUUACAAAGGAGAAGAAGCAAAAUAUAAAGAAGAAGAAGAGAGUUCUAGGGAGGUGAAGAGUUAUUCUUGGGAAAGAAACGACAUUAAACACACACAAGACUGAUUUCGAAUUUGUCAUGGGCUUCUCCUUUGAUAAUGGGCUGCGAGACAUCAUUGGGCUCGAGUAUGAGUGUGUGAGCUUGCCUCGUUAAAAACCUCUCUUGUAAAACCCAUUGGGACAAAACCAAGAGGAGGGAAAAAGAGUGCAAGUCACACACCUCCAAUGAUGUCACUUAAACGGCUUGAAUCACAACCAACGUGGUUGGACAAACUUCCGGUUUAAUGCUGCCUUCAAUGUGUUGUAGAAGUGUGUUGAUAGCUUGAUUCAACAACUUAGUCUUUGAUCUUGUCAUUGGUCCAGUAGUAACUUGCAAUGACAUAUCCUCUUUAGUUCCAAGUGCUUCAUGCUCCUUAGCUCCCUGCAUGGUCGAGUACUUCCUUGAUGCAUCAGUAUACUCGAUCACAUUGUCCUCCUGGUGAUCGAGUGUGUGGUCGAGUACUUUCUCUGGUUCAAUAUCAGCAUACUCGUUCGCAUUGUCCUCCUGGUGAUCGAGCAUGUGGUCGAGUACAUCCUCUGGUUCAAGCUGUUCCUUAGUUCCUUGACCCAAGCUUCCCAUGAUCACAUCAGGAUCUCAACACGGGGGCGCCAAUCCUAAACGGCAAGGCUAAAGAAGGUGUUUAUGAGUGGCCGUCGACUUCCUCACUUCCAUCUUCCUCUUUUGCGAAACCGGCUGUCACUAAAUCUUUCUCGGAUUGGCAUGCUCGUCUAGGCCAUCCAUCUUCUCAAAUUCUUAAUUUUAUUAUUUCUAAAUUUUCUCUUCCUAUUUCAUCUAUGUCGUCUUCAAUUUGCAACUCUUGCUCUAUCAAUAAAAGUCAUAAGUUACCAUUUUCAACUUCCACUAUCACUUCUCGUGCUCCUCUUGAUGUCAUAUACUCUGAUGUUUGGACUUCUCCUAUAUAUUCUAUUGAUGGUUUCAAGUACUAUGUUGUCUUUGUUGAUCAUUUUACUCGAUAUGUCUGGCUUAAUCUAUGAAACAGAAGUCGCAAGUAGCACAAAUAUUUCCAAGGUUCAAAAGUCUUGUUGAAAAUCAAUUCAAAACGUGGAUCACCACACUCUAUUCGGACAAUGGCGGUGAAUACAUUGCAUUGGCGUCUUUUCUUUCAACGAAUGGGAUCACACAUCGCAUGACACCUCCACAUACACCAGAACAUAAUGGACUAGUCGAAAGACGUUAUCGACACAUUGUUGAAACAGGAUUGGCACUCCUCACUCACGCACACAUUCCCCAAUCCUAUUAGUCUUACUCUUUCGCAGCCGCUGUCUACCUCAUCAAUAGGAUGCCUACUCCAACUCUUGCCAAUUCUACGCCGUUUCAACGUCUCUUCAAUGCCGAUCCCAACUAUAACAAGCUACGAACCUUUGGAUGUUUGUGUUACCCGUGGCUUCGUCCGUAUGGCCAGACCAAGUUCAGUCCAAAAUCAUCUCCGUGUGUUUUUCUCGGGUAUUCUCUCACUCAAAGUGCUUAUAUUUGUCUAGAUCCCUCUACUUCUCGCAUAUACAUCUUACGACAUAUGGUCUUCCACGAGUCUAUCUUUACUUUUUCCCAGCUCUCUUGUCCUUCCGUGCCUACUUCGUCACAAGAAGCUUCCCCAAACACAUCUCCUAUGACGUCUCUUGCUCCCACUUAUAGUCAGCCAGUCUCUACACCUUCUCUCCCGUCUCCAGAUCACUCACCGGACAAGUCAACGGCUCCUUCACCAUUACUUGCUACGCAUCUACACAAGCUGAGCAACACACGGCAACCGACACGGUCACAACCAACAUUCACUCUAUGGUAACGCGAGGGAAAAACAACAUUCACAAACCAAACCCAAAAUAUGGUAUGACAGCACAACUUGGCGAGAUUGAACCAAGUACUCACACGCAGGAACUUAAAGAUGAAAAAUGGAGAAGAGCAAUGAGUGAUGAAAUUGAUUCUCGGAAUCGGAACCAUACAUGGGAUCUUGUUCCACCAGACAUUGCUCAAAAUGUGGUAGGAAAUCGGUGGGUGUUUCGCAUCAAGCGUUUACUGGAUGGCUCUAUUGAACGCUACAAAGCGCGUCUCGUGGCGAAAGGGUUCCAUCAACGACCGGGAGUUGAUUUCUAUGAUACUUUCAGCCCGGUAAUUAAACAUGCCACGAUCCGACUUGUUCUUGGUAUAGCCGUAGCUAGUGACUGGCCCUUACGGCAACUUGACGUUAACAACGUCUUUCUUCAAGGUCGCCUCAAAAGUUUAUAUGCAACAACCACAAGGGUUCACGGAUCCAGAUAAGUCUCAUCAUGUAUUUUGCCUUAAUAAAGCCAUUCAUGGAUUAAAACAAGCUCCAAGGACCUGGUAAAAUGAGCUUCGCUCAUUUCUCUUGCAGAUUGGUUUCAUAAACUCUCUCAAUGACGCGUCUCUAUUUGUCCUUGACAAGGCUCCGGUUCUCAUCUACAUUCUUGUAUACGUUGAUGACAUUGUUGUUACAGGAACUGGACAUGUUGAAGUUAACAAGGUGAUCCAAUUGUUGGCUGACCGGUUUCCUCCAUCUCACGCAGACCAAAUACAUAACAGAUUUGCUGGUUCGCACUCGGAUGGUUAAUGUCAAACCCGUCUCUACACCGAUGUCGUCUAGCGUCUCUCUCAUGGCUACACCAGGCGUGGCUCUUUUGGACCCAACAUUUUAUCGCGCAACCGUUGGUAGUCUUCAAUACUUGGCUCUCACGCGACCUAACAUCUCCUUUGCGGUAAACCGGCUCUCUCAAUUCAUGCAUGCUCCCAUGACCAUUCAUGAAGAAGCUGUCAAAAGAUUGUUACGCUACCUCUCGGGAACUGUCACUCGAGGUCUGUUUUUCUCCGCCAAAUCUCCUCUCAAUCUUCAUGCUUUCUCGGAUGCUGAUUGGGGAGGUGACAAGGAUGACUAUUCUUCUACUGGAGCAUACAUUGUCUAUCUAGGCAAACAACCAGUUUUGUGGUGCUCACGCAAACUCAAAGGAGUAGCUCGUUCAUCAACGGAGGCGGAGUAUCGUGCUCUCACCGAAGCAGCAUCGGAGAUUAAAUGGAUCACUUCACUUCUCUCCGAACUUGGUGUCAACUCAGCCUCAACACCAACGCUCUUUUGUGAUAACAUUGGUGCGACAUACCUCUCGGCCAACCCGGUAUUUCACUCUCGUAUGAAACACCUCGCUCUCGAUUAUCACUUCGUUCGUGAACAAGUUCAAGGUGGUGUCUUACGUGUCUCUCAUAUUUGCUUGGCUGAUCAGUUGGCGGAUGCCCUCACCAAACCUUUACCGCGAGCACGCUUCACGGAUCUUGCUGUCAAGGUUGGCCUUCGUAACCGACGUCCAUUUUGAGGGGGCGUGUUAGGAUCUCUUGUGAAUAUUCUAGAAUAUACUCUGUAUAGAAUAUGGAACGUGUCUUAUGUAUAAAUACUCCUCUCUUAUGAUUAAUAGAAAUCAAGUUUUCACAAAACCUACAUAAAAUCGCUUAGAGGAGGUAAGUUUCUUAGCUGUGUGUGAGAUAAUGGUUGUUGUUGAAUUAAAAAAAAAAACUCUCAUGAACUUUUAGCCUCCUUCGGGAAACAUUUUAUUUUUUGCUUUUUGGUUAAUGAUUAGUUUGCAAUGUUUUUGGCAUGAUAGGUGGUUCUCUUUAGGUCCUCUUAUUAAGGUCGUCGACCAAAUUAAAAUGGUCCAAGAGACUUAGGCCCCCCUCCCAUUUCCGAUAAGAAAGCAAUUAAACUACAAAUUCAAUCACAAGCUUUAUAAAACGCUUCAAAUUAAAGUAAAGCAUUCAAUCGGUGGUUUAACGGAGAUAAGCUAAGCAUAAAUCUUUUGUUUUUAUUUUAGUUUUUCCUAAUUGAUUUGCAUUCAAAUAGAAGAGUAACAAUGCAAGUAAGGAUAGGAGUCAUAUGACUUUUUGGAGGUUUGAAAGUAGGGAGAGAGAUACGCAUGCAAAUAUGUAUUGUAUUAGAUGGACUAAGUAGUACUGAGGUAGAGAGUGAUGAUUGACACUAGUCUCUAAUGAUUGUUGCCGCGACUUCCUAGGUCACCACGACCUACAAUCCUCUAUAUAUCUUGAAACUUUUGUGAAACUUUCAUGGGUCUUUCCCAUAAGAUCUGUUGUGCCGUACAUUCGAGAUCAAGAUCCGGCAAACCAAAUUUGUUGUCUCCCUGUGCUUCAUCCAGAUUCUCCAUGAUGUGAGUAUCUUUUGAUGGAGAAUUAGCAUGAAUAUUUGUUGAGUGUUAUAAAGUAAUAAAAUAUAAAAUAAAGUGGUACAAGGUACUAUGACGUUACACAAUUUCAUUUGGAUUUAUGAGAUUCUAGAGAUUGAUUUCGACCAAGCCUCACUGGUCAAUUCAUGCAAAUUUUAAGGAGUGACAUUUGCAUCAUUUCAUAAAUCAUUGCAACUUUCGGUUUGCUUGCAAUGAAAGUUAUGCCACCGGUUUCUAAUUGCAAUGAAAGUUAUGUCAACGAAAGUUGUAAUGGUUCCUGAAGUAAAUCAAAUGUUUCAAUGGUUUAAUGAAACGGUUGCAACAAUUUAUUUAAAUAUAUAUAUUUUAGUAAUUAAAAAUUAAAAAAUAUUUUAUGAAAUUUAUACCGAGAGAUGUGGUUAUAUAUCCUAUACUAUUAUUUGGAAAGUACAAUUUACAAUUACUCUUAAUUAACCUUCUCCUUUGUAAAAGUUUACUUAAGAAUGCCAUUAGAAAUAAAAUUUUAUAGAGUAAAUUAAUUCUACUCAUUAAGGAUAAACAAGUCAAAUACUAUUUUAUGCAAUUUAAUUAAUUUAAUUUAAUUAUAAAACGAAAAUCUAUUAUUAAUUUCUUUAAAAAGAAUGACAAAUCAAAAUAAACAUAUAAGAUUUGAUAUCUAAUUUACCAUAUUAAUUUGUUAUUAAUCAUUAUACUUCACCUCUCAUCUUUAUAUGAUUCUAUUUCUAUAAAUAAAUAAAUCAUUAUAUCAUGUAUAUAAUUAAAAAAGUAAAAAAAUUUCCGCAUAUAUAUACCAUGAUUUAAAAUUUUAAAAAUAAAUAUAAAUUAUUCAAUGUAUGAAAGAACAAAUUUAACUGGUCAAAAAUUCAUAUUUGAGUAAUAGAUUCCUUUUUUUUAAUAUCAUCAAUACUUAAUAGAUCAAAAAAAUUUAUGAAGUAUAAAUACUCUAAUUUGAUUUUUUAAAACAAAUAUUUAAAAUAGGCGGCGGGUUGAAUAUAGUAUAUAGUAUGAUGAAAUGAGUUAUGAUCCUUAUAACUAUUUGAAUAUUUAUAUUUAAUUUCAUAUCAUUUUUUAAAAAAAUUCAUAAUUUUACAUACUACAAUAAAUGUUUUUAAAGAUUUUAAUUUUGAACAUUUUAAAAAAGUUUAAUUUAAUAUAUUAAAGAAUAUCAUAAAUAUUCAAUAGAUUAAAAAGAUAAAAAAAAUUAUAAAUACAUUAAUUUGAUUUUCCAAAAAGAUAUGUUUAAAAUAUUUAUAAUAGGCAGCGGGUUAAAUGUAAUGUAUUAUAUGGUAGAUAGUUAUGAUCCUUAUAACAGACGGUAUUUUAAGAUUUUAUAAUGGGAUGGGUUAAAUAAGGUUUGACACUUCUAAAUAUUUGAAAAUUUUAUUCUGCAAGCAAUUUUAAAAAUAAUAAAUAAUAGAUUGUGCCGCAAUAUUUUCAUAGGGAUUGUAAAAAUGAAAAUAUAGACUCCAUACACGGAUUGAGUUUGGUAUUAUUAUAUACUAAAUAUAUGUUCAUAACAUAUUUGAUUAUGUGAAUAAUUGGUAAAUUCCGUAAUUAUCUCAAACAAAUCUCUAUUUCAACAACCAAUGAAUCAGAAUUUGAAAAAAUAAUUUCCUAAAUUAAUUCAAAAUAAUAGCUAAUUUUCUUAAGUAAUUCAAAAUAAUCUACGUUUUAGAUGCGAUUCAUUUAUGAUAUUUUGAUUUUUGAUCUAACUAUAUUAUAUGAACUCUCAUUUUGUGGUUGUUAACAUAAAUUAAAUGAUUGUUCAAACAAUAUUAAUUUUUUUUUAAAAAUAAUCUUAUUUUCUGUUUUCAUAAUUUAAAAAAAUAUCCAUAAUUGAAUACUAUAGAAAAAGGAAAAUAUUCAUUCUAAUAUUAUAUAUAGACUGACAAAAAAAUAUUAUAUUUUCACUUACUAUAAUAAUAUAUCACAACUUUAUUCUAAAACAUAAAAUUUAUAAAUUUUGUAAUAAAUAAAAUUCAACCCGUACUGUAGUACAGGUGAUGAUCUAGUCUAUAUUAGUAGUUUUGCAGUCACUUUUGAGUUGAGUGGAUAAAUUUUUUCUCGGAUACUUUGGAUACCCGAGCCAUUUACAAAUUUUGGUCAUAAAAAGUUUGUUGGGUCGGGUUAUAUUUAACCCAACUCAUACACUGGAUAUUCUAUAUUUAAUAAUUUAGAUAUUUAGUGGAUUUGAUUAAAAUUAAGAAUUAUGAUUUUUUUUUUUUUUUGUCAUCCGAAAUUAAUUAGAACUCAAAAGAGCCAUUUCUGAGGAAUGUUGUUUACAUAAGUGAUAUGAAGCGGUUAUGUACGAACUUUUCGUGCCAGAUUAUCCGCCUUAACAUUAGCCCUACGAGAAAUUAAAGAUAAAGAAAAAGAUGAAAACUCCUCCUUGUCGCUCUGAAAUUCCUGCAAGUACACUGAAAACGCCGGCCAUUCGGUUGGAGAAGACACCAUCUUCACCAGGUCUGAACAGUCUGUAAAGAACGCUACCUCUUGAUUAUUUGCACCAAUCAUACACUUCAUCGCCCAGAGAAGGGCCUCAACUUCGGCAUGUAGUAAAGAUAGACUUCUACGGAGAUUCGCAUCUCCCAUGGUUAGCGGCUCUCCAUUUGGCGAUAUACAGUACCAGCUUGUACCAGAGAACUUAUCACUUUCUUUCCAUAAUCCAUCCACAAAACAACGGUAUCCCAAAUACUCCGCCUCAAGUGAAACCUCUCUCACUCGAAUUUGAUUUACCAAGUGCACAGAACCAUGAUUUUCAUUAUGGAGCUCAAUUUGAGCGGACUGCCACAAUUGUGCCUCUUUUUCCGCUAAUUGUAAUACUUCUACUGGGUCUGUAUCUAUGGGAAGGCUGAUGAACCAACUUCCAUAGGUAUUCUCCAAAAUAAGUGAUCCAAAUUCGUAAAAUUAGAUUCUGUGGGGAAAAUCCCUAUAGCCGUAGGAAUCUAUGAAAGUGCCCAAAUCUGUCGUGCCGGGUGGCACUGAAAGAGUGUAUGAUUGAUUGUUUCCUCUGAUGCGCCACAUCUGGCACAUCCCGUGUCACAAUCAAUUCCUCUAUUCCGCAAAUUUUCCGUAACCGGUACACAUCCCGUUAAGAUUUGCCAAAUAAAAUGGCGUAUCUUAAGUGGACACUGCACUUGCCCAGAAUAUGCUUUUAACGGGUUGAUGUUAGGACCAAAAAAGUUUAAAUUGGUCUCCGACUUUUCCAUCCGUGUAGAAUGAUAUCCCGAUUUGACUGUGUAUUUUCCAGAUUUUGUAAAAUGCCAACCCAAAAAAUCUUCUUUUGUUGGUGCACCCACAGGUAUGACGCUUAUUAGAGCGACAUCUUCUGGAUUAAAGAUCGCUCUUAAGAGAUCAAUAUUCCAAAAGUUUGACUGACUAUCUAUAAGGUCUUUAACUUUUAAAGAUGGGUCAGCAACUGAACCAUUACUUUUUGCUGGUCUCGGGAAUUGAGCUGGAAUCCAGGGAUCCUCCCACACCGAGAUGGAUGUCCCAGAUCCGACUCUUUUAAUAAGUCAUUUAUUAACCAGAGAUUUAGAAUUAUGAUUUUCCUAUCAUCUUUGUUUGAUUUGUUUUUAACUGUUUUGAAUCAUCAUAUAAUACAUAAGGUAAAAAAAAAAAUCAAUUUUUUUUCUGCAUAUACUGUGAUUCAAAAUUUUUAAAACGGGCAUAAAUUAUCCAAUUGACAAAAAUAUGUGUUCAACUUUCUACAUCGAUUAAAAUAUUUAGACAAUGAUUCAGAAUUAUAUCAUAAAUAAGAUCAACAUUAAUAAAAUAAAUGAGUUUUUUAGCGGGACGGGUUUGGCGGAACGGGUUUUUGAAUCAACAAUAAUAAAAAUAUUAAAUAUCAUUAAUCCGCCGCUUCAAUACGGAUUAAAUCCUUAAUCUUUUUUAAUAUCACCAAUAUUAGACAUAUUAAAUCAGUCUCAAUUAGAAAAGAUUGUAUAAAACCAAAAUUUGUCCCGUGGUAUAAUGUUACUUCAUAACAAUUGUAAACCAUAAAAUAUAAAUAUCUUAGAAAAUGAUAAAAUUGGCAAACUUUUAUAUAUAAUAAAUAAUCGUUAAAUUUUAAAAAUUACUACUUUUAGAAAACAAAUCACGGGACAGGUUAAGAAGUUACAGGACGGGUUAUAUUUCGGAACGAAGUUAUAUGGUCGACGAUUUUGAAUCAAUAUUUAUAAAAUUUUAAAAUAUCAUUAACAUUCCUCUUUAAUACACAUUAAAUCUUCAGUUUAUUAAAAUAUAAAUGUCUUAGAGAAUUAUAUGAUUUGUAAAUUUUUAUAUAUAACAAAUAAUAAUUAAAUUUUAAAAUAAAAAAAAAUCACGGGACGAGUUAAGAAAUUACAGAACGGGUGAUAUUUUGGAACGGGUUUAUAUGGCGGAGAAAUUUGAAUCAAUAUCUAUAAAUAUCAUUAACAUGCCGCUUUAAUACGGGUUAAAUCUUCAGUUUAUUAACAAUUGUCUUGUGGACUCGUGGUAUACCGUUACUUAAUAAAAAUUGUAAACUAUAAUAUAAAUAAAUAUUUUAUAAGGAGAUACAAUUUACAAAAUAUUUUUAUAGUUACUUGAAAAAUAAAUCAUCUCGCGGUGUACCGUAGAUUAAAAUCUAGUGUAUAUAUAUACCCGCUAUCCUGACCCUCGACUACGCUCUCAGAGACUCACUCAGAAACUCUCGGAUUUUUGGUGUAAGGAACAAAUGAAACAGAAUGGGUGGUAUUUAUAGUAUGGGAAGGUCGGUGGGCAAGCAUGAGGUGGACGGAUAGGUAUAAACAAGUUUAUCCGGAACUCUAUCCAUUUGCGCGGAUAGGGAUGGUCGAUCUUAUAUGUAUGCACGGAUAGACUUGAAAAAGUUUAUCCGCAACGGAUAGGUUUGAACGAACAUAUCCAUAUUUGUUUCUAUCCAUUUCUCAUACUUAUCCUUUUUCGUUCCUAUCUUCUUGCUAGCUCGCGGAGAAUGCUCGUAUCUGAUUUGUGUACUGCCGAUAAUUGCUCCGCUCGACCGUUUUCUGUACCGUCUCACCAAAACUAAAUUUCUUUGUCCAUCCUUGAAUUUUCCUCAACAAUCUUCAAAUUUUCUUCGAUCAAAACUUUGGUAUUUGUCCUUGAAUACCUUAGCUCAGUUCCAACAAUUUAUUUUCUUCAAUCUUGGUCCACUUUUCCUCAAUAGCCAUUUCGGGGCCAAUUCCUAGUCUUGGUGACGGGUAUGACAAAGAUAGUCAGAAUUCACAUCUAAGAACAUCUCCAAUGGCAAAGUAUCUCACCAAUAUAAUAUUAAUAUUUUUAUGUUUAAUUUAUUUAGAGAAACUCAUACUAAAAUUAUAGGGAAAUUGUUAGAAAUACCCUUUUUGGUGUGCCCCUUUUCAAAAAUGCUCCUUUUAGAUGUCCAUUUUCAAAAAUGCCCCUUUUUAAAUCUGAAAUUUUAUAAAGUUUUAUUAGGUUUAUAAGGUACUUAUGGAUUGUAACUACUACUUGAAGACUCGAUCCAAGUAUUUAUAAGGUUUUAUAAGAUGUUUUAAAAGGUUUUACAAGUUAUUUUAAAGGAUUUUUAAGGUUUUUCAAAGGUUUUACAAGAUAUUUUAAAGGUUUUUAAAGGUAUUUAAAAUGCAUUUAUAAGGUAUUUAUAAAGUAUUUAUAAGAUUUUAGAUACAUAGAAAUGUAGUUUGUGUAUGUUUUAAUAAUAUUACAUACAUAUUUGGGUAAAUCUUAUAUUUUUAACAGCAUUUUUUAUAAGGUUUUAAAAAAAGGGUAUUUUUGAAAAGUGGCAUUGAAAAAGUGGUAUUUUUGCAAAAGCCCCAAAAUUAUACUUCCAUUAGUGAGAGAUAUUUUAUGGGUAUCUCAUUAAUAUAAUAUUCAUAUUUUUAUAUUAAAUUUAAUAUCUCAAUAAUAUUUUUAAAAAUAUCAAAUCACAUCUUAAAUAUAGUUAUUCAAACUAAAUAAAUAUAUUUAUUUAGUUUAGUAAAUAAUAUAAGUAUGAAUAUUAAUAAUUUAAAAAGCAACAAUUAAUAGUACUAUUAACUAUAAAUAAUAUUAUUAAAGAGUUUAUUAUUUUUAAAACCACAAUUAAACAUAAAUCAAACUUUAAAUUACAUAUAAAACCAUGAUAAAAGAUAUAUAAAUUAAACAUAAAUUACAUAUAAAACCAUGAAAACAUAAAUUAAAAUGCAAAAAAACAUAUAAAACCAUAAUAGAUAAUAUAGUUAACUUGAUUUUACUUUUCACUUGAUGAUGCGCCAAACUUUUGUCAUAUAUGUUCAGCUAAUUAAGCCGAGAGUGUUGCCCAAAUUAGUAGGCAUAGUUGUAGAAUAUGUAGAAUCCACUUGUGUACUCUCAUUUUAUUUUACUUGUUGGAAUUGAGAGACAUUAUAUUGAGUGUAUUUGUUUCGUUCAUCUUCUACUAUUAUAUUGUGCAUUUUCUUUGUUGAAGUCAGGUUUUCUUAGAUAAGCAAUUUUAGAUAAUUUCCAAAAUUAUGGAAAUUUAUAGAAAUGUUUGUGUAAGCUUGAAGAUAGUUUUGCAUUAUUUCAUGAGAUAUUUUUGAUGAUUCAAUUUUAAAUCCAUAUAUAUGAAAUCACAAUUAUAUAUUAAUCUAAAAAAUAUUCCAAAAUAUAAAUUUAAAAUUUAAAAUUUAAAAAAAAAAAUUUCUUAUAUAACACUAUUGUAUUAAUUAAAACAAUAUUACUUUAAUUUUGUGUAUUAAGCUUAACUAACACCAAUUAAAACUAAUAUUGUUAUAUAAUUUAAACUUAUCCAUAAUGAAGCUUGAUAUAUAGAUAAUUUUAUUUUGUGAAUUUCUUAGAAAAUGAAAUUUUAAAAUAACAAACAUAUAAAGUAUAUAACUAAUAUUAUAAACUAUAAAUGAUUUGACUUGUUACAAAAAUUUAAACUAAUAAGAAAGUGACAUGUAGAAGGGAGAGAGGGUUUCUCAUGGUUUCUCAAAUGAGAAAGGAUUCUAAACAAAACAAAAUUGAUUUAAAAAAUACUACUUCCUCCGUUUCAACAUAUAAGACGUUUUAGUUAAAACUCCUAACUGAGAGAGUCAAGGGCAGCUCUUACCCUGCCAAGCCAAUCUAGAUGUCUUACGAAAUAUUCACUUUUAAAAAGUUCAACCAAUCAUGAAUGAGACUGCAUAAUAUAAAUAAUCAAAAAAUAUUAAAUUAAUAUAUAAUUUGCAUAGAAACUUGAAAACAUUUGCAUAGAAACGUGUUACAUUUUGAAACGGAGGGAGUAUUAUAUUAAGUUUUUUUGUUUAAUUUUAAUUUGAGUUUCUUCGUAAAAACUACCUAUAUAUGGAGAUGGUCUAACGACACUUGUUCUGGAAAUGAAGGCAAGUCUUUACAAACUUUACUAGGCAUAAAAUUUUAAAUUCUACAGUAAAAACACUACAGAACUAAAAUCUACCAAAAUUUCUACAACUAAAAAUCUAAAGUCACAUCCAAAAGGACCAAAACCAACCAAGCCCAAUGAAACAUUGUGUUUCAUUAUUAAGUCAAACUAGAUUUUAACCCGCGGUGUUUAAUUUUAAAGUUAGUAUAAAACUAUUUUGUAAAUUGUAUCUCCUUAUAACAUAUUUAUUUAUAUUAUAGUUAACAAUUGUUAUUAAGUAACGGUAUACCACGAGUCCACGAGACAAUUAUUAAUAAACUAAGAAUUUAACCCGUAUUAAAGCGGUAUAUAAAUAUUGAUUCAAAUUCGUCCGCCAUAUAAAUCCUUUCCGAAAUAUAACUCGUUCCGUAAUUUCUUAACCCGUCAUGUGAUUUGUUUUUAAUUUAAAAUUUAAUGAUUAUUUAUUAUAUAUAAAAGUUUACAAAUCAUAUCAUUUUCUAAGACAUUUAUAUUUUAAUAAACUAAAGAUUUAAUAUGUAUUAAAUUGGCAUGUUAACGAUAUUUAUAAUUUUUAUAAAUAUUGUUAUUAAGUAACAUUAUACCACGGGACAAUUUUUGGUUUUAUACAAUCUUUUCUAAAUGAGACUGAUUUAAUAUGUCUAAUAUUGGUGGUAUUAAAAAAAAAGGAUUUAAUCUGUAUUGAAGCGGCGGAUUAAUGAUAUUUUAAUCUUUUUAUUAUUGUUGAUUCAAAAACCCGUCCCGCCAAACCCGUCCGGCCAAAAAACUCAUUUAUUUUAUUAAUGUUGAUCCUUUUUUUUUUUAAUGUUGAUCUUAUUUAUGAUAUGAUUCUGAAUCAUUGUUUAAAUAUUUUAAUCGAUGUAGAACAUUGAACACAUAUUUUCGUCAAUUAGAUAAUAUAUGUCCGUUUUUAAAAUUUCGAAUCACAGUAUAUUCAGAAAAAAAAUUGUUUUUUUUUUACUUUAUGUAUUAUAUGAUAAUUCAAAACAGUUAAAAACAAAUCAAACAAAGAUGAUAGGAGAAUCAUAAUUCUAAAUCUUAAUCAAAAAUCUUCUAAAUAUCUAAAUUAUUAAAUAUGGAAUAUCCGGUGUAUGAGUUGGGUUAAAUAUAACCCGACCCAACAAAUUUUUUGUGAAUGAUUUUAAAAAACGGGUCGGAUUUCCGAUUAACCCAUAAUCAUUUUUACCCACCCGUCACCAAAGUGUUGCAAAGAUACUAGUAUAGAUAAAGUUCUUACUUUCUAGGGUCUUAUUUGUUAUUUUGUGAAAAUCAAAUAUCCUUCUUGCAAAAUUUGUUUUUAGACAAUAAAAGUUGUGGCUGCACUAUUAACCCUAUUGCUGAGCAGCCGAAGCGUUUAGCAAUUUGCAUUAGUUUAGUCUUCCUCGUCUAAUCUUGGAAGCUUUUAAAGUUGUGCUGCGAUUGUCCCCGUCUUUUUUUUUCGAGAGAGGUAUAAUUUUUAAAAUCUUUCUACUUUUUAAUUUCCUUGACUGUUUUCAGUUUCUCAAACGUUGUAACUUUGUAAAGAAAAAAAGCUGUUUAGAACUAUGUCCGAUAGUGGAAUCUAUAUUUUUGUUUUGAUUCUUUGAUUUUUUCAAUUUACAAAAAUUGUGUGUAGGAGUCAUCAUCGAGAUAGAUGGAGACAAAAGUUGACACGACGAUUACUUGGAAGAUAAAAAGUUUUUCUUCUUUGCAAUCAGCAUCAGUUUAUUCUGAUCAAUUCGUUGUUGGUGGCUGUAUAUGGUAUGAAGAUAAACUCUUUUCUAAUGUUUUUCGUCCAAUUUAGGUUCAACUUUUUGUCAGAAAAAGAAAAGAAAAAAUUAAGUUAAAUGACUGUUUUUGUUUGGUUUUCGCAGGCGUCUUCGGGUCUAUCCCAAGGGAAAUAACAAGGCUGGUUAUUUGUCUCUGUAUCUAGACGUUCCUAAUAAAGAAUCAUUGCCUAUUGGAUGGAGAAGACAUGCUAAAUUAUCUUUAAGUUUAGUAAAUCAAUUUUCGGGAAAACUCUCUCUACUAAAAGGUUAUUGUUUUCUAGGCUUGCUUCUUUACGGUUUAUGUUAGUUUUAUGCUUCUGUGUUAAGUUGUGAACAUUAAUAUCAUAUCCAUUGGAGAUGUAACUGAUGAGAUGAAAUAUGUUUUGAGAUCUUGCAGACACUCAACACUGGUUUGAUCAAAAGGUUCCUGACUGGGGCUAUUCACAAAUGAUUACCCUCGCCGAACUUAACAACAAAAGGGGAUUUCUGAUGAAUGAAGAACUUAUAGUUGUUGCCAAGAUAGAGGUUCUUGAAGUUGUAGGAAAUUUAGAUGUAUCAGAAGAAUAUUCACCAGUAAUGAAAACCAUAGAUGUCAAUGGGUUUCAAGUUCUUCGUUCACAGGUAAAACAAAUAAGAAAAAAUAUAACACUUUCUGUUGUUUUUGUAGAAACUCCAACCACAAGAUGUUAUUCUGUUUUGAAACAAGAAUAUGAAAAAUACUUUUAAAUGCAAAAAAUAUGAAAGAUUCAAAAGAGUUUCGCAUUGUAUACUUCACUUUCUUUAUAUAUGUACAAGCUUUAGAUAUGUUGUGAUUUUACUUUUAUGUUCCACUCGCAGGAAGAAUCUGUGAAGUCUUUAUUUGAAAGACAUCUAAAUAUUGCAUCAAAAUUUCGUCCAAAGAAUUCAUACCUGAAGACGGCGUACAUGAAUGUCCUCUUGAGUUUAACCCAAACGAUAUGUCAAUCUCCUCAAGAACUCUCCAAUGAUGAUCUCUCUGAUGCUGGCGCUGCAUUGGCAUAUUUGAGAGAAGCAGGGUUUGAGUUGGAUUGGUUGGAGAAGAAACUUGAUGAAGUAAAGGAAAAGAAAAAGAAAGAAGAGGCUUGUUUGGCCCGGAUACAAGAAAUCGACGAACAGCUUCAGCCAUUUAAGAAGACGUACUUAGACCUUGAAGCUCAGAUAGAUAAGGAGAAAGAAGAGUUGUUAGCAGCUAGAGCUCCUCUCUCCUUGAACGAUGACAAUGUUGUCUGAUGACUUUUGAGUUCUUGGACACUUGGAUUUCUCUUUUGCUUGUCUUUUGAUGUUUUAUCUCCCUUGAUGUGGAAAUUUCUUGAUUUAGGAUGUUGCUAUAUUUUUUUUUUCUAUAAAAUUGUGUUUCCGAUCUAUUAGCACACAUUCUCCUCCUUGAUUUAGUAUUUUUCCUCUAAUAAAUUGACCUUUUUGAAGAAGGUUCGAUUACUAACAUGUUUACCUUGAACGAAGUAACUAGAAAGAUUGUUCGAGGAUUAAUGAAAAACCACUUGUUAUCGUCUUAUCGAGAAUGAAUAAACAAUGAAACGUUAUGUUUCUAUAUUAUGUCAUAUAAACGUUCUUAUAUAAUGAUCAGGGUCAGUUUUACUAUUUUGUGAAGGUCAUUGUUUUAAAAAUAAUUUAGGGAAAGUCAAAUGCUUUUCUUGCAAAUUAUCUUUUAGACUUUAUGCCAAAUCUUAUUAACUAACCCUAGAUAUGAGUCUUCCUAUUCCUAAUAUAAAACUUGAAAGCUUAAAAGUUGUGGCUACACUGUUUCAGUACAUCGUUUUGUCUGACUUUCGACCUCACUCUGAGAGGUAAAUACUAAAAUUAUAUUUAAUCGUUCUACUUUUUUAAAAAAAAAUUUCCUUGACUAUAUUUAGUUUCUCAGACGUAGUAACUUGUAAAGAAAUAAAUAAAAGCUGUUUAGAAAGAUGUUCCAUAGUGGAAUCUUAAUCUUUCUUUUGGUUUUGUUUCUCGAGAUUGUUCUUUCACUUUUCGAUUUACAAAAAUUGUGUGUAGGAGUCAUCAUUGAGAUCAAUGGAGACAACAGUUGAUACCACGAUUACUUGGGUGAUUAAAAAUUUCUCUUCUUUGCAAUCUGCACCAAUUUAUUCUGAUAUAUUAGUUGUUGGUGGCUGCAAGUGGUAAGAUGAUAAAUUGUUUUCUAAUUUUUUUCGUCCAAUUUAGGGUUUACAGGAUAAUAUUUUUUUAUUGUUUUUCUAUUGUUUUUGCUUGCAGGCGUAUUAAGGCCUUCCCCAAGGGAUAUUAUAACAAUGAUAAUAUUUCUCUGUUUGUAGACGUUCCUCAUAAAGAAUCUUUACCUAUUGGAUGGAGAAGACACGCUAAAAUUUCUCUAACUUUAGUAAAUCAAUUUUCUGAAAAACUCUCUCAACUAAAAGGUUAAUGUUUUUGUAGGCUUGCUACUUUAUGGUUUAUGUUUGUGUCAAUUUGUAAACUAUUGAUGAUAUUAAUCCACUAAAGUAACUGAUGAGAUGAAAUAUGUUUUGCGAUUUUCCAGAGAGACAGCAGUGGUUUAAUCAGAAGUUAUCUAGCUGGGGGUUUCUGGCUAUGAUUCCUCUCACUGAACUGCAUGCUAGAAAGGGAUUUCUGGUGAAUGGAGAACUCAAAGUUGUUGCCAAGAUAGAUGUUCUUGAAGUUGUAGGAAAAUUAGAUGUUUCACAGGAAUCGUUAUCAGUAGUGGAAACCGUAGAUGUCAAUGGGUUUCAAGUUCUUCCUUCACAGGUAAGACUGUUGUUUUGAAGAAAUAUUAACCACAAGAGAAGCCAUCAUGGGUUCUACUAGAUGACUUAUCUUGUGGUUUGAAAUAAGUAUAUGACAAAAAAAAUUCUCUUACACACGUAGAAUAUAUAUGAAAAGAAUAAACAGUAAGAGUUUCACUAUAUAGUUCAGUUUCUUGAUAUAUGUACAAGUUUCAGAUAUAUAUGUGUGGUUUUACUUUAUAUAUCCUUUUCACAUGCAGGUAGAAUCUGUGAAGCGUUUGUUUGAAAAACACCAAGAUAUUGUAUCAAAGUUUCGUCUAAAGAAUCCAUAUUUGAAGACGGCGUGCAUGAAUGUCCUCCUGAGUUUGAUCCAAACGUUGUGUCAAUCGCCUCAAGAACUCUCCAAUGAUGGUCUCUCUGAUGCAGGUGUUGCACUGGAAUAUUUGAUUGAAACAGGGCUUAAGUUGGAUUGGUUGGAGAAGAAACUUGGUGAAGUAAAGGAAAAGAAGAAGAAAGAAGAGGCGUGUUUAGUCCGGCUACGAGAAAUGGACGAACAGCUUCAGCCAUUUAAGAAGAGGUGCUUAGACAUUGAAGAUCAGAUAAGUAAGGAGAAAGAAGAGUUGUUAGCAGCUAGAAAACCUCUCUCUUUGUACGAUGACAUUGACAAUAUUGUCUAAUGACUUGAGAGUUCUUGGGCACUUAGAUUUAGGUUUUGGUAGGUGUUCUUUGCUUGCGUUUUGAUGUUUUAUCUCUCUUGAUGUGGAAACGUUUUGAGAUAUAGGAUAUUUCUAUAUUUUUUCUUUAAAAUUGUGGUGCUGACCUAACAACACAUUCUUCUCCUUUAAUAAAUUGAGGAUUAAUGAAAAACACUUGUUGAGAGUGAAUAAACAAGGCCUCGGCAAAAAAAACCGGACCCGAAAUCCGGACCGAUACCCGGACCGAAAAAACCUGUUUAAAGCGGUUAAGGGUAAGAGAAAAUUAUUUCAUUGAGUACAGUUUUUGUAAACCCGUGGGUAUCGGGUCGGUCCGGAUAUUACCCGUUACCCAAACAGGGUACCCGAAUACCCGAACAUAUAAUUAAAUAUCCCAAAUAUUAAUUAUAUAUAAUUUUAAUAUAAUAUAAUUAUCUAGAAUUAAAAUUAUAAAUCUAAAUAUGUCAAUUAACUUUAGACUUCAAUACCCAAAACAACCAAACUAUCCAAAAAUUAUUUGUUAUGUUUGUCAAAAUUUAACAAAAUGUAUUCAAAUAUAACUAAAUUUAUUAAAUUUAACAAAUUUUAAAGUUUUUUUUUGGUACCCCAUAUUUUACGUACAAAACUUGAUAUUUACAUAUAAAAUACCCAAACCGAACGGGUACCUAUAUUUUUGGGUAUUUAUAGGGUCUAAAUGUUUUUACCGAAACCGACCCGAACCCGACGAUACUUGAACCGGACCGAUACCGAAUGUUUAGAAAUACCCGAAUGGGUCGUAAAUUCAUUAUCCAUUUAAUCCGAACCCGAACGGACUACCCAUAUGCCCAGGGCUAGAAUAAACAAUGAAACGUUAUGUUUCAGUAUUAUGUCAAAUAAACGUCCUUAUAUAACGACUAGGUUAUGGGUCAUUUUUGUCAUUUUGUGAAGGUCAAUGUAUAAAAAUAAUUUAGGAGAAGUCAAAUGCUUUUCUUGCAAAAUUUCGUUUAGACUUAGGUCAAAUCUUACUAACCCUAGAUGGCUAGAUAUGAGGAACGGAAGUGUUUUUAUUCCUAAUCUAAGCUUCGAAGCCUUUGAAGUUGUGGCUUAAUUGUUUCAGUUUCUCAAACGUGGUAAUUUGUAAAGAAAAAACUGUUUAGAAUGAUGUUCCAUAGUGGAAUCUUAAUCUUUAUUUGGUUUUGUUUUGUUACUAGAUGUUAAUUCGCGGUACACCGCGGGCCUAAAUAUUAUUUGAUUUUUUUUUUUAAUUAUUAAUUUAAAUAUUUUAUUUGACAUAUAUGAAUUUUUUUAUUAAUUUAAAUGUAUAUAUUGAUAUUGAGAGUUGUAUAAAUGGUAGAAUUAGUAAAUUUUAAUUUCAUUUUAGUAAAAAUAGAUCCAAACUUCAUAAUUGUAUUUUGAUUGUUAUAUCUAGAUUUUCAACCGUCCCGUAUUAAUAUCUUUUAUAAAUAUUUAUAAUGUAUAUGUAGAUUGUUAAUUCUAGGAUUUCACCCGUGGUAUACCGUUCCGUUCUCGUUCCAUCAUAUAACUCCGUCCAUAUUAUCCGGUUAACUAAAUUAUUAGAGUUGUAAAAUCCAAUAAAUUAUAUUGAUUAGUUUCAACAAUUGUUUAUAUUUAUAGGUCAAAAUUAAAUUUGUUUGAAAAAUGAUUUAUUUGUUUCUGCAAUCAUGUUGAAGUGUUUUCUCGAAACCAUUUAUGUAUUAAAUGACAACAAUUUUAUUGAUUCAGUAUGGAAACAAACUGUUUCAAUUACAUAAAGUUUUCCACAGUAAUAAAACAAAAUGUAAAAGUGAAACUAAUAAAUCAUUAAAGAAACCGAACCGUAGUUCUCUAAUCCCUCGCUCAAUGUCGUCUCUCUUCGAGAUGAGCUUUUGCGCAGGUCAUCCUUCCCUUCCAUCAACCUAUAUUCUUAGCAAACUUCUGCUAUCUUCCAAAAAAAAUUUAGACAGAAAGAUCUGGAAAAAUAAAUUCGUGAAAGUGUAUCAAUAGAGACCCAACUCGAAGGCGAAAUAUCACAGCUUCUUUAUGUUCAUAGUGCUGGAAAUUGCGACGGCGGGUUUAGAUCUGCAAUAUUAAGGUUAAACAUUAUUAUGAGACAGAGCAUAACAUUUUCACUGGCUACAAAAUUGAACACUAUGUGUGUAUAACAUGUUUAUAGAAGUCAUACUACUUUUGUUACAUGUAUAAGCAGAGAUAAUUAACUUACCUUGUCGGUCAAUGGUUCACGACCAAAUGGCAUAGCAGCUUCAAGAUAUUCAAAGAAAAGGUCACCAGGAGAGUUACUGUUGGCCUCACUUUCAUAACUCGAUGAACCAAUGCAAGGUUUCUCGUCAAAAGAGACCAUGUAUAAACUCCAAGAAAUGACUCUAGAGUCAUUGCUGCCAUCGCUACUAAUGUCUCUAGGCUAUCAAUAUGUGCAAAGUAUUUAUACUCGACGAAGUUAGAUGUAAGCGUAUUUUGAUGACCAAGCAAAAAAGAUUUGAUACCAUUUAGAAAUUGGAAUAAAAGAUAUGUAAUCGUUUAUACUAUAGGAAUAUGCUAUGAUUAGAGUAUUAAUUGUUUUCUUUAUACGCGAUUACUCGAAUAUUAGGAGGGAAAGUUAUAGUAAAUAGUAAAUGAGAUUUAAUAAAAUCAUAACUAAAUUAGAUCUUAGGUAAGGAAAAAAAAAUAUUUAGUAUUAAUUAGUUGGAAUUAGUUAGAUUUGAAUACAUAAAUUGGAGAAUAUGAAAUCAAGAUUAUAGGAGCAUAAUCGAGAUUAUAGGAACAAAUAAUAUAUACCACAUAUCUUUUAAAACCAUAAAGGAAAAAAAAACGAAUUUAGGUAAUGAAUGAUGUAAUCGGGAUUAGUUUCCAGAAUAAUAGGAAAGAUUUCGUUUUGCUAAUAUAUCUUCUAUUAGAAAUUUAAUCUGUUGAGAUUAGUUUCCAUUAUAUAUUAUCUCGAAUUUAUGUAUGAUAAUCAUUAAAAAUUUAGAUUUGAUUUCGAUUUUAUUGUUAUUUGAUAGCCUAAAUCAGAAAAUAUUACCAAAAUAGAUUCUUUGUGAAAUUAAAUAUGAAAAACGAAUUUAUUACUAAUUAAUGUCGUUUUCCUUUAAAAAAUCAAAUCAGAAAAUAUUACCAAAAGAGAUUUUUUGUGAUAUUAAAUAUGAAAAACGAAUUUAUUACUAAUUAAUGUCGUUUUAUUUAAAAAUAUUUCCUUAAUUAUCUUAUCCAGGAUCCGAACAGAAUUAAACCCGGAUAAAACCCGAAUCCAAAAGACUUUUUGCAAAAACCCCCUGUAAAAAUGUAUAUGUAGAUUAAUUCACGAAUUUAUUUUGGUAACUUGUAAUGAAAACAUGGUGUAGAAGUCAUCAUCGAGAUCAAUGGGGACAAAAGUUGAUACGACGAUUACGUGGGUGAUAAGAGAUUCCUUUUCUUUGCAAGAUGCAUCGAUUUAUUCUGAUAAAUUCGUUGUCGAUGGCUGCAAAUGGUAAGAACAUAAAUUGUUUUCUAAUGUUUUUUUUGCCCAAUUUAGGUUAGAUGAUUGUUUUUUGUUUGGUUUUUGUUUGCAGGCAUCUUCGGUUCUAUCCCAAGGGAUAUAAUAAGGCUAAUUGUUUGUCUCUGUAUCUACAUGUUCCGGAUAUUGAAUCUUUGCCUAUUGGAUGGAGAAUACACGCUAAAUUUUCUCUAACAUUAGUAAAUCAAUAUUCAGGAAAACUCUCCAAAAUAAGAGGUUAUUGUUAUCUAUAUAUAUAUGCUUUACUGCUUUAUGGUUUAUGGUAGUUUUAUGCUUCCGUGUUGAGUUAUGGUUUAUAAUAAAGUUAUUUUCACGUAAAACAAUAUUUUGAGUUUUGUUCUCAUGUUUUGGCAAAGUGAGAUUGACCUUUCAGAGAAUAGCAAAUUGAGCUAUUUGAGACCAAAUUACCCUUAGAGAACAACUAUUCUUGUUUGGUUACGUUUCUUAACUCUUCUACAACCAAACUACAUGAAAGAAAAAAUGAUUAUAUAUUUUUUUUACUUAAACAUAUAAAAUUUUUUAGAAAAUCAGAAUUUAAAGAAAAAAAAAUGAAAUAAUCCGAGUACAAAGGCGAGAUGCUCUUUAUACUAAAAUCAAAGGAAAUUUUAUUUUAAAUCUGAAAAUUUGUAGUGAAAUAAUUGAUUUUGCUUCAUUAUCAAGUAGAGAGAUUAGAGUUAAUAGAUUAAGAGAUUUCUGGCGAGUUGGAGAAAUGAUAAAAAUGGUGAAAAAGUAAGUGUUCUUUCGACGGAAUCGACUUAAUCACCGGACAAUUAAACAAAACUCAAACUCUUUAGUUUUUCGAACUUAAGAUAUGCUAGAUGUACAAUAUUUACAUGUAAGAAACAUUCAAAAUGUAUAAAAAAAACAAAAUUCUGAGAUAACUGUUGAAAACAGCUACAAAAUUAGGGAUGCAGAGGUUGAAGACGACUGCCAAAUUACAAUUAUACCCUUCAUUAAAAAUUUUCAGUGUACGUACAUGCAAUUUAUAGUGUACGUAUCAUUGAUUAUGUUGACAUGUAAAUAUGUUAGAUUAUCGUAUCUCCAAUUUGCGUCUUUGGCGAGUAGAACAUAAUGUCAAUUUACUUUCAUGCGAUCGAUUUUAGUACCCGAAUCACAAGUCUUACGAAACCGUUUUCAAAGAUCUAUUUUUUUUUCAAAAUUUGCAGAGAGGCGGAACAGAGUAUCGUCUCUCCUGCAAGGAGUAAUCUUAAUCGAAUCUUCGUUAAAAACUUGAUGCCUAACCUAAAUCAGGAUAAAUCGUUUUCAAAAUUUUGAUUUCAAGUAUAUCUUUCGUAUGAUCAUAUCAUUUCAGAAUUCUCUUUUUUCUUCAAUAGCAAACCCAGAUUCUGCAAAAUUUUCAAGAAAUUGAUUUUUUGUACUAGGUGUGCUUUCUUCUUUAGUUUUUUUUGUUAACGUACGCAAUUUGUGACUUAGACAAAAAGUAAACCAUAGUUAUAUAUUUUGUCCCUCUGAAUUUCUUCUAUGUACGUGUACACAAUUUUUUGUGUACGCAAUAUUGAUUUUAUAAACGUGUACGCAAUAUUUAUUGAUGUAAUAAAUUAAUAUUCUACGAUAGUCCUACUGGAGAUGAAGACAUUGUUAUUUGCAAAAAAAUAAGUGUUUCUAAACAUACUCACAACUUACAAUGUCUCUCAUGUCAUACUAAUUUAUACUUCUGUUUCAUCAAGUCAGACAUUGACUAAAUCAUCGAAUUCUUCCAAAAAUGAUGUCUUCCCUUUUGGUUAUGACUCACAAAUGGUUGAAUGUCAUAAUUCUCUCCAAAAUUAUCGAUGAUUUUUCAAUCUCGUACACAUUCAUUAGUAUACGUACACGAUUCUUUUAAUUAACUGAAUUUUCAUAUUAGCUCCACGGUAAAUAGAGUGUCACCAACAUCUCUGACAUGUCAUAUUCCAUAUUUCUCAACAAAAAUUCAGUCCAUCUAUUUUAAUGUAAUUUUUGCUACUACCUUUACUAUCGUUUUUAAUCGUCAUCUUCAACACCCUCUUCGUCAUCCCCAAUCUCUUUCUGUUCAUCCUCUUUAUCGUCCUCGACUUCUUCUUCCUCAUCUACUUCCUCAUCUACUUCCUCAACAACAUUUGAUACCUCAAAUAUGGGUUUUGUUGUGUUUUCAUCUCUAACCCAAGGUUAGUUUCAUCAACAAGGUCCCACAUAAUGUACAUAAUAUUCACACUUUGCUUAUCGGAUUGGACAAAAUGACAUAAAAAUGUUUACACUUAGAUCCCUACUAUGAAUAAAAAAAAAUAUUCGCAUUGGUGUUGUUUAGAAGGGAACCUAUCAACACAAGAGGAUCAAGUACUUGGUAUAUUACAAUAAAAUUAUAUGUGGUUCUGUUGAAGAGAAUUAUGGUCCUUUUAGGAAUUUUUGUAAUGUUUGGUAUCUACGAUAGUGCAUACGGCGAGUUAGCCAAAUAUUAUGUAUUUAGUACGAUAUAUAUGAUAUUUUUUUGUUUUGAUGUUGUUUCUAUUUAAUUGUUAUUUUGAAAUUUUUUAGUAAGCGUUAUGUUAUACGAUAUUAUUUGUUGAUAAUUAAUAAGAUUUUAAACUUAACCUAUAGACGUACACGAUAAUAUUGAGAUACACGUAUACGUGUACGACCUCUCCAAACAGUUACAUCCUAAAAAUGCCUAAAUCACAUAAGUCUUAUACUAUGUGCGUACACAAAAAUAUUUAUUGAAGCGUUCAUGGUACAACAUUAAUUUAAUUUUUUGACAUCAAAAUUAAGUUAUUUGUAUGACUGUAUUUUUUUCAUGUGUUGUUCAUACAUGAUUUGAAUGUUUUGUUUUUAUGGUCAAAAAAUAUUUGAAACGUAAAUAUACAAAUUAUUUAGAUAUUUACGUACAUAUAUACACACGCAUUACUACACAAACACAUUACUACAGUGUACGUACACAUUACUACCGUGUACGUAUAUAUUAUUACCGUUACGCACAUAUGUGUAUAUGAUAUUGCUAAUCGUGAAUAGUCUUCGAUGAUAAUAAAUAAAAUAUUAUUUAAAAUAUAAAUAAAAAUAUGAAAAUGGAUCUUAAACGAUAGAAAAAUCGAAUUUUAACUAAAUGUAUAAAAAUAAUAAAUAUUUAUAAAAUGGAAGAGCGAAUCAUCUACUGACAAGUGUUUAAGAUUUUCAAACCACACACGGCUCUGUGUCACUUUAAAACAUACUAUUCCUCAAUAUUUUUCUUUAGUUGUGAGGUUUAUUUCUACUGCUUCUCGUAUUUGACAUAUAAUUUUAUAAAUUGCGUAACAGAGCUGGAGUUUUGUGAGUCUCAUUAGAGUAUCAUAGUUGGUUUCACUUAUUUAUUGAAAACAUAUUAUUAAUAUUUUUUUAAUUGAGUUCGUAGAAAACUUGUAUGAAAUUGGUAAGAUAUUUUUGGUAGAAAUAUGUCCUUAUUUGAGUUUUUUCUAUUUACGUGUAUGUAGUUUACGGUAUACAAAGUAUUGAUUAUAAAAUGAAUAUGUACUUCUGUUAGAUUAUGUACUAUUGUGGAGACGGUAUACGUAAUAGUUAUAGAGUUUCUAUUUUAGUUUUUCGACUUCAAAAUACGCAAUAAACUAGAUUUACAAAAUCAAUAAAUAAAUUAAAUGUAAAAAAACAAAAGAUUAUAAGAAAAUUGUGAACAAUGGCCAUAAAAUUAAAGUUGCUGAAGAAGAAACCAGGUUAAAGAUGAGUACAAAAUUAGAAUGAUGCCUUUGAGUAUAUGGACGUGUACGUCUUUCACAAUAUGUACCAUUGUUGAGGCAACGUACGUGUAAUAUUUACAAAUUCUUAAAUUGCAACAUUGGUUAAUUCAACAAUCGUACGUUGAUUUAGGUAAAACAGAUCUUCCAAUACUAAAUUGCACACAAUUACCAUUCAUACGAUGUAAUUUUGAAACAUUCUGAAUUCUUGACAACUUGAGCUGUCAAAUGCCAUGGACAAGUAUCAUCAACGCAAACCAUCUCCAAUUUUGUAGGACAUGACCUAGGUUGCUUGUAGCAAAAGCAUUGUUUGAUUGCGAGAUAAGACAUUGUUUGUUGUAUGACUUUUCUGUUCUUAAAAACACUUCACACUAAAAACCUCGCAUAAUGUACGUACAAAUUCCGUGUACGUCAUGUUUUUCUUAACACGUACACAGCGACCAAAGAUGCCUUCCUCUGGUUCAAAUUUUCAUUCUUCUUCUUUGCAUCUCCACUCACCCACCGUAGUAAAUACGGGAAUAUCCAUUACCAACCUGCAUCAUAAAUUCAGCAGAACCCCAUUAAAUGCAACUCAAAACAUGAUUAUAUCUACAAAAAACAAAAAGAAUUUCCAAGUACACACUUUUAAACAUAUAUAUAUAUCCUCAUUUAGCAUUUUCAACAAACAAAAUUAGAAAAAAAAAUUUAUGGGUUUUUAUAUAAAAAACAAUGUUGAUUUCGAACACAAUCAAGAUCCUACUGUGUAAUAACAAAAAACUUCUUAACCAACUUGAUUACUUACACGAUCAAUGCUUGUCUUGGCUCCAAACUUUGUAAAUCAACAAGAUCAAAACUUCUCCAGCAUCACAUUCAUUGAGACUAAUUUGUUUGUUUGAUGGUUCAUGCUUAUCUCUUACAAUUUUUCAAACGUAUAAACUAAUAUUACAACAAGUAAUGAUGAGUUUUGCAUUAAUUGUGACAAGAGUCAUGUCUCAACUUUUUGGGCAUUAAAUACUGAUAUCUCUUUAUUUUUUAAUGUUAUUACUCCCCUUUUUCACUGUACAGCCGCACAAAAGAUUAAAUAAAAAUAUUAUCUUAGCCUAACCGGAAUAGUGUACCUAACUGAACCGCAUAAUUGAACCGUACAUGGAACAGUACGUCGUUACACUGGAAUGGGUAAAAUGGUCAGAAUUUGGCUAAAUUGUCAAAACAUGAGAACCAAUUCUCACUUUGCCAAACCAUGAAAAUAAAAGUUGGUCUUCUGCCCUGGCCUGCAAUUUACCCAUAAUAAUAUUGCAGAGACUCAGCACUGGUUUGAUCAGAAGGCUCCUAACUGGGGGUUUCAAGAAAUGAUUACCCUCACUGAACUUCAUGCCAAAGCGGGAUUGGUGGUGAAUGGAGAACUCACAAUUGUUGCCAAGAUAGAUGUUCUUGAAGUUGUAGGAAAAUUAGAUGGCUCAGAGGAAUCUUCAUCAGUAGUGGAAACGGUAGAUGUCAAUGGCUUUCAAGUUCUUCCUUCACAGGUAAACAAUUAGAAAAAUAUAACUCUUUUUGUUGUGUUUUUGUCUUGUUGUUUAGUAGAAAUUCUAACCACAAUGUAUAGUUCAGUUUCUUGAUAUAUUUACAAGCUUCAUAUAUGAUGUGGUUUUACUUUAAAUAUCUUUUUCACACACAGGUAGAAUCAGUGAAGCUUUUGUUUGAAAGUCACCAAGAUUUUGCAUCAAAAUUUCGUCUAAAUAAUCCAUAUAUGAAGACGGCAUACAUGAAUGUUCUCUUGAGCUUAACCCAAACGCUAUGCCGAUCGCCUCAAGAACUCUCCAAUGAUGGUCUCUUUGAUGCGGGCGCUGCACUGUCAUAUUUGAGAGAAGCAGGGUUUAAGUUGGAUUGGUUGGAGAAGAAACUUGGUGAAGUAAAGGAAAAGAAGAAGAAAGAAGAGGCUUGUUUGGCCCGGCUUCACGAAAUGGACGAAAAACUUCAGCCAUUUAAGAAGAAGUGCUUAGACCUUGAAGCUCUAAUAGAUAAGGAGAAGGAGGAGUUGUUAGAAGCUAGAGCUCCUCUCCCCUAGUACGAUGAAAAUGUUGUCUUGGGCACUUGGAUUUAGGUUUUGCGAGGUGUUCUUUGCUUGCGUUUUGAUGUUUCAAUUUCGAAAAUGAGAGCUCUCUUAAUGUUGAAACGUCUUGAUAUAGGAUGUUUUUAUAUAAGUGCUUUAUAGUCGAGGGCUGUUUAGCUUGAUUUUGACGUCAUUCUUAUUCCAUUGGUCUUAUCAUUUACUAAUUCGUAAUCAUGGAAAGGAAAUAUACCUCAAAGCUGUUUGCGUUCGCCUAACAAGCAUUCUCUAAGUAUAUAUGCCCUACGUCUAUUCUCCUCAACUAAGAACUUUUUCUUCUACACAAUUUGGAGUGGUUAAUUAUGCAGCGGGAUAGUAACAAGACAAGGUUUCAAGAAUCAAUGGAUCACUACAAAAAAAGUGUGCAUUGAUAGCAUAUUCGGAUAGCACGGAUUUUGCAAAUGCUAUUAAAGAUGAUAUCGAGGGAUUUGUAACUAUAUCGUAGCAUUUGAAAAAUGCUAAGCCCUAUAAUAGCAAAGAAGAGACGUAGAAUCACUUAUGACCGCCAAAACUUUGCAAAUAUUUCACAAAAACCGCUUAACACUUUAGCAAAAAAUUUUUUUUUUUUAAAUUAUUAAGAGACAACCCUAAUUUCUAUCUUCUUCUCCUUCAUCGUUCUCUCCUCCUAUACCUCUCUAUUCUUCUUUUCUCCUCUCUCGCUUACUCUCUUCCUCUGAUUAUGCAACCCUAGAUCUAUUAGAUUUUAUCAGUUUCGCUUCAGAUUUCAGAUCCAUUAUCUCUUUGUCACCCUCGCUUUCAUCCCCAAAUUUAUCUUAUUCUUCUUCAAUUUGAUGAAAUCUUCAGUCUCCAUCUUCGUCGGUGGUCUGAGAUAGCCUUAAACCAUAAAUUUAAUUUCGGUGGCUGAAACGUAGGUGAAACCCAAACCAUCUUCGUCGCUUGGUUCUUCGUAGCUGAAAGGUUUCUCGAUCAAUUGCUUAAUCCUUCUCCCUCCGACUCCCGUCUUUCUCUUUCUCUCGGCUCCAUAUGUACGAUUUUGUUAGGAUUCACUAGAUUUAUUAGCAAUUGUAGAUGAAUUUGGGUUAGAUUGAUUUAGCAGUGAGAUAAUGAUUUCGAUUUAGAAAGCAAAAAGUCUCCAUCGAGUUCUUCUAGUGAGUUUUUACAUAUCUAUUUUCAUACAUCAUAGAACUCUCCCUUUUUCUACUCUAAUAUCUUACUUGUUUCCCAGAUACAAUGAAUCCUCAAAUACUUCCAGAGCUCUUUUCCAUUUAGUGAGAGUGGCAAGAGAGCAAAGCUCAAGAAAUAACCAAGAGAGGUCUGUCUUUCCGCUUUUUCUUUGUUUUUUUUUCAAUGAACAUGAUGGAGUCUUUACUCACGUAGUUCUUAGGAUUCAAGCAAACCAUGCCUUAUUUAUGGACUGUCGCAAUGUCUCCUCUUUGGUAUAUAUGUGCAGUCUUUGAAAAAUGUUUGCAAUUGUUCAUGUUUACUCUAUUAAGAUGUCGUUACUUUUCUCGUUUUCUCAUUGCUGCUUCAAAUGGUUCAUGUGUACUCUAUUAAGAUUUGUUAGGAUGUGAUCUUUAAGAAUUUAAUUUGGUUACUUUAGUCUAGGUUGUUGCGACUUAGAUAACGAUUACUCUACAGAUUUGUAAUGUUAAUGGUAAUGUUUCAUACUUGAUCCUUUAUUGGAGUCUGUUUUUUAUGGCUUCUGAUGAUUGUGGAAGUGGAAAUAGCUUUCCAGAUUGAUGGCUGCAGGUUUUGAUUUUCUGUUACAGGUUUUAGUUUAUGAAUUUUCAGGUUUUGGUUUCUAAAUUUGCAAGUUUUGGUUGUCUAAGUCACAAGUUUUGGGUUUCUCUGGUUAGCUACUACAUUUUUAUUUCAUACACACGUUAUUUUUUUUUAACUUACAUGGGUUCUGUUUUUGACAGUGAAGGGACAAAAGGUUAAUACUAGUCCUAGCUAGUAAUUGUACUCUCAUGUGCUUGGAUUCAUUGAGAAAGCAGGAGAUAAAGAAAGGCUUUUGAAGUGGAGUUUGAGUGAUACCUGGAAUGGGUAUAGAUUCUUACUAUCACUUAAUCUUGUUUAGAUCUGUUUCUCGUCUUGUGUGUUAUAUACGUAUAAUCUAAUCUUUUGUGUAUUUAGCAAUCACAAAUGUGGUAACAAUCUCUACGAUCCUGAAGCACAAUGGACUAGCAACAUAGAAGAGUAAGUAAAAUUUCCUUUCUUAUCAUCAACGUUUAUUUUUUGUAAAUCAUAAUUCAGUAAUCUGUUUUCCCUUUGUUCCAUGUUUGCCAACAGAGGUGUUAACGUUGUUGACUGUGGGAAUGAAAGACAAGAACAAAGGAAGCAUGGUCCAGAAGGCUAAGGCAAGUUUCUUUUAAUAUUUUUUUUAAGGCUGGUGAAUAAGCUACAACAGAAGCUGUUUAGGUCAUUGGAUUGUCUUUGAAGUCUGAUGCUAAAAAGACCAUCAUGAAUCUCAGGUUCCCUCUUUUUCUCACGGUUUUCUAGCCAUUAUCUUGUAGAAGUAAUUGAGAAAGUCACUUGCUUUUACUCAUACAAAGACAUCCAACUUCAAAAAGAGAACUGAACUGCAGAGGAUAUAGAGAAGGCAGUGAAAUGAGAAUUGCUUGGAAUGAGACAUCAUCCUAAGUCCUUGGAGGGAGGGAAAGAGCAAACCAAUGGAGUUCUUUGUUUAGUCCAUCUGAAUUGCAGUACUUAUGACGUUGUUUAUGACCUUUGUUUUUAUAACAAAUGGUGUUAAAUGCUGAACUAUUUUGUAAAAUUACAAUUAUGUAUUUUUUGAUGAUCUAUGAAAAGAAAUGUGCUUUCAACAAAUUGGUUUUGUAGCAUAUAAUUAUUUGGAUUUUAAAUUUAUAGAUUUAAAAUAAUUUUGCAAUUCAUCAUUUUAUAAUGUAGCACAUAAAAUUUGCUACACAAAAAUAUAAUAUAGCAAAAAUUAUGAGUUAUAAAAAAUUAUAUUAAAGCAUUCGAUUAGUGCUAUACUAGAAGGACUUAUAAUAGCACGACAAAAAAUGCUUUUGUAUGGGUGAUACCUACUAUAGCUGCCGAGAACAUAGCGUUUGUGAAUUCGCUAUCUAUAACGUAAGAUAGCAUAUUUUUAGCGCUAUCAAUGAACAAAUUUCUUGUAGUGGAUCAAGAAACUCUGUUUUGUUGCUCUGAAUUCUUUUAUAAACAAGGAGAACUCGAAGACUUCUGUUUCGAAGAAAAUCUCUUCUCUUAUUCAAUUAAAAACCGAAUCUCUAAAGAGACAAUACAAAGCCUUAUAUAAGCUAAGUCACAACCGACCUUAGCAUUAGUAAAACCCUAACAGAAAAGUAAAGUAUAGUUUAACAUAGAAAUGGAAAUCAAAUCGGAAAAGGAAAACUGAAACAAUGAGAAUAACUUGAACUAGAAGUAAUGAGGAUGACGCUACAUCAGGUCGCCCGGGGUGAGAAGAAAAUUCGUCCUCGAAUUUUCAGCUUCAUCUUAAGCAUCAAAUGAGACCAAAUGCUUGACAUUGAACACGUCUGCUGUGUGUAUAUGAGGAGGAAGCUUGAGACGGUAAGCAUUGUUAUUAAUCUUCUCAACAAUCUCAAGAGGACCUAUCUUUCCUGAUUUCAGAUUGUUGUAAGUGCCUGGUUUAAAACGGUCCUUGGUUAGUACUGCCCACACAGGAUCUCCAACAUUUAACUCAACAUCACGACGAUGAAUAUCCGCAGCAGUUUUAUACUUGGCCGUAGAAAUCUCCAAAUUGGAGUGAACCUGCUCGUGUAAUGUUGCAAAAUCUUCGAAAAAAUCACAAGCUCUACCAUGAAAGCGAGUUCUGUCUGGAUUGAUUCCCAUGUCUAUAGGACAGCGAGGUAGAUAACCAUAAACAACUUGAAAGGGACUUAAACCCGUACUGCGAUUCACAACUCUAUUAUGAGCAAAUUCAGCUUGACAAAGAAUUGAUUCCCAUGACUUGAUGUUAUCUCCAACUAAACAUCUCAACAAAUCUCCCAAAGCUCUAUUAGUAACUUCUGUUUGACCAUCCGUCUUUGGAUGAUACGCCGAACUCAUGUCCAAUUUGGUGUGAAGAAGACGCCAAAGUGACCGCCAAAAUGACUCAAGAAACGCGAGUCUCGAUACUAGACAAUAGAUAAUGGUAACCCGUGAAGUUUAUACACUUCUCGAAAAAAUAAAACCGCAACUUGAACAGCAUCUGUGGUUUUCUUACAUGGUAUAAAAUGAACCAUCUUAUAGAAACGAUCGACGACGACAAAUAUCGAAUCGUUACCUCUUUGAGUUCUUGGCAAACCAAGUACAAAAUCCAUACUCACGUCCGCCCAUGGUUGCGUAGGAAUUGGAAGAGGUAAAUAUAAGCCAUAAUUGGUAGAUUUUCCUUUUGCUGCUUGACAUAUCCCACAACGUACAAUAAAACUCUCAACAUCACGUCUUAACGUUGGCCAGAAGAAAGAAGAACUAACCAAUUUCACCGUUCUGUCUCGUCCGAUAUGGCCCUCUCCAUGAAGCUCUCGAAUUAUUUGCAGCCUCAAACUACAAUCAGGAAUGCACAAGUGAGCUCCCCGAAACAAGAAGCCAUCAUAAAUGAGAUAAACAGAACCAAUCCCCUGUUCCGUAUCCUUCCAUAUUUUUCCAAAAAAAGGAUCUGUUGGAUAGAGAUCAGGAAGCACAUCAAAUCCUUGAACUAACACGUGUAAUGUUGUCAAAAGAGUGUGUUCCCGCGGUAUGCUUAAUAACAAAAGAGAAUUGCUGCAAAUAUGCAAACCAUGAGGCGUGUCUAGCUGAUACUUUAUCUUGAGAUCCCGUAUGCUUAAGUGCGUCAUGGUCGGUAUAAAGAACAAACUCGCGAUGAAAAAGAUAGUGCCACUGAUGCUUAACGGCUUGAACCACAACAUAAAGCUCCACGUCGUAUGUGCUAUACCGCUCACGAGAUCCCGCAAUCUUCUCACUAAAAAAUGCUACCGGACGACUAGAUGGGCUCAAAACAGCUCUACUGCCAACUUUAGUUGCAUCACAAUGUAAUUCAAAGGCUAUAUGAAAGUUGGGAAGAACAAGAACUGGUGCUGAAGUAAGCUUUGUUUUGAUCACUUGAAAUGCUUGGUCAGCUUCAUCCGUCCAUUUAAACGAAACAGACUUGAUACAAUCCGUAACUGGCGCCAUGGUACUACUGAAGUGUGGAAUGAAUCGCCUAUAAAAGGAGGGCAAACCAUGAAAACUUCGCACAUCCGUGAUACUCUGAGGUGUUGGCCAAGACUGUAUCGCCAAAAUCUUUGCGGGAUCAACUGCUAACCCAUUAGAAGAGAUAAUAUAACCCAAAAAAGAACUUGAUCCACGCCAAAAACACACUUCUUUGUAGCUGCAAAUAACUUUUCAUUCCGCAAGAUAACCAACACGUCAUGAAGAUGACCCAAAUGCUCAUCUAAUGUAGAACUAAACAUUAGUAUCAUCGAAAUAUACUACCACACAAUGCCCAAUAAAUGGUCUAAGUGACUCAUUUAUCACACAUGAAAGUACUCAGUGCGUUAGAUAAACCAAAAAGCAUUGCAAGCCACUCAAACAACCCUUCACGCAUCUUAAAAGCUGUCUUCCACUCGUCGCCAGGCCUAAUACGAAUUUGGUGAUAACCACUACGAAGAUCCAGUUUUGUGAAAACAGAGGCUGUCCCAAUUUGGUCCAAAAGAUCAUCAAGACGAGGAAUAGAAAACCUGUAGCGAACAGUGAUUUUGUUAAUUUCCCUACUGUCCACACACAUGCGCCACGUUCCAUCUUUUUUGGGUAUAAGUAAAGCCAACAGUACAAGGACUUAAGCUUUCACGAAUGUAUCCUUUAGCGAGGAGGUCUUCAACCUGUUUUCGCAGCUCAUCGUGUUCCUUAGGACUCAUCCUAUAGUGAGGUCUGUUAGGAAAUACGGAAUCAGAAGCUAAGUCGAUACAAUGUUAUAUACCACGUAACGGCGGCAAACCUUCUGGCAAUUCUGUAGGGAACACGUCUUGAAACUUUGCUAAUAUCUCAUGAAAACUUGGUGGUGCUUCAGGAAUUAAUGACAUGAUCUGUGGUUUAACAAGUAAGAAAAAAACCACACCGGAAGACUAAAACUCUUGGACAAUUUGUGACUGAGAGACUAACAAGGCUGGUUUCGUAGUCUCUGGAGGAGGUAGCGGAGGGUCAAUGUCUGUACUAGACACAAUUGUUUGUGAUGCAAUUUGUGAUGGUAUCAACGUAAUACGCUUACCCUCAUAGUUAAAACUAUGUGUGUUGGCAAACCCGUCGUGUGUUGUUCUGCUAUCAUAUUGCCACGGUCGCCCUAACAAGAGAUGACAAGCAUCCAUAGGCAAGACAUCACAUAAAACCAGAUCCUUAUAGUUGAGACCCAUCUUGAAAUUCGAAUAUCAUUCUUUGAUGUUAACCACGCUAUCUUGUACGAUGUUGGGUGUGGUUCUAUAAACAGAGCAAGCUUGAAAACCGCCUCUUCAGAAAUAGCAUUCGUACAACUCCCUGAAUCAAUCACCAUUCUGCUAUUUUCCCUCGGAUGGUACAUGUUGAAUGAAAAAUAUUUGUGCGAAGCCACGAUUCCACAAUACCUUGGGGAAUUAGAUAAUUCCAUCUUAACACUAACAUAUGACCCGUAUCCCCAACAAGUUGCUCUUCGGAAUCAUCUCCAGCAUCAUCUUCAUCGUUAUAAUUAUCAAAAGCAAGUUCGUCUUUGGUUAGUAAACCAUGACGUUGCAGGUUGGGACACACAACUUGUCUAUGCCUUGUUUCACCAUAUUUGAAACACUUGAAAGUUGCAGUUCUUUAUUGGCCAAGAGAUGAAUUACCAUCAACACCUUCUGCAAGUUUCGAAUGCUCUAAUGCCUUAGUAAGCCAUGUUUCUGCUGUUGAAGAGAGACGAGUUCGUUGAGAAGUCCAGGAACUUGUUUGACUCCGCGAAUGCUGCUCUAUCAAAAGGGCUCGUUGAUGAGCUUCAGAAACUAAGAGAGGGUCAAAUUGCAGCAAAGUACUCUGAAUUUGAGACUUCAAUUCACCAAUAAAACGUGAGACUCUCUGUUCUUCAUUCUCUGUUAGUGAAUAUCGUGCCAACAAUGGAAACAAAUUCGGAGGCGUAUUCAUCAACGGUUUUGGUUCCUUGCCUUAGAUUCUGGAGCUUUGUGUACAUUUUCCUUGUGUAGUUGUAAGGCAAAAACGCUUUUCUCAUUAAUUUCUUCAUCUUCUCCCAAGAAGUAAUCUUUUCCUUUCCUGCUCUUGCUCGAGAGUCCUUCAGCUGCUGCCACCAAGCUGAUGCACGGCCACAAAAACGAGUAGCCACAAGUGAAACACGACUCAAUUAACAAAGGCAAUAAUAAUAACAUGUUGGGUGACUAAAAAGAAUAAAAAAAGAUCCACGUCAUCAGAGAAGGCGACUGGUAAGGCGGUUAGGGUUUCUGAAGCUUUUCCAUCACGCUAGGGUUUAGGCGGCGGCCACCACCGGUGGAUCCGAUGUCUGAGCCGGUAAGCUCCGUGUCUCCUCCGGGAGAUUCCUCUCCUGUUCAAUCCAAGCAACUUUCGUAUGCAGCAGCAGUGAAUAAGCGUCCGUCACUUAAAAAACAUGAGUUUCAAGUCAGUUUGGUUGAUGGUAUUCCAACGAUUGAGGUUCCUUCAGCAGUUAUCAGUGAUUCCGUUCCCCUAUGGGAAGAUUUUCUUGUUGGUAGAUUUCCGUCUACUGCUCCCCACGUCGCUAAGAUCCAUGUUAUUGUUAACAAAAUAUGGUCUCUUGGAGAUAAAACAGUCCGAAUCGAUGUGUAUGAGAAUAACACCACUUCAGUCAAGUUCCGAAUUCGAGAUCAAGCAACCAGAUUGAGAGUACUGCGUAAGGGUAUGUGGAAUAUUGCAGGGCUUCCCAUGAUCCUUGCAAAAUGGUCUCCAAUCCCAGAAGAAGCUCAGCCUGAAGUCUCGACAAUGCCUUUAUGGGUCACUUUGAAAAAUGUUCCUCACUCGAUGUAUUCAUGGGAGGGUCUCGGGUUUCUUUCUAGUCCAAUAGGAGAUCCCAUUCGACUUCAUCCGGAAACAGAAUUAUGUAGCAACUUUGAAGAGGCAAAGGUGUUCGUUGAAGUAAAUUUAACAAAGUCUCUCCCACAAAAAUUCUGCUUCAAGUUGAAUCAAGUGGAGGAAGUCACCGUGGAAUUUGUUUAUCCUUGGCUCCCUCCUCGAUGCUCAAGGUGCAGCAAAUGGGGCCACACAGAGGAUGUUUGUGUGACCAAAAAAGCGUCUCCCGUGAAGGUAAAGGAAGAUGACUUAGAAGAAGGUGAGCUGGUAGCAGAAAAUGAUUCUGAAAAAACAGAGACCUCUGUUCCAGUUGAGGUGCAAGAGGUGCAAACACCUACGUUGGCCGUAUCGAAUGCAGUGCAGCAAAACAGAGCCGCUGAGACACAUGAGGAGCAAGAUAAUAUAACACAAGGUGCUGAUAAGGAUGGUUGGUCCUUAGUUUCCCCAGGGAAAGGCUGUAAGAGUAAUGAGAAGGUUCAAAGCUCACUAGCUUAUGGUCAAGUUACUAUUCUCUCUGCUUCUCGAUUCUCUGUUCUAGAUAAUAUUGAAGAGCCCAAGCUAGACGAUGCAGUCAUCGAAGGGGAAGUGGCAGAAGGUAAGGAAAGUCUAGACAACAAUGUCGAGAAUGGUGUUAACACUCAUGCAAGUUUGACGCAGACCAUCACAGAAGUAGAGAAAGCAAGCUCGGUCCGAGCUACCCGUCAAACAAAGAUUUCGCAGAAAGCUACAUCGGAAUCUUUUUCUCAACAAGCUAAGGCUCGCCCUAGCGUAUCGAGCAAAAGAACCUCCAAAAAACAUCAUUAAUGUCUUGCUUUUUCUGGAAUGUGCGCGGUUUCAAUAAAUCAACCAAACAUUCCGUAGUAAGUGACUGGUUACAUGAAGAAAAUUUGCAAUUUGGGUGUCUUUUGGAAACGCGAGUACAAGAAACCAGGGCUUCUCGUAUUCUGUCCUCUGUUUUUCGAGAUUGGUCUUCUAUUACUAAUUAUGAAUUCAAUAGUUUGGGCCGCAUAUGGGUAGUUUGGAGAAAUAAUGUUCGAGUCACUCCGGUCUACAAGAAUGGUCAGCUUGUAACAUGUUCAGUUUUGAUGGAUGGUGCCUCAGAGGAGAUUUUUGUCUCUUUUGUUUAUGCAGCUAACCUACCAGAGGAUAGGAAAGAGCUGUGGGAAGAUCUUAAAUAUCAUUUUGAUACUCCACUGAUUCAGAAUAAACCUUGGCUCAUCAUGGGAGAUUUCAAUGAAAUUCUCGACGGUGAAGAGCAUUCAAACUAUGAGAACUCUCCUUCUAUUUCUUAUGGGAUGCGGGAUUUUCAAGCAAUGGUGAGGUAUUGUUCUCUUGUGGACAUGAGCUCUCACGGCCCUCAGUUCACUUGGUGUAACAAGCGGGAGGAAGAGCUGAUAUGCAAAAAAUUGGAUCGUGUUUUGGUUAAUGAGGAGUGGACUCGAUUAUUUCCUGAAUCCUAUAGUGUGUUUGAACCUGGCGGUUGUUCGGAUCAUCUUCGAUGUCGGAUUAAAAUAGCAGCAGCUACUAGUCGUCCGCGUGGUCCUUUCAAAUUUUCAAAUGUCAUCGCGUCAUUGCCGGAUUUCCUGCCUACAGUUCAAGAGUUCUGGGAUAGUACAAGUGUUCUUUAUCAUUCCACCUCUGCUAUUUUCAGAUUUUCUAAAAAACUUAAGGCCCUUAAGCCAAUUUUGUGGUCUUUGGGACGUAGAAAGCUACACCAGCUGUCGACUAGAGUUGAUGCAGCAUAUGAGGUUCUAUGUGACAAGCAACAAGCCACACUUGAAAAUCCUACUUCGGCUUUGAUGGAGGAGGAAGCCGAGGCUUAUAAGAUAUGGGAUCACGUAGCAGUACUUGAAGAAGGUUUUCUGAAACAGAAAUGAAAGCUUCAUUGGCUUAAUGUGGGAGAUAGAAAUAACAAGUAUUUUCACAAUGCAGUCAAAGCAAGAUUGGCCAAGAAUGCUAUUAGAGAGAUAAAAUGCCAAGACGGGUCUGUAGCUACAACACAAGAAGAUCUUAAGACUGAAGCUGUGAGGUUCUUUGAGGAGUUUUUAUCACACGAACCAGCGGACUAUGAGGGUGUCCCUGCGGACCAGAUUGAAGAAUUGUUAGAUUUUCGAUGUUCUUUAUCAGAACAGGACACGUUGGUGAGUCCUGUUACAGAGGAAGAGAUUCAAACUGUGUUGUUCAAGAUGCCGGGAAAUAAAGCCCCUGGUCCCGAUGGUUACACGGCUGAGUUCUUCAAGUUAACAUGGCCUAUCCUGGGGAAAGACUUUGUCACUGCAAUUCAGUCUUUUUUCAUGAUGACUUUCUUGCCUAAAGGAGUUAAUACCACAAUUCUGGCACUUAUUCCAAAAAAGAAUGAAGCUAUAGAGAUGAAAGAUUAUCGUCCCAUAUCAUGCUGCAAUGUGAUGUAUAAGGUAAUAUCGAAAAUUCUUGCUAACAGAUUGAAGAAAAUUCUCCCUGCAUCAAUAGCCCCAAACCAGUCUGCGUUUAUUAAGGAUCGUCUUAUGAUGGAAAAUCUGUUGUUAGCUUCAGAAUUAGUCAAGGAUUACCAUAAAGCUUCAGUCUCUAAAAGGUGUGCUGUUAAGAUCGACAUAUCAAAGGCUUUUGAUACGGUGCAAUGGCCUUUCUUGCUGACGGCUCUAAGAGCCAUGAAUCUUCCGGAAAGUUUUAUUCACUGGAUUGAGCUCUGUAUUGGCACUGCUUCGUUCUCUGUUCAAGUCAAUGGGGAGUUGGCUGGGUUUUUUCAAAGCAAAAGGGGUUUAAGACAAGGAUGCUCUCUUUCUCCAUAUCUUUUCGUCAUUUGCAUGAACGCUCUCUCUAGAAUGCUGGAUAAAGCGGCAGUGGAUCAGAAAAUUGGUUACCAUCCUCGGUGUAAAAGCAUGGGACUAACUCACUUGUGCUUUGCGGAUGAUAUUUUGGUUUUUUCAGAUGGGAGUGUACGAUCAAUAGCGGGUAUUCUACAAGUUUUUAAUAAGUUUGCAGAUGCCUCGGGACUCAGAAUCAGCCUAGAGAAAUCAACCCUGUUCAUGGCUGGUUUCUCAUCUACUCAUAAAGAAGAUAUACUCCAGCGUUUUCCAUUUGAAAUGGGAACUCUUCCAGUGCGGUAUCUCGGUCUCCCUCUUCUCACUAAAAGUAUGACUCGAUCCGAUUAUCUACCCCUCAUUGAGAAAAUAAGAAAUCGCAUCACCUCUUGGACGGGUCGGUUCUUAUCUUUCGCGGGUAGACUACAACUGAUCAAAUUUGUCCUAUCAAGCAUCACUAACUUUUGGCUCUCAGCUUUUAGGCUGCCAAGUAAGUGUAUUAAAGAACUUGAAAGUCUUUUCUCUGCUUUUUUGUGGUCUGGUGUAGAACUCAACUCAAGGAAGGCAAAAGUGGCAUGGUUGGAUGUUUGUAAGCCAAUUAAGGAAGGUGGGCUGGGACUAAGACCGAUAUCAGAAGCAAACACGGUGAGUAUUUUGAAACUUGUUUGGCGGCUUGUCUCCGCUAAGGACUCUCUUUGGGUCAGUUGGGUUCACGCAAAUUUGUUACGAAAUGGGUCCUUUUGGUCAGUUCGACAAACAAGUACUUCAGGUUCAUGGAUGUGGAGGAAAAUAUUGAAAUAUCGGGAUAAAGCCAAACCUCUACAUAAGAUGGAGGUAAGGUCAGGUCUGGCUACUUCCUUUUGGCAUGAUAAUUGGUGUUCUCUUGGGAGAUUGGCUGAUGUUUUAGGUCCCCGGGGAUGUAUCGAUAUGGGUAUUGCCACGAACUGCUCAGUUGCUGCAGCCCUCUCAAAUCACCGCCGACGCAGACACCGAAAUGAAAUGCUAAACCGAGUUGAGGAUGAGUUGGAUUCCCUCCGAUCAUAUUCUCUAGCGGGUAAGGAUAUUUCACUAUGGAAAAGGAACAAUGGCUCUUUCAAGGGAACGUUCAUUUCAAAGGACACUUGGUAUACGAUACGAGACACUAAUCAGGUGUGUGAAUGGUAUAAGGGUGUAUGGUUCCCCCACUCAACGCCUAAGUACUCAUUCAUCACUUGGAUCGCCAUUCGUAAUCGUUUAGCUACGGGAGAUAGACUGUUACAGUGGGAUGCUGCAGCAAAUGGUGAUUGUAAUUUGUGUGAUGGGAACAUAGAAAAAAAAGAACACCUCUUUUUCUCCUGUCUGUAUUCGUCUCACGUCUGGUCAGCCCUCACACGAGACAUGCUUGGGCAACACUACACAACACGAUGGGAAACUCUGCUUCCUUUACUCAUGGCUCCAUCUACCUCAAAGCUACAUUUGUUUGUUUUGAGAUAUGUGUUUCAGAUAUCUAUCCACAGUCUAUGGCGAGAACGGAAUGGGAGACGACACGGCGAGUCACCAACCCCAGCAUCCAUGCUAGCAAAACUGAUCGACAAGAACAUUCGUAACCGGCUGAGCACCUUAAUUACGACGGGCUCACACACUUAUGAAGGCGGACUGCGAUAUUGGUUCCAAACCCAUAGUCGCUAGUUUUCCCUUCUUUAUAAUCCCUCUCAAAAACUCAGAUUUUUUCAGCUUGAUGUUGCAUUUAUUGUAAAACCGUCUUUUUUUGGUGAAUAAAUUUUACAUUCAUACAAAAAAAAAAAAAAAGAAACACGACUCAACUCAGGGACUUUUUUGAAUUCCAACAACUCUUCUAUCGUAUGGAUCCAGUCCAAAAUUUCUUCGGGUUGCAGAGCACUGUUAAAUUCCGGCAAAUCAAGCUUGAAGCCUGACUCCCAUCGACAAUUCUCAGCUUGUGGAGCUGCGAUAAUGUCACGAUUACGGUUAUCAUGACGUCCAUGCUGCUCAGCAAGCGGCGCAAAUUGGUUUUUGAAAACUUCAUCUUUUUCAUCCUCUUCAAAGAUCUGUUCUUCAUGAAGUCGAUACACUCUGUUUGCUUGACCCAAUGCUCGUAUUGCUGUCUCGAUAGAGGUACGCAUCGUAUCAGUCAUCGCUUGUUGAAACUCCGUCAACGUAGCACGAAACGCAGUGUUUUGGUCAUCGAGUUGCUGUUGAAGACUCUUCUUUAGAGGCAUGAUUAGGACCUGUUUGUCUCUGAUACCAACUUAUGUAGUGGGAUAGUAACAAGACAAGGUUUCAAGAAUCAAUGGAUCAAUAAACUCUGUUUUGUUGCUCUGAAUUCUUUUAUAAACAGGGAGAACUCGAAGACUUCUGUUUCGAAGAAAAUCUCUUCUCUUAUUCAAUCAAAAACCGAGUCUCUAAAGAGACAAUACAAAGCCUUAUAUAAGCUAAGUCACAACCAACCUUAGCAUUAGUAAAACCCUAUUAGAAAAGUAAAGUAUAGUUUAACAUAGAAAUGGAAAUCAAAUCAGACAAGGAAAACUGAAACAAUGAGAAUAACUUGAGCUAGAAGUAAUGAGGAUGACGCUACAUCAGGUAAUGAAGAAACAAUGAAACGUUGGGCAUGAUUGGUUCCGGCUGUAGAUUUAGAUUUUUGACUGUAGAUUUUAGGCUGUAGAUGUUUUGGCUGUGACUAUAGAUUUUAGUGCUGUAGUAAUUUUGCUGUACUAGGAUAUGACCCGCGGUACACCGCGGGUUAAUUAUUUGAUUUUUUUUUAUUCUUUUUAUAAACUAAUGAAUUUGUUGUGUAUAAUAUUUCCUGUUGUAUCGCGGAUCAUAUGCGUUGUAUCUAAAAAAUAAAAAAUUUAAGUUGUAUUUAUUUUGUUUAGUGUUUAAGAUUGUAUAAUUGUAUUUUGAUUUGUUAAUUCUAGGAUUUCACCCGUGGUAUAUUUUCCCAUAUUAAUAUCGACCCAAACCCAUCCCACCAUAUAAUUCCGUUCUGUGAAAUUAAACAUCAUUGUGUUAUUUUUUUAAUAACACUUUUAUUUAAAAGACAUAUAAUUCGAAUCAAUUUAAAAGUUUGCUUUCAAAUGGUUUUCAUAAUAUAUAUAUAUAUAUAAAUAUAUAUAUAUUUUUUUAAUUAUGUGUUUUAGGACCAACCCGUAAAAAUAAUUUACAAUUGUAUUUUGAUUUGUUAAUUUUAGGAUUUCACCCGUGGUAUACUCUCCCGUUUUAGAUAAUUUUAGAAAUUAAGAAAAGAUCCGAAUGACUCAAUUUCGGGUCAGAAUAAAAAAAAACGAUCUGAUUAAUUGCGCAAUUUGUUUUUCAAAAAUGUUAAUAUAAAUUGCAAACAUACUUUUUUUCUUCAUCAACUGAGUAAUAUAUGUCCGUUUAAAAAUAAUUUGAAUCAUAACAUAUGCAGAAAAAACUAAAAUUUACUAUAUGUAUAUAUUAUAAUAAUUCAAAAUAAUUUAAAUAUAACAUCAAAUAAAAGUGAAAUGAGAAUCAUAUAUUUAUGUUUAAAAUCCGGGUCAAAAUUAAAAAAAAAAAAAAAACAAAACUGACCCAGAAAAAGAGCAAAUAUGUACUUUAGAUUGUACAUAUUUUUUUUUCUUUAUUGAUUGAGUAAUAUAUUUCCGUUUUAAAAAAUUUGAAACAUAGCAUAUGUAGAAAAAAAUAUAAAAUUUUAUUAACUAUAUAUAUUUUAUAAUAAUUCAAAAUAAUAUAAAUAUAAAUCAAAUAAAAGUGAAAUGAGAAUCAUAUAUUUUUGUUUAAAUUAGGUAGAGAAGUUUUAAGAAAUUAGCUCAAAUUUGUUAUAUUAGCAUUAAAUCAUCAUAUUUGGUUUCCUUAUAUAUAAAAAUAAGAAAGAAUAUGCCAUAAAUAAAGAGUUUAGGUGUAGUCAUUAGUUGAGAAAAUGUAUAUUUUUAGAAUUUAUUAAUUAAUUUCGUUUUUGAAUUUUGCCAAAAAUAAAGAAAGAUCCGAUUGAAGAUUUCCGGGUCAAAAUCACAAAAAAAAUCCGACCCAAGUGGAAAGAGCAAAUUUGUACUUCAAAAAUGUUAAGUAGAUAAUUUAAAAUUUUGGAAAGUUAAAAAUUGUGUUUUAGAAAAAAAAAAACUUUCUACAGCCAAAAAAAUGAAUUAUGGAAAUAUUUUGGCUGUGAGAAAAAAAAGGAAAGGUAAAGCUUCUAAAGCUUGAUUGGAUCUAUUUCAAUGCUUUAGAAAAUUUUUUGCUUUGUAAAGACUCUAAAGCACUUACCAAUCAUGCCCGUUGUGUUUCAUUAUUAGGUCGUCAAAUUAAUUUCUUAAAUUAUAGGGUCUUUUUUGUUAUUUUGUGAAAAUCAAAUAUCCUUCUUUCAACAUUCUGAAUGACUACCGACUAGCUAGGGUCUUUUUUUUUGUUAUUUUGUUAAGGUCACCGUUUCAAAAAUAAUUUAGGGAAAGUUAAAUGUUCUUCUUGCAAAAUUAGGUUUAGACUUAAUAAAAGUCAAAUAUUAUUAACCCUAUGCGAUAUGAGGAGACCAAGCGUUUCGUAUUCCUCUAGUCUAAAACUUGGAAGCUUUUAAACUUGUGGCUGUCUCUUUCUUUCUACCUCACUCUGAGAGGUAAGUAAAUAGUUAAACUAUUUUGAUAGUUCUACUUCUUUAUUCUCUUGACUUUGUUCGUAUUCACAGUGGAAUCUUAAUACUUAUAUUGGUUUGGUUUCUCUUGAUUGUUAUUUGAUUUUAUUCGAUUUAUGAAAGUCUUUGUGUGUAGGAGUCAUCAUCAAAAUCAAUGGGGAAGCAAGUUGAUAAUAAGACGAUUACUUGGGUGAUUAAAAAUUUCUCCUCUUUGCCAUCUGCAUCAAUUCAAUCUGAUCAAUUCGUUGUUGGUGGUUGCCAAUGGUAAGAAAAGAAAUUGUUUUGUAAUGUUUUCCGUAGAGUUUAGGUUUAGCUGAUUGUUUUUUCUUUGCAUUUUGUUUGCAGGUGUCUUCGGGCCUAUCCCAAGGGAAAUAAUUUGGCUCUCUAUUUAAUCGUUGCUAAUAAUGAAUCUUUCCCUAUUGGAUGGAGAAGACACGCAAAAUUUUCUUUUACUUUAGUAAAUCAAAAAUCAGAAAAUCUCUCCAUACUAAGAACAGGUUAUUGUUCUCUAUGCUUAUUAUUUUAUGGUUUAUGUUAGUUGUAAACAUAAACCAAUUUUCGUAAAUCAAUUUUCGGACCAACUCUCCCAACUAAACUGUUAUUGUUUUCGCUUGCUACUUAAGAAGUGUUAUUUUUUUUUAUGGAGCUUGCUACUUAAUAGUUUAUCUUAGUUUUAUGCUUCUGUGUAAGUUAUCAACAUUAACAUUAAAAGAAAUUUUCAAUUUGUUAGUGUUAGUGUACCUCCUGUCUUAUUGACAAUUUGUUUGUUUUUAACUUAAAAAUGUAACUAAUGAGAUGAUUUUUUUUUUGUGAUUUUGCAGAAUCACAACACUGGUUUGAUCAGAAGUCUACUAGCUGGGGGUUUCAAGACAUGAUUCCCCUCUCUGAACUUCAUACCAAAGAGGGAUUUCUGGUGAAUGGAGAACUCAUUGUUGUUGCCAGGAUAGAUGUUCUUGAAGUUGUAGGAAAAUUAGAUGUUUCACAGGUAUCUUCAUCAGUACUGGAAACCGUAGAUGUCAAUGGGUUUCAAGUUCUUCCUUCACAGGUAAGAAAUUUUGAAUAAUUAUAUAGCACUUUAUGUUAUGUAGUAGAAAUCCCAGGUAUUCUAACGAAUAUGAAAAAUACUUCUUACAAAAAGUAUGAAAAAAACAAGUAACUAGUCUCUCAGUAUAUAGUUCAGUUUCUUCAAAUAUACUAGUUUCAGAUAUGCUUUAUACAUCCUUUCCACUCGCACGUAGAAUCAGUGAAUCGUUUGUUCGAAAAACACCUAGAUAUUGCAUCAAAAUUUCGUCCAAAGAAUCCAUAUAUGAAGACGGCGUACAUGAAUGUCCUUAUAAGCUUAACCAAGACGCUGUGCCAAUCGCCUCAAGAUCUCUCCAAUGAGGAUAUGUCUGGUGCAGGCGCUGCAUUGACAUAUUUGAGAGAAGCAGGGUUUAAGUUGGAUUGGUUGGAAAAGAAACUUGGUGAAUUAAAGGAAAAGAAGAAGAAAGAAGAGACGUCUUUGAAACGGCUGCAAGAAAUGGAGGAACAGCUUACACCGUUGAAGCGGAAGUACUUAGAUCUAGAAGCUCAGAUAGAUAAGGAGAAGGCAGAGUUGUUGGCAGCUCGAGCUCCUCUCUCCUCGAAUGAAGACAAUGUCGUCUGAUAUUGACUUGAGAGUUCUUAUUUGUUUGUGUUCUUUGAUAUUUAGGUUCUGCUUGGUGUUCUUAUUUUUUUGCUUGCGUCUUGAUUUCGAAAUGAGAACACUCUUAAUUUGGAAACGUUUUGCAGUUGAGGGAUCUCUAGGUAGCUUGACUAUGAUGCCUAUAUCAUCCGUCGGAUCAUAUAUUGAUUCGUUAUCAUGGAAAAGUAUUACAUCCCAAAGCUUUUUGCUCAAGCCUUAACUAAGAACUUGAACAUCUGGUUUCUCUUCUUCAUUCAACAGUUGGAAUUUAAGAAAUAAAAAGUAGAGAGUCAAUUAACUUUUAUUCAUGCUGAUUAUGCAUAUGAAGAUGUUUGGAGAUAUUGAUGAUGAAACAAUAAACGUCAAUGGGUUUCAGGUUCCUUGGUAAGUAGUAAAUAAUUUAAACCUAAUUUGUGCCAGUUGCCUUAUGAGCUAACUGAUGAAGACUUGUAUGAACCAGAAUACGCUUUUUUUUUAUCUGAAAGAUUAAAGAUGAAUCUUGGGAGGGUUUUAGUUGGAUUGAUUAAAGAUGAAGCUUGUGAAGGUUUACGUGAAAAGGAAGCAAGAGCGAGACAGAAGAUUGUUAAGGUUUACUUGUAUCAUAAGUUUCCACGUUUUGCAGAAAAGUAUUUUGCCGUUUCUUUAAUUGCCCUAUGUUUCUUGAAGAAAACCUAAUAAAUUUUGUGUCUGAACAAGUAGUGACACACGAAGACUCACGGUCAAAAUAGCAUGUUGAUGACGUUGACACCAAUAAUAUUGUUGAAUCUCACCAAAUGCUUUGAUACGAUCAGACGAAUCAUAAAUAGAGGAGCCACGAGUUCUUGUGUAUGUAUGUGAAAGAAAAAAAAUGAAGUUGAAGAUAAGAAGAAGAAAUCAUGUAACUAGUUUUAGGAAGUUAGAGAGAAAGGAAGUAAUCUUAUUCAGUUUUAAGAAUUAAUUAGGUUUCCUUUUUAUUGGUUAAAGAGAUUAGGAAAUUUUCUUUUCUCAAUUAUGUUAAACUUUUAGCUAUAACUAUAUGUAAUAUUUAGAGAGCUAACGAUUCAAUGUAGAGGUUAAAUCUCAACUAAGUAUUGCCUUUAUUCGGUUUCCCUUUUUUCAUGAUCCUGCAGUUAGAACCCUAGAAGCUUUGGUCGUAACAAUGUCAAAGAUAGUGGAGAGCAAAUCAACAGUAGAGAGUAAAUCGAUAGUUUCUCAUCCUGGUACUGCAUAUGAUGAGGAUUGGGACAAUGAUGAAAUCGUGAGCAUAAACGGGUUUUGGAUUUUCCGAUCACAGGUAAGUAAAUAUAUCAAUCAACUUUGAUUACAUAUGUUUCUAUGGACAAUAGUAUAUGGUUUGGUUUCCAUUACUUUUGUUUACAGUUAGAUCUAGCGAAACGAAUCUUUGAGAAACAUCCAGAGACGGCAUCAAAUUUUUGUCUAAAGAGUGAAUUUGCCAAGGAAACAUACUUGACUGCGUUACUAGAUCUCAUCGACAUGAUGAACAUGUUACCUCAGCAAUCACUCUUUGAAGCCGAACUAAAAGAAGCACAAAACACAAUUUUGGACCUGGAAGCCGCCGGUUUCAAAUUGGAUUGGUUGAAAAGGAACCUUGAGGAGAUUCGUUUUACUAAGAAGAAAGUGAAGGACCGCACGGCUCGGAUGAGAGAACUAGACCGAAAGAUCCAGAAGCAUUUGGAGGAGUUGUCAGUCCUUCAAGAAGAAAUGAAGAAGGAGCAGUUUGAGGCUAUGUGUGACAAACCUGAAUAUCAUUUAGACUCACUUGUUUGAAUGAAGUCAUAUGUGAUUCUAGUGAACCAAGUACCAAAUAAACUUGUAAACACAAAGGCAAAGAGUUUAUUGCUUUUAAGCCUUACUUGUUUCAGAAGAUUCCAUUAGCUUCAAGGGUUUUCUUUUUCUCUCAACUUCUAUAAAGAGAGGGCUUACAUAUCUUACAAGUAUAGUUGUAUUGUCUUGCCUUUAUACACAUAUAUUUUCUUUUUCUAUUUUUGAUCUUGGAUCUUGAUCAAAGAGGUAAAAAAAUUAUAAAAGUUUUGAUUACUUCGGCGAUGAGGCACAACUUCUGUGAACAGAACACUCUCCAUGUGUAAAAUGGUGAACGAAAUAUAUCAAUUUGAUUAUUUUAUUUUCUCUAAUCCGGCUACAACUGGUAAUACUGCAUUAAGUUACAGAAUAAUUGAAUAAACUUAAGAUUAAAUCAAACUGAAUCAUACAAAAAAAUAAUAUGCAAAAUGGAAAAUCGAGAAAUGAAAUAAACUACAAACUACCCAUUUUUCUGUUUAGUUAAUUUGUAUUUGCAUUGGCUUUAUAUGUAACACCUAGAAUGAUGUUUUAUUUCGUAAUUCUACAAGUGUUUUAUUAAUCAAAACCUUUUUUUUUUUGAGGCAAAACGUAUGAUUUCAAGAUUUACUUUUUUCUUAAAAAGUAGAAGUAAAUAAUUCAUUAACCAAAUAAGUGGGUAUUUAGUAGUUUUUUUUUUUAGUCAUAAUGAUCUGUAUAUUACAUUCAAACUGCAUCAUUCAUCAAUGGAGAAUCCAAGGAGGAGAGCCAAGUACAAAGAACAACAACAUAUACAAACUGUCAAGCAUAAGUAUCAUACAUCACAUUCUAAAACUUCAAAGCAGCAACAAAAUGGUAACUUGGUAUUAGCAAAAGCAUAAUGACUCUCAAUAGGACCAAAUAUUAAAGCUUCAGAGCUUGCAAUUGAUCUUAUUGCAUCCACCAUAAGCUUGCAUUAUGAUUGCUUCUUGUUCACCAUCUUCAUACAAACCAUGAUUAGUAGUAGAAAGUUGUCAAAAAGUUACUGAAGGUCUUCCAACCUUUGAAACUGAAGCUUCACUCAGUGGCGGAGCCAGAAAUUUUGUUUAUAGGGGUCAUAAAACAUUUAAAAAAUUAGGCCUAAAAAAAUUUUUUUAUUAUAAAUAUAUGUAUAUAUAUAAUUUUUAAACCUAAAUAUUUCAUAUUUCAUCUUUCAAAUUAAAAAUAUUCACAGUUUAUCUUCUUUAGUUGUAUCAUCAAAACUUUUUUUUAGUUGUUUUUUUUUUUAAUCUUGAUUCAUGACUUUUAGGAAAAAAAAUUCUAAGAACAAUGUUGAAAAGAAUGUAGAAAUUAAAACAGUAUAUGUCUAAAAAGAAGAAAAAAAAUCGAUAUGUUAAUAGGUUUUUUUAAUAAGAAAAAAAUAUUAUAGAUUUUUAAGUAAACCAAAAUGUAAAAAAACAUUAAGAUUAAAUGACAAAAUGAAUAUGCAUGGGGUCAAAGACAUGAAUAUAUCACAUAACAUAGGGGUCAUUGUGAAUACUUUAACCCAAAACAUAUAAUUAUUGUAGAAGAUUACCUUAUAAUUAAAAAAAAUCUAAAAAUGUUAUGGGGGUCAACUGACCCCCCUAGUUGUACGUUGCCUCCGCCACUGGCUUCACUGCGUAAUUAACAUCAGAGUAAACCAUAAAGAUGUCCAAAAAGUAAUCCAUCAUCUUCCACUUGUUUGAUCUGAAGUAGAUCCUUUCUUAGCUAAAAACUAAGGAGGAUGACCAACCACUGGAUAAAACCGGACCCCCUUAUCAUUGCAACAUUGUCUAGUGUUUCUCUCAAUUGUAGCUUAAUUUUAACAGAUUUCAUAGUGAAUUAUCUGCUGAUAUCAUCUUAUUUGGAUCAUUUAAAAAUGCAACACAGCUUCAAUAUUUUUCUAGACGGAAACGUAAUGUCUUUGUGUCUGAACAAGUACUAGUAGAACACAAAUAAUUAAUCAUCGGUCUUGCAAUGUUUUUUAAUUAGUAAUAAUGAGAAAUAUCAAAUCACGAUGAGCCAAAUCUGUUCACUUUUGCUCACGUUAUUCGAGAUUCAUGCAUCGUCUUGAGAAUUGUAUCUCUUUUCUAGGAAGAAACACAUUACAUAAUGGAAGUUAUUACUCAAAUAUGUACUAGCACUUUUACCAAAAAAAAAAAAAAUAUGUACUAGCUUUUCUUCAACAGUACUGGAGACUAAAUCUCAAAUAAGUAUUGCCGUAUUUUAGUUUCUAUUUUUCAUGUUCUGCAGUUUGUUUCCCAGAAGGCUUGGUCGUAUCAAUGUCGAAGAUAGUAGAGAGUAAAUCAACACUUUCUUAUCCUAGUACUUCACAUUUUGGCGAUUUUGACACUGAUGAAACCGUGAACAUAAACGGUUUUUGGAUUUGCCGAUCACAGGUAAGCAUCACAUCAAUCAACUUUGAUUUUGUUUCUAGGAAAAAAAUAUAUAAAGUUUUUGUCUUUUAAAAAAAGUAAAAUAAUAUUCUUCAGGUUCAACAUUAGAAAAGAUGUAAAACGAAUCGUUUGGUUUCCAUUAAUAUUUUGUACAGUUAGGUCAAGCAAAGCUAAUCUUUAAAGAACAUCCAGAGACGGCUUCAAAUUUUUGUCUAAAGAGUUUCUUUGCCAAGGAAACUUACUUGACUGCCCUUUUAAACCUCAUCGACAAGAUGAACAUGUUAUCUCUACAAUCUCUCUCCAAAGACGAUCUAAAGGAAGUAGACAACACAAUUUUGGAUCUUGAAGCCGCUGGUUUCAAACUGGAUUGGUUAAAAAAGAAAUUUGAGGAGAUUCGUGUUAUUGUGAAGAAAGCGCAGGACCGUGAGGCUCGGAUGAGAGAACUAGACCGAAAGAUCCGUAAGAAGAUGCAUGAGUUGGUGGUUCUUGAAGACAAAAUGAAGAAGGAGCAGCUUGAGGCUAAAUCCGAAGAACUUGGAUAUUAUUACGACUUUUUUAUUUGAAGGAAGUUGCAUGUGAUUCUUGUGAACCAAAUACUCGUAAACACAAAGAUGAAAAGUCUAUUGCUUUCAAGCUUUCAUUGUUUGAGAAAUUUUCCAUUUGGUUUAAGGGUUUUCUUUUUCUCUCCAUGGUAAAGAGAGAGCUUACGAAUCAUUGCACAAGUAUCGAAGAAGUUUGUCAGAUCUAGUUAUAUAGUUGUCUUUUUUUUUUUUUUAGAUAUGAUUUUGAUGUAAAAAAUGGUAACAAAUUGCAUUUCUCAAAUGUGUAGAGACAGAAAGAGAAACAAAAAAAAAAAGAAAAUUGAUUGAUUUUGUUCAACAUUUGUUGCCAAAGGUAGACCUUGAGUUUGUGGUCCUAUGUAUCCAAUAACAACAAUGAGGCGAUCUGCCCCUAGUUAAUAUAAAACAAGGCAGUACUUGCCCCUAGCAUCGUAUCUAAAACAAAGUAUUGGGAGAACCGGAGAUCGACCGAGAUCGACGAUCGAGAUGAUCGCCCAAGAUUAUGGGAAUCAUGAAGAUCGAGAAGGAUCUAGAAGAUUAUCAUAAAUUAGUUUAGGAAUAUUUACAUUUAUCUUUAAAGUAUUAUUCACAUUUAUAUUUAUCUUAAAUUAGGAAACUUAGAUUAAUCUCAUCUCUAUAUAAGAGAAUGUAUUUUGUAUUUAUUCUUAUGAGAGUCUAUUAUAAUUCUUCCUAAACACUUUUGUGUUCUUACUCUCAUCAAUUUAUCAUGGUAGCAGAGCCAAGAUCCUUUCUGUGGAUUUUGGAUCCGUUACGUUAGCUUCCGCAAAGAAAAAAAAAAAUCAGUUUCGGGAACAAUGAUGUUUUCUCGCCCUCGCGAGUUUAACUUCUCUUUUUGAUUAAACUACUCGCCCUCGUGAGUUAUUUUUUUUUAGUCUCACCAUCGCGAGCAACAUCCGAACCUCGCAACCGCGGGUGUUAUUUUUAUUACUUGAACCCUACGAUCGGGUAUAAACGUCGAUGACCUAACGGCUGGAUUUUGUGGCCGCUUUGAACCCUACGAUCGGGUAUAAACGUCGAUGACCUAACGGCUGGGUUUUAUAGCCGCCUUGAACCCUACGAUCGGGUAUAAACGUCGAUGACCUAACGGCUGGGUAUUGUAGCCGCUUUGAACCCUUCGAUCGGGUAUAAACGUCGAUGAUGACCUGACGACCGGGUAUAAAAGCCGUUAUUCUGAAGACUUGUCCAAUCUCAAACGUGUAACCACGUAUGAGCUUGUCGGGGGGUAUUGGGAGAACCGGAGAUCGACCGAGAUCGACGAUCGAGAUGAUCGCCCAAGAUUAUGGGAAUCAUGAAGAUCGAGAAGGAUCUAGAAGAUUAUCAUAAAUUAGUUUAGGAAUAUUUACAUUUAUCUUUAAAGUAUUAUUUACAUUUAUAUUUAUCUUAAAUUAGGAAACUUAGAUUAAUCUCAUCUCUAUAUAAGAUAAUGUAUUUUGUAUUUAUUCUUAUGAGAGUCUAUUAUAAUUCUUCCUAAACACUUUUGUGUUCUUACUCUCAUCAAUUUAUCACAAAGGCCUGACGUUGAAGACCCAGAUGUUGUGGUCCUAUGUAUCCAAUAACAACAAUGAGGCGAUCUGCUCCUGUCCAAUUAUCCCACCAAAACAUUGAUGAUUCACCAUGAGAAGCAGCCAAUGACCUCAGCUUGAGGAGUUUUCUCCAAAUAUAUGAGCCUAUGGUUCCUUCGCGAACACUCCAAAAUGAUAUACGUUGGAGAAUAGAUAUCGACGAGCCCAAGGUACCCCGUACCCAUAAAGAACCUGAGGCAGUGAACUUAGUGCAAAAGAUAAAACUAUGACUGGAACCGAUAUAUAAUUGAGAUAUACGAAUAAUAUUCUCUCUCUUAUCCAGCCUAACCCUAUCGAACCCUAUAAAGCUUCAAUUGCUUUCGAUGAGUCUCACAACCAAGACUUCAUCUCUAUAUAAUAAAAGCUUAAAAACAAACACCAUAGGAAAAGGAAAUAAAACCUUAAAGACGUAAACAGUUUCCUAAAUCAAUAAUAUAAAUCCUGAAUAAAAAAAAAAACCGAUCCAAAUAAAAGAAAACAUAUUAUUGACGACCGCUUGAAGAUUAUAGUCUCGGCUAGAUUUUGUCGGUGAUAUGCGUUUCCAAAGAAAUUAUUUCACCAUCCACAAUUGCUUCAUUUUCUACAAGCAUCACAUUCGAAGAGAUUUGUAGGAACAAUUAUGAAAAGGAGAGUAUGAUUUGCUUGUGGAUACAUAAUCCUUUUGCCUUUACAUGAAGGCUUCAUGUAAAGAUAUUCGUGAUGAGAAUUUUGCCGUGUACCCCUUUAUCUAAAGGUGUUGCUUGGACAUAUGGUAGGGUUGUACUCAUAUUGGUCUCUAAUCAUAUUGAACUAGCACUAUCUGUAGAAAACAAGAGGAGGCUAGGUUUAGAAGAAUGUUUUUCUUUCUUAUUGAUUCAUACGAUUACAUCACGUUCUAUAUAUACAAAAAGAUACUAGGUUAAAUAACUUGGAGAUCAAGUUAUUCUUUACAAGAUAUUCUCCUAAAUAUAUUCAUUAACAAAUAUAUGGAUAUAUCCCAAUACUCUCCCUCAAGUUGGAGCAUGAAGAUCACAAAUGCCCAACUUGGACGAUAAACCUUCAAACGGAAUGCGACCCAAAGCUUUAGUAAGCAAAUCGGCUAAUUGAUCAUGAGUGUUGACAUGAAUCAUAGUAAGCAUUCCGUUCUGAACAGCAUCACGAACAGCAUGGCAGUCUCUCUCAAUGUGCUUAGUACGCUCGUGAAAAACCGGGUUGUUGGCAAUAUGAAUAGCAGCUUGACUAUCGUAAAACAACUCAAUCGGUUUCGGUUGCGGAUAUCCCAAAUCUUCUAACAAUUGUUUCCACCACCGGACUUCAUUUAAAGCAUUGCGCAUUGACCGAUACUCGGCUUCAGCGGAAGAAUGAGAGACGACAUCCUGUUACUUUGUCUUCCAUGAGACUGGAGAGCCACCUAAAAACAUCACAUAGCCACUCAACAAACGUCUAGACGUUGAACAAGUAGCAAAAUCAGAGUCACAAUAAGCCGUGAGUGUAAGGUCAGAAUCCGAGCUAAGUAACACACCACGGCCCGGAGAGCCUUUUAAAUAACGCACAACACGGAGCGCAGCAUUCCAGUGAUCAAUACGCGGAGAUUGCAUAAACAUUGACAAGAUGUGAACCGAGUAGCUAAGCUCAGGACGAGUGGUAAGAAGAUAAAUCAAACGACCAACUAACCUUUGAUACUCCUCCGGAUGAGAAAGAAGCUCACUCGUGUUCAGCUCCAAUUUAUGAUUUUGCUCAAUUGGAGUAGGGGAAGGUCGGGAAUGAAGAAGACCGGCCUCAGUGAUGAUAUCAAGUGCAUAUUUUCGUUGAGAGUGAUAAAUGCCUUCGGAACUCCUUGCAAUUUCAAUCCCAAGAAAAUAUUUGGCUUUGCCUAAGUCUUUCAUAUGAAAACACCUUCCCAAAUAAUCUUUAAAACUUUGAAUCAUCCGUGAAUUGUUGCCACAAAUCAACAAGUCAUCAACAUAUAUCAAAACCCGCAGGUCAACUCCUGCACGCGAGAGUGUAAAGAGUGAGUAGUCCGAAUAUGAUUGCACAAAGCCAAACUUUGUCAAAGCAGAAGAAAGCUUCGCAAACCAACAACGAGGAGCUUGCUUAAGCCCAUAUAACGAUUUAUGUAGGCGCAGAACUUUCUUAGAAUCCGAAUGACGAAAACCAACUGGUAGUUUCAUAUAAACUUCUUCAUCCAAAUCUCCAUGGAGAAAUGCAUUGUGCAUAUCCAUUUGGUGUACUUCCCAUUUUUCAGCCGCCACAAUACGCAACAAACCACGAACCGUCUUCAUCAUAAUAACAGGAGCAAAUGUCUCAUUGUAGUCCUUCCCCUCAACUUGACGGUUUCCACAAGUGACUAAACGAGCCUCAUAGCGCUCAACCGUACCAUCAGCAUGCAACUUGAUUUUAUAAACCCACUUGUUAUUUAUAGCCUCUUUUCCCGGAGGUAAAUCGACAAUACUCCAAGUACCACUGUCUUCUAGAGCCCCAACCUCCGUGCCCAUAGCUUUUGUCCAAUGAGGAUCAAGCAUGGCUUGUUUAUAAGAGGUCGGUUCGACGCCAUCAAGAACAGCAGCUAAGAAAACUUUAUGCUGUGGAGAGAACAUGUCAUCAGAAAUAUAACUAGUGAGAGGAUACGAAGUGUUACCUUGGACCGAAGACGAGGAGACUGAAUUAUGUUCGGGAGAGACGAGAUGGGGUUCUUCGGGGCAGCGAGUAGCAUGAUCAACAUAAUCUUUUAACCAAACUGACAGAAACUUAGCUCUUUUUCCUUGACCCAAAUCUUCAUUUUCUGUUGUUGGUACUGAAGUGGUAGGCGUGGACUCCUCCGAUAAUGCCUCCGGUGAAGAACACGGAGAGGAAGUCGUCGUGGCCAAGCUCAUAUCAGCACCAUUGUCGUGUGACGAAGAUGAUGGGUUAUGUAAAACAGGUUCAUUUUGAGGCUCACUCCCCCUGUCUUCAAGAGUAGGUGAUAGAUCAAUAACCCAAUCCUCAUCAACACCCGCAUACGUAACUAGUUCCUCAACCAAAUUUACUGAAUAUGGAAAAAUAUUUUCUUGAAACACCACAUCUCGCGACACCAAGAACUCAUUUGUUUCCAUGUCAUAGACUUUCCAGCCUUUCUUUCCAAAUGAAUAGCCCAUGAACAUACAUUUCCGACUUCUCGGUCCAAAUUUAUCUUUGUCUCUCAAGCGCCUGUGAGUGUAGCACAAAGAAUCAAAGACCCGUAGUUGGUCAUAGGAUGGUGAGACGCCAUGAAGUAGUUCAUACGGAGUCUUCCCGUUAAGCACUUUUGACGGAGUCCUAUUUAUAAGAUAUGCAGCCGUUAAGAUAGCUUCUCCCCAAAAAAUAACCGGCAAAUUGGCUUGAAAAAGAAGAGACCGAGCAACAUUUAAGAUAUGGCGAUGUUUCCUCUCAACGCGUCCAUUUUGUUGAGGAGUGUCAACACACGAAGUUUGAUGAACAAUACCAUUUUCUUUGAAAUAAGAAGAAAGACACAUGAACUCCGUUCCAUUGUCACUUCUCACCAUACGAACUGAUUUACCGAAUUGUUUCUCGGCAUACACACAAAAAUUCUGUAGAACACUUCGAACUUCGGAUUUUUCUAAUAAGAGGUAUGUCAAUACCUCUCUAGAAAAAUCAUCAACAAUCGUUAAAAAAUACACUGCUCCACAAGAAGCUGGAACUCGAUAUGGUCCCCAUACGUCAACAUGAAUCAAUGAGAAACAUUCCGUUGCUUUAUUAAAACUUUCAGAAAAAACUUCUCUUGUUUGCUUAGCCCGGAAACAAACGUCACAUGGACUCGGACUAGUUAUUGUAGAAACACUAGAAUUCAUAGGUAAAGAUGAAAAAACUGAAUAAGCCGGAUGUCCAAGCCGACGAUGCCAUAACGUUGAAUCACACUGCACUUCAACCUUGUUACUCCGUACCGCUGCCACAUCCGCAAAGUAGUAAACCCCAUCACACUCUUUCCCAGCUCCAAUCAGCGUCCUCGAAGCCGGUCCUGCAAAACACACAACGUAUCAGUAAAUAAUGCCACACAUUGAGUCUGUUUGAGAAGCUUAGAGACGGAUAAAAGAGAGCAAUUGAGAUCUGGAACAUAUAACACGUCACGCAAUGUUAUUUUAUCGGAAACUUGGAACACGCCAAUACUCUCGGAGAUUGUCUUACUCCCAUCAGCAAAAUUAAUGGAGCAAACUGAAAUAGGAGUGAUAUUGAGUAGCAAAGACAAAUUCCCAGUCAUAUGAUGGGAUGCUCCCGUGUCAAGAAUUAUCUCCUCAGAAAUCUUACCCGAUACCAACUUACCAGAAAGCUUAUCGGAGUUUACGUUUCCUUUUACAAUCGCCAUCUGCUCAAUGGCCUUCUAUUGUUCACCCGUAAAGGAUGGAAACGCCGAAGCAUGAGGACUGGUAGCAUGAGCCACUGUUGCGAAGCCACGGCCCCGACCAGAAGACCCUGAAGUGAGACCACAUCCCCGACUCGAGCCGCGACCACCACCAGCCUUGUUUCUUUCGAUCCACCACUCUGGAUAACCCACAAUCUGCCAACAAAAUUCUUUCUCAUGCUCUGCCCUCCCACAGUUAGAACACGCGAAACUGCGUUCUCUGUUUUUGAUACCAUUCGGAGAAAAACAUGUUGCAAAACCAGAGACAUCACCAGUCACAAGAGAAGAGUCAGAACCCGGCGAUUCACGACGAGUAACAAAGCCGAUAGCAUCUUGCUGCUGUUCCUUCUUCUUCGAUGCGACAAGUCUCUGUUCUUCUCGAAUCACCUUUACAGAAGCUUGUGCGAGAUCAGGCAUAGGGUCAGCAUUUGUGAUUGCACAAAUCACAUUACCAAAACGGGACUCAUCAAGACCCAUUACAAACUGAUGAACCUUCUCAUCCUCUCUCUCUUUUGCAAACUUCUCACUAGCACCACAAGUACAGACCGGGAGAGGACGAUAAGUGUAGAGCUCAUCCCACAAAACCACCAAACGUCCGUAAUAAUCAAUCACGGAUUGGCCAUCUUGACGACACGCCGCAAGCUGACACACGAUCUGAUGCGUACGCACCUUGUUCCCAACCGGGAAUCUUUUCUUCAAAUUAUCCCACAACUCAGCUGCAUCGGAAAUGAAAGACACCGUGGAACGAACCCUCGGAAUUAUUGAAGUCCUCAGCCAUCCAAUAACCAUUGAGUUCACACUGGUCCACGAUUCCAUCUCCGUACCGGCAGCCGUGGGCUUCUUGAUUGAGCCAUCAAUAAACCCUAACUUCCUUUUAGCUUUAAGAGCGUUGAGCAUCUCCGUAGCCCAUUCUGCAUAAUUUUGUCCAGUCAAUUGAACAAAGGAUAUCAUGGAGCUUGGGUUAUCACCGGAGAACAGUGAAUACGGCGUCAACUUGGUGCCGUCAAUCACCUCAGGAACCAACGCUUGUCCUUCUUCAGCCAUCGAAACAGAUCUUAAUCAAAGAUCAAAUAAAGAAACAGGGGAAUAAAAGGAAAACAGAGAAUUUGAAAAACAAAAAAAACGAUGAAUCAGAAUCGUGGCUCUGAUACCAUGUAGAAAACAAGAGGAGACUAGGUUUAGAAUAAUGUUUUUCUUUCUUAUUGAUUCAUACGAUUACAUCACGUUCUAUAUAUACACAAAAUACUAGGUUAAAUAACUUGGAGAUCAAGUUAUUCUUUACAAGAUAUUCUCUUAAAUAUAUUCAUUAACAAAGAUAUGGAUAUAUCCCAAUACUAUCCUUAAUCGUCUGAAUGCUUUACCAGGUUUACCUUUGUGUUUGUUUUUUCUUGUACACCGUUUACUUUUGUGUUACUUGUAAAAAUUCAUCUGUUAAAUAGAACCACGCAACCCGUAUCGCAGAUCAUAAUUCUUUAGCAUCGUUUGGACGAAAUUUCACAUGAAUCGAAUAUCUAACUUGAAGUUCUAUAGUGAAUUAAUUAAGGUGUAUAUGUGGGUUUUAUAUAUUACUAGUGUGAUCGAUACGUAAAAAACAAUUACUAGCGAUAUAUCUUAGAGACUAAUACUUGAGAAUUUCUUAGAAACCUCAUAACUUUUUUUCUUGUAGAGAAUUUGUUGGGGUCGGAUUCCAUCCUUUAGCGCCAAGCCAGACUUAGAAUACUUCGGGAGUCUUUCGGCGAUCGCCUCGGGGUAUCGCUUCAUUCACCUCGGGAUAUCCAUCUAAUCGAUCUAGUAUACCCGAGCCCGUCGCCUCGGGAAUACCUUUAACAAGUAGUCUCGAGUACCCGAGCCCUUCGCCUCGGAGAUACUCGAAAUUAGACGUUUCAAGCACCCGAGCCCUUAGCCUCGGGGAUGUUUGAACGUUAUGUCUCAAUCACCCGAGCCCUUCGCCUCGGGGAUACUUAAACAAGACGACGAAGGCACCCGAGCUCAAUUGCCUCGGGGGCACCCGAGCCCUUCGCCUCGGGGAUACUUAAACAAGACGACGCAGGCACCCGAGCCCAAUUGCCUCGGGGGUACCCAAGCCUGGUCGCCUCGGAAGUUUCUGAGCCCAUCGCCUCGGGGACACCCGAAGAAGCCAUCCUAGAAUGCCCGAGCCAGUCCUUCAUGUGUACCCGAGCCGGUUGCACAAGUUCCCCGAGGCGAAGUCUUCAUUAUCGCCCGAAGCAAAGACUUAGCAAAUAUCCUUCUCUAAAGGUAUCAUUUCCAAGCAAGUUAUCAUUUCCGAAAAAGAAGGAUCAUUUCCGAUAAACUCGGAAAUGAUAAGGAAGAAUCGCGAAGGAUCAACUCAAAUCAGGAAAUCUUCCGAAAACUCCGAAGAAUAAGGAAAUUGUCCUAAUCCGCGAUAUUCCGGCCGACUUCAAGAUAAAUGGAAAUCUUCCGAGAAUAUCGCUGGAGAGGCGGCUUAUCAUCCCUAUAUAAAGAGACUCAAGGCUCAAACGAAGGGAGAGGCAAUAUCGCUCUAGAAAUUAUACUACGCAAAGCUCUCACAGCACAAACACUUUUUCUUUUACGAUCAAACUCUUGUACGAUCAAAGUCAUCUUUUUCAUUAAUAAUAUCAAAAACACCAUCUUUGGUAUCAAUCGUUUCUGUUGUUCUUUGAGAAUUCACGAUUAUCGUAUCCCUAAAACAAAACCCUAGACAAAUCUUGAUUGUGUUAGUUUCGACUUCCACAGUUUGGCGCCGUCUGUGGGGAGAUGGUACGCGGCAGAAGGUUCUUACCAUAAUGGGUGGAUCGCCAUACUGUCCUGACACUGUCGCGGCAAUCAAAGCUUAUCAACGCCGAGCCGAGACACCUAGCAACUGGACAAGACCCUUCGAUCGACCUAACGACGUGAUCACAUUCGAAGAGAGCGAGACAAACGGGCUCGACAUGCCUCAUAACGAUCCCAUCGUCGUCACAUUAGCGAUAGGAGACCACGAUAUUUACCGAGUGUUAAUCGACACCGGCAGCACCAUUGACGUGAUCUUUCGCGAAACGCUCCAACGAAUGAACAUCGACAUGUCACAGGUGGUUCCGACCCCGAGGCCUGUCCUCGGAUUUUCAGGGGAAACUUUGAUGACGCUUGGGACCAUCCAACUACCAGUCCGAGCCGGCGGGAUAACAAAGAUAGUCAACUUCUCAGUCACCGAUCGACCUACCAUCUACAACGUCAUAAUGGGAACCCCGUGGUUAAAUCUAAUGCGAGCUGUCGCAUCAACAUAUCAUCUGUGUGUCAAGUUCCCGACCCCUAAUGGCGUGAAAACGAUAUGGGGGAGUCAGAAAAAUUCUCGGAUGUGUUUCAUGGCAGCACACAAGCUCCGAAACCCUGUCACUGAAGUGAAGGCUGAAACGGAUCAUAAGAAAUCGAAACUUGGCCGGAGUGAAGAGAAGGCUAUAUCUAAACAGUUAUAGCAAUUACAGAUCGAGGAGGCGCGCGAGGAGAAGAAGCCUACCUCGGAUCCUGUAAUCUCCAUUAGCCUCGACGACAAACGGCCUGAACGAUGUGUGGAAAUUGGCAGCGACUUGACCGAGGAGAUCAAGACCGAGCUCAUCUCAUUCCUCAAGGAGAACAUCGACACCUUCGCCUGGUUGGCCGAAGAUCUACCUGGGGUAAGCAUCGACGUAAUCUGCCACGAGCUGAAUGUUGACCCAUCUUUCAAGCCCAUCAAGCAGAAGCGAAGAAAAUUGGGUCGGGAUCGUGCAGAUGCAGUGAACGCUGAAGUAGAAAAGCUCCUAAAGAUUGGCUCGAUCUCUGAAGCAAGAUAUCCAGACUGGUUAGCAAAUCCUGUCGUGGUUAAAAAGAAGAACGGCAAGUGGAGAGUCUGCGUUGAUUUCACCGAUCUGAACAAAGCUUGCCCUAAAGACAGUUUUCCGCUCCCACAUAUCGAUCGUUUAGUGGAAGCAACCGCGGGAAAUAAGUUGCUAUCAUUCAUGGAUGCUUUCGCAGGAUACAAUCAGAUUCUCAUGCAUCCCGACGAUCGCGAAACGACAGCAUUCAUCACAGACCGGGGUAUCUAUUGUUACAAAGUCAUGCCCUUCGGACUCAAGAACGCCGGCGCGACGUAUCAGCGACUCGUCAACAGGAUGUUCUCCGAACAACUCAGGAAGACGAUGGAAGUUUAUAUCGACGACAUGUUAGUCAAGUCCCUUGAAGAAAGCGAUCACAUAGCCCAUCUGCGCGACUGUUUUCGUCAGCUCAACAAGCACAACAUGAAGCUUAACCCGGCAAAAUGUCGUUUCGCGGUAAAGUCUGGAGAAUUCUUGGGAUAUCUCGUAACUCACCGAGGCAUCGAGGCAAACCCAAAGCAAAUCGAUGCCCUGCUGAACAUGCUCUCACCACAGAACAAGCGCGAAGUCCAACGUCUCACCGGGAGAGUCGCGGCCUUGAACCGAUUCAUCUCGCGGUCCACUGACAAAUGCCUGGCUUUCUACGAUACCCUGCGCGGGAACAAGAAAUUCGAAUGGACCGAUCGCUGCGAAGAAGCUUUCCAGGAACUGAAGAAGUAUUUGGCUAACCCACCGGUGUUAGCGAAACCAGUCCCAGGCGAGCCAUUAUUUCUAUAUAUCGCAGUCUCUGAUACAGCUAUAAGCGGAGUCAUAGUCAGGGAAGACAGAGGGGAGCAGAAGCCGAUUUUUUUACGUCUCGCAAACUUUCACCGACGCGGAAACACGCUACCCGCAAACUGAAAAGCUCGCCCUCGCCGUAGUAAUGUCAGCUCGGAAGCUACGGCCAUAUUUCCAGUCUCACUCGAUUGUCGUCAUGGCGCCCGUAUCACUCCGAACCAUCUUGCACAGUCCGAGCCAAUCAGGACGCCUAGCCAAGUGGGCAGUAGAACUCAGCGAGUAUGACAUCGAAUACAGAAACAAAACAUGCGCAAAAUCUCAAGUCCUGGCCGAUUUUAUCAUCGAGCUGCCAACGGAGAACGUCCGAGAAGAAUCACCCGACGCCGUUUGGAUCCUCCACGUCGACGGCUCAUCCUCAAAACAAGGUUCUGGCGUCGGAAUCCGCCUCGCAUCACCAGAGGGUGAAAUCCUUGAACAAUCCUUCCGGCUAAAUUUUGACGCAACUAACAACGUGGCUGAGUACGAAGCGCUGAUAGCAGGACUUAAGCUGGCUCGGGGACUUAAGAUCAACAAGCUGCGAGCCUUCUGCGACUCCCAGCUCGUGGCUAAUCAAUUCAAUGGAGAAUACGCGGCUCGCGACGAACGAAUGGAAGCAUAUCUUGCUCUCACGCAAGACUUGGUAAAACAGUUCGGAGAGUUCGAAUUAACCAGAAUUCCACGAGGUGAGAACACAUCGGCCGAUGCCUUAGCGGCUCUAGCUUCAACCUCCGAUCCAAAUCUGAAGAGGAUCAUACCGGUCGAGUUCAUCGAAAAACCGAGCAUUGAAGAUAAUAGCAAAGAUCAAGUUCUGACAGCUCGGGAGACAGAAGAACUGGAAGAAAUGGACAUCGAACAGCCAGACCAGCAGACUACGGACGCAACCGAGCCCGAAUACGGAAGCGACGCCAAAUGGAUCGGAGCCAUCCGAAGCUACAUAGCCGAUGGAGAAGUUCCUACUGAAAAAUGGGCAGCUCGGAAGCUUAAGGCCAAAGCGGCUCGGUAUACUCUGAUCGACGGAGAGCUCUUUAAAUGGCGAUUUUCUGGUCCUCUCCUUAUCUGUGUCGAAGGAAACGAAGCUCGGAGAGUCAUGGAAGAAGUUCACGGCGGAUCUUGUGGAAACCAUUCUGGCGGAAGAGCUCUGGCUAUAAAGAUCAAACGCCACGGAUAUUUCUGGCCGACGAUGGUCAAAGACUGCGAGAAAUUUUCUCAACGGUGUGAUAAAUGCCAGAGGCACGCACCAACCAUUCAUCAACCCGCCGAGCUCCUCUCUUCCAUCACUUCGCCUUAUCCGUUCAUGCGAUGGUCCAUGGACAUCAUCGGACCUCUACACAACUCCAAACAGAAGAAACUCGUCCUCGUACUAACAGACUACUUCUCCAAAUGGAUCGAGGCAAACUCCUACGCCAGCAUCAAGGACGCGCAGGUCGAAAACUUCGUCUGGAAAAACAUCAUAUGCCGCCACGGGAUACCUUAUGAGAUCGUUACGGACAACGGAUCGCAGUUUAUUUCGGCUCGGUUCGAAGGAUUCUGCGAGAAAUGGGGAAUUCGCCUCAGCAAAUCUACGCCUCGGUAUCCCCAGGGGAACGGACAGGCCGAAGCGGCAAACAAGACGAUUCUCGACGGAAUAAAAAAGCGCCUCGACGCAAAGAAAGGCCGCUGGGCCGACGAAUUAGAAGGAGUACUCUGGUCACACAGAACCACGCCGCGGCGGGCCACGGGAGAAACACCCUUCGCCCUUGUCUACGGCACGGAGUGUGUGAUUCCCACCGAAGCCGAGAUCCCGGGACUGAGAAGACGUUUUCUCCCCGAGCAGGAAAAUUCCAACACUCAGAUGAUGCUAGACGAGCUGGACUUAAUCGACGAAAGAAGAGAUUCGGCUUUGGUCCGAAUGCAGAACUAUCAGAAUGCGACGGCUCGGUAUUACAACUCUCACGUUAAACAUCGCCGUUUCCACGAAGGAGAUCUCGUACUGCGCAAAGUUUUCCAGAAUACCGCCGAGCAGAACGCAGGCAAACUCGGCGCGAAUUGGGAGGGACCUUACACGAUCGCAAAGGUAAUCCGUCCCGGCGUCUACGAACUCAUCAACAUGAACGGCAAAGCGGUACCUAGAUCCUGGAACGCAAUGCAUCUAAGGAAAUACUACCGCUAAAAACCUAAGGUACGCAUGUACUCGAACUACGGGGUGGCUUGAUCCCUGAAAAGGGUACGUAGGCAGCUCGUCCUCGGACGAGUUCAGCUACCCCCCCUAAUUAAAAAAGGGGGGAGUGGGUCCGUAUACUUAUAUACUCCCACUAAAUUUUUCAAAUUCACUAAGUUUUUACCCUUCGGGUUAUCAAUCUUAUCCACCUCGGAGAUUUUAACGGUCAUCUUAUAGAUCUAUAAAGCUAAAAGUUCGUUCGGACGAUGGCCACGCCCUCGGACAGAAAAAGCUCUUUUCACCGCCUCGGUUACAGCGCGCUAUAUAAAUAGUCGAGAUGGUUCGGUUGGAGAUAUCCUGCCAUAAAAAAAUCGUCUUCAGAAAACCCAGUUGACUUCUACACUGGUGCCCCAGUUCGCUUCUAAGCACUGGCUUCGACUAUAUCAGCUCGGGUCGCAACCGAUAAAGAUUAGUCCUUAAUCAAAACCCAGUUAUCCUAACACUGGUGCACGAUUCAUUUCACGUUCGGCUCGAAAGAUAAGAUGUUUGGAUUUAACUUCUUAACGACCAAUUCUUAAACUCGGUUAACUUAACACCGGUGCAUGAUUCAGUUCGGAAAAAUGUUUAAGAAAAAUACUUGGACAUAAUAUUCAAGGGAUAAAGCCGUCCAGGCGUGUCUUACAAAAAAGGAGAAUAAAAAGACAUCUCGGGAUCAGAUCGAAUCUUGGUUAACCGGCGAAACUUGAGCUACCUCGGUACCUCGGUUCGAACCCGACUGGUCGGCAACGCCUAUCGCAGCUGCGGCACCCUCUAUCGAACGAUUCCCGAAGCUUUCGUCGACAGAAUCCGGGGAAACCGGAGGAAGCUUCAAGUCCUCUCGCAGCUCGGUCCCGAGACGGACGUACUCAUCCUCAGCAUCUCCAUAUUCAGUCGUCCAUUGAAGGACCUCGGCUUUCUCAUCCUCCACCCUUUUCCCUUCCUCCAGCUCGGCUAUCAGCUCAGCAUUGGCCCGCGCUUGCACCAAGUACAUAUAGCGCGUAGACACCUUCCCGUAUUGAUCCAUCUUUGCCUCGAUAGCCUUGAUCUUCUCGGCGAACUCCCUUUUGGCCGCCCUCCGCUCUCUGAUAACCUCCUUCUCCCGGAGAGCCUUCUCUUCGGUAAAUAAACGAUGAAGGCGUGCAAUCUCAGCCUCGAGCUUUCUCCGAGUUCGCAGGCUAUCCUCCGAAGCCUUCAACCGCUCCACCUUCUCGGCCUUGGCUGAUUCCUCGGCCUCUUGUUUAGCUGCCAUCGCCUCGGAAAUCCUAGCCUCUACUUCGGCCCGUGAGAUCUCCGAUUUUUCACGGGCGAGCUCGGAUUUGAGAGCUCCAGAAUCGUAGGCUCGGACCAUGGAAUUCAUCAAGUUGAAGGCCUGCAAUAGAACGAUAAUCGUCAGUAAACACAUACGGAAACAAUAGAAAAACACGCAAGGAACGAAUCUAUACCUUCAGAAAUCCAGCGGCAGUCUCACGAUAGUUUUGUGCCUCCAGCAAGGCCUCGGGAGCAGGAAGCGGCGGACCCGAACAAGAAGCGAUAAGAUUAGCCGAAGCUAUCUUAUCCUUGUAGAUGGGAACUUCACCGCGGUUCCUCUUCUCUUUUCUGCGUCCUCCCGAGCUAUCGCCUCGGGACCUCUUCCCUUUUGCCUUAGCCUUCGCCUCGGCACACAGAGCUACAAUCGCCGAAGCCCCUGCUGCGGCGGGAACUUCCACAUCCGGCUGAACAUCACCAGAGGCCUCGGGCCUGGACAAGUCCGCAGUGACCCGAAUCUCCUCAGUCGCCUCGGCACCAUCGGCAGCCUGCGGAUCAAUGUUGACUUCAGGCGGAGUCGACGGACCGAAAGUCGCCUCGCAAACCCUUUUCUCCUCGGCCGCCUUUCUUUCGGCAGCUUUCUUCGCCCUCAAAGAUUGCGCAGCUCCUUGCAUUUCAAUAAGGUGAUCGAGACGGUGGUCGGAUGAUUCUGAAGAAGACUGGCAGGGAGCUCCGUGCAACAGACGCAAGGCUCUCUCGAUUCUCUCCUGGGAGAAGUGUUUUGUCCAGUCGCACUUCCGAGCAAUUAGUUCGUCGUGGAGAUCUAGAAAACCUUCGGGAAUGUCUUUGAGAAACGACGGGUUCCGAUCUGCAUGAACAAGAAAAACGGUUAGCGAAAAGUUUAAAGCAAACACAAGACAACAAAUACGGCUUCGGGCGUAGUACCGAUUUGUCUCCACUUUCCAACAACUUUCCCUAAGUAGUCCUCGUGGACACUAUACUCAUUCAAGGCUACGAAGAAGAAAUGGUCGGUAUAUUUUUCAUCCUUGCUCGGGAAACCGCCGAUAACCCUCCUGUUUGGCCUCGGAGAUAUGUAAAAUCUUUCGACAGGGCCCGGUAUGCGCCGGAUCUCUAGGAGAUUCCUCAAGUGGCUUAGUUCAACCAGAUUGACCGUCUCAAUACUUCGGACUAAAAUCCCCACUAGAUGCCGCAAGCCUCGGGUCGUUAUCUGGGAUAAAGCAAUCUUGUACGACCACAGAAACGCCAAGAUCGGCCUCGGGAUUGGAAGCCAAAGGUAGCAAUGAUAGAAGAACCCCUCGUAAAGGGUAAAAAACCCCUCGGGUGGAUCAUCGGCUCGCUCAUUUGGAGUCGGGAGUCUCAGUUCAACCCCCUCGCUAAAACCGAACCGAGCCUUGAGAUCCCGAAGGGAAUCCUCCGUGCAUAAAGUAGAACCUGGGGAUCAGGUUUCCUGGCCUUCUUGGCUCGUUUUCUCUUCUGUUGACCCUUGGCUGCUUGGAUUUUAGCUUGGAGCAACCUAGCCGCCUCGUCAGAAUCGUAGUGAACCUCCUCGGCCUUAACAGGAAGUAGAGGCGCCUCGGGGGCAUUUCGCCAGCAUGAAACCCCAGCUUCGUCAGCUGCCGGUGGAUGGACUUUCCUCCUGCUUAAAGUCGCCUCGGGAUCAUCAGGCAAAUCCUGAUCCCGAGCCACAUCUGCAACCGCAUCUUCCCGAGCGAUGAAACGGCUCGGGUCUUCUUCCCGUGAAGCCGACUCUGCAUCACUUCCACGGUACAACACGAUCUGAUGGUCCGCGGUACCCGCCUCGGGGUCGCUCGAGGAACUCCAGACCAUCUUUCUCUUGUAGACGGGAAGAUGAGUGUCGCCUCGGGGCGAAUCGCUGGAAUCAGAUAGAGACAUUUUCCGGCUCGGGAGAUUGGAGAAGUUUAUCGGAGGAACAAAGCCCGAUAGAUCGGAGAAAUCAACCUAGAUCUAAUGACGGCGGCGCUACGACGGAAGUAUAACGGAAAAAUAGAGAAAAUGCAAAAAACUCAAGAUCAGAGAAAGAAGAGAACGAACCUCGAAAAAUUUCCUUUGCAGUUGCGAAAUGAGAGAAUGAGUCCGGGACUUAACAUUUAUAGGGACUUAAGGCGCGUCGGGUACGAACCAAAUAAAAACAUCGCGUCCGCGUCUAAGGCGCGUCGGGCACACACAAAUCGAAUAAGAUACUUCGCAUCCGCGCCGAUCUCGGGAAUCAGCGAAAGGACUUUUCCACUUCUCGAGAAGGAAUCCCAACCGUCACACGCCAAGAGAAGAUGAAACGACAGAGGAAUUCAAACCGCCAAAGGGACCGAACUAUUCAUAGAAAACGGCUCGGCCUAAUUGUCACAGCUCGUCAUGCUCGGUUCUCCAAACUAACGAGCUGGGGGGCUAACUGUUGGGGUCGGAUUCCAUCCUUUAGCGCCAAGCCAGACUUAGAAUACUUCGGGAGUCUUUCGGCGAUCGCCUCGGGGUAUCGCUUCAUUCACCUCGGGAUAUCCAUCUAAUCGAUCUAGUAUACCCGAGCCCGUCGCCUCGGGAAUACCUUUAACAAGUAGUCUCGAGUACCCGAGCCCUUCGCCUCGGAGAUACUCGAAAUUAGACGUUUCAAGCACCCGAGCCCUUAGCCUCGGGGAUGUUUGAACGUUAUGUCUCAAUCACCCGAGCCCUUCGCCUCGGGGAUACUUAAACAAGACGACGAAGGCACCCGAGCUCAAUUGCCUCGGGGGCACCCGAGCCCUUCGCCUCGGGGAUACUUAAACAAGACGACGCAGGCACCCGAGCCCAAUUGCCUCGGGGGUACCCAAGCCUGGUCGCCUCGGAAGUUUCUGAGCCCAUCGCCUCGGGGACACCCGAAGAAGCCAUCCUAGAAUGCCCGAGCCAGUCCUUCAUGUGUACCCGAGCCGGUUGCACAAGUUCCCCGAGGCGAAGUCUUCAUUAUCGCCCGAAGCAAAGACUUAGCAAAUAUCCUUCUCUAAAGGUAUCAUUUCCAAGCAAGUUAUCAUUUCCGAAAAAGAAGGAUCAUUUCCGAUAAACUCGGAAAUGAUAAGGAAGAAUCGCGAAGGAUCAACUCAAAUCAGGAAAUCUUCCGAAAACUCCGAAGAAUAAGGAAAUUGUCCUAAUCCGCGAUAUUCCGGCCGACUUCAAGAUAAAUGGAAAUCUUCCGAGAAUAUCGCUGGAGAGGCGGCUUAUCAUCCCUAUAUAAAGAGACUCAAGGCUCAAACGAAGGGAGAGGCAAUAUCGCUCUAGAAAUUAUACUACGCAAAGCUCUCACAGCACAAACACUUUUUCUUUUACGAUCAAACUCUUGUACGAUCAAAGUCAUCUUUUUCAUUAAUAAUAUCAAAAACACCAUCUUUGGUAUCAAUCGUUUCUGUUGUUCUUUGAGAAUUCACGAUUAUCGUAUCCCUAAAACAAAACCCUAGACAAAUCUUGAUUGUGUUAGUUUCGACUUCCACAGAAUUGCUUAAUGAUGAUAUUUAAGAGAAUUUAGGUUCUUGAUAUGAAUGUGCCAUAUUCCUCUCAAAUCACAUCAAAAUAAAUGUUAGUUCCAUUUAAGUUUUACGGAAAACGUUAUUUUUCAUGAGACAUGUUAUUCUAUUUCAAACCCAUUAAUCAAUUAUAAAUUCUCACAUCCAUCUAUGUAAACAAUUCAUAUAUUGUUAAAAGAAUUAAUAUGUUUGAAAAAAGAAAAUUAAUAUGUUACAAAAAAAAGCUUGCUCUUUGCAUAACAUUUAAAUGCAUAGCAAAAUUAUCCUAAAACUAAGUCGCAACAUUUAUUUGUACUUAUUUUACUCCAAAAUCUUUGACAAAAAAAAAAAAAAUUUACUCCAAAAUUUUGUAACCCCAUUUAAUUAUCUGAAAUUUACCUAGUUUGACCCAAAUCUUUUUUUUUUUGUUAUCCGAAAUUAAUUAUAGCUCAAAAGAGUCGUUCCUGUGGAAUGUUGUUUACAAAUGUGAUAUGAAGCGGUUCUGUACGAAUUUUUCGUGCCAGAUGAUCCGCUUUUACAUUAGCAUUGCGAGAAAUUAAAGAUAAAGAGAAUGAUGAGAAUUCUUCCUUGUCGCUCUGAAAUUCCUCCAAUUACACUGAAAACGCCGGUCAUUCGGUUGGAGAAGACACCAUCUUAACCAGAUCAUAACAGUCUGUAAGGAACUCUACCUCUUGAUUAUCUGCACCUAUCAUACACUUCAUCGCCCAGAGAAGGGCCUCGAAAUCGAUAUGUAAUGGAGAUAAACUUCGACGGAGAUUUGCAGCUCCCAUGGUUGGCGGUUCUCCGUUUGAUGAUGUACAAAACCAUCCUGGACCAGAGAACUUAUCACUUUCUUUCCACGAUCCAUCCACAAAGCAACGACAUCCUGAAUAAUUCGAGUCAAGUGAAGUAUUCCCCACUCGAGACCAAUUUACCAUUCCACAGUACCAUGAGUUUCAUGAUGAAGCUCAAUUUGGGCAGACUGCCAUAAUUUGCUUCUUUUUCCGCUAACCGUAAUACCUCCAACGGAUCUUUAUCAAUAUUUUCAAAUAUUUUUUCAUUCCUUGCUUUCCAUAUAUACCAGAUAAUCCAUGGAAAGGCUGAAGAGUCAAAGUCCAAAGGUAUUCUCCAAAAUAAAUGGUCCAAAUUCGCAAAAAUAGACUCCGUUGGAAAAAUUCCCAUUGCUGUAAGAAUCUGAGUAGUUUGACCCAAAUCUUAGGAAAAAUAACUAGAUUAACACCCAAAUAUUGUGGUAUACUAGAAUAACACAAAUUUUGUGUUAAAAGACCAAAUACUCAUUUUAUUUUCAAUUCUAUUAAAAUAAACUAAUUAACAUAUAAUAAUUAAAUUAAAUAAAAAAUUAGAAAAAAACAAAACGAAAAAAAAUAUAUAAAACGAAAAAAAUACAAUAAGAAUUUUUUUUUUAAAAAAAAACAAAAAACAAAUAUUAAACAAAAAAAAUUCAAAACAAAAAAAAAUUAAAUUAAAAAAAUUAUAUAUAUAACGAAAAAUAGAAAACAAAAAAAAAUUGAAAAAAAAUGAAAUAAAAAAUAAAAAACGAAAAAAUUAGAAAUUAAAAAAAAUAAAUAUAUAUCUAAAACAAAAAAAAAACUUAAUCAUAUAUUAAUGAGGAGAAAGCCACACAUGAGCCAUUUAAUGUAAAUAAAUCUGUCGCGGUAAGAAUAUGUUUGUCAUUACCUUAUUAUGCAGAUUAAAAUUUUAUUUUCAUCGAUAAAACUGUCAUCAGAUGACAUAUUUUUUUAUAUACUAUCUGAAAUCUGUCGUAAUAUAAAAAAAAUCUGUCAUAACAUAAAACAUUUCGGUUGCAAAUAUAUGUCAUUCUAGCAAUUUUUAUUUUUAAAUAACAAAUCUGCUAUCACACUCCAGAUUUUUGUUAAAACAAAAAAAACUGUCAUAACAUAAAAUAAAUCUGCUAUCACUAAUAAGUCAAAUUAGUAAUUAUUUUUUCAUUAACAACUCUGCUACAUUAUGACAGAUAUUUAUCAAAAAAUAUAAGUCUGACGCCACUGAAACAAUAAAUCUGCCACAUAUUUGAAUAAAUCUGUCAAAAUUACAAAAGUCUGUGGUGUCAUCAUAAAAUAAGUCUGUCGUAGAGAAAGAAUCUGUUACAAAUUAAAUAUCUGUCGUAACCUAUUUCAAGUAAAUCUGUGGGUGGAAAAAAAUCUGUCGCAAAAAAUCUGUCGUAGACAAAUAAGUCUGUUAUGGAAAUUAAAUCUGUCACAACUUAUCCAACAGACUUUUCAAAUAAUUUUUUUUUCCUAAUAGUUUUUGCCCACGUUUUUAUUAUUUAUUUAAGGGUAAUUUUGACUUUUUUUUUUAUUCCUAACAAAGAGAGAAAAGGUAUUAUGGUCACGAAAAUAACUCAUUUAAACCUUAAAUUUUUUAAGACAUUCUAGUAAUUAAAGUCAUAAUUUGGGUUAAUCUAGUAACUCUUCCUUUAAUUAUUCAUUAUUUAGAUGAUAGUACAACCUUCUAGAUAAUCUUUACAAUCAACGUGAAAGAAAAUGACAAAAAAAUGACUUUGGCCACGUACGUAUGAAAAUGCGGAAAAAGGACUUUGGGCCGUGACAGUGAAACUUAGAGAUCUUGUCGGUAACCAGAUCGCUUCACUUCAUUAGUGAUAUUUUAUCAUCACUAUUUUAGUAUUUUAGUAUUUUUCUUGUUUUUGUAGUUUUAAAUUUCAUGCUCUCCCUUGGACUUGGUCCGCUAAUGAUUCCGUUUGUUAUGUAGCUUAUCUAUCACUGUAGAAGUUUCAUUUAAAUUUAUGUAUUUUUGAUAAUUACCAAGUUGGUACCCAUUUGAGACAUACAUGAAUUUGUAAUGAUUUUAUUGUGACAUUCUAUAAUUUGUGUCAGUUUCGUCACAAUAGAAUUAUUGUGACCGAAUAUUCAUAUACUGUGACGACAAUAAUCGUAUAAUCAGCUAUGUGAAUUUGUAGUGGCAAGUAGAACUUGAAAUCGUAUGUGUAUUAGAAUUACCAUUACGUGUUUGUUUUUUUAAUCACAAGUCGCUUAUUUAUAAUCUCAAAUAAUAAUUUGUAUAGAUAUAUAGAUAGAAUAAAUUAAAGUACCAAACUAGCCAAAUGAAAAUGCUAAGAAAUUUACUAUUAGAAAGGAUGGAUGGUACCUGCAACACUACACUCAGUGACUUAGCUUGGAUAAUGCUUAGAUAAAUUGCAUGGACAGAUAUUUGAUCGCGGUCGGCCAGAAUUAACUAUAGCGAAGAAAAAUUUCAGUCAAAAGUUCCAUUAGAAAUUUAGAAUAUUUGUAUUCACGAUAGCCAAGUAAAACUUCUGCACCCUCUAAAAUGUAAGUUUUCAGUAGUUUCUACGCAUUGUUCCUUUAUGCUAUACUUACUCUUGUUCAGUGAAUCAGUGCAUAUAGAUUUGUCUCUAUAUAUCCCUAUGUCGGCAGAUAUUUCAAGAAAGAUCCAUAACAAGUAUCACUAGUGCACGACUUUUUUGUCCAGAUAAUAACAUACUUUAACUAAAAAAACUAGUGGAGUUUCCAUCAUAUUUAGUUACAAUGAAUCCAACAACGGACCAUAAGGGGCCCGACGCAACACGUAUAAUAAUACACUGAUAUUUAGGAUUCUACCAUUGGACAAUGAAAAUUUUAAAGAUUCAACACAAACUCUUAAUUUUGAAAUUAUCACAAUUUAUAAUAAAAAAAAUGUUUAAGAGUCUUUUUAAGGACUUUACCAUUGGACUUGCUCUUAUCUUCUUAAUUACCACUUUGUUACUAUUACCCUUAUGAUAAAUUUCCUUUAACUUUACUUUUGAUAAAAUAUUGCCUUCUUUUUAUUCUACUACGGAGUAAUUUUUUGACUUUUCUCAUUCCCUAUCCUCUUCAAUUUCUAUAAAUAGAGGGCAUGCAGCGUAACAAUUUACUCAUCACUUACUCAACAUACUACGAGGGUUAUUAGAACUUGAAAAAAAUGGCUUCCAAGGCUUUGAUUCUGUUGGGUCUCUUCGCAGUUCUUCUCGUCGUCUCGGAAGUGUCUGCCGCAAGCCAGUCGGGUACGUAAAUUAUUUUAUACAUUUCACUCUGCUUACAAAAAAAAACAAGAUAUGUUCGUGAGGCUAUUCGAACUUGAACUAACGUACCAUUUGAUAAAUUUAUACAACUAUUUCGUCAGUUCCAAUUUUGGACUUAGUAAAGUCAGAACACACUUCACCUAAGGGAUGUGGAAUCCUAGUAAGUUUUGUGUAAAUUAUGUUUCGAGCGUAUAUUUAAAAACUAUCGUUUCGAGUUUAUAUAUGUGCGUAUUUAAAAAAAAAAAUUUAAGGUGGGAAACAAAAUUGAAUUCAGGAAGAGAAAUUCACAUUUGCACGUGCUUAAAAAUGUCUUUGAAAUAACCUGUUUUUUUUUUGGGCAGGCAUGGUGAAGCCAGAGAGUGAGGAAACUGUGCAACCUGAAGGUUAUGGCGGUGGCCACGGAGGACAUGGUGGUUACGGAGGGGGAGGAGGCCACGGACAUGGAGGACACAACGGAGGAGGGGGCCACGGACUUGACGGAUACGGAGGAGGAAAUGGUGGUUACGGAGGUGGAGGACACUACGGAGGAGGUGGUGGAGGACACUACGGAGGAGGUGGUGGAGGACACUACGGAGGAGGUGGUGGAGGACACCACGGAGGAGGAGGCCACGGGCUUAACGAACCUGUUCAGACUCAGCCGGGUGUUUAAAACUAUAUCAUAUAUUCACCACCAUCCAUGAUUGCAUAUAUAUAUAUACACUUAUGUAUUAUGUGUAUGCUUAUAAAUAAACCAUGGUGAGUUUGUAACACAGUGCCUUCGGAAAUGUUUGGAAUAAAGUUCCAUUAUAAUCUGCGCUGUUUGCAUAAUAAAAUCGUUUGUAGGUCAUGUUACGCUCUUUCAGUUUUUUUUGUAAGAGUUUUAUUUCCUUAUUCAUAUUCUUAGGGUUAGUGAAAAAAAAGAUGGUAAACUGGCUAGGAAUUUUUUUCUUAAAAGAAAAGAUUACCAAAAACCUAGAGACUAUCGAGGUUUUGCAUACACCAACACUUACGAAGUUAAUUAAACAUAUGGAAGUGAUACGAGAUAUGGGAUCAAUUAAAACACAGCAGGGUGAUUUGUAAUCAAGAGUCUGUUGGAUCAACAAGUGUCUAUCGAACGCAGAUGGGUGAUCUAUAACCAGGUGUCUGUUGGAGCAACAAGCACCUGUGGAGAAUGGAGGAGUAACGUGCAUGGGAAGCAGCAAGCAUGGAAUAAAGAUGACGUGGCGAGCUGCUAUUGAUAUGAUUUAAUGGCGUAUCUUUCAGGAUAUUGACGAAUCAACAAAUAGAAGAUUCGGAGAUAUCUAGAUUAUGGAAACUAGGUCAGCCACGUGAUGUGUGGUUGGACCUAUAUAAGGCGGUCUAAGCGUUAGGCUUAGGUUAGCCGUUUUCCCCAUUUCUGUGAAUCACAAGAUCAAAAGCGGGAAAAGCUUGUUAGGGUUAUUGGUGAGUGAAUAGAGAGCAAAUCACAGCUAUUGUUGUGUCAGCGAGUUGGGUAGAUUAAGAAUUGGUCAGUGAUGAGUUAUGUCAACGUCGUGUAAAUCUGAUUAAAAAAAUCUGUUAGAUUGUUUAAGUGAUUCCUAAUAAAGAAAAGAGGUUUUUUUUCAAUUCUGUCUACAUCUACGUAAUAACAAUAACAAGAGCAAGAACAAAAGCUUUGGAUUAUAACAGAAAGUUCCAUAAGGAAUCUAUGAUAAUAAUUGAUUUGCAAUUAACAAAACCAUAGUUGCAAGUCUCACUUUCGCUUUCACAUUUGGUGGAGAUAAAACCUAUUUCUUUUCAUUACUCGGAGGUGGGUGUUUUGCUGAUUCUUUUACACGAUAUUAACAUUUUGUGGGUGCAUAAGUGACAGCUGAAUAUCUGAAUUCUUUCAAAUACGGAAAGCCCUUAGAGUAGUGGAACUUCGCUUGUAUUCGUUUUGGGUUCAGAUUGGCUGAUAUUUUAUAUUUUGUACUAAAUCUAUUUAAACUAGGCCUAAGGUUUAUAUCCGUUAUCCGCAGAUAUCCGUAUCCAUAUCCGGUUUUUGAUCCGAAAAAAAUGGAUAUCCGGCAAAACGGAUACGGAUACGGAUAGUAAAAUGACGGAUAUCCCGGAUACGGAUAUGGAUACGAAUAAUUCUAAAAUUUGGGCCGGAUAACGGAUAUCCGGCAAAAAAUAUAAUAACAAAUCUAUAUAUAAUAGCAAUCUAAUAAAUACGAUUUGCAUAUUUGAACGGUUGCGUCUUUUUAUCGCAACCUUUCGUUUAAAUCGGCUAUUUUCUUACAGUUAUUUUGGUUGCGUCUUUUUAUCGCAAUUUUCGUUUUAAUCGGUUAUUUUUUUACGGUUAUGUCGUUUCCAAUAAAUACCAUUUGCACAUCUGAACGGUUGCGUCUUUUUAUCGCAACUUUUCAUUUAAAUAUUGGCGGUUAUUUUUUCGGUUGUGUUUUCUUAUCGUAACUCUUCGUUAAAAUAUUGAAGGUUACUAUCUUUUGUUGACAGUUAUUUUUCAGUUAUGUUUUUUUAUCGCAAUUUUCCGAUAAAAUAUUGGCGGUUACUUUUUCGUUUAUGUCUUUUUCGUAAUUUUCCGUUAAAAUAUAGAAGGUUAUUUUUUUCUCGGUUGUGUCUUUUUAUCGCAACUUUCCGUUAAUAUAUUGACGGUUAUUUUCUCUCGGUUAUGUCUUUUUAUCGCAAUUCUUCGUUAAAAUAUUGACGUUUACUUUUUUCGUUGACAGAUAUUUUUUUUGGUUGUGUCUUUUCAUCGUAACUUUCCGUUAAAAUAUUGAUGGUUACUUUUUUCGUUUGUAUCUUUUUAUCACAACUUUCCUUAAAAAUAUCAACAGUUAUUUGUUCUCAGUUAUGUCUUUUUAUCGCAAAUUUCCGUUAAAAUAUUGACGGUUAUUUUUUCAAAGGUUCUGUCUUUUUAUCGCAACUCUUCGUUAAAAUAUUGACACUUAUUUAUUCUCGGUUGUGUUUUUUCUCGCAACUCUUUGUUAAAAUAUUGUCGGUUAUUUUUUCUCAGUUGUGUCUUUUUAUCGCAAUUAUUCGUUAAAAUAUUGACGGUUAUUUUUUUUGUUGACGGAUAUUUUUACGAUUGUGUUUUUAUCGUAAAUUUCCAUUAAAAUAUUGACGGUUACUUUUUCGUUUGUUUCUUUUUAUCGCAACUUUCCGUUAAAAUAUUGAUGGUUAUUUUUGCAGUUGUGUUUUUUAUCGCAAUUUUUGUAAAAUAUUGGCGGUUACCAUUUUCGUUUGUGUCUUUUUAUCGUAAUUUUCCAUUAAAUUAUUGACAGUUAUUUUUUCUCGGUUGUGUCUUUUAAUCGCAACUUUCUGUUAAAAUAUUGACGGUUAUUUUUUCUCGGUUGUGUCUUUUUAUCGUAACUCUCUGUUAAAAUAUUGGAUAUUACUUUUUUUGGUGACGAUUAUUUUUUCGGUUGUAUCUUUUUAUCUCAAUUUUCCAUUAAAAAUUGAGGAUUAAUUUUUUUGUUUGUGUCUUUUUAUCGCAACUCUUCGUUAAGAUAUUGACGGUUACUUUCUUCGUUGCCGGUUAUUUUUUUGGUUGCGUCUGUUUAUCAUAACUUAUGUUAAAAUAUUAACGGUUACUAUUUUUGUUUGUGUCUUUUUAUUGCAACUCUUCGUUAAGAUAUUAACGGUUACUUUUUUCGUUGCCAGUUAUUUUAUUGGUUGUGUCUUUUUGUCAUAACUUUAUGUUAAAAUAUUAACGGUUACUAUUUUUGUUUGUGUCUUUUUAUCGCAAAUUUUGGUUAAAAUAUUGACGGUUAUUUUUUCUAAGUUGUGUCUUUUUAUCGCAUUGUUUCGUUAAAAAUAUUGACAGUUAUUUUUUUGGGACAGUUCUAUUUGUUCAAUUAUAGUCAUAUUUUUUUAGUUUAUGGUUGUGUCUUUAUAGUUGCAUCUAUUCAUUUAAAUACGUCUCUAUACUAUAUUUAAUUGCAUUUUUUCAUCACAACUUUUUUGUAUGAAUAGUUGUCUAUUUAAAUGUUCAUAACUUUUGAACUCUAUAUAUUUGUCCUUCUUUCUAAAUAGUUCCCAAGUUUUGUUUUUUAACAUAGAUUUAUUGUUUCGUGAUGAAUCCAAAAAAAAAAAAAUCUGUAAAAUGGCUCUAAAUUCUUUAUUCUCUAAACUAUUUCUAAACAUAUAACAUUUUAAUAUUAAAGAAAUUCUUCUCAUUCUUGAUCUAACCAUUGUUUUUUAGAAUGAUUAUAAAAAUGGAGAAGUUUUAAUCAUCUUUACAUAUAAAAUUCUAAUGAAGACACCGACAAUUUUUUUCUUAGAAUUGGACGAAUUUUAUAGUAAAUUUUUUUUUAUUUUAACUAUUUUAUAUGAUAACAAUGAUGCUUUCUAUCUUAAAGAAAUAUAUAUGGGUUGUAUACAAGAAACUAUUAAUGUUGCGUUAAUACUAUUACAACUAGGAUAUGACCCGUGGUACACCGCGGGUUAAUUAUUUGAUUUUUUAAAUCAUUUUGUAAACUGAUGAAUUUGUUGUUUAUAAUAUUAUUUGUUGUAUACCGCGGAUCACAUGCGUUGUAACUAAAAAAUAAAAAUUUUAAGUUGUAUUUGUUUUGUUUAGUGUUUAAGAUUGUAUAAUUGUAUUUUGAUUUGUUAAUUCUAGGAUUUUACCCGUGGUAUAUUGUCCGUAUUAAUAUCGACCCAAACCCGUCUCACUAUAUAUUCCCGUCUUGUGAAUUAAACAUCAUUUUGUUAUUUUUUUAAUAACACUUUUAUUUAAAAGACAUAUAAUUCGAGUCAAUUUAAAAGUUUGUUUUCAAAUGGUUUCCAUAACAUAUAUAUAUUUUUAAAUUAGUGUGUGUUUUUGGACCAACCCGUAAAAACAAUUUAUAAUUUUAUCUUAAAAUACUAAAUAAUUGUAUUUUGAUUUGUUAAUUUUAGGAUUUCACCCGUAGUAUACGGUCCCGCUUUGGAUAAUUGUAGAAAUUAAGGAAAGUUCUAAAUGAUUCAAUUCCGGGUCAGAAAAAAAAAACGACCUAAUUAAAUACGCAAAUUUGUUCUUCAAAAAUGUUAAUAUAUAUUACACACAUACUUUUUUUCUUGAUUGAUUAAGUAAUAUAUGUCCGUUUCAAAAAAUUUGAAUCAUAGCAUAUGCAGGAAAAAAUCUAAGGUUUUAUUAACUACAUAUAUUUUAUAAUAAUUCAAAUAAUAUAAAUAUAAGAUCAAAUAAAAGUGAAAUGAGAAUCAUAUAUUUAUGUAUAAAUUAGGUAGAGAGGUUUUAGGAAAUUAGCUCAAAUUUGUUAUAUUAGCAUUAAAUCAUCAUAUUUGAUUUCCUUAUCUAUAAAAAUCGUAAAUAAUAUACCAUAAAUAAAGAGUUUAGAUAUAGUAAUUAAUUGAGAAAAUAUUUUAUAUAUUUUAGAUUUUAUUAAUUAAUUCCGUUUUUAAAUUUUGCCAAAAUUUAAGGAAAGAUCCGAUUGAGAUUUCCGGGUCAAAAUUGAAUCAAAAUCCAACCCGAUUAGGAUCCCUUAAAAGUGUUGCAAAAAUGUAUAGUAGAAGUCUAAAUAUGAGAUAACAUCCUCAUGUGACCCUUGUGAUUUUGCGUUUUAAAUGUGGUAAACGUCAAAUGAAUCGUUUCAAAUGUUAUAGUAAUCGAGAAAUCAUCUACAUUAUUAGGCAAAAAAGCAAUGAUUCCAAUUCGUCAAAUAUUUAUUCAAGGAAGAAGUUUUUUUACUCAGUUAAUUUAUCAAUAUAUAUAAAUAUAAUUUAUGAGAUCUUGUAAAAUGUAUAUUUUUUUGCAAUAGAUGUAAUUUAGGUCAAAUUUUAUAUUUUUGAACAUAUAUAAUAGAAUAAAUAUUAAUUUUAUAUUUAAAGAAUAGUGGACAAAAAAAAACACCAAUUUUUGGACGAAGUGUUUAGCCACCCAUAAGUCAUUCUGAGUACCGACUCCAUCCGAAUUUUUGGGUUUUGACCCGCUAGAAUUUUACAUCUCUAUAUUAUAACUCUUCGUUAUGUAUUUUGUCAUUUAUAAAUAAUUUUACAUUUCAAGAGUUUUUUUAAUCAAAAUUCUUCUUUUUUAAAUUUCUAUUCAUAAAUUUUUUUAACAUCUUCGAAAAAUAAUUACGAUAUAACUUUAAAAGAUAGUUAAUUUUAUGUAAUAAUUCAUAAAUUUGCAUAUAUUAUUACAAUAAUUUAAUACAUAAACACAAUCAAAUAUAUGUGUUGAAAAUGAGUUCCCCCGUGACAUAGCGGGGUUCAUAACCUAGUAAUAAUAAUAAUUAUAACUUAAAAGCCUUAUGACUCCAUUUCAAGUGUUAAAGCCCAAAAAAACUUGUAAGCCCAACUUUUUUAAUAUUGUUUUUAUUUUAUUUUCAAUGUUAAUAAAUAAAUCAUAUGACAAAAAAUAAAAAUAAAUUUCUAAUAAGAAUUUAAGAAAUUGAUUAAUGUUUUUUUUUUGUUAAAAACAUCACAUGAAUCUUUUAAACUUUUUGCUACUUUAAUAAAUUCUUUGUUUUUGUAAUGUUUUGUAUAUAUAAUUAACUUCUAGUUAUUUUAUGAAUUUUUUAAGCUUUAUAUGUAUGAUAUUAAUGAAUUUAGGAUUUUAAAACACUAUUUCCGGAUAUUCGCUUCAACGACAGAUCCGGAUACAGAUACUAAAUUGGCGGAUAAUAUGGAUACGGAUAUCUUAAAAAAACCGGAUAUCCUCCCCGUUUAAAGGCCUAAUUUAAACUAUCUAAAGUAUCUGAAAUACCCGAAAAAUCUAUACUUUUAUCCAGUCAUGCAAGUUCGGUUAACAGAAACCGAACUGAGCCAAUAUCUCAGUUUCUUGGUUUAUUUAGUUAUCAGACAAUACCACAUUAACCAAAUAAUUAUUUGGUUUAAUUCGGUUCACGGUUUAUUUUGGUUAUUGAAAUUCCGAAUUAAACCGAUAUUGGAUUAAAUUCAAUACACCUAGUUAAAUUAUGUAAAAUCAGUAAAAUCGGUUUGUUCGGUUAAUAUUGGUUAAUGGGUUUUCAAUUUAAUGUGCUAUAAUUGGUUUUGCCCCUGUCAAACAAAAAAAAAGUUUGGGCCAAUCCUUAUAAAGAAAAACGAAAAUUUGGCAGGUUGACAACAUUUUCUUUUAUGAAACGGUGCGUUUUGGAGCCUUCUUCUUCAACCUUUUUUUAUUUUUUAUUUUUUUUAUUUUUAUUUUUUUAUUUUAAUACCAGGAGGUUGUAAACCAAAACCUGUAAUCCUCUAGGCCCGAAACCACAGCAUGUAAUAUUAGUUUUAUCCCAAACGUCACUCGAACCGUCGACCUCUAAGCUUCGCCUACGAUCUUUACCAGUUGGUCUUCAACCUUGUCACAAGCCACAAAACUCUAAGCAGAGAAAACUUCUCGACGAGUUUUGAACAAAGAAAAAGAAGAUCUUGGUUGAUCGUUUAGUUCACAUGAAUUACCAAAAAUAUCGGAAAAAUUGUAAUUUUGGGUAUUUGGAUUAUUAAAAUAUAAAUAAUACUAAUAUUUUUUGGGUAUAUACUUACAUUUUUGUUAUGUUUGGAUACUUGUUCGAUUUCGUAUUCGAUAAGAUUCUUCACGUCUAGAUGUUUAGGUUAUGUUUCGGGUAUUUUGGCCUGUUCAUGCCUCUUUUUUUUGUUCAAGUUCGAUUAUUUUUUUUCGGUUAUAUUAUUUUGUUCAUGCUUCGAAAAUGUUUAAAAGAUCGCUGGUUUUAAAAAUGGUUAAUUAAAACAACUAACUUUUUGAUAGAAUAUCAAAUUUCCAUUUUUUUAAUUAUAAAUGUUUAUUGAUUAAACCAAAUUAAUAGCAUUGUUAAGCGGGUUGACAAAAAAAUAUUAGGUUUUCCGUCAAUCCUUAAUUAACUGUAUAUGUAAUCGAUGUAGUAAAUUUCCAUCCUAUUUUAUCCUAUAUACCAUACACAAAUUAGAAUCCUUUAAAUAAUACAUACAUGUGAUGGAUCACAACCGUAAUAGGAAAGACAGCAAAUGAGCCUCGCUUAUCCCUGUCCGUAAGAAACCGACAACCAAUUCCGAGUCCAACUCCAACUCCAUGCGUCUAAAAACGUAUUAUAGUAGCCCCCCACAACUCCGUUAGGGGUGCUGGCAAAAUUUCUCAUCCAAGAUCCAUCUUUCCCCAAUAGGACUCCUCCAGCCGCAAGCCCUAGAUUUCAAUGAGAGUUCCCAUCUGUUGUGAGCUUUAUCCAACCCUUAUUCGGUGGCGCCACUUGAUCACCGAAUUAAUUAAUUAGUUCACCGUCAAAUUAAUAUGGGGAAUAGGAAACUUGAUUUAGUGACACAUUUUCUUUCUAACCAUUCAUCGUAAACUUUUUUUUUAAUCAUUAACUCCACCAUUUAAAAAAAAACAACAUAUCUAUUAAUAUUAUCCAAUAAUGCGCUUACACGGCCAAUCGACCCACAAAAUAGAAGAAGAAAACAAAAACGACACCAAACCGGAGAUCUGGACAUGGUGGAUAUCAGCAGCACCGGCAGCACCUCCAAGCUCCGGUGAUAACAAGAGGCCCUUCUUGCUGCUCCAUUGCGACUCGAGUGACAUGGCCGAAGUUAUCGAUUAUUGCCACAAAUAUCCAAAGCCAACAACAGAGCCGACCCAAAAAUCCCUUUUCUGAAAAGGUUGAAACCGAAGAAAACCGAACCUCUAAUUUUAGUCCCUAACCAAGCAACAAGAAACCUAAUUCAAACCUUCACCUCCUACACCAUUCUCAACACAAUCCUCCUCCAAACAGUCAUAGCUUUGAUUCGGUCAAACAAAAACCAGAUGUGGCGGAGAUUAGAGCAAAUGGCUCAAACAAACCCUAGCCGCCGUUAUCCUCACUCGGACAUCUCAUAUCUAUUCGGAUCUGCUGCUAAUCGUCACGACAAGCAGUGACCCCAGCCCCACCAAUCUUCUUUUGACUUCCACCACCCGUCGUAGGAGCCCCUCUGACAAUCGAGCCGAGAGUUUCCUUAUGUCCUGUAGCGUCCCGUCCCGGACGUCUCGGCGUCCGGCGACCAUUGACGCUCGUUCGUGCCUCCUCCCGGCCGAACCUCCAUAUUUUUCGCGAUUUAACAUAGAAUUGCCUUUACGAGGCCUAAUUCUAUAAUCGCUUUCUUUUUACCCAGCGGAAGUCUUUCUACACUUGGUUUAAUUCCAACCAAUCUUUGUACCGGUUUUAUCGUCCUUGUCCCUAAGACUUAGAUCUUCCUUAACUCGGUCAAGACAUGCAUAUUGUUCGCUAACCAUUCUAAGUCUAACGAUUGCAUAUUCCUUUAUCCUUAAUCCAACGGCCGAUUCUCAAACGUCUAUCUUAACUAAUAAGUAAGAUUUGUUACAUACCUUGGCCAACAUGCGGAUGCGAUUCCUCUUCUAUCCGUCCAUUGAUCCUUCCCUUAGCCAUUUUGUUGCCUUAUUCCAUUCGUACAACGAUCCUUAACCAAUCAUGUAUUGAUGGACCAAUCUCUAUCGUUACUUAGCCAUACAUCCAACCAACCCCACUGGUCUAAGUCCCUACGAUAGAGAUUGGGGAUCGUACGUUUCCCUUGGUUCACGGUGGCCGAAUCAAGCUCUCGGCUCAUUGGUCCAUCCGUCCUCCAAACAUACGCCCCUUUGGUUUCAUUGUGGAAGAUCAAUGUUUCCGAUCCGGUCGUUUAUCACUACGACCACCUACGGUUUAUUAACCGUUUACCCGUCCGGUCCAUGGUGGUCGGUAAAGCCUUCGGCUUAUCGAUCCAUCCAUGCGAUCUGAACAAUAUCAUUAUCUCACCCAAGGGUCCGUGGAUUCAUCCAUCGGAUUAUCGUAGGCUAGCCCAUGAAAUCAUUCGUCCGUCGGCCUUUGGUUUGCUCGCGGGUCCAACAUCUGUUUUGUCCACCGGUUCUCACCGUGGACUUUCCUGUUGGUUAUCCGUCGAGUCACCAUUGGUCUUACUGAUUUCUAAUCGGUUUCACCAUUGGCCAUGGCGAUUGAUACAUAAAGACGGCCACGAUAUUAGAUUCUUGCAUGGUGAACCACGUCACUUACCCAUUCUCGGUGCUUACUCCCUUUACCGGUGAGAUUGCAUCCAUGGGCGACCCUUGGGUGUGUUCGGUUGCACUUACCCUCGUGCUUCCUCGAACACCUUUGAAAGACCCCGGUCCGGACUGCCUAAGUCCGGAGAGGUUCUCUUCGACCAAACCACUAAGUGAUCCGAUCCUUAGUCAAAUUUUAGGGCCAUUUCCUUAAGACAAUCCGUCUUACGAUAUUCUGAGAUUCGUUACUUAGAGUCAAUAUGCGAUAUUAGAGUAAACAAAGAAUCGAAUACUUUAUUAGAUAUUUAAAAGGAUUCGAUACAACUUAUGAGUUUGCAUAUAAGCUAUUACAAGUCAUAUAACCGAUCCUAUUCUAUCCGAUUCAUCACCACCCAUCUUCCCGGCCUUGAGUCUCUCACGCCUAAGCCAAGUCCUUCCCACGAUCACCAUCCUUUCCUGAAAGUCAAAGAGGCAUAAGUAUCCGUUUUACUUAUUAUAUGCAAGUUCAUGCAAUGCUCUCUAAGCCUUUUAACCACCCGGAACGAAGAACAGAUCGGAGAGUGGAAGUAUACGCAUCAGUUCGGCCGAUUCACGGUAGAUCUUAACAGAUCCGCCGAGCCGCAUCUCCAUUUCAACCGAUCCGCCAUUCAAACCAAGUUUAUGCAUGAUAUGAAUGAUCCCCUGAUACUACAAUAUCACCCUAUUCGUUCCGGACUUCUUCUAAGUCAUCGGAACAAUUCCUAGGCUAGAUCAUACGUAUCAUAUCUCCUUAGGUUCGGACACAAAGUCUAGAACCGUCUCACCUUCGAUCGCACCGAUCGUAACUCUUUCUUAAGUGUUUUCUCUCAAGAUGUUCUCCGAGAGUUUCUGUAUUUUUCUCUAAGUUUUUCCGUGUCCGAAAUCGCCCCAAAUGCCUUGUAUUUAUAGAGUUUCGUUUGGAAAACCGCUUCCCAACCGUUUCCCUAGAAGGCACCCUUUCGUUCCAUAACUCUGUUGUAACCGUCAACCGCAACCGCCCAACCGCUCCUACGUAACCGCCCAACCGUCCAAUAGUUAUCUGAGCUUAGCUGAGCUACCCGGCAGCUGGUCGAGCUAGCUGAGCUACUCAACAGUUACCCGAGCUUAGCUGAGCUACCCGGCGGUACUUCGAGCUUAGUUGAGCUGUACGGGAGCUGGUUUGGCUAUUUAGCGUGCAUUAUUCCCCUUCUCCGAGCUGAUGGGCAGCUCUUAUCUAGACUUGUCCGAGUUUCUCCUCCUUUUCUCGGACCAAGUCUCAUCCGACGAUCCUAUCGAGGAUCGCGGGCGUUACAAGUCUCCCCCCCUUGAAUGGGAUUCGUCCCCGAAUCCGUCUCAAGUUGAUCUUUACCCAUCUCUUUAAACCACUUAGGAAAAUCAGCCUUCAUUUUAUUUUCGGUUUCCCAAGUAGUUUCUUCGCGGCCUCCACAAUCCCAUAACACUUUUAUCAUGCUAAUUCUUUUCCGCCUUGUCCCCUUUUCCAUUCGAUCAACAAUCCGAAUUGGAUUUGCUUCCACCGUUAAGUUUUCUUUUAACUCCGAAGGAACAUCUUCUACUCGCUCCUCGUGUUCACUUAGGCAUUUCCUUAGUUGUGAAACGUGGAAAACCUUGUGAAACGCAUCUAACUUUGGCGGAAGUUUGUGUUUGUAUGCCACAACCCCUACUCGUUCGAUCACCUUGUAUAGGCCAACAUACCUUGGACUCAACUUUUUCCUUGUUGAAAAUCGUCCUUUGCCCUUAUACGUUACGACCUUAAGAUACACCAAGUCUCCUACUUGGAAUUCCAACUCCUUACGACGCUUAUCCGCAUAGCUUUUCUGUCGGUUUUGGGCCUCCUUUAGUUUGAUCUUUAGGAACUUCAUCUUUCGGUGGUUUCAUCCAUAAUCUUUGGACCAAACAGCAUGCGUUCGCCCACCGGUGUCCAACACAGCGGCGUCCGACAUGCUCAUCCGUACAACGCCUCAUAAGGUGACAUGCCAAUACUAGCUUGGUAGCUAUUGUUAUAGGCAAACUCCACCAACCUUAAGUACUUCUCCCAAUUCCCACCCCAAUCCAAGACACAUGCACGUAACAUGUCCUCGAGGGUUUGAAUCGUUCGUUCGGAUUGCCCAUCCGUUUGCGGGUGGUACGCCGUACUUAGGUUCACCCUCGUCCCUAAAGCUUUUUGAAAAGCCUUCCAGAAAUGCGAUGUGAACCUUGUAUCCCGAUCCGAUACAAUGCUUACCGGCACUCCAUGUAAUCGGACUAUCUCGUCGAUAUAUCUUGCGGCUAUAUCUUCGGCUCCAUCCGUUUUGGAGAUUGCUAUGAAGUGUGCGGACUUAGUCAAUCUGUCCACCACCACCCAAACCACAUUAUGCUUAGACUUUAUCCCCGUAGGCAACCCGGUAACAAAGUCCAUCGUUACAUGGUCCCAUUUCCAUUCGGGCAUGGGUAAGUUUUGUACUAACUCACUUGGUACUUGAUGUUCCGCCUUAACAAGUUGGCACGUUGAACACUUACCCACCCAUGCGGCUACAUCCUUCUUCAUCCCGACCCAAUGGUAAUACCUUUUUAGGUCUCGGUACAUCUUAUUGGACCCGGGGUGAAUCGAGAACUUUGAUUGGUGCGCUUCCUUAAGGAUUUCUCCCUUCAAACCCUUGUCAUUCGGCACACAUACACGACCGUUCACCACUAUGGUACCAUUGUUCGAGGUUUGGUACUCCAUUUUAUUAUUCUUCGCCCAAGUUUUCAACUCCUCGUCCGUUUCUUGGGCCAAACGAAUUCUACUAAGUAGAUCGGCUUGAUCGGCCGCACCUAAACCCAAUGGUUCAAGAUCCUUGGAUAAUGCAUUUAAAUGCAAUGUCCCCAUCAUGUUAACCAAGUCCACUUGGUUUUUCUCCGCUUCUACGUCGAAACGUCUCCUACUUAAGGCAUCGGCGACUUGAUUUGCCUUUCCCGGAUGAUAGGCAAUAUCUAAGUCGUAAUCCGCCACAAACUCCAUCCAUCUUCUUUGCCUUAGAUUUAACUCCGGCUGGGUGAAUAUGUACUUAAGACUCUUGUGGUCGGUGAAGAUUUGUACUUUGGCUCCGUAAAGAUACAAUCGCCAAAUCUUCAAGGCAAACACCACCGCAGCCAUUUCUAAGUCAUGCGUAGGGUAAUUUCCUUCGUGUUUACGCAAUUGCCUUGAAGCAUAAGCGAUUACACUACCCUUUUGCAUCAACACGCAUCCUAGUCCCGUGAUCGAUGCAUCCGUAUAGACCAUGUAAGUUUCACCUUCCUCCAGUAACACCAAUACCGGAGCGCACGUUAACAUUGCCUUUAACUCGGAAAAACUCUUCUCACAUUCCUCCGACCAUUGGAACUUAGUAUCCUUUCCUGUUAGUCGAGUCAUCGGUUGGGACAUACUCGCAAAGCCCUUCACAAACCUUCGGUAAUAACCCGCCAAACCGAGGAAACUUGUAACACCCGCGUCCCGCGAUCCUAAAGGGGGCCGGUUUGUUUUAGGAAAAAACUAGAUCAUGGUCGAGAAAGACCAAUGAAUAAGUUAACCCAAGGAAGAAAUGAAACGUUUAAGUCAUGAAAAGGGUAGAUGACAUAGACGACAUCGGGAUAAUCUAGUGAUCAUGAAGAAAUGAUCACGGAAAGAUUGGGAAUGGCGUAGUCAUGGCCAAGAAAACGGACCAAAAGACUUAGCCGGAAAGAACGCGAAAGAACGUUCGAGCUAAACCAGCUAGGUGAGCUGGACAAGCUGGAUGAACUAGCUAGCUCAGCUAGGUGAGCUAAACCAGCUGCAUGACUAGCUAGCUCAGUUAGGUGAGCUGACCGACAGCUCAACCGAGCUCGGUGAACUGAUCGAGUACUAACCCAGCUGGGUGGUCCGGUCAGCUGACACUCGAGCUGGUGGACUGUGGUAGCUCGGGAUGAAGAGGUGUAAGGUCGAGCGGUUACCGACGAACGGUUACCGUUGGCCAAAGGGUGGAUAAGGCCAAACGGUUACGAUCGGAAAGACGCAACCUUUCAAAAGGGUGCAACGAAUGGAUGUGAUGUUUCAGAAACACACCCAUUCGGCCCCUAUAUAAGGGAGGACGUCCAAGGGCCUCACAAUCAAUCCUCACACACUUCACAAUCACCACAACAAUCCAAAACAAGUCCCAAAACACUCUACGAAGUGUUGGUCGGAAAGGGGGUGCGGCUCGGCGAGUAUCUCCGGAAUCGGAAUGGAUUCUCGGAGCCUCGACCGAACUGAUGCGCAUGCUACCUCCCGAUCCAACGGUUCGAUAGAAUGUAUUGAGGGAUGGAUGGGAUGGACCGAUCGUCUUAGAGACGGAUCGGAUCGGACAAACUGAUCGUCGUACGGAUGGAUCGGAUCGGAGAAGAAGACGGAUCCGGAUAGACCGUCGCACAGACGGAUUGAUCGACCGGGAUAGGUGGAUCGAAAAUCGUGUUAACAAGUCGGAUCGACGUAUGACCGGAUAUGUGUACGAUCGGAUAAACGGAUAAAGGUUUAGAUCGGCGGAUUGAUCGAUCGUACCGAUCGGCGGGAUGACCGAUGGUACGUAUCGGAGAUCUUGUCGAGGGAACAUGGCGGAUUACAUGAUCGAGGAUUCAAUGGGAACCGCCGAAGGGUUUGACGACUUGAUUGAUGGUUCGGGUCGAUAGCUCGAUUAUGGGGUCGAUGGAUCGUCCGUUCUAUGAAUCAUAUCGUCGAGGGAAGGACACGAAAAGGAAAUGGAUCGGCAAAUCUAAGAUUGUCAAUAUGGAAGUAUUGACGAAUCCAAAGAUAGUCCGAUAGAUGAUAUGGUUAACGGGAAGUUAAUCGGGAAGGCGUAUAAGGGAAACGUGUUCGAAGAAGCACGAGGAUAAGUGCAACCGAACACACCCAAGGGUCGCCCAUGGAUGCAAUCUCACCGGUAAAGGGAGUAAGCACCGAGAAUGGGUAAGUGACGUGGUUCACCAUGUAAGGAUCUAAUAUCGCGGCCGCCUUCAUGUAUCAAUCGCCAUGGCCAAUGGUGAAAACCGAUUGGGAAUCGGUAACACCAAUGGUGACUCGACGGAUAACCAACAGGAAAGUCCACGGUGAGAGUCGGUGGACAAAACGGAUGUUGGACCCGCGAGCAACCCAAAGGCCGAUGGACGAAUGAUUUCAUGGGCUAGCCUACGAUAAUCCGAUGGAUGAAUCCACGGACCCUUGGGUGUGAUAAUGAUAUUGUUCGGAUCGCAUGGAUGGAUCGGUAAGCCGAAGGCGUUAUGACCACCAUGGACCGAACGGGUAAACGGUUAGUAGACCGUGGGCGGUCGUAGUAAUAAACGAUCGGAUCGGAAACAUGGAUGGUUCGAUAAGCCGAGGGCUUGAUCGUCCACCAUGAAACCGAAGGGGCGUACGUUUGGAGGACGGAUGGACCAAUGAGCCAAGAGCUUGAUUUGGCCACCGUGAACCAAGGAAAACGUACGAUCCCCAAUCUCUAUCGUAGGGACUUAGACCAGUGGGGUUGGUUGGAUGAAUGGCUAAGUAACGAUAGAGAUUGGUCCAUCAAUACACGAUUGGUUAAGAAUCGUUGUACGAAUGGAAUAAGGCGACGAGAAGGCUAAGAGAAGGAUCAAUAGACGGAUCGAAGAGGAAUCAAAUCCGCAUGUAGGCCAAGGUAUGUAAACGCAUCUAACUUAUUAGUUAAGAUAGACGUUUGGGAAUUGGCCGUUGGAUUAGGGGUACAAAGAAUAUGCAAUCGUUAGACUUAGAAUGGUUAGCGAACAAAUUGCAUGACUUGGCCGAGUUAAUGAUCGAUCUAAAGUCUAAGGGACAAAGAUGAUCAAACCGGUACAAGGGAUGGUUGGAAUUAGACCAAGGGUAUAAAGACUUCCGCUGUGUUAAGAGAUAAGGAUUAUAGAAUUAAGCCUCGUAAAGGCAAUUCUAUGUUAAAUCGUGAAAAAUAUGGAGGUUCGGCCGGGAAGUGGCGCGAACGUGAACCUUGGGUCGCCGGACGCCGAGACAUCCGGGACGGGGUCUCACAAGUUGGUAUCAGAGCAUGCUUGAUCCUAGGAUGGAUAAGUGCUCGGGAAAAUGUCAUGGUAAAUGACAACUAAAGGUGUAACUUAAAUGAUUGAGUCCUCGGGAAACCGAAUUAUGAACUUGAACAGUAGUGUUGGUGAGCCAGAAGGGAAUUGAGGCAAGAACGCGAUUACAUGCUUGGAAACCAAAAGAGUUUGCCAAGAUGAAUUGGUUAAGCCAAGAUGAUUACCCAAGGGGCAAGAACUACACGUGUAUCAAGUGGAUAAUUAUUCGGAGAGAAGGGCUGAUUAUAGAAGUUGAAAAUGUUAUGCUAAGUGUUUGGCGGAUAAGGAAGUUGAGGUGAAUGAGAUCGAUGUGCUUGAGGAAAGAUUACCCAAGGCAUGAUCGGGCACCAAGAUAUGACCCUUAUAGUCAAACGACUUAACAUAACGGGGAAAUAGGUAUUGAUCUAUUCGGAGAAUGGCCAAGAUCAAUAGAAAUUAGAUCUCGUCGGAAUUUGACGAAGAUCGGGAAAGACUUGAUCUAUUCGAUUGAAAAGAUGAAGGGGUAUUGACCGAGUCCGGUAAAGGGCCAAGGUCGGGAAUUAUUGACCAAGUCCGGAAAGGACCAAGGUCGGGAAUUAUUGACCGAGUCCGGUAAGGGACUAAGGUCGGGAAAAGUGACCGAGUCCGGUGGGGACCAAGGUCGGGAAAAUUAACCGAGUCCGUAUAGGACCAAGGUUGGGAAAUAUUGACCGAGUCUGAUUUGGACCAAGGUCGAAAAUUUGUUCUACUCGGGAUUGGACUAGGAUGGGAAACAUUUGAUCGCGUUCGGAAAAUGGAACAAGAUCGGGAAAAUAGAUUGAGUCCGGUAAUUGGACCAAGAUCGGGAAAAUGGAUCAAGUCCGAGAGAGGACCAAGAUCGGGAAACUUGAUCAAACUCGGAAAUAGAUAUUUGGUCAAGUAUGGAAUCUAAAGUCUUGGGAAGACUAAAGAUGGGGAAACGUUAAGGAGUAACGAAUUUUAAGGGGGGUAGACUUGUAACACCCGCGUCCCGCGAUCCUAAAGGGGGCCGGUUUGUUUUAGGAAAAAACUAGAUCAUGGUCGAGAAAGACCAAUGAAUAAGUUAACCCAAGGAAGAAAUGAAACGUUUAAGUCAUGAAAAGGGUAGAUGACAUAGACGACAUCGGGAUAAUCUAGUGAUCAUGAAGAAAUGAUCACGGAAAGAUUGGGAAUGGCGUAGUCAUGGCCAAGAAAACGGACCAAAAGACUUAGCCGGAAAGAACGCGAAAGAACGUUCGAGCUAAACCAGCUAGGUGAGCUGGACAAGCUGGAUGAACUAGCUAGCUCAGCUAGGUGAGCUAAACCAGCUGCAUGACUAGCUAGCUCAGCUAGGUGAGCUGACCGACAGCUCAACCGAGCUCGGUGAACUGAUCGAGUACUAACCCAGCUGGGUGGUCCGGUCAGCUGACACUCGAGCUGGUGGACUGUGGUAGCUCGGGAUGAAGAGGUGUAAGGUCGAGCGGUUACCGACGAACGGUUACCGUUGGCCAAAGGGUGGAUAAGGCCAAACGGUUACGAUCGGAAAGACGCAACCUUUCAAAAGGGUGCAACGAAUGGAUGUGAUGUUUCAGAAACACACCCAUUCGGCCCCUAUAUAAGGGAGGACGUCCAAGGGCCUCACAAUCAAUCCUCACACACUUCACAAUCACCACAACAAUCCAAAACAAGUCCCAAAACACUCUACGAAGUGUUGGUCGGAAAGGGGGUGCGGCUCGGCGAGUAUCUCCGGAAUCGGAAUGGAUUCUCGGAGCCUCGACCGAACUGAUGCGCAUGCUACCUCCCGAUCCAACGGUUCGAUAGAAUGUAUUGAGGGAUGGAUGGGAUGGACCGAUCGUAUUAGAGACGGAUCGGAUCGGACAAACUGAUCGUCGUACGGAUGGAUCGGAUCGGAGAAGAAGACGGAUCCGGAUAGACCGUCGCACAGACGGAUUGAUCGACCGGGAUAGGUGGAUCGAAAAUCGUGUUAACAAGUCGGAUCGACGUAUGACCGGAUAGGUGUACGAUCGGAUAAACGGAUAAAGGUUUAGAUCGGCGGAUUGAUCGAUCGUACCGAUCGGCGGGAUGACCGAUGGUACGUAUCGGAGAUCUUGUCGAGGGAACAUGGCGGAUUACAUGAUCGAGGAUUCAAUGGGAACCGCCGAAGGGUUUGACGACUUGAUUGAUGGUUCGGGUCGAUAGCUCGAUUAUGGGGUCGAUGGAUCGUCCGUUCUAUGAAUCAUAUCGUCGAGGGAAGGACACGAAAAGGAAAUGGAUCGGCAAAUCUAAGAUUGUCAAUAUGGAAGUAUUGACGAAUCCAAAGAUAGUCCGAUAGAUGAUAUGGUUAACGGGAAGUUAAUCGGGAAGGCGUAUAAGGGAAACGUGUUCGAAGAAGCACGAGGAUAAGUGCAACCGAACACACCCAAGGGUCGCCCAUGGAUGCAAUCUCACCGGUAAAGGGAGUAAGCACCGAGAAUGGGUAAGUGACGUGGUUCACCAUGUAAGGAUCUAAUAUCGCGGCCGCCUUCAUGUAUCAAUCGCCAUGGCCAAUGGUGAAAACCGAUUGGGAAUCGGUAACACCAAUGGUGACUCGACGGAUAACCAACAGGAAAGUCCACGGUGAGAGUCGGUGGACAAAACGGAUGUUGGACCCGCGAGCAACCCAAAGGCCGAUGGACGAAUGAUUUCAUGGGCUAGCCUACGAUAAUCCGAUGGAUGAAUCCACGGACCCUUGGGUGUGAUAAUGAUAUUGUUCGGAUCGCAUGGAUGGAUCGGUAAGCCGAAGGCGUUAUGACCACCAUGGACCGGACGGGUAAACGGUUAGUAGACCGUGGGCGGUCGUAGUAAUAAACGAUCAGAUCGGAAACAUGGAUGGUUCGAUAAGCCGAGGGCUUGAUCGUCCACCAUGAAACCGAAGGGGCGUACGUUUGGAGGACGGAUGGACCAAUGAGCCAAGAGCUUGAUUUGGCCACCGUGAACCAAGGAAAACGUACGAUCCCCAAUCUCUAUCGUAGGGACUUAGACCAGUGGGGUUGGUUGGAUGAAUGGCUAAGUAACGAUAGAGAUUGGUCCAUCAAUACACGAUUGGUUAAGAAUCGUUGUACGAAUGGAAUAAGGCGACGAGAAGGCUAAGAGAAGGAUCAAUAGACGGAUCGAAGAGGAAUCAAAUCCGCAUGUAGGCCAAGGUAUGUAAACGCAUCUAACUUAUUAGUUAAGAUAGACGUUUGGGAAUUGGCCGUUGGAUUAGGGAUACAAAGAAUAUGCAAUCGUUAGACUUAGAAUGGUUAGCGAACAAAUUGCAUGACUUGGCCGAGUUAAUGAUCGAUCUAAAGUCUAAGGGACAAAGAUGAUCAAACCGGUACAAGGGAUGGUUGGAAUUAGACCAAGGGUAUAAAGACUUCCGCUGUGUUAAGAGAUAAGGAUUAUAGAAUUAAGCCUCGUAAAGGCAAUUCUAUGUUAAAUCGUGAAAAAUAUGGAGGUUCGGCCGGGAAGUGGCGCGAACGUGAACCUUGGGUCGCCGGACGCCGAGACAUCCGGGACGGGGUCUCACAAAACUCCUAAUCUCGGUGGCAUUCUUUACCGUAACUUUAUUCAAUCCCUGAUAGUCAAUGCAUAGCCUAAAGCUACCAUCUUUUUUCUUUACAAACAAGACCGGUGCACCCCAUGGUGAACUACUUGGUCUAAUAAAUCCUUUUUCCAACAACUCCUCUAAUUGUUUCUUUAGCUCCGCCAUUUCCGCCGGUGCCAUCCGGUACGGAGCUUUAGAUAUCGGAGUUGUCCCCGCUUCGAGUUCAAUCAUGAAUGGGUCGGACCGGUCUGGUGGUAAACCACUCACGGCCUCAAACACAUCCGAGAACUCGUUUGCGAUCAGAAUGUCUUUCAACUCCGCAUUUGCCCCAACUUCGUGGGUUGUGAUUGUGGCUAUGUAUGCCUCACACCCUUUCUCGAGCAUCUUUUCCGCUUGGAUUGCCGAGAUUACUAAACUUCCCGAAGUUGUCCUUAUUCCUUGGAAUUUCAACAUUCCUUCCUCCCUCUCGAAUUGAAUCCGUCCUCGGUGGCAAUCAAUAUGUGUCUUAUACUUUCCCAACCAGUCCAUACCCAAAAUAACAUCGUAUUUCUUGAGUUGAACAACGAUUAAGUCCGUAGGCAUAUUGACACCGUUGACUACAACCGAGAUUUCCUGAACCACACCGGACGGAUACAUUGCUUGUCCGCCGGCGGCUAUAACCAUUCCAUAUUCGGUGUUUGGUUCUUUCUUGAACCCACCUUUUUCAACCAUCUCGGAACUCACAAAACAAUGUGUAGCUCCAUAAUCAAAUAAGGUGUGUGAUUCUACAUCACCUAUACACAAGGUCCCUACACAUUCCCCUAGAAUGCUGAGUACCCCAAUCCGUUUAUGCAUGAUGCGAUGCAAUUUACGAAUUAACAUAAAGAUCACAAGGACUUACCAGUGAUCGCCCUGAAGUUCCCGGCAUUGUUAGCAUCCUCCGACAGUUCGUAAACUCGCGGUGCUAUGGCCUGCCUCUUAGGCGGAGGCGGUAAUCCGUUUCCGCUACGGUUUGCCUUUUGUGCGGCUUGCUUUUCCACUUCCAGCUUCGGACACUCCCUCUUAAAGUGUCCCGCUUUCCCACAAUGGUAACAAGUCUUUGGUUCUUCAGCGAGAACUUUUGGUUGCCCCGAAUCCAUCCUUGGACAGUUUUGAAUCCCGUGGUCCUUACUUCCACACAGGCCACAUGCACCAAUGGCCUUCCAGCAAAUCCCACCAUGAUUCUUUCCACAAGUCAAGCAUUCUCCGCGCUUAGCACCCGACUUAGUGUCAUCCACCUUGUCCCAUUUCCUCUUCUUAUCCGCGGACUUGCUUGGUUGGCUAGAACGAUUCGGAAACUUCUCACGAUUCAUGAGUUUUUCUUCCUCAAUUCCGAUUUCGAUCAUAGCCGCCCUUUCCACCAAUUCGGAGACCGAAUUAAAGGUACGGAUUAAGCAAUGGUUACGGAUCUCCACCCUUAACCCACAGAUGAAACGGCGCACUUGAGACUGCUCAUCCUCGAGCUCUCUUCCCACGUAUCGCCUAAGGCGAUUGAACUCUUCAUCGUAUUCUCGCACCGUUCGGUUGCCUUGUAUCAAAUCCAAGUAGGCACACUCAAGCCGGUCCCAUGCUUCCGGAGGGAAAAAUUUAUUGUUAAACUCCUCCUCAAAGUUCGCAAAGGUUUGGAUUUGAUCACCCUUACGUUUCUCCACGGUGAGCCACCAAUUAUGUGCAUCCCCUUCCAAGAAGUGGAUUGCAAUGUCCUUCCGGUAAUCCUCCGGGCAUCGAGUGGAGUUAAAGUUUCUUUUGAGCCGAGUCCUCCACUCCAUCGCCACGAUCGGGUCGGAACUCCCCGUGAAGUGACUUGUUCCCAACUUCGAGACGUGCUGGAGUAAACUCAAGUAGUCUCCCCUCUUCCUUGAAAAGUUCGUAGGCAGAUUGACUUCAACAAUCUCCAAAUCUACGUCCGCAUCCGCGUCUGUUUUGUUCUCCUUCACUUGCACCACAGGAUCCGGUACAAGUGCCUUAGUCAAUGCGGUCAUUUGUACCAUCAUAGCUUUCAUCAUUUCCCAUUGUUCUUGGGCCGAUGGAAGUGCGUUCGGAUUCUCCUUCCCAUCCGUUGCACAACUGUUCUCCGGAGUUUGAUGAACCGGAGACUUUUGUCCAGCCACAGGUCCGGCCGGAUUUGUCCCAUCAAGCAUUGCUUCGACACUUGUUUCCUUGGUAACUUGUGUCUCCUCGACAACCAACGUCUCCUCUACGAUGUCCUUACCCUUAUCCUUCUUACUCUUUCCCGUUUUGUUGCUCUUACCCAUCUGCGAGAAAUUUCAAAGUUAGUUAUGGUAACUCAUAGUAAAUCGCAAGAGAGUAAGAAACAACUACCGUGAGGACCCAUAAGCCGAUGAGUGGUGAUUCCCAAAACCCGCACUAAUGGUCCUAGAACCAAGCAUGCUCUGAUACCAAUUUGAAAGACCCCGGUCCGGACUGCCUAAGUCCGGAGAGGUUCUCUCUGACCAAACCACUAAGUGAUCCGAUCCUUAGUCAAAUUUUAGGGCCAUUUCCUUAAGACAAUCCGUCUUACGAUAUUCUGAGAUUCGUUACUUAGAGUCAAUAUGCGAUAUUAGAGUAAAUAAAGAAUCAGAUACUUUAUUAGAUAUUUAAAAGGAUUCGAUACAACUUAUGAGUUUGCAUAUACGCUAUUACAAGUCAUAUAACCGAUCCUAUUCUACCCGAUUCAUCACCACCCAUCUUUCCGGCCUUGAGUCUCUCACGCCUAAGCCAAGUCCUUCCCACGAUCACCAUCCUUUCCUAAAAGUCAAAGAGGCAUAAGUAUCCGUUUUACUUAUUAUAUGCAAGUCCAUGCAAUGCUCUCUAAGCCUUUUAACCACCCGGAACGAAGAACAGAUCGGAGAGUGGAAGUAUACGCAUCAGUUCGGCCGAUUCACGGUAGAUCUUAACAGAUCCGCCGAUCCUCCGCCGAGCCGCAUCCCCAUUUCAACCGAUCCGCCAUUCGAACCAAGUUUAUGUAUGAUAUGAAUGAUCCCCCGAUACUACAAUAUCACUCUAAUCGUUCCGGACUUUUUCUAAGUCAUCGGAACAAUCCCUAGGCUAGAUCAUACGUAUCAUAUCUCCUUAGGUUCGGACACAAAGUCUAGAACCGUCUCACCUUCGAUCGCACCGAUCAUAACUCUCUCUUAAGUGUUUUCUCUCAAGAUGUUCUCCGAGAGUUUCUGUAUUUUUCUCUAAGUUUUUCCGUGUCCAAAAUCGCCCCAAAUGCCUUGUAUUUAUAGAGUUUGUUUGGAAAACCGCUUCCUAACCGUUUCCCUAGAAGGUACCCUUUUGUUCCAUAACCGUCUGUUGUAACCGUUAACCGCAACCGCCCAACCGCUCCUACGUAACCGCCCAACCAUCCAAUAGUUAUCCGAGCUUAGCUGAGCUACCCGGCAGCUGGUCGAGCUAGCUGAGCUACUCAACAGUUACCCGAGCUUAGCUGAGCUACCCGGCGGUACUUCGAGCUUAGUUGAGCUGUACGGGAGCUGGUUUGGCUACUUAGCGUGUAUUAUUCCCCUUCUCCGAGCUGAUGGGCAGCUCCUAUCUAGACUUGUCCGAGUUCCUCCUCCUUUUCUCGUACCAAGUCUCAUCUGACGAUCCUAUCGGUCUUUCCCUUAUACGCCUUUCCGAUUAACUUCCCGUUAACCAUAUCAUCUAUCGGUCUAACUUUGGAUUCGUCAAUACUUCCAUAUUGACAAUCUUAGAUUUGCUGAUCCAUUUCCUUUUCGUGUCCUUCCCUCGACGAUAUGAUUCAUAGAACGGACGAUCCAUCGAUCCCAUAAUCGAGCUAUCGAUCCGAACCAUCAAUCAAGUCGUCGAACUAUCCGUCCAUCCAACUCCUUAAUCGAAUUGUCGUUCCAUCGAUCCGAUCCAUCGAUCGAUACCAUGAUACGAUCAUUUGGUCGACCCGACCAUCUUACCCGAUCCGUCCCGUCUCUCCGACGAACGAUCCAUCCGUUCCGAUCCGUCUCUCCGACAAUCGUUCCGAUCAAACCAUCCAAACAUUCCAUCGAACCGUUGGAUCGGGAGGUAGCAUGCGCAUCAGUUCAGUCGAGGCUCCGAGAAUCCGUUCCGAUUCUGGAGAUACCUGCCGAGCCGCACCCCCUUUCCGACCAACAACUUCGUGGCAUGUUUAGGACUAUUUUCGGAUUGGGUUUUUGAUUGUGAAGUGUGUGUGGAUCAUUGUGAAGCCCUUUGGAUGUCCACCCCUUAUAUAGGGCCGAAUGGGUGCCUUCCCGAAGAAGCACAUCCGUUCUUUGCACCCUUCCGAAGGGUUGCAUCUUUUCGAUCGUAACCGCUCGGCCUUAUCCAUCCUUUGGCCAACGGUAACCGUUCGUCGAUAACCGCUCGACCUUACACCUCUUCAUCCCCGAGCUACCAUAGUCCACCAGCUCGAGUGUUAGCUGACCGGACUACCUAGCUGGGUCAGUACUCGAUCAGUUCACCGAGCUCGGUUGAGAUGUCGGUCAGCUCACCUAGCUGAGCUAGCUAGUCCUCCAGCUGGUUUAGCUCACCUAGCUGAGCUAGCUAGUUCGUCCAGCUUGUCCAGCUCACCUAGCUGGAUUAACUCGGACUCUUUUGUCCGUUCUUUCCGGCUAAGUCUUUCGGUCCGUUUUCUCGGCCUUGACUACGCCAUUCUCAAUCUUUCCAUGAUCAUUUUUCCAUGAUCACUAGAUUAUCGCGAAACCGUCUAAGUCAUCUACCCCUUUCAUGACUUAAACGUUUCAUUCCUUCCUUGGGUUAACUUAUUCAUUGGUCUUUCUCGACCAUGAUCUAGUUUUCCCUAAAAUAAACCGGCCCCCUUUAGGAUCGCGGGACGCGGACGUUACAUGUCCCCUCCUCCGGAAUCCUUAACCAGUGGUGGUACAAUGAGGAGAAAUCACGAGAUCGUCGGGAAGUUCGCUAAAACUAGCAUCCGAAGGCGGAUCAUCCACACCGCAUCACCGUUGGAGAAAAAUAACCAUCACCAACUGAUUGAACCGCUUGCCUCAUCAUUGACGUUGAAGAUCUGAAACGAAACAGAAAAAAACAAAGCUUCUAUAGAUCUACUUUUAGGAGAUAGAAUCGAGGGUUUUUUGCUGGGAACGAUGUCCUCUAUAUUUUUUCUUUAUUUACUUCGUUACAUCUACUCCACGAAAACUCUUUUUAGAAAUAAUAGCUUUUGAGUAAUAUAAAAAGAGAAAAUUUCAAAGAAAGACAAGGGUCUCAUGGGGUUCUUAUGACUAUCUCAAAGUGUCUCAUUUGAGAAUCCCUCCUAACUCCCUCUCUCUAUCUCUUUUUUUUUUUGUUUUUUAACUGUAAGAAACCCACUAAAGAACCUUCCAAUGGAGAUGCUCGAAUUGUGCGUCUGCUGGCUCUGGUGGAACCCACAACCCCGGAGCUAUGCCUCCUCUAUGCUCAUGCUUUGAUUUUGUUUGCGUUUGUUGUGUACCACCCGAGGUUGUUGGAUUUUCUCCGAUCAUAUUUUUCUUAUUCCCUUUGUGAAUAAGACAACAUUAGAACAUUGUUAAGGUCGAUGGUGGCUUGGUUUCAGCCAAGAAGUGGUGGUUGAUUUGCCUUGCUCAUCAUUUUUUUUUGGGUUUCUUCGGAUCUUCAGAGCAGUUUUAGAUCCAGUUCGUGAAAGUAUUUUUGGUCACUUUUGACAAGUUUGCUCAUCAAUUUUUGUUGGAUGUUAGUGAUUCUGCUUUGUUUUGUUCUCUUGAGUUUUUGGUGCAUAGUGUGUGACAAAGUUUCGAUUUGUGGUUUUGUUCAUUCGGAUGAGAAUUCUUCACUGAGCCGCCCUCUACUAGUCAUUAUCUGCGUUUUUCUGAUAUGUGGUUUUGGCUCCAAGGCAAAGCAGCGUGUUUGAUUUUCAGGUCUUCUCUUGGAAGGACUUAACCCAUCUCUUGUUUGUAGGUGGUCAAGAUCAGGUCUACGAGUGUCCGCGGGUAAGACUUGUUGAUCCUAUUUGGAAAAUAUUCAGUCGUUCUCUCAAGGUUUAUCCUUGAACCCUUGUCAUCUCUAGUGUUUUGAUUUCUCGGGGUGGUCGUUGUGGAGUUGUUUCGGGUUAUGUUUGCGUUGUUGUCACACGUUUGUUUCUUCCUUUGUUGUUCUAGCUACGAGUUUGAGUUCUACCGUCGUUCGGGUUGCCUCGCCUCCCAGAAGCUUCCUAGUUCUUGGCUCUCCGUCUUUUUUCUUUUGUUGCAGCUUUGGCUUUACCGAAUUCUAUACAAAAGUUUGAGUUAUGAUGUUCGUUCCAGUAUAUCAAUUUUAAUGCUUUGAUCCAUUAUCUUUACCUUUAAUUUUUUUAUUUUGCUCCAAUUUCUUUGUUUUCCUUGUUUCCUUCUUUUGGGCGUUACCUUCCAAAGAUUUUUUUAUUUUUUUUGGGAUUAUAUUUCUCUCUUUUGGGUUUUAGGGUGCGGAGAUUUCUUCAUUUUCUUUCAGCUUAGUUUAUUGUACCUUAAAUCUUUCUGAUUAUUUAUCAAGGAGAACACGAAAAAAAAAUUAUUCGGAGGUCUGCCACCAUAUGCGCCACCUAAAACUUUAAGAGCAUUUUUGAAAAUAAAUAUUUUCUGAAAUAUUGUUGAUAGGGGAUAUAUUUGAAAAAUGGUAUUGUAAAAGCUUUUAAACUAAAAGGGGAUGUUGUUGUUACCCUAGAGCUUUUAAAUUCUGACAUAACAUAAGCCGUUCCUAUUGGCUAUUGAUAUUAUCUUGUUAGUGAUAUUUUAAAAUAUGAUUCAAUUGAUUACAAACAAUUACUUGCAUUGUAUUAGUCUCUAUAUAUCUAUGAAAUCGUAGAACCAAUAGAACGACAAACUCAAUAGAAAUGACUUUUUAUUAAACACCAAAAAUGAUUAUUUGCUAGAUGAAUAAAGUUCCUCUAAUUUAGUUAGUAAUUUAAUUUUAAAGGGGAAAUUUCAAAAAAAAAAAAAAUACCCCAAAUAUUUUUAAUUUGGAUGUUUAAUACCUAAUAUUUUUGGUUGGAAUAAAAUACCUCAUUUAAAUAUUAUUGGUCUAAACACAUUAUUUAAAUUAUUUGUGGAUGGAAACCCGUACGUAAUCUAACAACCGUUAACUGGUGUUACAUAAUCAUUUAACGAUGUUAAAUCAUAACUUGAUAUAUUUAAAUAUAUAGAGACUAAUAUAUACUUAAGAAUUUCCUAGAAACCUCACAACUUUGUUUCUUGUAUACAAUUGCAAAUGAUGAUAAUUUCAAGCGAAUUUAGGUUCUUGAUAUCUAUGUGUCAUAUUUCUCUCAAAACACAUCACAGCAAAAUAGUGUUAGUUCCAUAUUUUCGUUCCAUUUAACUUUUACCUAAUUCAAAACACAUUAAUGGUUACGUGAACGUCUAAAUUCUGACAUCCACUUAUAUGCAUAACAUUUUUUUUUUCUUUUCGUCCUUCUCAUAAAUUAAUAAUAUAUGCAUGGAAAAAUCUUUCUCCAAAAUUUUGUUAUCCCACCUAACCUUCUAGAUAAUGAGUUUGAUUGGUGAACAAAAAUAAAGUAUUACAAGUUGUACAGUUUUUAUUUUUACCGAUCACAAAAACUUUAUCAAAAACGUUACUAAAAGUUUUACUCUUACCUUUUUUGUACAGCUUUCUCGUUCAAUUCUUUUAUACAGCUUAGCACUAUUUCGGUAAAGCUUACAGCUCCAGCUAACAGCUAAAAAAUUUGUACAGCUUUUGGUUACCAAUCAUACCUAAUAUUUACAAUAAGCAUGAAAAGGAUAUAACAAAAAUUGACUGUGUCAAAGAAAAAAAGCAAGGUUUCUUGGCCACGUCUGAAAAUGCGGGAAAAGGCCUUUGGGCCGUGAAAGUGAAACUUAUCAUCACUAUUUUAGUAUUUUCUUAUCAUCACUAGAUCGCUUCACUUCAUGGGUGAUACUUUAUCAUCACUAUUUUAGUAUUUUCUUGUAAUUUUAAAUUGCAUGCUCUCUCUUGGACUUGGUCCGCUAAUCACUUUACGAGGUCAUACCCAUUUGGACCCUAGUCCCUCUAGUCUCAAUAUCAUGCAAUCAGCUAUGUGAAUAGUAGUGGCGAGUAGAACUCGAACUCCUAUAUCGGUAUAUGUAUAGUGUUACCAUUACCAGUUUGUUUGUUUUUUUUAAAAUCACAAGUCGCUUGUCUUAAUCUCACAAAGUAAUUUCUAUACAUAGAUAGAAUAAACAAUGAUGUAACAAAUUAGCCCCAAAAAAGUGCUAAGAAAAUCACUAUUGAGUCAAAUGCAAGUAGCAAGUGGUACUGUGGUACUGUGGUAGAUACAUGACUACACCCAGUGACUUGGAUAAUAUUAUAGCCAAGCAAUUUUUUCAGGCAAGAAUAUUCGUAUUCACGAUAGCCAAGCAACACGUUUGCACCCCUUAUGCUACUUACUCUUGUUCAGUGUAUAGUUUUGUCUUUAUCCCUCUGUCGGCAGAGAAUAGAAGAAGGAUUCUUAACAAGUAUCAAUAGUGGACGACUUUUCUGUCCAAAUAAUAAUAACAACAUAUUUACAUAACAAUCUAAAUACAUAACAAUCUGAUAUGAUAAUAAUGUUUCAGUAAAGGAAUUCUAAAUAUCUAGAAGUUUAUGAAUGCGCUGUGUUUAUAGAAAUAUUAAAAAACUAGUGUAGUUUCCAUCUACGUUGAUUCAUAUUUUAGUUACAAUGAAUCCAACAACGGACCAUAAGGGGCCCGACGCAACACGUAUAAUAAAACUCUGAUACUUAUCUUCUUACUACUUUGUUUCUAUUAUGAUAAAUUUCCUUUAACUUUUUUCUUUUUUUUUUUUUUUUUUUUUUUUUUUUUUUUUUUUUUUAAUUUCCUUUAACUUUAGUUUUGAUAAAAUAUUAAUUGCCUUCUUUUUAUUCUACUACGGAGUAAUUUUUUGACUUUUCUCAUUCCCUAUCCUCUUCAAUUUCUAUAAAUAGAGGGCAUGCAGCGUAACAUUCUACUCAUCACUUAAUUAAUUAACAUACUAAGAGAGUUAUUAGAACUUGAAAAAAAAUGGCUUCCAAGGCUUUGAUUCUGUUAGGGCUCUUCGCAGUUCUUAUCGUCGUCUCCGAAGUGUCUGCCGCAAGGCAGUCGGGUACCUAAACUUAUUUAAUACAUUUCAGUCUUAAAAUAAACAAGAUAUAUGUUCGUGAGGCAUAUCAAACUUUAACUAACGUAAAAAAAAAAAAAAAAAUUUUUUUAACUAACGUACCAUUUGAUAAAUUAUCCAACUAUUUAUCAGAGCAUACUUCACCUAAGUGAUGUGGAAGCCCUAGUAAGUUUUGUGUAAAUUGUGUUUCGAACGUAUAUAUAAAAACUAAAGUUUCGAGUUUAUGUACCUAUUUAAGAAAAUAAUUUAAGCUGGGAAACAAAAUUGAAAUCAGGAAGAGGAAUUCAUAUUUGAUGUUCUUAAAAAUGUAUUUGAAAUUAAAUAACGUGUUUUGUUUUGGGCAGGCAUGGUGAAGCCAGAGAGUGAGGAAACUGUGCAACCUGAAGGACAUGGUGGUGGCCACGGAGGACAUGGUGGUCACGGAGGAGGCCACGGACAUGGAGGACACCACGGAGGAGGGGGCCACGGACUUGACGGAUACGGAGGUGGACACUACGGAGGAGGAGGACACUACGGAGGAGGAGGAGGCCACGGACACUACGGAGGAGGAGGAGGAGGCCACGGACACUACGGAGGAGGAGGAGGCCACGGACACUACGGAGGUGGAGGACACCACGGAGGAGGAGGCCACGGGCUUAACGACGAACCUGUUCAGACUCAGCCGGGUGUUUAAAACUAUAUCAUAUAUUCACCAAUCACCACCAUGCAUGAUUGCAUCUAUAUAUACACUUAUGUAUUAUGUGUAUGCCUAUAAAUAAACCAUGGUGACUUUGUAAUGCAGUUCCUUCAGAAAUGUGUGGAAUAAUGUUUCAUAAUAUUAAUAUAUUGUCUCUCAGUGUGAAUUAUAAUCUGCGCUGUUUGCAUUAUAAAAUGGUUUGUAGGUUUCUUGAUUCAUAUUCUUCGGGUUGGAUGGUAAACUGGCUAGGGACUUUUUUUAAGAAGAUACUACUAAAAACCUAGAGACUAUCGAGGUUUUGCAUACACCAAUACUUACAAAGUUCAUAAAACAUACGAAAAUUCCAUGGAGAAUCUUAGUAUAAGAAUUUAUUUGCAGUUCACUAAAUCAAAUCUGCAAGUCUCACUGUCUCUUUCAUAUAGGUGAAGAUAAAACAUACUCCCUCCGUUUCAUAAUAUAAGUCGUUUUGGAGAAAAAUUUUUGUUCCACAAUAUAAGUCGUUUUUAAAUCUCUAUGCAAAUUAUAUAUUAUUUUAAAAUUUUAUAACUAUUUAUAUUAUGUACUUUUACGAUUGGGUGAACUUUUUAAAAGCAGAUCUUUUUAAUUUGCGUGCUUAAAACUAAAACGACUUAUAUUAUGAAACGGAGGGAGUAUAUUCUUUUCAUUACUCGGAGGUGACCAGAUGGAUACGAUAUUUUGCUGAUUCUCUCACAAGAUGUUAAGAUGAUUUUGAAUUCUUCAUACCCAGAAAUCCCUUAAAUCAGUGGACCUUCACUUUUCUUACAGUGACACCAAGAACUUACAUUAAUGCCUCGAUCAAAUAUAUAAGAAAAAAGUCGGUUGAGAGGGACUAAAGGAGGACGAGCUUUUUUUUUGGGGGGACGAAAGAGAGAGGAAGUAUCUACUACAUUUAGUAAAUUACUAUACAUCUAUAAAUUUUUGCCAAAAGGCCUAUUUUAUUUGCAAAGAUCUACAAGAACUAUUUAGUCAAAGACGUGCACAUAAAAUUUAGAUAACUUCUUUAACUGUCUAAAAUAUAAUCAUAUAAAUUUGUUUUAAUGCUAUUUUUCAUUUUCCAACUAUGUGGAUUUAGAUCUAUAAGUUUGACAUUCAUAUACAUGAUUAUAAAUGUUUAUGUGUUAUUUGAUAUAAAUUAAAAAAUAUUUUUGUCUAAUUUUUUACGAUUUAAUUUUUUUUUUAAUAUAUUAUUUUGUAUAAUUUUAUCUAUAAUAUCAUAUAUAUAUAUAUAUAUAAAAUAUUUUAUGUUAUACUUGUGUAAAUUGUCUAAAAUCCAAUAGACCAUGAUUAAACAUUGUAAGCACUAGGUGUUGGGCUACUGCCCACUUACCGCCUAGCGCUUUCUUUAAUAUUGGUUGAGGGUGGUUCAAUUAGAUGCGUCGUGGGAGAACAUAAAUUGUAAACAAAAAAAAAUGUUCCGUGAACUUACUUAACAACAAGACUAGUUUGGCUGAGUCAACAAAAUUUAGUGAUUAAAAUAGAGUCAAUAAAAAUUAUUUUGAUAUUACAUAAUCUUUUUAUUAAAAUAAAAUUUAUAACUCAACAAAAAAAAUAUUUUACGACAAUGAAUCAUGAGUGAAAAACUGGAAAUUACCCUAUUUCUUUUCUGAGAAGUCAUUGUUAUUGUAUUUUGCUCGAUUAUGUAUAGAAGGCACAUAUACAGUUAUGUAUAUUCUUAGCUAUGACACGGAGAAAAUAUCAAAAUAAAUUGUGCUUUUUCUCAAAAAAAUUGGAUAAUCACCACAAAUAUUCAUGACAAGAUCGGACAAAGUUUGACUAUAUUGUGGAUAUUGUAAAUGUCUAAAGAUGCGGAACGCAAAAACAUGGAUGAAAUAAUAUGUGUGGCACACUUACUAUAUCCGCACAGUAAUUUACUUUUUAUUUUAUUUUUAUAUAAACGAUUGAUUUAUCGAUCAUUUGUAAAUCACAAUUCAUUAUUUCAAUUAUAAAAAAUAAUAAUUUAUCUUUCUCAUCUCUUUUCAGUAUUCUCGAUCCUUCUGCAGGUAUAAAUUCUUUAUCUAUUAUUUAUAUUAUAGACACCAUAAAAUCAAGGUAAUUAUUUAUAACACGUUAUCAGUACGAUGACUCUAUGUUCACUGACAAAUACGGUAUUAUACCGGGUAGUAAAUCGCUUCGUUAAAGAAAAAAAAAAGAGAAAAAAGGAAGAGAGCAUAAAAGAAAAGAAAAAAAUUAUAUAAUAAACAAAAGAAAAUAUAUAUAUAUAUAUAUUAUUAUUUUCUACUAGUUGUUCAGACACCGUUAUUUACUCGUUAGUAUAGUGAAAGGAAUGUCACCGCUAUAAAUAAUCAUUAUAAUGAAUGUUUUAUACACCAAGCCACCUAUAAUAUGGAUGACUCCGUUACCAUAAUUUAUUUACUGUUAUAAACUGAAUGACUCUGUCACCACAAUAUUACUGUUAAAAUUUAUUUAUGUUAUAUUUAUAUUUUGAUUAAUAUAUAAAGAGGCUCAGCCACCUAUAUAAAAACUUAUUAUCUCAAUUUAGUAAAUUUAAUUGAUUGGCUAUGAAAUUUAAAGAUUGAUUUUCUAUUUAAAUCUUUUCACUAACGGUCAUGAAAAAAAAAAUUCAAAAAUUUAUCACUUUUCAAACGGCUAUGAACAGUAAUUUUCAAUAUAUAAAUACACUCAUUUUCACUCAUUCAUUCACUCAAAAAUCAUAUCUCUCCUCAUAUAUUUUUCUAAGAAAUUUAUUUAAGUUAUGAUUCGCUUGUUUUUAAUUUUUUGCUUAAUCGCAAUUUUUACAUGUACUUAUGAUCUUUUCAUUGGAGAAUUUUCUCGCGAAGUAUUCACCAUAAGUAUCGCUUUAUUUUUCUAUGCAAUUAUGUUCUUUGUAAUCGCUUGCAUUAUUAAUAUAAAUGGUUCAAUAUGAAAUAAUAAUUAUAUUUUACUAAUACUAUCUAUUCAAUUUUGUGUUUAGAUAACUAAUGGCAAGCAUUGAGAAACUUAUGUGUCCAGCUCUAUACAUCACUUUGGCUAAUUAUAUAUCUUGGAUUGCUUACGUCGAAAUACAUUUACAUCUCUUGGAUUAAUGAAAACCAUAAAAGAGAAUAAUACCUCGACGGUUCAAGAAAGAGAAAAAUCGGUGGUCUUUAUUUUACGACACCUUAAUGAAAAUAUCAUAUGUGAUUAUACACACAAAAAAGAUCCCAAAGAGAUCUGGGAAUCCCUAAAAGUUCGAUUUGAUAAUCGAAAAGCCAUAAAUCUCCCACUUGUUCGGGAUGAAUGACAAAGUCUAAAGUUCAAAGACUUUGAUACAUUGAUGGAUUAUAAUUCUGCUAUGAUGGAAGUUGUGGUUAAACUAAAAUAUUAUGGUGAUAUUAUCACCGAUUCUCAAAUGCUUGAGAAAACAUCUACCACGUUUCAUGAAAACCUCAUUGUAACACCCUAGUUUCAGGAAUAUGGUGGUGCAUGCAGAGAGGUUUAAAAGAAUUGAUUUGUCCACCUAUGUCACCAAAGUGCACUUAUCUUUUCGAUCAACUGUCCUCAGAGAACUCCACAGUUAAGGAUGCUUGAACUGGAUCGAGCAAUUUCAGGAUGGGUGACCUUCCGGAAAGUGAUUGUCGGAACUGUGUGAGUGAGGAUAAAACACAGGGAAAGAUCAUGUAGUGAUUUGUAGGGUCGGUAAAGAAGUCUUUAAAGUCUCCCAGACGUAGCGAACCGACCGUCGGACAGGGGUGGAUCCAUGGGACCAAGAAUGGACGUGGAGCCCAGGGACGGUCAGGGUGUUACACUCAUUACCCAGCAAGAACUAUAUAAGUCAUGCGGAUACACCAAAUUUUUGGAUUUAUUUGUGACACUCCUAAUAGCGAAAAGGAUUAAUAAAACCGCUCAUGAGGAUAACUGAAAUGCCUGUAGUGAGAGUACUAUUCUCGAGUAAUGCCAUUAUAUAAGUAUUAUAUAUUUUGGUUGGUUUAAAUUAAAGUUAUUUCUGGAAAUGAACUAAUGUAUGAUUAUUCUAUAUUUUUCAAUAUCAAUGAUAUUUGCUUAUAUUUAUUAAUGUUUACAUCAGAGAGCAAAGUUGCAUUGGAUGAAAAUAGGGGACCAAAACAACAAAGCUUAUUACAAUUCAGUAAAGAUCAGGGAGAACCGUAACAACAUCAAAGAGAUACAAUGUGAAGAUGGAACAAUAGUGUCUGGCCAGGACUAAAUCAAAGCAGAGGCAGAGAGGCACUUCAAGGAUUUCCUAACAAUUAAGCCUGCGGACUAUGAGGAAUGGUCGCCGGAAGAGUUGGAAGGACUGCUAAAAUUUCAGUGUGAUGAGGCUGAUAAACUAAUGCUAACAAAGGAGGUCACAGAGGAAGAAGUUAGGAAAACUCUCUUCUCAAUGCCGGUAAAUAAAUCUCCGGGUCCAGAUGGGUUUACAUGUGAAUUUUUCAAGGAAACUUGGUCGGUAGUGGGCAGUGAUUUUGUCGUAGCCAUCCAGUCUUUCUUCAAGACAGGAUUUCUACCUAAAGGAGUUAACUCGACUAUUCUCGCUCUGAUUCCCAAAAAGAAAGAAGCUAAAGUUAUGAAGGAUUAUAGACCAAUAUCAUGUUGCAAUGUUCUCUACAAAGUCAUCUCCAAAAUUCUCGCAAAUCGGCUCAAAACUUUACUCCCCCGGUUCAUCUCUGCAAAUCAGUCUGCAUUCAUAAAGGACAGAUUACUAAUGGAAAACCUCCUACUUGCUACGGAAAUCAUCAAGGAUUAUCAUAAAGAUUCAGUUUCACCUCGCUGUGCAAUGAAAAUUGACAUAUCGAAAGCUUUCGACUCUGUCCAGUGGAGUUUUUUGCUCAACACACUACGAGCUCUUCACUUCCCUGAGACGUUUAUACACUGGAUCAAGAUUUGCAUUACCACUGCUUCUUUCUCUGUGCAAGUCAAUGGAGAGCUAGCAGGAUAUUUUGGAAGCGAAAGAGGGCUUCGCCAAGGCUGCUCUCUAAGCCCGUAUCUCUUUGUCAUCUGCAUGAAUGUUCUGUCUAAAAAGAUAGAUAAAGCUGCCAGCGACAAAAAAAUUUCUCUUCAUCCGAACUGUAAGCAACUCAGUUUAACACAUUUGUGCUUCGCUAAUGAUCUUAUGGUUUUUGUGAAAGGGGAUAAGAAAUCAAUACAAGGAACAAUGGCAGUGUUUGAUGACUUUGCUACACACUCGGGGCUGAAGAUCAGCUUAGAAAAGUCGACAAUUUACAUGGCUGGUAUUUCGGAAACAGAUAGAGAGGUUAUUCUUCAACAAUUUCCUUUCGAAUAUGGAUCAUUACCGGUCAGAUACCUGGGACUCCCGCUCUUAACGAGAAGAAUGACUGCAUCGGAUUACCUCCCACUUGUGGAAAAAAUCAGAUCACAAAUUAGUACAUGGACUGCUCGUGCUCUCUCUUUUGCAGGGAGACUCCAACUGUUAAGCUCUGUAGUGUUCAGUCUCAUAAAUUUCUGGAUAGCAGCUUUUCGAUUGCCAAAAGCUUGUAUCCGUGAAAUAGAUAAACUAUGUUCAGCGUUCUUGUGGUCUGGUCCGUCGUUGAAUCCUAGGAAAGCGAAAGUGGCUUGGGAGGAAGUGUGCACUCCUAAAAGCGAAGGAGGAUUAGGACUGCGUUCUAUCGCCGAAGCUAAUAAAGUUAGCAUGCUAAAACUGAUUUGGCGCCUACUAUCAGCAAAAGGAUCCCUUUGGGUGGAUUGGGUACAGAUAAAUUUAAUAAGAAGAGGUUCUUUUUGGGCAGUGAAAAAUAACACGUCUUCAGGCUCCUGGAUUUGGAGAAAGCUCUUGAAGUAUAGAGACAAAGCAAAAGAGUUUCAUAGAGUGGAGGUCAAAAACGGGGAGACGACAUCUUUCUGGUUUGAUUCUUGGAGCUCACUGGGAUGUAUUAAUGAGAUGCUUGGGGAUAGAGGUUAUAUUGAUCUGGGAAUACCUAAGUCAGCCACAGUUGGAGAAGUAAUGGCAAUGCAGAGACGAAGGAAGCAUCGAUCUACUUUGCUAAAUCAGGUUGAAGAGGAAAUUAAGAAACAGAGAUUGGUCAGCCGUGUAGGGGAAGAGGAUAUAGCUCUUUGGAGAGGGACAAAGGACAAUUAUCGAAAAAAGUUUUUAACAAGAGAGACGUGGAUGCAGACCCGCAAUGCAAGGCCAACGAUGGAGGGGUAUCAAGGGAUCUGGUUCUCUCACUCCACCCCAAGGUACUCCUUUAUCACAUGGUUGGUUGCAAAAAACAGAGUUGCUACCGGUAAUAGAAUGUUAUUGUGGAACCAACACGUAAACACGAGCUGUGUCUUGUGUAAUGACCCCAUGGAAACCAGAGACCACCUUUUCUUCUCUUGUUCUUACUCACGACAGGUUUGGGAGGAGGUAGCAGGAGGAAUACUCAGGAACCGGUUCUCAACGGAUUGGCGAGAGAUACUCAAACAUACUUGUGACAAAAAAACUGACAAAACCAAUGUCUUCAUUCUACGGUGCGUGUUCCAAAACACAAUUCAUGCGGUGUGGGGUGAAAGGAAUUCAAGAAGGCAUGGCGAGCAACCAUCACCAGUGGAAAAGCUAGUCCACAUGAUAGACAAGAACAUCCGAAACCGGCUGAGUACAAUUCGGAGUGGAGGAGACUUCAAAUAUGAAGGCGGCCUCCGAUUGUGGUUUGGAUCAAGACAAACUCAAGUUUAAUCUCAUUAUGUUAGAGAUUCUUUUUCUAUGAAACGUAUGCAUUAAGUUGUAAAAUAAGUUUUUUUCUUCUCUUUUUUGAAUAUAAUUUAACAUCUAUUCAAAAAAAAAAAAAAAAAAAUUACAGAAAUAGAUCAAGAUUCAAAUAAAAUAUUAGCAAGGGAAAAUAUAAAAAAAAAUUGUAUACGAGAUAGUGGAACAACAUACACUAUUCUGAGACUUUAUAGAUUUUUCUAUGAAUUGAAACCAACAAAAAUUAUUGUUAAUACAAUAUCGGAUCCUACAAACUGGAUUGAAGGAAGUGGCAAAGCAAAUUUUAAAUUGCCUAAUGGAACAAAGUUUUCCAUAAAUAAUGCAUUAUAUUCUCCAAAUUUUAAGAGGAAUUUGUUGAGUUUCAAAGACAUAUACCUUCAAAGAUAUGAAACUCAGUCUGCAACUGAAGAUUGAAAGAAGUAUAUGUAUAUAACUUCUAAAAAAUUUGGAAAACGACAUGUCUUGGAAUGAUUUCCCGAACUUCCUUUGGUUUGCAUCAUACCUAUAUAGAUGCCAUAAAUCACAUCUUGUGAUAUCAAAAGAAAUCCAGAAGAUUUUGUAUUAUGCCAUGAUCGCCUUGGUCACCCAGGCACUACAAUGAUACGGAAAAUCAUAGAGAGCUCACAUGGUCACUCAUUGAAAAAUCAUGAGUUGAAUCAGGGAAAUAAAAUGACAUGUGCAGCAUGUACUCUUGAAAAAUUGAUCAUAAGGCCAUCGCCAACCAAAAUUGAUAAAGAAUCAUCAAAGUUCUUUGAACGAAUUCAAGCCGACAUUUGUGAACCGAUACAUCCACCAUGUGGAGCAUUCCACUAUUCUAUGGUAAUGAUUGACGCAUCUAGCAGAUGGUCACAUGUUUGUCUAUUGUUAUCUCAAAAUUUGGUAUUUGCGAGAUUUAUAACUCAGAUAAUCAAAUUAGGAGCUCAGUUCUCUGAUUAUUCAAUAAAGAGAGUUAGACUAGACAACGCUGGUGAAUUCACGUCCCAAGCAUUCAAUGAUUAUUUUAUGGUAAUGGGAAUUAAAGUUGAACAUCAUGUACCUCAUGUUCAUACACAAAAUUGUUUAGCGGAAUCAUUAAUUAAAUGUCCGCAAUUGAUUGCAAGACCAUUGAUCAUGAGAUCAAAACUUCCAACCUCUGUAUGUGGACAUGCCAUUUUGCAUGCAGAAGUACUCAUUCGGAUAAAAACAAGUGCAUACCAUAAAUACUUUCCACUACUGUUAGCAUUUGGUCGAGAACCAAAUAUAUCCCAUUUAAGAAUUUUUGGUUGUGCGGUGUAUGUACCUAUAGCACCACCACAAUAUAUAAAGAUGAGACCACAAAAAAGGUUAGGAAUAUAUAUUAGUUGUGAUUCUCUAUCAAUUAUAAGAUACCUACAACCGCAAACUGGUGAUGUCUUUACGGCACGUUUUGCUGAUUGUCAUUUUGAUGCGAAAGUAUUCCCUGUUCUAGGGGGAGAAAAUAAGUAAGUAAGAAAAGAAAUCAAAUGGUGUGUACCAUCCUUGUUAAACCUUGAUCCUCAUACAAAACAGUCAGAAAUAAAAGUUCGACAAAUUGUGCAUUUGCAAAGUAUAGCAAAACAACUUCCCGAUGCUUUUGCAGAUACCAAAACGGUAACUUAAUCAUAUAUACCAGCUGCAAAUGUUCCUGCUCGAAUUCAAAUACUACAAAAACGUGGAGGAGCAGAUGAUAGACGUGAGUCUAAAACACGCUUGAAACGUGGUAGACCAGUUGGUGCUAAGGAUAAAAAUUCUAGAAAACGAAAAGAAAUUGAAAAGCAUGAUAUUCCCAAAAUAGCAGAAAGCAUUUUGUAAGAAACAAAUCAUGAGUCUAAUGAAAAUGAUGAGUAUCAUGAGCCUAAAGGAAAUCAUAAAAUUUCCAUAAACUAUAUCCAUAAUGGAAAGAUAUGGAAUCGGAAUAAAAUGGAUAAUGUUGAUGCCGUUUUCUCAUACCUUUUGUCAAAGGACAUCGAUGAGGGAAACGAGGAUCCAGAACCAAAGUCUGUAUAUGACUGUCAAAAGAGACAUGACUGGAUAAAAUAGAAAGAUGCAAUACAAGUCAAACUUGAUUCGCUCAAUAAGCGAAAUGUAUUCGGACAUAUUGUACUCACACCUGAAGAUGUGAGACCGGUUGCAUACAAAUGAGUUUUCGUUAUAAAACAAAAUGAGAAAAAUGAAAUUACGGGAUACAAGGCUAGUCUCGUAGCUCAAAUUUUUUUUAAAAGACCUGGGAUUGAUUAUGAGGAAACAUAUUCCCCCAUCAUGGAUGUCGUUACAGAAUAUUUAUAUCAUUGGAUACAGAAAUCUAUAUGAGAGUUCCCGAUGGGUUUAAUAUGCCGGAAGCAUUAAAAUCUAAACCCAAAGAGUUGUGUGAAAUAAAUUUGCAGAGAUCAUUAUGUGGGUUAAAGCAAUCUGGACGGAUGUAGUAUAAUCGUCUCAGUGAGCACUUAACGAAAGAAUGGAUAUGUGAAUGAUCCUAUAUGCCCAUGUGUUUUCAUAAAGAAAACAAUAUCCGGAUUUGUCAUAAUCGCGGUAUAUGUGGAUGAUCUAAACAUAAUCGGGACUCAAGCAGAAAUAUAGAAAGCAACAAACUAUUUAAAAGGGUAUUUGAGAUGAAAGAUCUCGGACAAACAAAAUUUUGUCUUGGCCUACAAAUUGAACAUAUUAAAAAAGGUAUAUUUGUACAUCAAUCCAUAUACACCAAAAGAUUGUUAAAACGUUUUAAUAUGGAUAAGACAACUCCUCUCAGUACUCCAAUGGUCGUUAGAUCACUUAAUGUUGAAAGUGAUCCAUUCAGACCACCUGAGGAGAAUGAAGAGAUACUUGGUCCUGAAGUACCGUAUCUAAGCGCAAUUGGAGCCCUUAUGUAUCUUGCAAAUUGCACCCGACUUGAUAUUUUAUUCUCUGUUAAUCUUUAGGCUAGAUAUAGUUUGUCUCCUACACGAAGACAUUGAAAUGGGAUUAAACAUGUUUUUCGUUAUCUUCAAGGGACUAUUGAAUUAGGAUUAUUUUAUCCUAAAAAUAUAAAUGGUCAAAUGAUUGGUUUUGUAGAUGCAGAUGCAGAAUAUUUAUCAUACCCACACAAAGCUCGAUUACAAAUAGGAUACAUAUUCACGAUUGGAGGUACCGCUAUAUCAUGGCGUUCUCAAAAGAAGACGUUUGUAGCUACUUCUUUGAAUCAUGCUGAAAUCAUCGCACUCCAUGAAGCGAGUAGAGAAUGCGUAUGGCUAAGAUCAAUAAGUCGACACAUUCAAACAAGUAGUAGAAUUCGUCUGAAUACCGAGCCAAAUAUCUUAUAUGAAGACAAUGUUGCAUGUGUUGCUCAGGCAAAAGAAGGAUAUAUCAGAAGCGAUAGAACCAAACAUAUCCCUCCAAAGUUCUAUUCAUACACCCAAGAGCUCGUGAAGAAUAAAGACAUCGAAGUAAGAUAUGUCCGAUCAUCCGAGAAUUCUGCGGAUCUCUUCACGAAAUAAUUACCUACCUCUAUAUUCAGAAAACAUGUCCGUAACAUUGAUAAUGCGUAGUCAACAAUACAUUUAAGAUAUGAUCCUGAUCAUUGGAGGAGGAGCUUGCGUGGUUGUACUCUUUUUAACUACUAUGGUUUUUCUCAACGGGUUUUCCUAGAAAUUUCUUUAACGAGGCAACAGAAGAUUUUACGCAAGAAACAUAGUGACACUGGUCUCCAAAGGGGAGUGUUGUAAAUGUCAAAAGAUGCGGCGAACGCUACAUGGGUGAAAUAUUUUGUUGUUUAGUAAUUUGUGUGGAGCCCACCGUCACUAUGCAUGCACAAUAAUUUACUUUUCUUCUUCUAUAUAAACAUCGAUUUUGAUCGUUUGUAAAUCACAAUUCAUUACUUCAAUUAUAAGAGAAGUAAUAAUCUCUCUCUCCCAUCUCUUUACUUUGAGAAUCCCGAUCUUUAUGCGGAUAUAAAUUUUUUCUCCAUUAUUUAUAUUUAUAUACAUCAUAAAAUAAAUCAAUUAUUUAUAACUGUGGAUAACUAUUCUCAAUUUUUAUGUUGUAAAUUGUCGUCAUUUUGACAGAAAAAUGAAAAAAAUUGUCGUGCAAUAUCUGGAACUAAAUGUAUAUGUAACCGAUUUAGUAAAUGGGUAGAAAAACCCUCACCUUAAAAUUGUUGAAGUCCCUUUCACUUUUAAAAUUUUUAGUCGUUGCAUUUUUUCUUUUCUAAAUUACAUGUUGUUUUCGUUUAUGUAUUUUUUUUUAUCAUCAUCGCGGUUUCUCUAUAAAAGAGCACGUCUAUAUACUAUUAGAAAUCAGACUAUAGUCAUUAAAAACAAAGAAUUUCAUAGGACACUAUCUUUUUAGAAAAGAAUAAUUAUUUUAGUAAAUUUUCACAUUAAAAAUGUUAAAGAUGAAUUUUUACUUUUCUAUAAAUUUGAAAGACUAGAAUUAUUGGUUUCGUGUUUCUACCAGAAUAGUACAACUACAAAAAUAACACAACGGAUCUGAUUAGUAAAUAGAUUAGCACAGUAAUAAAGAAAAAAAUAAUAUGAAAAUAGCUUAUUAUACUAGCGUAAACUUUUACUCUAGUUUUAUCAUAAGAUAAAUUUUAUGUAAGAUAAACUAGGAUUUAACCCGCGGUAUACCGCAGGGCAAAAUUGUAUUUUAUGUAUUUCAUAUAAUAAUUAUAAUUUAUUGGAUUUUUAAAUUGAUAUUAAAUAAAAAAAUUUCAUUUAAUUAUUUUAUAUUAUAAUUAAUAUCAUCGAAAUAUGUGUACUUAGAAGAGUUGUAGGUGUAGAAAUGAUAUAGUGUUAAUAUUGGCAGACAUUUAUAAUCAUGAACUAUUAUAAUAAUUUGAUAUUAUUUUGUAUCAAAACAAAUUUACCCCGCGAUAUAUUGUGGGUCGAUUUUUUUAAACUAAAAUUUUUAAAUUUUAAAUUAUAUUUGUUUGGUUUGUUUAGUAUUUAAGAUUAUAUAAUCUAUAUUAUUAAUUGGGAAUCACUAGAUAUUAAACAACCUUAUGAAGGGUAAAAUAUUACAUAAAAUGUCAUUGGUUUAAGUGCUUUUAAAUAAAUUCAUUAAGGGUACAAUAGUAAUCACAAAAUUAAUAUAUUUAAAUAAAAAUAGUAAAAUUAUUUUAAAUAAUUAUUAAUUUCCAAAAAUUAAACUCACUUUCUCUCUCUUAUUAAUUAUGGACGAAAAUAUGAAAUUAAUUUCUAAAAAAUUAUUAACCAAUGAGAAUUGAAAAACUAAGCUUUGAUAUCCAACUAAGAUUUUAUCUAAACCAAUACUAAUAGACUAUUCUCUAUCAAAAAAAUAAUAAUAAUAAUAUCAUUUUAAUUCAAAAUUAAAAACACUAUCUUUUUAAAAGAUUCACCAAUGGAGGAUUUUAAGAUUUAAUUUGAAAUUCUGUAAAAAAAAUAAAUAUAAAUAUUUUAAGAUUCAGUUUUGUUAUAAUAUUUUCACAAUUUUUGAAAUAUAAAAUGAAAUUUAUUUCAUAAUUUCUAAAAAACUAUAUUAGAUAUUAAAAAUAUGAAAUAAAGUCAAAUAAUAAUAAAUUUAAAGUAAUUAUCAUUAUGGCCUUUGUUUAGAGAAAAUGUCAGAAAUAUCUAAACGAUAAAUUGUACAUAUUAAUUUCAAAAUAUUUUGUAUUUUAUUUUUUUUCUUUUCAACCGGAUCUUCCUUAAUUAAAUCCCUAAUAUAUUGCACAAUUUUUUUAGAAUUAAUAUAAAUUAAUUAUAUAUUUUGCAUUCAAAACAAAUUAUGCAGCAAUAACAGAUCCCUUUUAUAGAUGUAUCUCAAAUUUUUAUUUUUAGUCCAAAAAUCGAGUUAAUUAUGCAAAAUUUAGUUAAGGAAAGAAAUAUUAAUAAAUUUGUUAAAAAUAUUUGUAACUUUAAAAGCAUACAUAUUAAUCCACAAAACUCACAAUAUGUAUUGUAUGGUAUUUAAAGGUAAGCAAACAAGAAUUUGUUUACACACAUAACCAUGUACGUACGUUUUCAGUUACACAUAUUUUAUUUAUGACGGAUACGGGACCGUAAUAUUUUUAUUUCAUGUAUACGAGACGGGUUAUGGGACGAAGAAUUUAUGACAGAUACAGGACGAGAUAGGUUUCUCGUUCCAAAAUAGUUACGCCUAGCUAAUAUACAUGAAAUAACCUAAACUAAAACCGAAUCCAUAUCCUAUUUAACAUUUGUAAUCAACCUAGUAGAACUGUUUUGAUCUUAACUAAAAUUUUGCACGUACGUGUAGGUCUGGAUCUUAAAAUAUAACUAUGCACUAACGCAAUUGAAUUUCGUUCAUUACUCUGACUUUAUAAUAUCUAUACUAUUACAAAGUUCACUAACACAACAAGUAUUUUAUAUUUUUAAAAUCUAUAUAACGAUUUCUAUAAAAAUAUCUCUGCAAGUAUGAGUGGAUCCAGAUCUAAUAUACUAAAAUAUAUAUAAUAAAAAAUAUCUAUAUUGAAUUAAAAUUUGUUAGAAUUUUUUUUAAAAUAUGAAACCCUGCACGUAUUUGCGGGUCAGGAUCUAGUUAUAUCUUUAUUUUUAAUUCUAGGUUUCACCCGUGGUAUACCCCGUUUUGUAUUCAAAAUUAUUUUGGUCUUUUUCAUAGUAUGACUCUAAACCAUUGCCCAAUUUUUUAAGCAAUGUGGGACAUUGUACACAUAUUUUUUCUUCAUCAAUUGAGUAAUAUAUGUCCGUUUUAAAAAAAUUUAAUCACAUUAUAUGCAGAAAUUUUUUAUUAUUUUAUUAAUUAUAUGUAUUUUUCAAAAUAAAUUACUAUAAGAUCAUAUAAAAGUGAAAGAGGAAUCAUACAAUAAUGUUUAAAUUAGGUAGAGAUGUUUUAGGAAAAUUUAGAAACAAAAUCAAUUUGUUAUUAUAUUUGGAAGCCAUAGUUUCUAAAAGAUUUUUUCAAAAAUAUUUUGUAAUAUUAAUUAAUAGAUAAACAUUUAUGAUAAUGGUAUUCUUUGUAAAUACUUAGCAACUCUAUGAUUUAUUUGCUAAGUGUACUCCAAAAAUGUAUAUAUAGAUAUUACCGCUGGGAAAAAAAAUAAAAGAUGUGAUGACAAAAAGGUUUUCAGCUCAUUAUGUUAGGUUCAGAGUAAUACAACUAAAGUUUUUAAUAUUCUUUCACUCUAAUACCAACCAGACCAUCUAUGAUUGAUAAAUCAAACUGGGGUCACUUAAAAAAGGAAAAAAAUACGAGGCUAUAUUGCUUAAAAAUCAACUAAUGACUGGUUUUAAUAAAUUUGAACACUAAUAUAUAAUUAAAUACUAAGUAAAAAUCCGUGUUAUGCACGAGUAAAUCUUAUGUUAUUUAAUAUUAUGAAAGAUUGAUUAAAAACUCAAAAAUUUAUAUCUGAGAUUUCAAAAGUAAAUUUUCAAAUUGUGCUAAAAUAUUUUAAAUUAAAAGAAUGAUAUAUAUAAAUAUUAUCCGAUAACACAAUCUUUUAGUUAAUAAAUAAACUUGCAAAUUAAAUUUUAAAUAUUGUUAUGAUUUAUAUAUACAAAUAACAUUGUAUUUACAAUAUUCAUGAAUUAGACUUAUAGAUUUGCGGUUCUAGCUUAAAUUUGUAUAAUAAACAAAGUAUUUGUUAAUGUUAAAAUACAUAUACUAUAUGUUUAUAUAGUUUAAUUUUCAACUGAAAAAUACAAUACAUUUAAUAUAAAAACAAUUCUUAAUAUAGAAGUUUUCUUAUUUAAAAAUUUGAGAUAUUUAAUUUUGGUAAGUUUAGUUUGUAAAAUAAAUAGUAUAUAAAAUUUAAAAAGAUAAUAAAAAUAAUAAUAGAUUUGACGCGCAAACACUAAAAAUUAUCUUUUAAUAUAUGAAGGACGAUUUUUAGUCUUGUAUAAAUAUAAAAGACCGAAAUUAUUGCCGAGUACGGGUGUAACACGCCGGUUUUAGGAAUAUGAUGGUGCAUGCGGAGAGGUUUAAAAGAAUUAAUUUGGUCACCUAUGUCGCCAAAGUGCACUUAUCUUUUCGGUCAACUAUCCUAAGAGAAUUCCACAGUUAAAGGUGCUUGAGCUAGAGCAAUUUCAGGAUGGAUGACUUUCCGUGAAUUGAUUGUCGGAACUGUGUAGUACGGACAAAACACAGAAAAAGAUCAUGUGGUGAUUUGAAAGGUCGGUAACCAAGUCUGUAAAGCCUCCCGGACAAUGCAGACUGACCAUCGGAAAAUGGUGGGCCCAUGGGCCCAAGAGAGGAUGAUGGUCCAUUAAGAGAGAUGGAGGUCGGCAGAGCCGUGGCUACGUGAGGCAAAAUGAAACUUUCGCCUACUGCCAGUUUUUUUUUUGGAAAAAUUAAUUGUAAAGACUUCAUAUACUUUUGUCUAUUGUAAUAAUUAAAGGUUCACUUUUUGUAUUGAAACAACGUGACACUUAUAAUCUUAGGUAUAGUUUAUAUGGUCUUUUAAAUUAAAAACUGAAUGAACAUAACAAAUCAAACCUUGAAACUACAAAUUACUAUUACUAAUAUAUUCACAUUCUAAGUUUAAUAUAGUAGUGCUAAACAUUUUAUACCAAAGAAGGGAUAGGAAAUUAUGUUCUAAACUAAAUAUUUUGUUUUAUUUUCAUUCUUUAUUCAUGUAAAAAUUUAAAUGUUAUUUAAAAAUUUUUUGUUUAUAUUAAUUAUAUCUGUUUUAAAUACCGCCUCCGGCCUCCAUAUCUCUAGGAACGGUUUUGCGGUUGGGAUGUUACAAGUGGUAUCAGAGCCGAACACAAGCGAGUGUAGAGUCAAGAGGACUCACACCGUCGCGAGUGACAGUCUUGGUGCGCAACAUGGACGUUGCGAUCCGUUAGUGGGGUUGAAUUGUAACACCCCGGUUUUAGAAAUAUGGUGGUGCAUGCGGAGAGGUUAAAAUAAUUGAUUUGGUCACCUAUGUCACUAAAGUACACUUAUUUUUUUGGUCAACUGUUCGGAGAGAAUUCCAAAGUUAAGGAUGCUUGAACUUGAGCAACUUUAGAAUGGGUGACCUUCCGACAAAUAAUUGUCGGAACUGUGUGAUUGUGUGAAUGAGGACAAAACACAGAGAAAAAUCUUGUAGUAAUUUAUAUGGUCGGUAAACAAAUCUUUAAAGCCUCUUAAACGUAACGGACCGACCAUAAAAAAAAUGAUAGAUUCAUAGAUCUAAAAAAGGAUGUAGGGCUCAUUAAAAAAAAAAGACAGUCUCAUAGCAUUACAACGGGCUUGCAUUUAUAUGGUUCGUUUAAGUUCCCAUAUUUCAUAGAUUUCUUUUUACACUAUGUGUCAGCAUCAUUCAGCCAUCGUUACUGACUUGUUGCCUUUGAAUUUUGAAUCGAAACUAAAAAAGUAAAUCAUUGAACGAGUGAGACUCUAACACUUGCAUGGUCUACGUUUCAGGAGAUCAUAGGUGUGUCUAUAAUCACCAAUAGCCACGAGACAUCUCACCAGUAGCAUUAAAUGUUAAUGCACAUUUUCGUUUCUAUCCAAACUAUCCCAACCUUUACGUGUAGUUGUGAUCAACAAAUUCGAGACUCCACAUAUCUACUAGCAUUGACAAUCUGUCCUUAUCACAAGUCCAAAAAGAAAAAAAUUUAAACACCUUUUAACAAAAAAUGAAAAUAAAAAAGGAAAAUAUAAAAAUUAUUGUCGUCACUAAUAAUGCCGGUUUGUAAUUACUUAAACAAAAUAUUAUAUAUAUUGCAAAAACGAAAAAAAAACUAUUCGACAUAUAACAUAUUUCAUAAGAAAAUAUAUAAUAAUUCGAUAUGUUGUCUAAACAUAUACAUUUUUUUUUUAAAAGAAGUAUUAGAUACCUCGGAAAUACUAAAGUAUUAAUGCCCGGACUGAUUCAUAUACCAUAUUUGAAACAGUCUAACCACUAGACUACAGACAAAUCGGUAAAUAGAAGAGUUGGCUAUCUAAACAUAUACUUUAUAGGACUAUCAUUUUCUAAAAGAUUUUUGAGAUAAUCACUUUAACUAAUUGUAUUAGAAAAAGGAAUUAUAAACUAUAAUAUUUUUUUUUUCUGAACCUUGUGGAUCAUUUGUUUUUUUUUUUUUUUGUUAACUCAGGGUAAAUCCCUAAGCUUAUGGAAGGGCCUAAGACUAAUCCCUUGGGAGAGGGUAUUCCACGGGUAAAGUCCUCCCUAGGUUUUCAAAUGGACCGUAAACAAUGAGCCCAUACCCAUGUGAGUAAAGGGAUAAAGCUAAGCAGUUCUGCGUCUGGAGAGAAUCGAUCUCUAGCCUAUACCAACAGAGCGACUCUUCCACGAGACUAGAACUACUAGCCCACCACCUCUGGUUACCUUGUGGAUCAUUCAUUCCUUUUCUUUCUCUUUUAUCGAUACAGAACAAGAGAAAUUUGAUAUAACCACUUUAACUAAUGGUAUUAGAAAAAGGAAUUAUAAACUAUAAUAUUUUUCUUUUUGAACCUUGUGGAUCAUUCAUUCCUUUUCUUUUUCCUUUAUCGAUACAGAACAAGAGAAAUUUGGACUUCGUUUUUUAUUAAACGAGCCCACUACGUUUGUCUCUUUCUUCAUUGACGAAAAGAUUGUUCUGAUUUUUCUCUCUUCUAUUAAAAAAUAUAUAAUUAUCCUCUAAUUGAGUUCGUUUGGACGGUGGCAUAUAGUAAUUUUUUUUUUCUUUUUUAUAGCAAAUAAAGAGUUUGAGCUAAGUGAUUUUUUUUCUAGUUGCUAUGUCAUUACAUUAAACUAUGAUUAGUGAGAAGGAAAUUAGAAAAACGUUUUUCGAGAGCAUAAACUUCACCAGACUUGGAAUAUUGCAAACAUACACCAUUAAAACAGUUUGACGAGAAGAACUGCCAAAAUAACCGUGAAAUCGAACUUAAUAUAGUGGAAUAACCAAAAAAGAAAGUUGCAAAACAACCGAUCAAAUAUAAAAGAAGAAGAUGAAUAAUCGGUAAGAACAUAGAAAAUGAAUGAGCUUCAACAACGAAACAGAACAAAAAAAUGUUUUGAGACAAUGUAAUUGAACCGAAGAUAUGAAGAAACAGAUUGUCAAAAUUAUUCUCUAUUACUGAUCUAAUACUCAGCAUUAAUCUGAUGUUUUAAGACACUCCCUUAUGCAGAGAGUUUAUUAGUGGUGAUAAUGCUUUUAUUAGCACUAGUUUUUUUUAUAGGCAUUUUAAAAUUGGGAUUCUUGCUCUCUCUUGGUCUGGUUUCUAACUCUUGCUUAUGAUUUUGUUGGUUAUGACUAUGAGCUUACGUAUUAUCAGUCUCUAACUUUAAAUUAUGCAUCUUUUCAUAAUUAAGAAGUUCAUAACCGGGCCCUAGCUAGUCUCUCUAUAUGAAACAAUCCGAUAUGUAAAUUUGGACUUGUAUUAAUGGUUUACAAAUUAGAUGAACAAUUGACUUAACAUCACUAAUUUAUUGUGCUUUCUAUUUAUUUAUUUAUAUAUCACAGGUCUCUUGUAUCAAAUAGUCUUUCUAUAAUUUUUGUUACUUAGGACUACCAGUCUUGCAUUGUAUCUUUCAAGACUACCAUCAGCUUUAAACUUCAACCGAAAAACCCAUCUACAACCAUUAGCAUUCUUGCCAUGAGGGAGCGUUUCAAUUGUCCAACGCAUCAAUUUUGGUUCGCAUUGCGUUUCGCCACUGUCCAUCGAGUACAGCUUAAGAGUAGUGUUGCGGCUCAUGAUGCUUAUCUGAAAGUCAUGUCGAAGUAGUGUAAUCACAAAUCAGAUACUUGCAAGCAUUAUGGGUGAGACCAAGAGAGUUCGUGAUAUGUAUGUAGUACGUGAUCGACAAGUCGUGUAGGUGGAGUCUUUUUUCGUUUUCUUACACCAAGUUCUUCAAUUUUUGGUUCAGAGUUACAAUCGAACGAGACUGAAUCGGUUUUGAGAAAGCUCUCCUAUAGCCGUCGAUGGUGAGAUUUCAUAUUCAGGAGAAAUUCAUUUUCAGAUUGUGAGUCGUUAGUCUCCAUGGAUAAAGAUUCAACUCUAGAGGAGUCAUGAAUUUCAAUGUCAUCAGUAAGUGGAUAGACAAAAAUUUGAUUUUGGAAAGAGGACUCAUCAAGGUCGUGAGAAGGCAGCGUAGCAAAUGGAAAUACGACAACCAGUCUCCGAGUCAUAGACACGCCAUCCCUUCUUACCAUAAGUGUAACCAAGAAAUACAGAUUUUUUUGCUUCGUAAAGCGAAUUUGUCACCGCCAUGAUUCUGAUUGUGGACCUAACACAAACAACCGAAAACUUUUAGAUGAGCUAAAGGAGAAAGACGAUUGAAUGGCUUUUCAAACGGAGUUUUCCCACCUAAAACAUAAAAUGGUGUCCGAUUGAUGAGAUACUAUGUGGUAAGUACACAUUCGUCCCACGUUUCCAAUAAUAAAGAUGCUUCACUACGUAGAGCUCUGGCGACAUUUAGUAUGUGUCGAUGCUUUUGUUCAGUUCGGUCAUUUUGUUGUGGAGUUCCAACGCAAGAGGUUUCUUGAGUGAUUCUGUUGUGUUGAAAGAAGCUUCGCAAGAAAAUGAAUUCACUACCAUUGUCACUACGUAUUGUCUUGACUUUCUUUUCAAAUUUUCUUUUAAUUAAGGAAAUAAAAUGUUUUGAGCUGGGUGCAAUGGUUUUAUCGAGUAACAAGUAGAUCCAAAGACCACGAGAGAAGUCGUCAAAAAUUGUCAAAUAAGAUUUGGAGCCGUUGUUGGAAGUGGUUUAAAAACAUCCAUUCUUUUAUUCAAACUAGUAGGAAACACUUCUUUAGUUUGGCGCAUAUACAAAUGUCGCAUUCCUUAUUAUCAAAACCACUAGAGCUACUAAUUAAAACCAUAAAUAGGUAGUACACGAAGAGCUUUUGAAUACGUAUGUUCCCAGCGUUGGUGCCACAUUUAUCGUCAGAAACUAAAGGUGUAUACAGUUUCUGUAUUUAUUUCGGAGGCACUUAGGCCAAUAUAUAUACUUACAAGGUUUUAACCUAAUUACCUUAACUAACUUAUAUGAAUUGCUUUUAUAAACAUAGGCUAAUAUAUAUAUAUAUAUAUAUAUAUAUAUAUACAAAACAAAAGAUCUAGAUAUGAUAGAUAUGAAUAUCAAUAAAUAUCACAGUAAAACGUCCAAGCAUUGCCAGCCUAGUGAAGAAGGAGUAGCGUUGAACCGCUUCCUUCAACCAUGUCACUUUGUCCAAGGAAGCAGAGGGGAUCGAACACGAAGCUGCUCCCUUAUUGCUUUGGACGAAAAAUCUCGUGAAGAGGAACAUGCUGCUGUACGCCACAUAUAUAUAACACGGCUGCGAUAUUGAUUUGGCGGAGAAGUGGCUGUGAAGUGGAUUAAGAGAUUAUGUGCUUCCUCAGAUCUCGCAUCCGGCAUGAACAGUGAACCAUUUUGGGUUGCCUCAACAAUACAAGCAUCUUUGUGACUCCAAAGUUUGCUAGGCCCUUCUUCUCCAAGAUAUGAUAUAAGAGAUCCCAAAUCAGUCCAUGAAUCAAACCAAAAAGAAGCUAACUUACCAUCGGCAAGCUCACAGGGCAGAAAAUCACGGAGAGUUGUCUUUGUUGAACGUUAAACUGAAUCAAGUUUAAUUAUUAGGCCAAUUAACCAAUAAUUAUUUAAUUUGCCAAAUCCAAGUUUUUUUAGAGUUUUUUUCUAGAAAUAUCAACAUCUCCAUCUCUUUAAAAAGAACUAGAUAUUUUCUAGAAUCAUCUUCCACCUCAUUAAACAUAAAAAUUUAGAUACUUUUAUAGAAUAAUCUAGGGAAAAACGUCGAAGAAAGCAUGAACUUACAAAUUUGGGACGUUUAAAUCCUCAACUUCCAAAAUGUCAUUUAAAUGCCAAAGUUGUUGUUGAGUUGAAAAUUAAAUAGAAAACUUUCGUUGACUUUUCCAUUUUAGGUAUGUUGUUAAGUCAACUGACGGAAAAAACUAAUAAAGUUAAGUCUUCGGUUAGAAUUUCUGUUAAUUUAUAAAACAACAUCGUUUUAAUUUUCUUUUUUAAAAUAUAAAUCUGAGAAUCAAACCGAAAUCCUUCUUAAAAAGUUCUAGAAAUUCUCUCGAGUCAUCUUUCACCUCAUUAAACAUAAAAAUCUAGAUACUUUUAAUAGAAUAAUCUUAGAUAAUUUUUUUUUGCUCAACAAUCUUAGAUACUUAUAAUAUUAUAAUCUUGAUAUUAUGUAAGAACUCUCUAGAUUUAGGAUUAAAAUAUUUUAGAUAUUUUGUAGUUUAGAGGCUGUAAAUACUUCCUCUCCUGGUCAUUUGUAGUAUUGUUGUGAAGCUGUCUUUAAGUUAAAAGCAAAGUAAUAAAAGUUCUACUUUCUAAAAAUCUCUCUCAUAUACUUAAACACUUUCUCCAUUACCUCUAUAAAAUUUUACUCUAACAAACUGUUAGUAGAGCUUGAAGAUCCUAAAGAUGGCGAGUAGCUAUGUUCCCUUCCAAGUUCCAAGGCUCACAAAAAGCAACUACGAUAAUUGGAGUCUACAAAUGAUGGCUAUACUAGGAGAACAUAACGUGUGGGAGAUAGUCGAGAAAGAUUUCUUUGAACCGGAAAAUGAAGGUAGUCUCUCUCAAACUCAAAAGGAUGGUUUGAGAGACUCAAGAAAGAACGACAAGAAAUCUCUCUGUCUAAUCUAUCAAGUAUUAGAUGAAGAUACAUUUGAGAAAGUUAUUUCUCAAGAGUAUUGACGGUUACUAAUAACCUUAAAAGAAACGAAGAGAAGCUAGAUGAUGUGAGAAUCAUGGAAAAGGAUCUUAGAUCAUUGGAUCCAAAAUUUGAGCAUAUUGUCACAAUCAUUGAAGAAACAAAAGAUUUAGAAGGUAUUACAAUGGAGCAACUUCUUGGGUCAUUACAAGAUUAUGAAGAAAAGAAGAAGAAGAAAGAAGAUAUCGUUGAAUAAGUCCUCAAGAUGCGGAUUACUAAAGAAUAAAAUGGCCAAAGUUUCCAAAGACGAGGUGGCGGUUAAGUUUGAGGACGAGGUCGUGGAUAUGGAAAUGGACGAGGUUGGAGGCCAUAUGAAAGAUAACACAAACCAAAGAGGAGAAAACUCAUCAAGAUGACGGGGGAGAGGAAACCCAAAAUCAAGAUAUGAUAAGUCAAGUGUCAAGUCCUACAAUUGUGGAAAGUUUGGACAUUAUACUUCCGAAUGUAAAGCUCCUAGCAAAAAAAUUUGAGGAAAAGGCCAACUACGUUGAAGAAAAAAUCCAAUAAGAAGACAUUUUAUUAAUGACUAGUUACAAGAAAGAUGAACUUGAAGAGAAUUAUAAGUGGUGUGGAUGUAGGAAAACAACUCGAUUGUCACACUCGAUUAAUGAAGAGAAUUAUAAGUCACACUCGAUUGUCUUUAAGUAUUUUUGUGGAGAAAAACUCUAAAAUCAACAAAUGAAAAUAUGGAAUUGAAAAGGGAAGUAACCAAGAAACUCAAUAAAGCGAAAGAACUUGGAAAGAAUAAAAUAGUAAAAAGCCUUGCAAAAUUGUAAAAGAAAAAGUAUGUUGUAUUGCUUGAUCGUAAGAGGAAAAAGUUGUCCUCCCCCAAACACACGCGUUUGAGGUUGUUUUUAUAGAGAAAACAUGAUCAAUGCGGUCAUUUACUGCUCAUUAUUGCAUUGAUCUGCAUUAAUCAUGUAGGUUACAAUUUGACCGAAACGGCUUGAAUUUGAAAUAUCUUGGGCUUCGCGUGGAUCUUCUGAACCCUUUCUUGUUGACUCCGAACUCCUGCGUCUUGACGCUGCCGCGAACCUCUAGCAAUAUUCUCCUUGCUUCGGCCUUCUUUUAUGCGAACUAUAUGUUCAAUAAGAGCGAACUUUGUACUGGUAAAGAUCGAGCUCUUUAAUAAACUGAAUCGAACUUCCGACAGGUCGAGCUCGAUUCUCGCAAUGAAACAUCUAGAAAUCCAAGAGGAUUAUUAUGUAAUAAUGACGUGGACAGAUCCAAGUGGAUCCUACCGAAGAUGUGUGGGAUCCGACCCCAACAUUUAGCCCCCCAAGUCUUGCGAGCUGAGUGCUCGGCUUGGAAGACUUAAGUAAACUGUAAUUAAUGACUCGAGAUCUUUAACAUUCCGGAAUUACUCCAUGUUUUUCGCUAUUACGCUGAUCUCGGAUAAUCAGAUGAUUUGAUUUCCCUGACAACCGUCAUCAUUAAUUUCUUAAUUUUAUAUUAAUACCACGGGGAAAACUGUCCCACUUCCCAAUAUUCUCAAGGCGGUCUUUCAUCAUACUUUAGGGUUCUAAGAGGUAAUAUUACUUUUCCAUCUUAUCUGCUUUACCUAGAAAACCUUCAUUCUUAUUACGGAAGUCACUGUUUUCUUUCUGGUAAAAAAUCCCUUUCGUAAAAUGUCGAACCUUUCUUCCGAAUUCUGCGAAUACGAGGCUGGCGAUCUCGAAGCUCUCAUGGGUGAAGGGUCCGAAUCCCAGAUUCAAACCGGAGAUGGGUUUGAUCUUCACCCCCAGAGUGAAUCAACUAUCGAUUCUCUCAACAAUCUUCGUAGACUAUGUCUCAUCCCCCCUGAGGUAGAGAUGGUAGUCCCGGAGCCCUUCGAGUCUCCAGAGUCGGGGCGAGAAGGUUACUGCUGUGCUUAUGAAAUUUAUUUCAAAGGGUGCGGCUUAUUCCUUCCCCUUCCUGAGGUGCUUCUCGUCUACCUCAACCAUCUGGGAAUUGCUUUCUCCCAGAUGUCGCCCAACAUGCUCCGGUAUCUUUUGUGUACCCUCACUGUUGCGGCGGAGGCGGGCUACUCAUUGGGACUUUGCGAACUCCUGGAACUUUUCCAAGCUCGUGAAUCCCGAACUUCUGGGUAUUAUACCCUUUAUCCAAACGCGGAUCAAAAUCUCAUUGAUGGCCUUCCUUUAAAGGACACCGCCUGGAGGAAGUUUUGGUUCUUUUUCCGCAUAAAUAAUUUUUCUAUUCAAAGUUCUUCCGAACUCCCUCGAACUCACUGGUCAUCGAAUUUGGGUAGAAAUUGGGACUUAACUGAAUAAGCUCCCUUUGUUAUUUCAAACUGUGUUUCAACAUUUUUUUUUUGUUUUCUCGCAGGUCCUCAGAUUCGACCAGUUCCAUCAGUCGAUUUUCUCAAAUUUUACAAGGCCGUCUUGGAGAUGCCAGUUAAUUGGAAUUCUUUUACUCUGGAAAGAAUUCACGGCGCCGGGUUUUUAUGUCAGAAUGACACUUACUCGCCCCGUCGACCCUCCUUCUGCUGAGAUUGAUCUCUUGAGUCUGAAUGCCCGAGACAGGAGAAAGAUCAAAGAGGCAAACAAAAAGGUUAAAGAUCAGAUUUCCCUGAUCGGGAAAAACAGGAAAAACGCAACUACCACCGAGGACGACGAAGUCUACCAGAAAACUCUCCUUGUUGACGAUGGAUCUCUUGAAGGUUCAAAGUCAAUGGCGGUUGCUGUGAUCAAUACUUCUCCCUCCAUCCCAGCAGCAGACAACAUGGCCGCUGCCACCGUUGAGGAGGAAGGCCUUGCAAGUGGCACUUCUCUUAUGAAGAAGAGGAAGGCUGAGGAACUUGGACCCCUGCCCCAGGGACGUCCCAAGAGCACAAGGAAAGGCAGAGCCGCUCCUUCGAAUCUUCCAAUUCCUGAACCUGUAGAAGCUCAGGAUGCAAAUCCUGAUUCAGGAACUGUUUUGAAGGAACCGCUGGGUUCAGGGAUGUUACCCCAUAGGCGCCCCCGAGGCAAUACCUCUAGGGUUCGAUCAUCUUCGAACUCAGGAUUGGUUGCCAGAGCUUCGUCUCAAGCCGGUAACCUUUAACUAUCAUUUUGUUGUUUGAGAUUAAUAGAUUCUUUCUUUUAAAGAAAACUCAAUUCUCACACAACUAACUUUAUUCCAGAUAAAGAGAAGAUCGGGAAUAUGUUUAGGUGCUUCCACACCCGUGUUGGGAAGAAGCUUCCAUCCUUUGAUUGGUGGAAGCCUGAUAUCAAGAAGAUGUACAUCAGUCAUUCAUUUCACUCUUCCCAGGUUUGACUGUUUGCAUCUUCAAACAGCCGAUUUUGAAAGAAAAAUAUAUAUAUAUAUAUAUAUAUAUAUAUAUAUAUAUAUAUAUAUAUAUAUAUAUAUAUUUUUAACGAUGAAAAAUAUAUACGAAGAGGAGCUCGCCAAAGUUUCCAAGAAAGUUGCUGCCGCUGAAGGAGAGAUUGAAAAACUGCAAUCCUCCAGUCAGCUUGUGCAAGAAUCUGCUCGCCUUGACUCGGCUCGCCAGGAAGAGAUCGAGAGACUCAAAAGUUACGGCGAGGAGACAAGGAGGACUUUGAUUGAGACAGAGCAAAAGCUAGAGACUGCCCUUGCUGAUCAUAACUUCACAAAAGGCGAGAUUGAGCUUCUGAGAUCAGAGCUUAACAAGGUUAAAGCAGCUGCUGAGGAGCUCGAACGCAAAAAUGAGUCUCUUUCCGAACUGAAAGAUCGCGAUGUUCGCAAAAUAUCUCAUGAUGCUCGGAAGGAGGUUAAGGGAGCUGGGCAAAAGUUUCUUCUUGCUGUGCAGGUUUUUAUCGCUGCAGACAAAGCUUGGAACAAGCUUAACUCCGAACGCGAUGAAAUGAAAAGCAAUCUCGAUUUGAUCAAAGAGAUAGAGGACAGAAAAGUCAAUUUGGCUGAAGAGAAAGAGACAGUUGGUGCUGAGCUAGCUGAUACUGUAGCUAAGCUAAAUACCGCUCCUCAGCCAUAUCUGAAUUUGCAGCAGUUUGCUUCUGAAUUCGCUGAUUCUCCUCCAUUGACCGAACCAAACAUUGGUUCUUCCUUGGACGAGAUGGUGUUAACCGGUUCUCCUCGCGCUCAUUUUAAUGAGUUUGGAACCAAUGUUGACAGAAUCUCCUCGGGACGAGCUCAGGGGCUUGUCAUCUCCUCGAUUAUGGGAGACGGUGUUGAAUCGAGGAACGAGACUCCUCUCGAUGCUAGCUCGCUUAACCCUGAAGUGGUUCUCGUGACUCAAGACGAUGACGUUGGGGGUGCUCUUGUCUCAAGUCAAGUAAGGGAAGAAGGCGGUUCGCCUGUGAAUGAAUGAUGGUGAUUGCAUUCACCUUAUGUGGGGAUUGUCCCUUUAAUUUAAAGACAUGAAAUUCGCUUUGUUGGCCAUGGGGCCGUUUGUUUCUUUUCCAAAUUUUCUGCCCGAGGGGGUUUUCGAUUAAAAUUUCUUUAGGAAGAAAUAUUUAAUCUUGGUGGAAACCAUCGAUUUUACUUGGAGGGUUUGCAAAGUCCUCCUAAUUGAAGUGGUUCAGGAUUAUAGGAGAGAUAGGCUGAUCAUACCUACUUGCCUUUUUUAAAGAAAAAACAUUGGAAUUUUUCCUCGGUCUCUCGGUUGCGAGGUUAGAACUCGGCUUACAAGAACACUUUGCGAUAUUUCAAAUGUGUUCGAUUAGGGAAAUCUCUAGUGAGAACUGUUUGCUUUCCCUAAGAGAUAAAAAGGUGUGAUACCAUUUAUUGAUUGUCUUCGAAUUUCGAGUUCGAAAUUAAGUUCGCAUACUAGGUGUUAAGUGAUACUUGAAUAGCCUAUAUUUCGUAGGUCUUAUUUGUGCAUGUACACGAGAACCGAGAGGUCAUAACAGUCAUAUCAAUAGAUUGACGUUUAACUUUCUUUUUCAAUAAAUACUCGAGUGAGUGUCCUUACAUAUUUUUUCUAUAUAAGGAGAGUUGGAUUUUGGAAAUUUUCCGAUAGAUUUUUUUUUUAAAGAACUUUGUAAUUCUUCUUUUUUAGAUCAAAGAUGACUUCUCACCAAGGCGAACCUUCCGGUCCUAACUCACCACGAUUCCCUUCAAGUGAAUCUCUUUUUCCGUCGGGGGAUGGAUUCACUCCACAAGGGGUGGCUAUUCCUUGUUUUCUUCCUUCCAUGUCCCGGGAGGAACAGAUCAAGUGCCAUGAAUUCAUGGAGCAGGUUUGAACCUAGUACCAAUAGUUUCAUGGUUUUACUUAAUAAAUUCGUAAUGUAUCUGUUAUUUACAGAUCACGGAAAUAUACGUUUUCCUCUGCUCUGAAAGGCAAUGUCUUGGAGCGAAACGCCAUAUCCUUGAGGAUCGGAUUGCUAGAGCAGAAAGGAAGAUCCGACGUCUGGAGUCGGACGUUCACAACUAGGAGAGGAGGGGAUUUGAUUCUAUCGCCCGCAUUCCCGGCUGUCUUCGAGAACACAUUAGGUUCCUGAAGAAGUAUUGGGAUAUCUACCAAAGGAGACUCGAACCCGACGAACACGAAGAUGGUUCGCCAUCAGACGAAGUUCCUCCUGCGAACCCCCCCUCCUUCUUAGUUUUUUUUUUUUAUAUUAUGUAGAAACUAUUGGGCUAGAGGCCCAACAAUAUUAAUUACAUUCCCCUUUUGCUUUUAAAUUCGCCGAUUAACUCAUCAUAUUUAAUGCGUUUAUUCUAGGGAAUAUAAUUAGUAAUUAACUCGAUUACAUUUUCUAUGGAAGUCGUAAUUUCAGAUUUGGGAAAUCGUCAAUUAAUCCUCUUAAAUGCAAUCGAAUAAUUUUUGGAUUAUAAAGUGGGUGUAGUCUGUCAUUGAAUUUCAACAACAAUUCUACAAAAAUGUUCAAGGGAGGUAACUCAUCAGAGAAUCCUUCAGACUUGUUCAAAGUGAUGAGUGUUGAUCCUUCGAGGACGUCGGACAUCGAGCUUAUAAGAGCAGGAGAGUCCGGCGAACCAAAAGAUUCACAAAUAUUGAAGAAGGGAACUAGCAUUCAGGUUCCGAUCGUUCUAAUCGAGAGAUUGUUGCCUCAAGAUCGUGCUAAGGCUGGGGAGUUUAUCAAUAAGGUAUUUUCCAUACUAGCGAUUAACUUCUUUUUGUUAUUGCUAAACGUAGCGUUUUAUUUUCUUCAGCUUAUCACUCGGCAUGAUGAGCUCGAAGAUGAGAAAAAAAAGAUUAGGAAACGGAUAAUGGAGCUAGAGAAGCGUCGCCUCGAUAUAUCUCGCGAGCUUCAUCGCCUCGAAGCCCAUCCUUCCGAUUGGAUCGAAGGACUUCAGGAGUACGGAAACAUGCCAGGUUGCAUUAUGAGCAUCGUUGACUUCGCUGGUCAAGGAGCGGAGUUGUUCCGUAAUUCAAGACCCUUCUAGAUCCGGUCUUAGCUUAGCAAGAAAUAUUUAUUUAUACAUUAUUCGCAAUGUAUCUUUAUAUUCAUGCUCGAAUAUCGAAUUUAUAAAAAUAGGAUUCCAUGACUGGAAUAAUAUUUAUAUUUUUAUGUUAUAGCUGGACUCGUGAUUAGCGAGCUGCCUACGUACCCAGAAUGGGAUCAAGCCAAAUCGUAGUUCGAAUGUGUUUGCUUUAGUAAUAGAACUUUUUCAAGUUGAUUAUGUUCCAAGGCCUUUGAACGGUAUACACCGUUUCGGAUUUUUUCAGCGAUUUGAUAAGGGCCUUCCCAGUUAAUACCGAGUUUUCCAGCUCCUUCUUCUUUUGUAUUAUCGAACACUCGCCUUAAAACAAAGUCUCCUACAUUUAAAGGUCUGUUUUCAACUUUGAGUUAUAGUAUCGAGCGGUCAACUGUUGAUAAUUCUGAAGUCGAAUAAGGGAUUGGUCUCGCCUUUCAUCGAUUGUAUCGAGAACGUCUUCUAAUAAUUUAGAAUUCGACUCUUCGUUAAGUGGAGCUUCGAUUCGGUGCAAAUCUGGGACAUUUAGCUCGGCCGGGACUACGGCUUCCAUCCCAUAAAGUAGUGAGAAUGGAGUUUUGCCCGUUGCCCGCCUCGGGGUUGUUCGGUAAGCCCACAACACAGGUUGCAGCUCGUCAUACCAUCCACCUUUUCGAGCACUCAAGCGUUUUUUAAGAUUGCUGAGAAUGGUUUUAUUGGAGGCUUCCGCUUGUCCAUUUCCUUGAGGAUACCUCGGCGUUGGGUAGCUAAGUUUUAUUCCCCAAGCGGAACAAAAAUCUUCAAAAUCAUUUGAAAUGAAUUGAGGACCAUUGUCCGUUACUAUUUCGUAGGGAACUCCAUAGCGACAAAUAAUGUGUUUCCACAAGAAUGUCUUUACUACGAAAUCUUGUAUGCUUAUAUAAGCUUCAGCUUCAAUCCAUUUGGAAAAAUAGUCUGUUAGAACUAAUAAGUAUGGAUGCCUCGUAUUGAACGAUGCAUCGGACCGAUUAUAUCCAUCGACCACCUCAUGAAAGGGUAUGAAGCGGAUAUAUGUGAUAGAAUUUCAGAUGGCUGGUGAAUAAGAGGAGCGUGCAUCUGACACUUUUUACACCGUUUGGCGUAAUCAAUGCAGUCUGAAAUCAUAGUUGGCCAAAAAUAUCCUAAUCGUUUGAUUUUGAAAGCCAUUGCUCGCCCCGAAGAAUGACUACCACAAAGCCCUUCGUGGACCUCGCUUGUCACUAUUUCAAUUUCAGGUCCGAAAAUACAUAAAAGAUAAGGAUCACUAACGCCUCGCUUGUACAAUGACUCUUUAAUUAUACAAUACUUAGCGCUGAUGAUUCUUAAUUUGCGAGCUUGCCAUUUGUCAGAUGGUAGUUCUCCAUUAAGCAUGAAAUUUUUGAUGGGUACCCUCCAGUCAGCUCCCCAAUCAUUAGCGGAAGUAUUAUCCUUGAGUAUAAACUUCCUUGGUUCGGGUUUGGAAGGAAUGUCAGGAUCUUCAAUUGUCUCCUGAACCUCUACAUCACCUGUAAGUGAAUGUUCGGUUUGAGAUGGUUUAACUUUUGAACCUCUUGAUCCUUUAACUUUCUUGUUGACUUUCUUUUAGGAAGUUCCAAUGGUGGAGUAAGUUUGUCAUCUUGAGACUUUACUUGUGAUCUGGUGAUGACAAGUGAACUAUUUCCGGAACUUUUUUUUGGAGUUUCGAUGUAUUCGGCCGCCGAAAUGUUAUCGUUUUCUGUUUCUUCAACCGAAAUACUUCUCGAGGAAAUACAUUCAACGGGGAUAACUCGUUGAGUUCAGGAUCUGAGGUAGAAGCUAGGGCAGCUAAAGCGUCUGCCAAAGUGUUUUCUCCUCUAGGUAUUCGAACUAAUUCGAAUUCUUUGAAUUUUCCGGCUAAUUUUUUGAAAGCCGAAAGAUAAGCUUCCAUUCGAGGAGCCUUAGCUUUGUAAUCUCCAGCGAACUGGUUUACAACUAGCUGAGAAUCGCAAUAAGCUAUUAUUUUUUCUGCUCCAAUCGCAAGAGCAAGCCGAAGUCCUGCUAAGAGAGCUUCGUAUUCUGCUUCAUUGUUCGAAGCUGGAAACAUUAACCGAAAUGACUGCUCGAUUAUUUCCUUUGUCGGAGUUUCGAGCCUAAUGCCGAUUCCGGAUCCAUGUUUAAAAGAAGAUCCAUCUACAUGUAAUUUCCACGUAGAGUCCGUUUCAACAAAGAUUCCAUCAUCUAAUGGUAGUUCGGUUAGAAAAUCAGCUAGAACUUGUGCUUUUGCGCUAGUUCGACUUUUAUAUUCUAUAUCGUACUCACUGAAUUCGAUUACCCAUUUUGCUAACCUUCCGGACUGACUUGGUCCGUGAAGAAUUGAGCGAAGCGGAUGGGAAGUUAGUACUUCUAUAGGAUGAGAUUGGAAAUAAGGUCUGAGUUUUCUAGCAGAUACGACCACUGCUAAAGCUAAUUUCUCCAUCAUGGUAUAUCUCGUUUCUGGACUAGUAAGAGAUUUACUUAUGUAGAAAAUUGGCUUUUGCUCACCUCGGUCCUCUCGAACUAAAACCCCACUUACGGAAUGGUUAGAAACUGAAAUGUAGAGAUAAAGUUUCUCAUCUAAUUCAGGUUUUGAGAGAAUCGGCGGUGUUGUCAGAUAAGUUUUGAGCUGACCAAAUGCUGCUUCGCAUUGAUCAUCCCACCAAAAUUUUUUGUUCCCUUUCAAAAUUUGAUAAAAGGGGAGACAUCUAUCGGUAGACUUCGAUAUGAAACGAUUUAAUGCAGCAAUUCUGCCUGUCAAUCGUUGGACCUCCUUUAUGUUUCUUGGCGAAGGCAUAGUAAGGAAAGCGUUAAUCUGAUUAGGAUUAGCUUCUAUCCCUCUUUCCGUGACUAUGUACCCCAAGAAUUCUCCGGAAGGCACGCCAAAGGAACAUUUAGCGGGAUUUAAUUUCAUUCCGAACUCGUUCAGAAUUUUGAAACAUUGCUCGAGAUGUGUGAUGUGCUCGGAUUUCUUAAGAGAUUUUACAAGCAUAUCAUCAAUAUAUACUUCCAUCAUUUUGCCCAAAUGUUCUGAAAACAUUUUGUUAACUAAACGUUGGUAUGUUGCACCGGCAUUUUUUAGACCAAAUGGCAUAACUUUGUAACAAUAGAUUCCUCUAUCUGUUAUGAAGGAUGUUUUCUCUUCAUCUUCGGGAUUCAUCAUGACCUGAUUAUAUCCAGAGAAUGCAUCCAUAAAAGUUAAGAGUUCGUUUCCGGCUGUUGACUCAACAAGCCGAUCGAUAUGUGGGAGAGGAAAGCUAUCUUUCGGGCAAGCUUUGUUAAUGUCGGUGAAAUCGACACAUACUCUCCAUUUUCCGUUUUUCUUUUUGACUACCACGGGGUUUGCUAACCAGUCCGGAUAUCUCACUUCUCCGAUGGAACCAAUUUUCAAAAGCUUAUCGACUUCGUCAUUGACUGCUUGAGCUCGGUCUGGACCAAGUUUUCUUCUUUUUUGCUUUAUUGGUUUAAAACUGGGAUCGACGUUUAAAUCAUGGGUAAUGAUACUUUUGUCGAUUCCAGGCAUAUCUUUCGCCGACCAGGCAAAAGUAUGUUUGUUUUUUUUUAGAAAUGUUACCAACUGAUCUUUGAUUUCUGAAUCUAAAGUAGUACCGAUUUUUACUUUUCGAUCUGGAAAUUCGGAAUCAAUUUCAAUUUCUGUGGUAACUUCACUUGAACUGAGACCACUUGGGUAACUCGAAGUGAUUUCUUGCUUAGCGUUUAUCAUUAAUUGCUAUUUAAGCUUUAAACGAUGUCCCAUGAGAUAGCAAGAUCGCGACGUUUCCUGAUCUCCACGAAUGGUUCUGAUUCCUGCAAGAGUUGGAAAUUUCACACACUGGUGAUAAGUUGAAGGUAUAGCCCUCAUUUGAUAAAUCCACAGAGUUCCGAAAAUUAUGUUUUAAGCGGUCGGACGGUCGAAAACAAUAAAUUCUAUAAUUUUAGGAACCCCUGCGGCGAGCACUGGUAGUUUUAUGUUCCCCAAGGACAUAGAUGUGUCACUCGUGAAAGCUACUAGUGGUGCCGGUGGACCGAUAAUGUCAGCCUUAUUGAUUCCCAUUCUUUGCAAAGUGCUUAGAAAUAUGAGAUCUACCGAGCUUCCAGUAUCAAUUAGACACCUAGUUACUUCGAAGUUCGCAACAUCUAAAGUUAUCACAAGAGCAUCGUCAUGAGGUCCUGUUAAUCCUUGAGUGUCCGAAUUAUCGAAAGAGAUAGAAGGUGUUUGUUCAUUUGACUGGAAACCCACAGCGGUUUGAAUUGCUGCUGAUUUCUUGUGCCUUUUGAUUGAUCUGAUCGAAUCUCGGCACAAUUUGGAUCCUCCCAUUAUAACAUCGAUCCUUUACUUAGGAGUGUUCGGAGUUCCGUGCCCAUUGGGCUUGUGUUUCUUUUCAGGAGGAUUUGACGCUUCAGAAUCUUCUUUUUCUUUAUGAUAAGAUUCCACAAACUCUUCGAUAUUGAAGUUAGCGAGCUCUCCAGCUGCCCACAGUUCGGUGAGGUGCUUUUUGAGUACGAUGCCAUCUUUGGUGGAAUGCCCAUUUACUCUAUGAAUAUCGCAAUAUGCACUCUCAUCUCUAACUCAGGUAUUAGAAGAAUUGUAUCUUCCUUUGUUUGGGGAGGGUUUUCCUACGGCAUUAGUAGCAGGAUUAACUCCGAACCGUUUUUGAUCUUUUGGUUCGAAUUUUUUAGUCGGAUUUCCAACAACUAAUUUUGCUGGCCGAUGCUUUUUAGCGAGGCUAAGCUUUUCUUCUUCUGCCUCCAACCAAUAGUGCUCGGACGAUUGACGAUGAUGUCUUCCCGAAAUCGGGAUUCAUGCCAAAGUCCGUUCCUUAAAGCAGAAAGGGCAGCAGCGUGUUAUACCCCAGGAAUUUUGGCUAUCACUUCUUUGAAUUUAGCGAUAUACUUGCGAAGUGGUUCGUUUUGACCUUGGGUUAAAUUCCAUAGAUCUGCAUCAGAGGUUGCCUUUUCCAUAAACAUGGAAUACUGUUUUAGGAAUGCAGAGGACAAUUCCUUAAAACUAUCAAUAGAUUCAGGCUCCAACUGAGUGAACCAUAAUAAAGCCGAUCCGGAUAGAUUCUCAGAGAAUAGUUUGCAAUAUCCGGCAUCUUCCUCGUCUGGUUCUAGAUCAAUUCUGCCAGCAGCGAUCUGAAAAGCAGCGAGGUGAUUUUUAGGAUCACCUUUACCAUCGUAAGUUGGUAAUUUGACCUUUCGAGAAUCUUUGAUCCAAAGGUUCGAGAUUCUCGAAGUGAAGGGUGUUCGUCGAGUUUCUUCGAUUAUUCGAUCGAUCUCAGGUGCCGAACUGGUCGCCUGAUGAAACUUCGACUUCAUCUCAUCAAGCUCUUGACGAACUUUGACGAAAUCAUCGGAAAGGAUGACAUCAGGUUCUACCAUAAGGAGUCCUUCGUCAAUAGCAGGAUUGCCCUGAUUUUGGGGAUUUUCAUCCCCGGUUGGAUUGGACCCAUCUCCUACGGUUGUCUGAUUGCUAGUACUAGCAAGACGGCCCGUAGGAGGAGUUUGAGUGCUCCCGGAUCUGUUUAGUGUAGGAGUUUGGAAUAUCCUGCGCUGAUACGCUGUCGUUUGUGCUGAGGACAAAUUAUCUAAACGGCUUGAAACAACGUUCUGCGCGUUUGACAAAUUUGUUUGAGUAUUUUGAACACUCGUUAAAGUUUGCUCGAUUGAGUUUAACCUUUCACCAAAAGUGGCGUUGGCACUAGCGAGUGUACUCAUCUGAUUGGUCAGAUCAGUGGUUGACUGAGUAAGCGAGGCAAUUGCAUUGCUCAAAGCUUGCUGAUCAGCCAUCGUUUCUUGGUUUGAAAAAGAGAGAUUUUGAGAUCAAAGAGUUUUGCGGUAACUCCCCACAGGCGGCGCCAAAAUGUGGAUGUAGGAUUCACACUCGAUUGUCUUUAAGUAUUUUUGUGGAGAAAAACUCUAAAAUCAACAAAUGAAAAUAUGGAAUUGAAAAGGGAAGUAACCAAGAAACUAAAUAAAGCGAAAGAACUUGGAAAGAAUAAAAUAGUAAAAAGCCUUGCAAAAUUGUAAAAGAAAAAGUAUGUUGUAUUGCUUGAUCGUAAGAGGAAAAAGUUUUCCGCCCCCAAACACACGCGUUUGAAGUUGUUUUUAUAGAGAAAACAUGAUCAAUGCGGUCAUUUACUGCUCAUAAUUGCAUUGAUCCGCAUUAAUCAUGUAGAUUACAAUUUGACCAAAACGGCUUGAAUUUGAACUAUCUUGGGCUUUGAGUGGAUCUUCCGAACCCUUUCUUGUUGACUCCGAACUCCUGCGUCUUGACGCUGCCGCGAACCUCGAGCAAUAUUCUCCUCGCUUCGGCCUUCUUUUAUGCGAACUAUAUGUUGAAUAAGAGCGAACUCCGUACUGGUAAAGAUCGAGCUCUUUAAUAAACUGAAUCAAACUUCCGACAGGUCGAGCUCGAUUCUCGCAAUGAAACAUCUAGAAAUCCAAGAGGAUUAUUAUGUAAUAAUGACGUGAACAGAUCCAAGUGGAUCCUACCGAAGAUGUGUGGGAUCCGACCCCAACAAGUGGUACCUCGAUAGUGGUGCAAAUAAUCCCAUGUGUGGGAGAAAGAGUAUGUUCGCGGAACUUGAUGAAUCUGUGAGAAAAACUGUGGCUUUAGGAGUGGAAUCAAAGAUGUAGGUAAAAGGUAAAGGAAACAUCUCAUCUGAUUGAAGAAUGGAGAUCAUCAAUUUCUUUAUAUUGUUUACUAUAUUCCAAGCAUGAAGACAAACAUAUAGUAAACGUUAGAAAUAAACGUAUGAUUUUAAUCUAAUAUAAUUACUUCCUUCUCUUUAUUGAUGAUUCUUCAAGAAACGCAUGGGUUUAAUUUUUGAAAACAAAAUUUGAGGUGUUUGAAGACUUCUAAAAGUUUAAAGCUGAUGUUGAGAAGGAAAGUGGUCUUGUGAUCAAAGCCAUGAGAUCCGACCAUGGAGGGUUUACAUUAAAAGAGUUUCUAAAGUAUUGUAAAGAUAACGGCCUUCGAAGAAAACUAACUGUGUCAAGAUCCCCUUAACAAAAUAGUAUAGCGGAAAGAAAGAAUAAAAUAAUUCUUGAGUGGUGAGGAGCAUAUUCAAAAGUAAGAGACUACAAAAAGAGUUGUGGGCGGAAGCGGUCGCGUGUGCGGUUUAUCUAUCAAACUGAUCUCCAACAAAAAGUGUCUCAGAAAAAACACCACAAUAGCUUGGAGCGGAAGGAAGCCUAGUGUUUCUCAUUUAAGAGUCUUCGGAAGCAUUGCUCAUGCAAAUGUACCAGAGGAGAAGCGGAGUAAACUAGAUGACAAAGGUGAGAAGUACAUCUUCAAUGAUUAUGAUAACAACUCCAAAAGCUACAAGCUCUAUAAUCCCAAUACGAAAAAAAUAAUAACUAGUCACAAUAUCGUGUUCGAUGAAGAAGGAGAAUGGGAUUGGAAAAUCAAAUUAUGAAUAUUAUAACUUCUUUCCACAUUGUGAAGAAGAUGACCCAGAGCCAAUAAGAGAGAAGCUCUAAGAGAGGAGCCUACUACACCACCAACCUCACCAACGAGUUUUCAAGGAGCAGAAAGUUCAAGCGAAAGGACUCUAAACUUUAGAAGUUUACAAGAGCUCUAUGAGGUAACCGAAAUCAAGACGACCUUACCUAAUUUUGUUUAAUUGUGGAGUGCGAACUCAUGGAAUUCCAAGAAGCCAUUGAAAAGAGACAUGGAGAAAUGUCAUGGAUGAAGAGAUAAAGCAGAUACAAAAGAAAGAUACAUGCAUGGGAGGUAGCUUCGCUUCCAAAUGGGCACAAGGCGAUAGGUGUGAAGUGAGUGUAUAAAGUAAAGAAAAAUUCUAAAGAGGAAAUGGAAAGAUACAAAGCAAUAUUGGUGGCAAAAGGUUAUAUACAAAGAGCCCAAAUUGACUAUGAAUAGGUAUUUGCUCCCGUUGCUCGUCUAGAAAUGGUUAAAGACUAAUCAUUUCACUAGCGGCUCAAGAGAAGUGGAAGAUACAUCAAAUGGAUGUCAAAUCGACCUUUUUAAAUGGAGACCUUGAAGAAGAAUUUUACUUUGGGCAACCACAAGGCUACAUAGUCAAAGGAGAAGGACAAAGCCUUGAGGCUAAAGAAGGCUCUUUACGGAUUAAAACAAGUUACAAGAGAUUGGAAUACUCGAAUUGACAAGUACUUCAAGGAGAAAGACUUCAUCAAUUGUCGAUAUGAGCAUGCACUCUAUAUCAAAAUUCAAAAAGACGAUAUAUUGAUCGCAUGCUUAUAUGUAGAUUACUUGAUAUUCACUGGUAACAAUCCAAGCAUGUUCAAAAAAUUCAAGAAACAGAUAACGAAGGAGUUCAAGAUGAUGUAUAUUGGAUUGAUGUCUUACUACCUCAGAAUUGAAGUAAAACAAGAAGACAAUAGAAUCUUCAUUACCGAAGAAGGCUAUGCUAAGGAGAUACAAAAGUUUAAGAUGGAUGACUCAAACCCGGUGAGUACACCAAUGGAAUGCGGAAUCAAAUUAUCAAAGAACGAAUAAGGGGGAGGAGUGGAUCCAACAACCUUUAAGAGCUUGGUUGGAAGCUUGCGAUACUUAACAUGCACAAGGCCCAAUAUUUUCUAUGCGGUCGGAGUUGUUAGUCGUUACAUGGAGCAUCCAAAAAUAACUCAUUUCAAGGUGGCAAAGAGGAUUCUUCGCUAUAUCAAAGGUACCAUAAAAUUUGGCUUACACUAUUCUACUACUAGUGAUUACAAGGUUGUUGGAUAUAGCGAUAGCAAUUGGGGCGGAGGCAUAGAUGACCGAAAGAACACAAGUGGUUUCGUGGUUUAUAUUAAAGAUACGGUUUUCAUAUGGAUGUCGAAGAAGCAACCAAUUGUCGGUCUUUCCACUUGUAUAGCAGAGUAUGCGGCUACGUCAUGUGUACGCCAUGCUAAUUUGGUUAAGAAAUCUUUUAAAGGAGUUAAACUUGCCACAAGAUGAACCAACGAAGAUCUUUGUGGAUACACGUCGACAAUAGCUUUCGUGAAUAACCCGGUCUUUCAUUAUCGAAGUAAGCACAUUGACACACGCUAUCACUACAUCCGAGAAUGUGUUAACAAGAAGGAUGUGGUAUUGGAAUACGUGAAGACACAUGAUCAAGUAGCCGAUAUUUUUACCAAGCCUCUAAAACGCGAAGACUUUAUCGAGAUGAGCAGUUUGCUUCGAGUAGCAAAAUCAAGUUUAGGAGGGGGUGUUUAAAGUUUAACUUGAUUUUGAAUCAAGUUUAAUUAUUGGAGCAAUUAACCAAUAAUUAUUUUAUUGGACAAAUCCUCUAAAAAUAUCAACAUCUCCACCUUCUUAAAAUGUUCUAGAAAUUCUCAAGAGUCAUCGUCCACCUCCUUAAACAUAAAAAUUUAGAUACUUUUAUAGAAUAAUGUAGAUAAUUAUAAUAUUAUAAUCUUGAUAUUAUGUCAGAGUACUCUAAAUUUAAUAUUAAAAUAUUUUAGAUAUUUUGUAGUUUGGAGGCUAUAAAUACUCCAUCCCCCUCUUAUUUGUAGUGUUAUCGUGAGUUAAGAACAAAUUAAUAAAAGUUCUACGUUCUAAAACACUUUUGUGGAUGUAGGAUUCACACUCGAUUGUCUUUAAGUAUUUCAGUGGAGAAAAACUCUUGUAAAAUCAGAAAAUGAAUAUGAGAAUUCGAAAGGGAAAUUAACCAAGAAAAGAAGUAAAGAAAUUUGAUCAGAACGAAGUACAAAAUGCCUUGCGAAAGUAAUAAAGAGAGAAAGUAUAUUGUAUUGCUUAGAAUUAAUGAGUAAAAAGAUUCGUCCCCCUCCAACACAUGCGUUUGAGGUUGUUUUUAUAGAGAAAACAUGAUCAAUGCAGUCAUUUACUACUCAUAAUCGCAUUGAUCCGCAUUAAUCAUGUAGGUUACAAAUUGACCGAAACGGCUUGAAUUUGAACGAUCUUGGGCUUCGCAUGGAUCUUCCGAACUCUUUCUUGCUGACUCCGAACUCCCGCGUUUUGACGCUACCGCGAGCCUCGAACAAUAUUCUCCUCGCUUUGGCCUUUCUCUAUGCGAACUGUCUGUCGAAUAAGAGCAAACUCCAUACUGGCAAGGAUCGAGCUCUUCUACUAGACUGAACCGAACUCCCGACUGGUUAAGCUCGAUUCUUAUAAUAAAAUGUUUUUAAUUCCAAGAGGAUUAUUAUGUAAUAAUGACGUGGACAGAUCCAAGUGGAUCCUACCGAAUAUGUGUGGGAUCCGACCCCAACAUUUAGCCCCAAGCCUUGCGAGCUGAGUGCUCGGCUUGGAAGACUUAAGUAAACAGUAAUUAAUGAAUUGAGAUCUUUAACAUUCUGGAAUUACUCCAUGUUUUCCGAUGUUACGCCGAUCUCGGAUAAUCAAGUGAUUUGAUAUCCCUGACAACCGUCAUCAUUAAUUUCUUAAUUUUAUAUUAAUACUGCGGGGAAAACCAUCUCACUUCCCAAUAUUUUCGAGGCGGUCUUCCAUCAUAAUUUAGGGUUCUAAGAGGUAAUAUUACUUUUCCUUCUUAUCUUCUCUACCUAGAAAACUUUCAUUCUCAUUACAGAGGUCGUUGUUUUCUUUCAGUAAAAAACCCCCUUUCAUAAAAUGUCGAACCUCCCUCACGAAUAUGAGGUUGAUGACCUCGAAGCUCUCAUGGGCGAGGGCACCGAUCCUCAUACCCAAACUGGAGGCGAGUUUGAUAUUCACCCUCAGAGUCAAUCGACCGAUUGAUUCUCUCAACGAUCUCCUUCGCAUGUGCCACAUUCCCCCCGAAGUGGAGAUGGUGGUCCCGGAGCCUUACGAGUCUCCAGAGUCGGGGCGAGAGGGUUCUUGCUGCGCCUAUGAAAUUUAUUUCAAAGGGUGCGGCUUGUUCCUUCCUUUUCCUGAGAUACUUCUUACCUACCUCAAUCAUCUGGGAAUUGCCAUCUCUCAGAUGUCGCCCAACAUGCUCCAGUAUCUUAUGUGUACCUUCACUGUUGCGGCGGAGGCAGGCUAUUCGUUGGGCCUUAGAGAGCUCUUGGAAUUAUUCCAGGCUCGCGAAUCCCGAACUUCUGGGUAUUAUGCCCUUUAUCCGAUCGCAGAUCGGAAUCUUAUUGAUGGCCUGCCUUUAAAAGACAACGCCUGGAAGAAGUUUUGGUUCUUCUUCCGUAUAAAUAGUUUUUCCUUUCAGAGUUCUUCCGAACUCCUCCGAACUCACUGGUCAUCGAAUUUGGGUAGAAACUAGGACUUAAAUAAAUAAGUUUCCCAGGCUAUUUCAAACUGCGUUAAUACUUUCUCGUUUUUCCGCAGGUUCCCAAAUUCGGCCAGUUCCCUCUGUUGACUUCCUCAACUUUUACAAGGCCGUCCUCGAGAGGCCAAUUACUUGGAAUUCUUUUACUUUGGAGAGAAUUCACGGUGCUGGACUUUCUGUCAGAAUGCGCCUUACUCAUCCCGUCGACCCUCCUCCUGCUGAGAUUAGGAAAAACAAGAAAAAUGCAUCCUCCGUCGGGGACGACAAAGUCUACCGGAAAACUCUCCUAGUUGAUGACGGGUCCCUUGAAGGUUCAAAGUCAAUGGCGGUCACCAUGAACAAUGCUCCCUCCUCUUCCCCAGCAGCAGACAUCAUGGUCGCUGCCACUGCUGAAGAAGGAGGUCCCUUAGAUGGCUCCUCUCUUAUGAAGAAGAGGAAGGCUGAGGGUCCUGAACCCCCGCUUCAGGGAAGGUCCAAGAGCACGAGGAAAGCCGAAGCCAUUUCUUCAAGUCUUCCAAUUCCUGAAUAUGCUGACGUUCAGUAGAAAUCCUGAUUCAGGAAUUGUUUUGAGAGAGCCGCUGAGUUCAGGGAUGCUACCCCCCAGGCGUCCUCGAGGUAACACCUCUAGAGCUCGAUCAUCUCCGAGCUCAGGACUUGUUGCCAGAGCUUCAUCUCCGUCAGGUAAUCCUCAAUUAACCUUUUGAUACUGGAGAUUAACUGAUUUUUUUAAGGAAUUCCAUAUUCAUACGAAUAUCUUUACUUUAGAUAAAGAGAAUAUUGGAAACAUCUUUAGAUGUUUCCACACUCGCUCUGGGAGGAAACUUCCGUCCUUUGGGCACUGGAGGGAUGACAUCAAGAAGAUGUAUAUCAGUCAUUCAUUCCACUCUUCUCAGGUUUGACUGUUUGAAUCUGUAAAUAUUUGAUUUUGAUUCUCCCUUUUCUUAUCGCAUCUCAUUUUAUCAGGCAACCCUGGAUGUUAACAGCAUCAUUAACCAUUACGAAGAGGAGCUCACCAAGGUUUCCAAGAGAGCUGCUAUUGCUGAAGGAGAGAUUUAGAAAUUCCAAUCUUCCACCAGCUUGCGAAGGAGACGACUAGUCUCGAUUCGGCUCGUCAGAAAGAAAUCGAGCAACUCGAAAGAUCUGGCGAGGAGACGAGGAGAAUUUGGCUGAGACAGAAAAAAAGCUAAAAACUGCUCUUGCUGAACAAAACUUUGCAAAGGGCGAGAUCGAGCUUCUGAAAUCAUAGCUUAGCAAGGUGAAAACAGUUGCUGAGGAGUUCGAGCGAAAAAAUGAGUCUCUUUCCAAACUGAAAGAUCAGGAUGUUCGCAAGAUAUCUCAUGAUGCUCGGAAAGAGGUUAAAGGAGCUGGGCAAAAGUUCCUUCUUGCCGUGCAGGAAUUUAUCUCUACAGAUAAAGCUUGGAACAAACUUAACUCCGAACGUGAUGAGAUGAAGAGAAAUCUCGAUCUGAUCAAGGAGAUAGAAGAAGGAAAAAUUGACUUGGCUAAUGAAUAGGAGACAGUUGGCGCUGAGCUCGCUGAGACUGAAGCUAAGCUAGCUACUGCUCCUCGGCCAUAUUUAGAUUUGCAGCAAUUUGCCUCUGAGUUCGCUGAUUCCCCUCCACUGACCGAACCUAAUACCGGUUUGUCUUUGGACGAGAUGAUGUUAACUGGUUCCCCUAGUGCUCAUUUUAAUGAGUUCGGAACCAACGUUGACAAAAUUUCUUUGGAACGAAAUCAGGAGUUCUCUGGUCAGGAUCCUGCUAUUUCCUCACUUAUGGAAGAUGACUUUAGAUCGAGGAGCAAAACUCCUCAGGACGCUAGCUCGCUUAACCCUGAGGUGGUUCGCACAACUCAAGAUGCUGCCGUCGGGGGUGCUCCUGUCUCAAGCCUAGUAGGAGAUGGAGGCGGUUCGCCUAUGAAUGAAUGAUGGUGUUUGUACUCACUUUUUAUGGGGAAUGUCCCUUUAAUUUUAAGACAUAAAACUUGCUUUGUUGGCCAUGGCGCCGUUUAUUACUCUGAGAUUUUUGCCCAAAGGGGCUUUUAUUACUGUUUUGAAUAAUUUGCCCAAGAGAGUUCUUAAUUAAAAUUUCUUUAGAAAGAAAUAUUUAAUUUUGGUGGAAACCAUCGAUUUUACCUGGAGGGUUUGUAAAGUCCUCCUAACCGAAAUGGUUUUGAAUUAUAGUAGAGAUAGGCUGAUCAGACCUACUUGCCUUUUUUAAAGAAAAAACAUUAGAAUUUUUCCUCGGUCUCUCGGUUACGAGGUUAGAGCUCGGCUUACAAGAAUACCUCGUGAUACUUCGAAAUGUGUUCGAUUAGAAAAAUCUUACUGAGAAUUGUUUGCUUUUCUUGAAAAGGACAAAAAAGGUUUAAUACCAUUUAUUAACUGCCCUUGAAUUUCACGUUCGAAAUUCAGUUCGCCUACUAGGUGUUAAGUGAUACUUGAAUAACUUAUGUUUUGUAGGUCUUGUUUUUGUAUGUACACGAAAAUCGAAAGGUCGUAACUGUCAGAUCAAUAGAUUGACGUUUAACUUCCUUUUUCAAUAAAUACUCAAGUGAGUAAUCUGAUAUAUUUUUCCUAUAUAAGGAGAGUAGGAUUUUGGGAAUUUCCUAAUAAACCUUUUCUUCACAAGGAACUUUGCAGUUCUCUUUUUCUUGUUUUUGAUGGCCUCUCCCCAAGGCGAACCUUCUGAUCCUAAUCCACCACGAUUCCCUUCAAGCGAUUCUCUUUUCCCGACGGGGGAUGGAUUCACUCCACAAGGGGUGGCUAUUCCUUGUUUUCUUUCUUCCAUGUCUAAGGAAGAACAUAUCGAGUGCUAUGAAUUCAUGGAGCAGGUUUGAACCCGGUACCAAUUGUUUCAAGGUUUUACUUGAUAGAUUUGUAAUGCAUCUGUUCUUUGCAGAUCACGGACAGGUACGUUUUCCUCUGCUCCAAAAGGCAACGCCUCAGAAAGAAACGCCGUAACCUCGAGGACCGGAUUGCUAGAACCGAAAGGAAGAUCCGACGUUUGGAGUCGAACGUUCACAACUGGGAGAGGAGGGGAUUUGACUCUAUCGCUCGCAUUCCCGGCUGUCUUCGAGAACACAUCAGGAUUCGGAAGAAACAUUGGGAUAUCUACCAAAGGAGCCUCGAACCCAAAGAACGCGAAAACGGUCGUCAUCCGACGACUUUCCUUCUGCGAACCCUCCUCCUUCUUAAUUAUUUAUUAUUUUGUAACAUACUAUUGGGCUGACGGCCCAGCGACAUUAAUUAUAUUUCCCUUUUUGCUUUAAAUUUGCCGAUUUACUCAAAUCUUAUUUAAUGCGUUGAUUUAGGGAAUAUAAUCAGCAUUUAACUCGCUUAUAUUUUCCACGAAGGAAGUAAUUUCAGAUUUUGGUAAAUCGUCAAUUGAUCCUCUUAAAUGUGAUUGAGUGUAUUUCGAAUAUAAAGUUGGUGUAGCUCAUUAUUGAAUUUGAUCAACAAUAAUUCUACAAAAAUGUUCAAGGAAGGUAAUUCUUCAGAGAAUCCGUCCGACUCGUUUAAAAAGAUAAGCGAUGAUCUUCCGGAAACGUCAGACAUCGAGCUUGUAAAAACGGAAGCAACCGGCGAACCAGAAGAGUCACGCCCAUUAGGGUGGGGAACCAGCAUUCAGGUUCCAAAUGUGUUAAUCGAGAGAUUAUCAGCUCAAGAUCGUGUCAAGGCUAAAGAGUUUAUUAACAAGGUAUUGUUCAACCUAGUAACCUGACUCCUUUCGUUGUUUAUUAAACGAAGCGUUUUGUUUUCUCAGCUUGUUACUCGGCAUAAAGAGCUCGAAGAUGAGAAAAAAGAGAUUAGAAAAAAUAGAAUGGAACUAGAGAAGCGUCGCCUCGAUAUUGCUCGCGAGCUUCAUCGCCUCGAAGCCCAUCCCUCUGAUUUGAUUGAGAUAGGCCUACAGGAGUACGGAAACAUGCCAGGUUGUAUCCUGAACAUCAUUGACCUCGCAGGCCAAGGAGCAGAGCUAUUCCGUAAUCCAAGAUCCUUCUAGAUCUGGUUUUUGCUUUAGCUAAAAAUACUUCUUCAUAUAUUGUUCGCAACGUACUUUAAUAUUUAUGCUAAAAGAUUGAGCUUAUUAAAAACAAGACUCCAUGAUUGGAGUAAUAUUUUUAUUUUUAUAGCUGGACUCGUGUUGAGUGAGCUGCCUACGUACCCAAAAUAGGAUCAAGCCAAAUCGUAGUUCGAUAUGUAUGUUUUACAAUAGAACUUUUUCAAGUUGAUGAUGUUCCAAGGUCUUUGAACGGAAUUACCGUCAAGGUCCUGUAAACGGUAUACGCCAUUUUGGAUUUUUCUGUGAUUUGAUAAGGGUCUUCCCAGUUAAUACCGAGUUUUCCAGCUCUUUCUUCUUUUGUGUUAUCGAACACUCGCCUUAAAACAAAGUUUCCUACAUUUAAAGGCCUGUUUUUCAACUUUGAGUUAUAGUAUCGAGCGGUCAACUAUUGAUAGUUCUGAAGCCGAAUAAGGGAUUGGUCUCGCCUUUCAUCGAUUGUAUCGAGAACGUCUUCUAAUAAUUUAGAAUUCAGUUCUUCGUUAAGUGGAGCUUCGCUCCGGCGUAAACCGGGAACAUUCAGCUCGGUUGGGACUACUGCUUCCAUCCCAUAUACUAAUGAGAAUGGAGUUUCUCCCGUUGCUCGUCUCGGGGUUGUUCAUUAUGCCCACAACACAGGUUGCAGCUCGUCGUACCAACCACCUUUUCGAGCAUUCAAACGUUUCUUAUGAUUGCUGAGAAUGGUUUUAUUGGAAGCUUCCGCUUGCCCAUUUCCUUGAGGAUACCUCGGCAUUGAAUAGCUAAGUUUUAUCCCCCAAGAGGAACAAAAAUCUUCAAAUUCAUUUGAAAUGAACUGUGGACCAUUGUCCGUUACUAUUUCGUAAGGAACUCCAUGGCGACUAAUAAUGUGUUUCCACAAGAAUAUAUUUACCACAGAAUCUUGUAUAUUUGCGUAAGCUUCAGCUUCAAUCCAUUUGGAAAAAUAGUCCGUUAGAAUUAAUAAGUAUUGGACACCUCGCGUUGAGCGAUGCAUCGGGCCAACUAUAUCAAUUGACCAUCUCAUGAAAGGGUAUAGAGCGGAUAUAGAUGAUAAAUAUUCAGAUGGCUGGUGAAUAAGAGGAGCGUGCAUCUGACAUUUUUUACACCGUUUGGCGUAAUCGAUGCAGUCAGAAAUCAUAGUUGGCCAGAAAUAUCCUAACCGUUUGAUUUUGAAAGCCAUUUCUCGCCCUGAAGAAUGACUGCCGCAAAGCCCUUCGUGGACCUCGCUUGUCACUAUUUCAACUUCGGGCCCGAAAAUACAUAAAAGAUAAGGAUCACUGACGCCUCGCUUGUACAAUGACUCUUUAAUUAUACAAUACUUAGCGCUGAUGAUUCUUAAUUUGCGAGCUUGUCAUUUGUUCGAUGGUAGUUCUCCAUUAUGAAUGAAAUUUUUGAUGGGUACCCUCCAGUCAGCCCCCGAAUCAUUAGCGGAAGUAUUAUCCUUAAGUAUAAACUUCCUUAGUUCUGGCUCGGAAAGAAUAUCAGGAUCAUUUAUCAGAACUUCUUCAUUAUUUGCGAUAUCCGGAAGUGACUGUUCAGCUCGAGAUGGUUCUUUAAUGGGAACCUCUUGAUCUUUUAGUUUUCUUCUCGGCUUUCUUUUAGGAAGUUCUGUUUGUGGAUUAAGCUCAUCUUGAGACUUUGCUCGAGAUCUAGUGACAACAAGCGAACUGUUCUUGUUGUCGGUAUUUAAUUCUGGAGUUUCGAUAUGCUCGACCUCCAAAAUAUUAUCGUUAUCUGUUUCUUCAUCAGAAAUACUUUGUGAAGAAAUGCAUUCAACUGGAAUCACUCGCUUGAGUUCGGGAUCUGAUCCUAUCCCGUGCGGCUGCCUGAUUGCUAGUACUAGCUGGCUGGCCUAUUGGAGGAGUUUAAGUAAUCUCGGGCCUGUUUUGUGCGGGAGUCGCGAAUAGCAUGCGCUGAUGCGUUGUUGUUCGCGCUGAGGACAAAUUAUCUAAACGGCUUGAAACAACGUUCUGCGCAUUUGACAAAUUUGUCUGGGUGGUUUGAACACUCGUUAAGGUUUGCUCGAUUGAGUUCAACCUUUCACUAAGAGUGGUGUUGGCACCAACAAGUGUACCCAUCUGACCGGUCAGAUCGGUGGUUGUCUGAGUAAGCAAGGCAAUUGCGUCGCUCAAUGCUUGCUGAUCAGCCAUAGUUUCUUGGUUGGAAAAAAGGAUUAAAGAGUUUUGUGGUGGUUCCCCACAGGCGGCGCCAAAAUGUGGAUGUAUGAUUCACACUCGAUUGUCUUUAAGUAUUUCAGUGGAGAAAAACUCUUGUAAAAUCAGAAAAUGAAUAUGAGAAUUCGAAAGGCAAAUUAACCAAGAAAGAAGUAAAGAAAUUUGAUCAGAACGAAGUACAAAAUGCCUUGCGAAAGUAAUAAAGAGAGAAAGUAUAUUGUAUUGCUUAGAAGUAAUGAGUAAAAAGAUUCGUCCCCCUCCAACACAUGCGUUUGAGGUUGUUUUUAUAGAGAAAACAUGAUCAAUGCGGUCAUUUACUACUCAUAAUCGCAUUGAUCCGCAUUAAUCAUGUAGGUUACAACUUGACCGAAACGGCUUGAAUUUGAACUAUCUUGGGCUUUGCAUGGAUCUUCCGAACUCUUUCUUGCUGACUCCGAACUCCCGUGUUUUGACGCUACCGCGAGCCUCGAACAAUAUUCUCCUCGCUUCGGCCUUUUUCUAUGCGAACUGUCUGUCGAAUAAGAGCGAACUCUAUACUGGCAAGGAUCGAGCUCUUCUACUAGACUGAAUCGAACUCCCGACUGGUUAAGCUCGAUUCUUAUAAUAAAAUGUCUUUAAUUCCAAGAGAAUUAUUAUGUAAUAAUGACAUAGACAGAUCCAAGUAGAUCCUACCGAAAAUGUGUGGGAUCCGACCCCAACAACUUUCUCCAUACUCAGGAAUAGCUUUUCGCUAUCAUAAUAUUUUAUAUAUCGUUGUAUAUCAAUGUUUACAAAUAAUGUUUCAAAGUAAUAUUAAAUAUAUAACGCCACAUAAUAACAUAGAUAAGUUUCUAUAUAAUUAUUUGAAGGAUACUAAAUUAGAAUUACAGAAGAUGUAUUUUAAAAGUGGCUAAAGCCUUACAUUUCAUCACAAGGAAUCCAAAAAUCCAAAGUUAAAUAAAUAAUUUUAGGAAUUUAUUUAAUCUUGAAAUGGAGUAUACAAAAUAACUUAAAAUACUAGAAUAAUGGUGGUUACUAAAACUUUGAUUUGAAUAUAUUUUGGAAUUAAUUUUAUGAAUGAACAAGCCUCUACAUUUACUAAAAAACAAAAUAAAUAAGUAGAAUUUUAAAUGGACACAAUUGUUAGGAAAAAUGAUAUUUUUUAUAAUAAAUAGUUAUAGUGUUGAAGAUAUUCAAACUUCAUUUUGUUUCUUAAUUUGAUAUUAUAUGGCAAUCCGAAAUUCAGAUGUACUCAUAAAGAAGAUAUGCUCCAGCGUUUUCCAUUUGAAAUGGGAACUCUUCCAGUGCGGUAUCUCGGUCUCCCUCUUCUCACUAAAAGUAUGACUCGCUCCGAUUAUUUACCCCUCAUUGAGAAAAUAAGAAAUCACAUCACCUCUUGGACGGGUCUGUUCUUAUCUUUCGCGGGUAGACUACAACUGAGCAAAUCUGUUCUAUCAAGCAUCACUAACUUUUGGCUCUCAGCUUUUAGGCUGCCAAGUAAGUGUAUUAAAGAACUUGAAAGUCUUUUCUCUGCAUUUUUGUGGUCUGGUGUAGAACUCAACUCAAGGAAGGCAAAAGUGGCAUGGUUGGAUGUUUGUAAGCCAAUUAAGGAAGGUGGGCUGGGACUAAGACCGAUAUCUGAAGCAAACACGGUGAGUAUUUUGAAACUUGUUUGGCGGCUUGUCUCCGCUAAGGACUCUCUUUGGGUCAGCUGGGUUCACGCAAAUUUGUUACGAAAUGGGUCCCUUUGGUCAGUUCGACAAACAAGUACUUCAGGUUCAUGGAUGUGGAGGAAAUAUUGAAAUAUCGGGAUAAAGCCAAACCUCUACAUAAGAUGGAGGUAAGGUCAGGUCUGGCUACUUCCUUUUGGCAUGAUAAUUGGUGUUCUCUUGGAAGAUUGGCUGAUGUUUUAGGUCCUCGGGGAUGUAUCGAUAUGGGUAUCGCCACAAACUGCUCAGUUGCUGCAGCCCUCUCAAAUCACCGCCGACGCAGACACCGAAAUGAAAUGCUAAACCGAGUUGAGGAUGAGUUGGAUUCCCUCCGAUCACAUUCUCCAGCGGGUAAGGACAUUUCACUAUGGAAAAGGAAUAAUGGCUCUUUCAAGGGAACGUUCAUUUCAAAGGACACUUGGUAUACGAUACGAGAAACUAAUCCGGUGUGUGAAUGGUAUAAGGGUGUAUGGUUCCCCCACUCAACGCCUAAGUACUCAUUCAUCACUUGGAUCGCCAUUCGUAAUCGUUUAGCUACGGGAGAUAGACUGCUACAGUGGAAUGCUGCAGCAAAUGGUGAUUGUAAUUUGUGUGAUGGGAACAUAGAAACAAGAGAACACCUCUUUUUCUCUUGUCCGUAUUCUUCUCACGUCUGGUCAGCUCUCACACGAGACAUGCUUGGGCAACACUACUACACAACACGAUGGGAAACUCUGCUUCCUUUACUCACGGCUCCAUCUACCUCAAAGCUACAUUUGUUUGUUUUGAGAUAUGUGUUUCAGAUUUCUAUCCACAGUCUAUGGCGAGAACGGAAUGGGAGACGACACGGCGAGUCACCAACCCCAGCAUCCAUGCUAGCAAAACUGAUCGACAAGAACGUUCGUAACUGGCUGAGCACCUUAAUUACGACGGGCUCACCCACUUAUGAAGGCGGACUGCGAUAUUGGUUCCAAAUCCUUAGUCACUAGUUUUCUCUUCUUUAUAAUCCAUCUCAAAAACUCAGAUUUUUUCAGCUUGAUGUUGCAUUUAUUGUAAAACCGUCUUUUUUUUGUGAAUAAAUUUUACAUUCAUAAAAAAAAAAAAAAAAAAAAAAGAAAUUCAGAUGUACGGUUCUAUUUCAAAUUUUUCGUAUAAGUAUUUGUGAUAUACCUUUUGACGACUUAAUUACUAUUAAAUGCAGCAAAAUGAUUAUUUGAAAAUCAAGCAAUUAGUUUUUAACGUGAGAAAAAUUAUUCUUUUCAUAUCUUGGAUAAUAUAUGUAAUUUAAAACUUAUUCAAUAUUCUUCGGAUAUGUGAGUCUGUUUUUCUGUUUUAUCAUUUUUCAACAUGUGUUACGGUAUUUAUCUAAUCAUUUUUAACUUUAGAUAAUGUUGAAAAAGUGCCCCUACCAAAGAAGAAAAAUAAAAUAAAAAGUGCCCCUACAAAAAAAAAACAAAUAUUGAAAAAGUGCAAUAUUUUUGCUAAAACUUUAAUAUAGAGUAUUAUUCUUAUUUUCGAUAGUUUUUUGUUAUUUAUAGUAUAAUUAUAAUUUAUACUCCCUCUGUUUCACAAAGAGUGUCAUUUUAGAGUUUUGCACACAGAUUAAGAAAACAUUAAAUUUUUUGUUUUUUCUAAACAAAAACAUCAUUAACUAUAUACCUAAACAUAAUCUGCCCAAUAGUAAAACAAUCUGCAGAAUACUAAUAGUCAUAAAACAUAAAAAAUCAUUAAAUUUUGCAUUGAAAACCUAAAACGACACUCUUUGUGAAACAAAAAUAAAACCUUAAAACGACACUCUUUAUGAAACGGAGGGAGUAUUUGUUUAAUUUUCAUAAGAAAUAUGUUUUGCAUCUCAAAACCAACUCAUCUAAAGAUGUAUCCAUAUAUUAAUCACAUAAUUUACAUGCAUAAACUCAGUGACCUUUAAUAUGUUCUCAGUCGCGUAAGUGAGUUGGAGAAAAUGAUCUCUGUCGACAUAAGUGAAAUUUAGGCUUUAGCCAAGCAAAAUUUUGCACCCUUUUAAAGUCGGCCGUAAGUAGCCCUUCUAUGCUCUACUUACUCAGUAUCACUGUAUAUAGGUUUAAAAUAUGUCGACUAUCGGAUCCAUAACAAGUACCAAUAAUGGACGACUUUUCUGUCCAAAAAUAAAUUAACAAUGAUAAUCCAAUAAUGAAGUUUUUGCAUAUUAAUACAGUAAAACUUCUAUAAAUUAAUAAUGUUGGGACCAUGAUAUUUUAUUAAUUUAUAGUGAUAUUAAUUUAUCUAUAAAUUAAUAAUUUAUAGCGUAAAUUAAUAUUUAUUAAUUUAUAGAAAGUUUUGUUUCAAUUGUAAAAACUUUUUUUAAAAAAUACGAGCUAAAGCAAUGUGAUCUAACUAAGAUUAAUGUUUUGGAUGUUAUAAAUUUUAUAGUUUUAGCCUUAAACACUUAAUAUUUCGAAAAAAAUAAUUUAUUUUGACAAUGAAUAACAACGAUUAUAGAAUUCACAUAUACAAACGAUAUACAUAAAUUAAAAUUCACAAAGACAUCCAUUGUUGUAUUUUAAAAACAUAUACAACUAUUAAAAAAAAUUAUGCAUAUUCAAAAUUUAAAAACUUACAAAAAAGUUUGGCUAUUUUUAUGAAAAACACUAAAACUAUUAUAUAUAUAUAUAUAUGUGAAAAUUACAUGAUUAUUAAUUUAUGAUAUUAUUGGGACUAUAUUUUUACAUAGAGAUUUCAAAAAAAAUAUUAUCUUAUUAUCUUAUCGAAUUUGGUUAAUUUUUACAUUGGCCCGACUCGGGAACAGCCAAAUUUAUUAAUCUAUCGUGUUUAUUAAUUUAUCGAGUAUUAAUUUAUAGAAGUUCUACUAUGUGUGAAUGGGCUGGGUUUAAGAAGUUUAUCGAAAUAUCCAAAAGACUAGUGGGGUUGCCAUUUAUGGAGUUUCAAAAUUAUGUACAAUGCAUCCAACAUCCAACCAUAAGGGGACCGACGCAAUUAAACUCAUACAUAUACUUAGACUUUUCUACUUUGUUUUAAUUGUGAAAAAUUCCCUUAUUUAUUUUAUUGGAGUACGGAUAAGUUAUUUGACUUUUCUCAUUCCCUCCUCCUCGUUUUCUUUAAAUAGAGGCCAUGCAUGGUAACAUUUUUAUCCAUCACUUGUUUUUCCAUAAUAAGAGAGUUUUAAGCAUUUGAAAAAAUGGCUUCCAAGGCUUUGGUUCUGUUGGGUCUCUUUGCUGUUCUUCUCGUCGUCUCAGAAAUGGCCGCGGCAUCAUCCGGUACUUAAAAUAAUUAUAUAUUUAAUGUCUAUAUAUUUCUUUCUUUGGAUGCUAUUAAAGAAGAGAGAUAUGUUAGUGAGGCUAAUCGAACUAGAACUAACGUACCAUUUGAUGAUUUUAUCCUAUGAUUUGUCGUCCGUUCUAAGUCCGGACUGUUGGUUUCAACAGCGGUCAAUUAUUUGAAGUCACUAAAGUCAAAAUUCUUAAGUACGAUGUCUAAUCUUCAUUAUACCUAUCAGACCUUCUCAAAAUAUUCAAAUGCUUUGUGCGAAUAUUUUAAUUAUAAUCUUCAAUAUAUGAUGUUAUAAUAUUUUUAAAAAACAAUAGAUCCAGACAGAUUUUAGUACCGUGGAGAGGCAUGUACGUUUACACGAACUAAACAUUAUGUUUGAAAUAAUGUGUUGUUUUGGACAGGCACGGUGAACUCGGAGAGUAAGGAAACUGUGCAACCUGAUCAACGUGGUGGUGGCUACGGUGGCAAUGGAGGAAAUUACAAUAACGGAGGAGGUUACCAAGGAGGAGGAGGAUACCAAGGAGGAGGAGGAGGACACAACGGAGGAGGUUACCAAGGAGGAGGAGGAUACCAAGGAGGAGGAGGAGGACACAACGGAGGAGGAUACCAAGGAGGAGGAGGCCGCGGUGGCCAUGGAGGAGGAGGAUACCAAGGAGGAGGCGGUGGGCGACAGGGAGGAGGGGGAGGUUACUGCCGCCACGGCUGCUGUUACAGAGGUUACCGUGGCUGCUCAAGGUGCUGCUCGUAUGCCGGAGAAGCUGUUCAGACUCAGCCCGGUCACUAAAACAAUAUAUUCACCAAUCACCACCAUGCAUGAUUGCAUUAUGUGUGUGUGAUUUUAAGUAAACCAUGGUGCGUUUGUAAUGAAGUGCCUCAAGUUUUUGAGGCAAUAUAGAUUAACAAGAGAACUAUGGGAAUAAAGUUUGAUGAUGUAAUGUUUUAUGUAGUUUGAGUUGUAAUUCCUGCUGUUUGCAUAAUAAAAUCGUUAGUAAUUUAUGUUAAUAUCGUUUUUUUUGUAACAGUGUUGUUAUAUCAUUAUUCAUACUCUCAGGGUGGGAGGGAAACUAGAUGUAAACAUGUCUCUGGCCGAGGAAUUACUUUUCAUUAAUGAAAAGACCAGACACCUAGAGACUCUAUUGAGGAUUUGUCACCAACAUUUCAAACUUCACUAAAUAUAUGAAAGUACCAGAAAAAAAUAUCUUAGAAUAUUUGAUGUGCCCAAAGAUAUUAAAACUCAUAGUAUCAGUAGUUUCACCGGUCUUCAUGUAAAGCAUCUAGUCGACCACUUGGCACCGGUUUUUACCCCGCACGCCGCAUACCCCACCGGCCAAUAAUAAUUACAUAUUUGUACUAUUGACAUGAUAAAGACUUUUCAAAAAUGAAAAUAUAAUUUCUUGGUUCUCUUAUAAUAACAAAAUCAAAAGUUGAAGACUGGCAAAACAAGACUCUUUACUAAUCGGAGACUUUAGUGAUUUUUUUCUUUCUUUCAAAGAGUAAAUGAAUUUGAUCCAAAGAAGAAUCUUGUAUUCCAUAAGAAAAUCAGAGAUUAACACAAAAUCCGGAGAAAUCAACUAAUAAAUCUCGCUAACAAAAACAUGAUUUAACAUAAAGAAUAGACCACGAUCACUUGUUUAAUUAAGGACUAAACAUAGUUUGGUAAUAAGGACUAAACAUCUAUACUAAUAUUUGGGAAGUACAUCCUAAGAGUCAUAACUUAGAUUUUGUAAAAAAUUACAAUAUAUGCCAUUAUAUAAUUCUAAUCAUAAAAUUUAUUCCAUGUCACUAAUAUAUAUAAACGGGUCAACGGGUUUAAAGAUAUUAAAAGAUUUUGUUUAUAUAAUACAGAUAAUUCUGAAAAAAAUUCUUCAAACGAUUACACAAUUGAAAAUUAUAUACUAAUCAAUUCGAAAAUGUAACACAAUUAGUAAAAAUGUUAUAUACUAAUAUAUUAUUCGAAAAUAUGAUCGAAAAUGAUAUUGAAAAUGUUAUAUAGUAAUCCAUUAUUCGAACAUGUUAUCAAAAAUGUCAUUGAAAAUGUUAAUGAAAGUGAUAUAUCAUUGAAAAUUGUAUAUUUUGUUUGAGAAGUGUAAGAAAUUACAUUAUAUCUACAUAUACAUUUUUAGAGGGGAUUUUGGUUUUUAAUUCAAAUGGAUCGGGUUUUGACCCGGUUUUAAUUUGUUCGGAUCCUAUUUGUAAUCUUUAAUUACCCAUUUAACACUAUUUCCUUAAUUUAUUCCCACAUUUAUCGGCAUGCCAUUAGAAUUUAUUAUUUAAAUUUGCAAAAUUAAUAAAGAUAUUAAGCAAACUAAAUCUCAGAGUAUGUUGCUAUAUUCGAGUGUAUAUUCUCGAUUUAACGUUUUCAAUUCUACCUAAUUCCAACUAAUCUUUCAACUAAUUAAUCACCACCUUUAUUUUCGGAGAUUUUCUUUCUCCAGUAUCUCAACAAAAUCCAUUUAAAGAAACAAAAUUAUGACUCUAAUAUAUUAAAAUCUCGGCAUAUUCCAAAAUAUUAACGAAUCCAAAGAUUUUUUCUCCAAUUUGUUGCUACUUCGAAUAUUUUUUGCGUGAAGUGAUAGGGAUUAGUGACCUAAUUUUGACCCUAUAAAAUACUCUACACCUAAAUGUGGAUCUUUAUCAUCAAACAAAAAAAGGUCACGAUUUGCAAGAAAAACAUUUAACACACCUUUUUCCUCUUCACAUGGCUGCUACUUUUGAGUCUAUGGUGAAGAUAGAUGUCGAAUGGAGAGAUUGUUGCAACGGUUUGUCAUCGAGCUUUAGCUGAUGCUGUGUACGGGUAGGGAAUUAGUGGCUGUGACGGCGACCGUCGGUGAGAUGUUGGUUCAACGGUGGGUAAUAGAGCUUUAGCUUGGUGGUGUAGAACUCGGAUCUCUUUGAAAUUAGGUUUGGAUCUAGACCAUCGCAGAUCCACUUUGCCGUUCAAACCGUCAGAUCAAACCAUCGAGAAAACUUGCCGAGAAAGAUAUUCUGCAAAUCCAUGUCUUAGUGUAUGUGUUGCUUGGUGUUGUUGCGAUUAUUAAACCGUGAAACUAAACCAAGCUAAACCAAGAGAUGACUUGUGUAAUUGAAAUCCAGAAUCAAAACUUGGAAUCGUGAGAUGACUUGUGAUGAUGGUCAUGUGUAGUGGUGGUGGUUUGUGCGAUUGUUUGUUUGGGUUUUGGAAUUUGAUUAUUAAACCGGAAUUGUGGACCUUGGGUUAAGGUCACGUGGUUGUAAGUUGUUUCUUAUUAAAUGGGCUUGGUUUAGUCUCUAAAUAUUUAAUCCUAAUUAAUUAUGGGAUAGGUUACUGAAUCGAAAUCCAUGGGUUGAAUCAGGGUGUUAUUGAACAUGUUUUUUUCAAAUCUUCAAUUCAUAGCUGUAAUCGAAAAAAAGAUCUGUGCUGAAUCAGUAAGAUAAUCAGAGGGGAUAAAGAUUUUUUGUAUGAACAAUUGGAUCGACUCUUUUUUUCAAGUGAAAAAAAAGAUUGACAUUUUACCAAAAAAAUAAAGAAAGCAAAAAAAAUUAUCUAUACCCUUUUUUUAUACUAUAUACAAAUAUAGUUAUGUAAUGUGUCUUCUUAUUGAUUGUCUUUCAUUUUUCAAACUAACUUUUUUUAUAAUAUUAAUGAUAUUUUAACUCUAUACAAAUUAAAAAUUUAUAUUUUAUGAGAACUAUUUAAAGCAAACUUUUAAAUUUACUCGAAUUAUAUAUUUUAAAUAAAAUUAUUAUUAAAAAAAUUACAAAAUGAUGUUUAAUUUUACGGGACGAGGUUAUAUGGUGGGACGGAUUUGAGUCGACAUUAAAAUGGGAAGGUAUACAACGGGUGAAAAAUCCUAGAAUUAACAAUUAAAAUACAAUCAUACAAUCUUAAACACUAAACAAAAAAAAAAAAAUUUCACAAGACAUAUAUAAUUUAAAAUUUAAAAUUUUCAUAUGUUAAUUCGAAAUACACAUUUUUUCCUUAUAUAUAACAACAUGCAUAUACAAUAUCGAUUUUACUUAUAAUGGAUAAACAAAUAUACACAUAGUGUACUUUAAUUUUAUUUGCACAACAUAUAUAUAUAUAUAUAUACACUGCAAUUUUAAAUAUUUAUUUGCUCAAUAAAAAUUUAUAAACCCAUUCUAAUCUCAUAUAUUCUUCACAUAUAUAUAUUAUGUAAACAAGAAAAUAAAUUCAUAUUUAAAUACCCUAUACAUUAGUACGUAAUGAACUAUAUAAUUUUCUAUAUCUCUAUAUUUUCAAAAAUGAAACCUAAAACAUAUUAAUCCUACAAUGUAUAAUAUAUAUACGUUUAAAACAAACAAAAUAAUAGCAUAUAUGUAAAAGAAAGGUCUUAAAAAUCAAUUUAUAUUUAAUAAAAAUAUAGGUCCGCGGUGUACCGCGGGUUAAUAUUUUUUAAACCGUUAAACCGUACAAAAUAUUAAAAUCCGUGCUGUAUAGCACGGAUGAUGAUCUAGUAGUUUGAUAAUAAUCAGUUUCAUGGACAUGGACGUAAACAUGAAAUGUGUGUAUGAAAGGGAUCCUUAAAACGUUAUAGUUACGUCAUUUUCCACGUUCACUUUCACGAAUACGAAAACGAUCAAAAUCACGUCAGUGACAAUGCCUUUAUUCACGUCAGUGAUAGUUAUCAAUAUGUUGUCAUAUUAAUUUCAGAAAACGUUGUGGAACCUCUUGGAAUAAGUGAUAAAACGAUCUUUAUCAAUGGCUCGUUAUAUUUUUUCUUAAAACGCACAAAAAAAUAAGCUUACAAUAGUUUAUAUAAAUACAUAUUUGCUGACACUUUAAUAUUAUUCAAUAUGUCGGCACCCACUUUGUACGAAAUUUUGGAUGUCAAAUCUAGUGCGGUGAUUUUAAAAUCUUAGUGAUAGAAUUCCGGGUUAAAAUAUUCUUUGACACAACAUGAGUUCAGAUUAUAGUUGGAGAGAUCGAUAGCGUCAAAAUGUGUUUAUUGAUGUGUUCGAAAGUGAGUACGAAACUGUUGGAUAAUUCCAACUUACUUGAGGAGCAAGUAAUUUCUUUUUAGAAGAUGGUAGAAAGGAAAAAUAAGAAAGGUAAUUCAAGAAAGAAAAUAUAAAUAAUGUCAAAUUGGAUAAAGUUUGUAAAAUUUUCUUAUCAUAAUAGGAUUAGGAAAAGUUUGGUUCUAGUAUAAAUAAGAGCUUUAUGAAGAAGAAGAAAAAUAGUUUGAAAGAAAGCUCAAGGAGCUCGAAUAGCUCGGGGUGAGCUUGAAUAGCUCGGGGUGAGCUUGAAUAGCUCAUAGAGCUCGAAUAGCUCAGGGGAGCUCGAAUAGCUCGGGGUGAACUCGAAUAGAGAGUCUAGAAGAAAAAACUCAUAUAGACUUAGGGGUAGCUAAUUUAUAUAUAAGAAGAUUCUUAUGGAGAGUUGUUCCAUAAGACCUAAGAGUGGACAUUAGAGAGAGAUCAAGGCUUUGGAGAGUUGUUCCAAAAGACCUAAAGAGAGAUUUAGUUUUGAGUAGUUUCUAAAUCAAUAAAGAAAGUUUUUUUUAAUCUCUUGUUCUCGUAUUGCUGAAUUAGUUUCUGAAUCAUCCAGCGACUAAGUCAGAAUAAGGUGAUCCUGAUUUGAAUUGGUAUCAUACCUUAGUUUGAAAACUCUGGACAAGACUGGUGGUACGUGACUCGUAAGAAAGUAUGGCACGCCAAAAUCCACAACCACAAACGAAAGACCUUGGAGCUCCAUCAAUCCAUUGUCCGAUGUUGACAUUGACAAACUACACUGUUUGGGCGAUGCGAAUGAAGGUACAUCUCCGAGUUAGUGAAGUAUGGGAUACGAUCGAUCCAAGAUCUGCUGAUCCAAAGAGGAACGACGUGGCGACGACGCUAUUAUUCCAAUCGAUCCCCAAAGCCCUAAUACUUCAAAUCAGAGAACAAAACACGGCGAAGAAGGUUUGGAAAGUCGUCAAGUCUAGACACCAGGGAGCAGACCGGGUGAACGAGACGAGGCUUCAAACCCUAGUGGCUGAGUUAGAUCGGUUGAAGAUGAGUGAGAUCGAUACGGUAGACGAUUUUGUGGGGAAGGUUUCGGGCACCGCAGCUCAAUCGGCAUCUCUAGGAGAUACGAUCAAUGAAACAAAACUUGUGAAGAAGUUUUUGACGGUACUUCCAAGAACCAAGUUCAUUCAUAUUGUAGCAUCCCUGGAGCAAGUUCUUGACCUAAACCAGACGGGGUUCGAAGACAUUGUUGGGAGGUUAAAGGUAUAUGAAGAACGUGUUGGGGAAGAAACCCAAAGUGAAGAUCAAGGAAAACUGAUGUUUGAAAACUCAAACCCUAAGCAUGGAGGUACGACAAUAACAGAGGCAGUUAUAACAGAGGAGGCUUUAACCGUUGUGGAAGAUUCGGUGGUGACGGUUCCAGUAGAGGCAGGGGUCGAGGAAGGAUCACCUGGCAAGCUCAAGGAGGAGAAACCGAAGAUCAAAACCAGAAGUAGAAGGAUCUGUCCAAAAUUAUUUUUUGGAGAUGCAACAAGGAGGGUCAUUAUUCUUCAAUAUGUCCCGAGAAAGCAACGAAACGCAAGAAACUGAAGUUCUAUAUGUUCACAAAGAGGUUUUAUUGAACAAAGAUAAGAUCAUACCAAAGAACUUCGAAACCAGAGGAGUGGAAGAUGAAGUUUAGUAUCUAGAUAAUAGAGCUGAAGAACUUGCUGAAGGACUGACUGAAAGACAUGCUAAUGAAGCUAUAAGGACAUGGCAUGCUCGGUUAGGUCAUACAAGUUUUGGAGUUGAUUCACAGAGAAGAUGCUGGAGAAGGACAUGAAAAAGAUGAUGUUAUGGAUGAUAUCACUCAAAACAACCACGAAGAUGAGGUUGGUGAAGUAGUUCAAGGAGUACCACAGCUGACAAGGUCGGGUCGACAAGUGAAUCAGCCGUGGUACCUUGAAGAUUAUGUAAGUAUGUCCGAAAAAGUUUUCGAAUUAUUCCAGCAAGCUUAUGGUGAAAGUGAGAGACUUCAACCUUAAGAGCCAAGAUUUUAUAAGUGGCAAUAGGCAUGCUUCAAUGGAGAAAAGCAUGUGAAUAGUAGAUUGAAUCAAUCAACAAGAACAAGACAUGGUUCGUUGUUGACAUAUCGAUUAAAGUUUUCGAUCGGUACAAAUGUUUAAAGAGUUUGUAAAGAAGCAAGCCAGCUUUUCUAUCAAAACCUUUUGCACUGAUAGAGGGGAAGAGUUUAUGGAGUUCAAUCGAUUGUGCAAAGAGAGUGGAGUCUCUAGACAACUAAUGAAGAUUCUGAAUGAUAUUUGGGGAGAAGUCGUACGUCUAUCAAAGAUCACGGGGCCAAAUCUAAAGAAGUUAGAUGUUGAGUCAAGAAGUGUGAUCACGGGACCGCAUCUAAAGAAGGUAGAUGUGGAGUCAAGAAGUGUGUUUAAUCUUGGAACCAAAACGGGUUCUAAAGAAUAUCGACUCUAUGAUCCACUUACGAGGAAGGUAAUGGUCAUGGUAUUUGGGUUUUCUGUACUAGUCGUUGAAGUAGUACAUGAAGUCAUUCAAGGAGCAGAACAAGAAGUAUAUGCUCAAGAAAUACUUGUCAUGGAAGUAAUACAGGAAGUAGUACAAGAAGUCAUUCAAGGAGUAGAGCAAGAGGGAUAUGCUUAAAGAAUACUUAUGGAUGCUAAGAUGAAGUCAAAUUUGAAGAUCUCAAAAGCUGAGGAGGAGCAAGAGAUCGGAUCUAAACAAAGCUUGAUGUUGAACAUGUUCACAGUGUGGAGCAGAAGGGAGCUCGAAUAGCUCGGGGUGAGCUCGAAUAGCGCGGAGAGCUCGAAUAGCCCAGGGGAGCUCGAAUAGCUCGGGGUGAGCUCGAAUAGAGAGUCUAGAGGAAGAGACUCAUAUAGACUUAAGGGUAGCUAAGUUCUAUAUAAGAAGAGGAUUAUUGAGAGUUGUUCUAUAAGACUUAAGAGAGGACAUUAGAGAGAGAUAAAGGCUUUGGAGAGUUGCUCCAAAAGACCUAGAGAGGGAUUUAGUUUUGAGUAGUUUCUAAAUCAAUAAAAAAAGUUUUUUUUUAAUCUCUUGUUCUCGUAUUGCUAAAUUAAUUUCUGAAUCAUUUAUUACACUGAUCCUGAUUUGAGAAACAAAACUAUAUUAUUAUCUAUGUUUUGUAUGAAAUUAUUUAUAAAAUUUGAUAAAAUGUAUUUUCUCUGUAUAGAAUAGUUUUUAAUACAUUUAUCAAAUACAAAUUCUGUUAAAAUAAUAUUAAAAUUAGAAAAAUAUUUUAUUUAUCGGCUAUUUUAAUUGCAAUGUUCCAGUCCAAUUAUAGAAUUCUAGAUAUCUUUCUUAAGGUUUUUUUAUUUUUUGGGCCAACGAAUCUAGAUGUCUAUGUGGGUAUGAAUGCGCUGAGUUUAAGAAGUUAAUGGAGUUUAAUAGAGUAAUAUAGAAAGACUAGUGGAGUUACCAUUAAUGGAGUUUCAAAAUUUAUUUACCGUGAAUCCAACAACCAACCAUAAGAGGACCGAGUUAAUCGACGUGUGCAUAUACUUUGAUACUUAUCUCCUUUACCACUUUGUAUAUAGUGUGACUAAAAAACUCCCUUCACUACUGAUUAGUUUAUUUAGUUUAUUUGACUUUCUUUCAGUCUCUCCUCUCACGUUUUCUAUAAAUAGAGAGCAUAUUAGAGUAACAUUUUAUCCAUCACUUCAUAUAUUCACUUGUGUUUUCCAUAAAAAGAGUGUUGUAAACAGUACUUGUAAGAAAAUGGCUUCCAAGGCUUUAGUUCUGUUGGGUCUAUUUGCAGCUCUUCUCGUCGUCUCAGAAGUCGCCGCUGCUGCAUCCGGUACGUAAAUAUAAUGUUGAAACCUUAUUACACGUAUCAGAAUUUUUUUAUGUUUUCUAUAGAACGUAUUUUAUGUUGUUAAUAUUAUUUUUAAAUUAAAACUCGAGAUUCGAAUUUAAUUACAUUCGUAUUUUUAAAAGUUUGUUUAAGAGAAAAAAUAGUUUUGAAAUUUGGGAGAGUAACAUCUUUUGAAAUUAUGUGUUGUUUUGGAUAGGUACAGUUAAGUCCGAGAGUGAGGAAACCGUGAAAACUGAUCAAUAUGGUGGUGACCAUGGCGGUCGUGGAGGCUACAACGGAGGAGGAGGCUACAACGGAGGAGGAGGUUACAAUGGAGGAGGACACAACGGAGGAGGCUACAACAGAGGAGGAGGUUACAAUGGAGGAGGCCGUGGAGGACACGGAGGUGGUUACUGCCGCUAUGGCUGCUGCUACAGAGGUUACCAUGGCUGUUCAAGGUGUUGUUCUUAUGCCGGAGAAGCUGUUCAGACUCAGCCUGGUCACUAAACAAUAUAAUAAGUUGACCACCAUGCAUGAUGGUAUCUAAAUAUACACUUAUGUGCAUAUGACUAUAGGUAACUUAAUGAUGGUGCGUUUGUAAUGAAGUACGUUAAGAAGAGUAAUGGGAAUAAAGUUUAAUAAUGUAAUGUUUAUGUGUUUUGAGUUGUAAUCUGCCAUGUUUGCGUAAUAAAAUCUCUUCUGUGGUUUUACUAUUAUCUUAAGUUUUUGUGUAAGUUUUUAUUUCAUUAUUCAUACUCUUGGGGUCGAAAAAAAACAAAUUGAUGCAAACAAACCCUAGACAGUAGACACUCUACCGCGAUUUUGCAUUCAGCAACACUUCCAAAGUGAACUAAUAUGUAUACGAAAGUACCAUAAAUAAUCUCAAAAUAUUUGAUGCGCCAAAAGAUAUUAGAAACUUAUUUUGUUGGGUUACUUGAGUUUCAGAAAUUUGACUCUCUUUGUAUCACAAUUAUUCACAAGCUUGCACUGAUUGAUCGGUGUUUCGGUUUAAGAGAAAAAAGAAACUCAGACCGAUUGGUCCACACAAGGGACUGAUCAGUCCCCACAAACUAUGACCAAGUAAAAGGAGAACUGGAUCGUCGGUCUCCAUCAUGGAUCGAUCGACCUCCUCAUGGAUCAAAAAUUUUCUUUUACGUCAUGACCCCUUCUUUAAAUCUGAUUUCUUUAAAUUUUUCGGGUUCAUAAGAUCUUAGGCUCUGUUUUCUUGUUAUUGUUGGCUUAAUGAUGACAUAUCUCUCUGACUCUUUGACCUUCCCAGAGAAUGGAAACCCUGAUUUUGAGUGUUGAUUUUUUCUUUGCAUGAAUAACAACGCAACUAUGUAUGCUACAAACAUUCUUUAUACUGGAUGCUUGGGCAUGCUCUCUUCAAUACUUGACAUUUACCUUUCCACAUAUAUAUUUUCUUAUGUUGUAGUUUUUGUUUUGUUUUGAAUGGAAUAUUAAGUUAUAUUAAAAAAAAUAACUUUUUUACAACUAGUGCAACAAUUUGUUAAAAACAAUAAAACAGAAUUACAUUUUGAUGUUCAUGUUCUAAAUUCAACAACAAUGAAGUUUAGGAUUGCUAAUCCUAUCACAAGAAAUCGGAUAAUGAGAAGGGGGAUGUGGAAUCUAGCGGAGGUCCCAGUGAUAAUGUCGAAGUGGACUCCGUUUAUUGAAGACAACUCGCCGGAGGUAACCUCGGUGCCUCUCUGGGUUCAUCUAAAAAAUGUUCCUAUUGAUAUGUUUUCAUGGAAGGGUUUAAGCUUUGCUACAAGUGCAGUUGGUGAACCAGAUCGUCUGCAUCCGGAUACAGCACAAUGUUUGGAUUUCAAGGUAGCAAAGGUUUUUGUUAAGGCGGAUCUUUCAAAGGAGCUGCCGAGAUCAAUGAAUUUCAAUCAUAAUGGUAAAAACACUUUGAUUGAAUACUCUUACCCGUGGUUGCCGCCUAGAUGCUCGAUUUGUCAAAAAUGGGGACAUCUACAUACAGUAUGUGGGGUAAAGACAAGUGAAAAAAGUGGUAGUAGUGAGCAGAGUUCUAAACGGAUCAAUGGAAUGUCUCUGGAAAAAACACAGUUGGUGAUUGUGGACACAGCUCCAAAGAUUAAAUCAGUGGGAGAAGAAAAAGUUUCUCAAAACAGCGACCCUAGUAAAGAAGGUAAUGAAGCAGGAUGGUCCAUUGUUACACCGGGGAAAGCUGGGCGUAGUCCAAAUGGGCUAACAAAGACGCUUGAAUAUGGUGAGGUUUCUAUCUUAUCAAACUCAAGAUUUUCAGUUCUCGAAAAUGAGGAAGAAGAAGCAUUGGUACAAGAAGAAUCAUUGUUACCAGAGGAAGUUACUGAGGAUUUGAAGGCUGUUAAUACCCAUAUACAAGUUUCAGAGACUCAACAGGAGGUGAAAACAACUGAUGAUAAUAUUGAUGAUAGUCAGAAAGGGGAGGACGCGAAAGAGCCAACCCUACCGUUGCGACAAACUCUUCCUCGAGCCUCUAAGGCAAAUCAUAAAGUUGUUCAUGAUCAAUCGACUCAAAAGGUUCAUGAUGCCAAUCCUAGCAUUUUGAAUAAGACACGGAACACACGGAGGAAUAAUUAAUGUCGGGUUUUUUUGGAAUAUCCGUGGAUUCAACAAGUCAACAAAACGUUCAAUAGUUCAGAGUUGGAUCAAUCAGCGUUCAAUGCAGUUUGGGGGUCUAAUGGAGACUCGAGUCAAGGAGAAUAAAGCAGAGAGAAUUUUUUCCAAGGUGUUUAAGGAUUGGUCAGUCUUGUCAAAUUAUGAUUUCAACAGAUUGGGAAGAAUAUGGGUUGUAUGGAGUCCAAACGUGAGACUCACACCGUGUUUCACAAGCGGGCAGAUGAUAACUUGUUCUGUUCUACUAGAUGGUUCAGAGGAGGAGUUUUUUUGUUCAUUUGUCUAUGCAUCAAAUUUUGUUGAAGAAAGGAAGUUACUGUGGGAAGAUCUAAAACAUCAUCAAAACUCUCCAAUGUUUAGAGAUAAACCUUGGAUGAUUUUUGGUGAUUUUAAUGAAAUUCUUGAUGUUGCAGAACAUUCAAAUUAUGCAAUAUCCCCCUCUGUCACAGCAGGAAUGAGAGACUUUCAAGAUGCAAUUAGAUACUGCUCACUCUCAGACAUGACAUCUCAUGGUCCAAGUUUUACAUGGUGUAACAAAAGAGGUGAAGGAUUAAUCUGCAAGAAAUUAGAUCGGGUUAUCGUCAAUGAUGCAUGGCUUCUUUCUUACCCUCAAUCACACUGUGUAUUUGAGGCUGGAGGAUGCUCUGACCAUAUGUGAUGCCGUAUUAAAAUCAAAGAUGUAGUCACCAAGCCACGACGCCCUUUCAAGUUUACUAAUGCCUUAUCAAAAGUAUCGGGUUUCUUGCCGAUGAUACAAAGCUUUUGGGAUGGAACCGACGAGCUUAUCAAUUCUACAUCUGCAUUGUUUCGCCUCUCAAAAAAACUUAAAGCUUUAAAGCCAAAGAUCAGAGAACUUAGUAAAGAAAAGCUAGGAGAUUUGCAGAAAAGAACUAAGAAAGCAUAUGAAGACUUGUGUGUAUGUCAGGAAAAGACAUUGUUGAACCCGUCCCAAGAUUUAAUGGUGAUGGAAUCACAUGCGUUUACUAAGUGGCAGCACUUGUCGGAAUUGGAAGAACGUUUUCUGCGGCAACGAUCAAAAUUGCAUUGGUUACAAGUUGGAGAUGGAAAUAAUCGCUAUUUUCAUCAAGCUGUAAAAAAAAGGGAGGUAAGAAACGCGAUAAGAGCAAUAAAGAGAGUAGAUGGAACCAUGGCUGAAACUCAAAACGAAAUAAAAUUGGAAGCUGAAAGUUUUUUUCAUUCUUUCAUGACACAAUCUGGGUCAGAUGGUAAUGGUUUCACUGAAGAGGAAUUAGUUGAAUUAUUGGGAUUUUCUUGUGAAGAGGAGGAUGGUGUAAUGUUAACAAAAGAAGUGACGGAGGAAGAGAUCAAGAAGACACUGUUUACCAUGCCGGAAAAUAAAUCUCCGGGGCCGGAUGGGUUUACUUGUGAAUUCUUUAAAGAAGCUUGGGAAGUUGUGGGUAAGGAUUUUGUAGUGGCUAUUCAAUCCUUUUUUGUAAAGGGCUUUCUUCCAAAGGGUUUGAAUACAACGAUAUUGGCUCUCAUCCCUAAGAAAACAGAAGCACAAGAGAUGAAAGAUUAUCGUCCGAUCUCCUGUUGUAAUGUUAUCUAUAAGGUAAUAUCAAAAAUACUGGCUAAUCGAUUGAAGCAGGUGUUGCCAAAGUUCAUCUCUUCGAACCAGUCAGCGUUUAUAAAAGACCGACUUUUGAUGGAGAAUGUCUUGCUAGCUUCGGAAUUGGUGAAGAACUAUCAUAAAGACACAGUCUCGGCUCGUUGUGCAGUUAAAAUAGACAUCUCAAAGGCCUUUGAUUUCGUUCAAUGGCCAUUCCUUCUGUCCACUUUAAAGGCGUUGGGUAUUCCAGAAAAAUUUAUUCAUUGGCUUCAGCUAUGCAUUACUACGGCAUCAUUCUCGGUACAGGUGAAUGGAGAGUUGCCUGGUUUUUUCAGAAGUACAAGAGGGUUGCGACAGGGUUGCUCUUUGUCGCCAUAUCUAUUUGUGGUUUGUAUGCACGUCUUAUCAAAAAUGUUGGACAAGGCAGCCAGAGAGAGACGUAUUGGAUACCAUCCUUAUUGUCAGAAUCUUGGUCUUACACACUUGUGCUUUGCUGAUGACUUGUUAGUAUUUUCAGAUGGGAAAAAGCAGUCAAUUGAGGGCAUACUUCAAGUUUUUCAGAGUUUUGAGGCAGUUUCGGGAUUGAAGAUAAGCCUAGAAAAAUCAACACUCUACAUGGCUGGAGUUCUAGCAAGUACAAGAGCGGAAAUCCUGGAGAAAUUUCCAUUUGAUAGUGGCACUCUUCCCGUUAGGUAUUUGGGAUUGCCUCUACUAACGAAGCAAAUGACAUUGAAUGACUAUACACCUUUAAUCGAGAAAAUUCGAUCACGAAUAAGUUGUUGGACAGGGAGAUAUCUUUCUUUUGCUGGGCGCCUUCAACUCAUUGGUUCAGUCAUACAUAGUCUUACUAACUUCUGGAUCUCGGCUUUUCGCUUACCAAAAGCUUGCAUUGAAGAGAUUGACAAACUUUGUGCUGCGUUCCUAUGGUCAGGACCAGAAUUGAAUGCGAAAAAAGCAAAGGUUGCUUGGAAAGAUGUUUGUAAACCGAAGGACGAGGGAGGCUUGGGAUUAAGAUCGAUUUCUGAGGCAAACAAGGUGAGUUGUUUGAAACUCCUUUGGAGAAUUUUAUCUGCUCACUCCUCACUUUGGGUCAAUUGGGUUAGAAUGUAUUUGAUUCGUAAAGGUUCCCUUUGGUUGGUUAAUGAAAGCUCAUCUCUUGGUUCAUGGACAUGGAAAAAGUUGUUGAAAUAUAGAGAUCUGGCUGCAUCAUUGAAUAGAAUAGAAGUCUAUAAUGGUGCUUCUACUUCCUUCUGGUUCGAUAACUGGUCACCUCUUGGUAGACUACUGGAUAUAACGGGACCAAGGGGCAGCAGAGACUUGGGGAUACCUAUCCUCUCAACAGUAGAAAGUGUGCUGGCCACACAUAGACGUCGUACUCACAGAGUGGAAUUUUUGAAUGAUAUUGAAGCAGUGAUAGAAUCUCAGCGUCAAAGAGGUUCAUCGGUUGAGGAGGAUAUGGUUUUAUGGAAACAAAAAGGUGACAAAUUCAGACCCAAAUUCAGCUCAAAGGUAACAUGGUAUCUGACUCGAGAGCCGCAGCCAAUAAAGGAUUGGUAUAAGGGAAUAUGGUUCGCAUAUGCAACCCCCAAAUACUUAUUCAUGUCAUGGCUUGCGGUUCAAAACAGAUUGUCAACUGGGGACAGAAUGAUUGGUUGGAAUACUGGUGCAUCGGCCUGUUCCUUUUGUCCGGAGCCAAUGGAAACUCGAAACCAUCUUUUUUUCGAAUGUCCAUAUUCAGAAGAGGUUUGGCGAUGUCUAACUCAUAAGCUCCUUGAUUCAAUGUACACGGCACAAUGGGAUUGUGUUCUUGGUCGUCUCGUUGAUAACUCACAGGAUGCCAUCCGUAUGUUCCUCUUGCGGUAUGUAUUUCAAGUCUCAAUUCAUUCAAUUUGGCGAGAGAGAAAUGGUAGACGACAUGGGGAACCGGCGACUCACCAGUCUAGGCUAAUCAAGUUCAUAGACAAGCAUGUCCGCAAUAGACUCUCAAUAGUUCGAUCCAUGGGAGACACACGGUUUGACAAAGCGAUGGCGACAUGGUUUGCCACGAGAUAGUCAACUAUUCUUUUAAACCUUUAUAUCUUUCAAAAAUAGUCAUAGAAAUCCUUUAAACAAGCUGCAUUCAUUGUACAGAAGUUUCUUUUUGAAUAAAUUUUACAUUCUAUUCAAAAAAAAAAAAGAGUCAAAUCCGUGUUUUUAGCCAAAUUUGGAAGCCCUCCUCAUACCUCUUGUCGCCUAUACUUCUAAUUGUUGUAAGCGAGUUCGAACUUGCUUGUCUAUCCACUUGGUGAUUUGAGUUUCUGAGUUAUACUAUUCGUCAUGUCUUUGACCAUUACGCUCCCUCCAAAUAGCAUAAACCGUAGCUUGUAGGACGUAUCGAAUCAAAAACCCUACCCGAUCCUGUUGAAGCAUUGAAACGUAGGUUAUAAGAGUAGACCAAUAUGUCGAGAAACUUUCUUUAAGUAGACCUUUAAUAAGAGCAGUCCAUAUUGUCGAAGUAAAUCUGCAGGAGAAGAAUAAGUGAUCCCGGGUUUCUAUGUUAUUUUGACAAAAAGACACAGUCCCCCCCCCCCCCGAUGCCUUCUCACUUUUUUUUUUCAAGAUUAUUUGGAAAUAUUAGACAAAAUAUAGAAAAUGAUAAGUUUAUUUUUAAUUUGAAGGACAUUUUUUCCAAGGCCAUUUGAAGGAAUGAUUUUAUUUGAUAAAUAUUUUCAUACAUGAUCUUCUGUUUAUUAUAUUUAUGAUUUAGAUAUAUAAUAUGAAUUUAAAUAUAGCAGUAGCUAAACGUAUAGAUUUAAAACAUAUUUGUCACAAUAUUUUUAGAAAAGUUUAUAAGAAUAAAAUUUAUAAUACUACACUAAAUAUUUUUUCCCAUUAAUAUACCAACUAAUAUUUUCUUCAAUUAGAAUAAACCAAAUUUUAAUUGAAAAGAUAUUGGUUGGUGUACUAAUGUGGAAGGCGAAAAAGUUACGUACAUUAAUAAAAAUUUAAAACACUUGAUAUAUUUUAGUGGGAUUUUCCAUUUUUUUUUUUUUGAUAAACAAUUUGAUAUGUCUUUCUUUUUUUUUUUUUUUUUUUUGUCAUCCGAAAUUAAUUCGAGCUCAAAAGAGCCAUUACUGAGGAAUGUUGUUUACAUAUGUGAUAUGAAGCGGUUCUGUACGAACUUUUCGUGCCAGUUUAUCCGCUUUGACAUUAGCCCUACGAGAAAUUAAAGAUAAAGAAAAAGAUGAAAACUCCUCCUUGUCGCUCUGAAAUUCCUCCAAAUACACUGAAAACGCUGGCCAUUCGGUUGGAGAAGACACCAUCUUCACCAGGUCUGAACAGUCUGUAAAGAACGCUACCUCUUGAUUAUCUGCACCAAUCAUACACUUCAUCGCCCAGAGAAGGGCCUCGACUUCGGCAUGUAGUGGAGAUAGACUUUUACGGAGGUUCGCAGCUCCCAUGGUUGGCGGCUCUCCAUUUGACGAUGUACAGAACCAUCUUGUACCGGAGAACUUAUCACUUCCUUUCCAUGAUCCAUCCACAAAACAACGGUAUCCAGAAUAAUUCGACUCAAGUGAAGUAUCCCUCACUCGAGUUUGAUUUACCAAGUCCACAGAACCAUGACUUUCAUUAUGGAACUCAAUUUGAGCUGUUUGCCACAAUUGUGCCUCUUUUUCCGCUAAUCGUAAUACCUCUAUAGGGUCUUUAUCUAUAUUUUCAAAGAUCUUUUCGUUCCUUGCUUUCCAAAUAUACCAAAUAAUCCAUGGAAAAGCUGAUGAAUCAAAUUCUGAAGGUAUUCUCCAAAAUAAGUGAUCUAAAUUCGCAAAAUUAGAUUCCGUGGGAAAAAUUCCCAUAGCCGUAGGAAUUUGUGAAAGCGCCCAAAUCUGCCGUGCAGGGUGGCACUGAAAGAGUAUGAUUAAUUGUUUCCUCUGAUGCGCCACAUCUGGCACAUCCCGUGUCACAAUCAAUUCCUCUUUUUCGCAAAUUUUCUGUAACCGGUAUACAACCCGUUAAGAUUUGCCACAAGAAAUGGCGUAUCUUAGGUGGACAAUGCACUUGCCAAGAAUGUGCUUUUAGGGGGUUGAUGUCAGGGCCAAAAAAGGAUAAAUUGGUCUCCGACUUUUCCAUCCGUGUGGUAUGAUAUCCCGAUUUGACUGUAUAUUUUCCAGAUUUUGUAAAAUGCCAACCAAAAGAAUCCUCUUUUGUUGGCGCACCCACAGGUAUGGCGCUUAUUAGCGCGACAUCUUUUGUAUCAAAGAUCGCUUUUAAGAGAUCAAUAUUCCAAAAGUUCGACCGACUAUCUAUAAGGUCGUUAACUUUUAAAGAUGGGUCAACAACUGAACCAUUACUUUUUGCUGGUCUCGGGAAUUGAGCUGGAAUCCAGGGAUCCUCCCAAACUGAGAUGGAUGUCCCAGAUCCGACUCUUUUAAUAAGUCCUUUAUUAACCAGAGAUCUAGCUGAACAUAUACUCCGCCAUCCAUAUGAUGGAGAAUAUGAUUUUAUAUUUUCCAAAGGAUUGGAUUUCCUAAAAUACCGUCCUUUAAACACCUUUGCGAAAAGAGAAUCUGGAACAGUGAUCAACCGCCAUAAUUGUUUUGCUAGUAAAGCUGAAUUAAAAUCGUCAACGUUCCGAAAUCCUAAUCCCCCUUCCGAUUUGCUAUUGCACAAUUUAUUCCAAGCCAUCCAGUGCAUACCUCUAGAAUCACUAUUUGAACUCCACCAAAAAUUAGCAACCGCGCUAGUAAGUUUAGAAGUGAUAGUUUUUGGAAGUCUGAAGCACGACAUAACAUAAGUUGGUAAUGCUGCAGCUACCGAUUUAAUCAUCACUUCUUUUCCUCCUUUUGAUAAAAAUUUAGCUGACCAUCCGUUAAUCCUUGUUUGUAGUCUAUCUCUGACAAAAGAGAAGAUUUUUGUCUUGGAACACCCUAAACUCUCCGGCAAUCCAAGAUAAGAACUCAUACCUCCGAUAUUAGUGAUACCUAAGGUAGAUUGGAUUUCUUCCUUGAUAUCAUUAUCUACCUUAUGUCCAAACUGAAUCGAGGAUUUUAAAAAAUUAAUCUGCUGUCCCGAGACCGCUUCAUACUUCUUUAAAAUCCCCAAAAUUACCCCACACUGGUCCUUGUUAGCCUUGCAAAAAAAUAAACUAUCAUCCGCAAAUAACAGAUGUGAAACCGAAGGGCUUGCAUUUGCUACUUUGAUACCCGUAAUUAAUUUUUCCCGUUCAGCUUUCCGAAUAUUCGCAAUGAGCACUUCUGUGCAAAGGAUGAAUAAAUAAGGUGAGAGCGGGUCUCCUUGUCGUAAACCCCUCUCUGGUAUUAUUAGUCCUUUAGGUUGUCCAUUAAGGAGAACUCUAUAUUGGACUGUUGUAAUACACCACAUUAUCCAUUUAAUCCAUUUUUCACAGAAACCCAAUUUUCUUAAAACCUUCUCUAUGAAAGUCCAUUCCACCCUAUCAUAAGCCUUGCUCAUAUCCGUUUUAAUGGCCAUGAAUUUGCCUUUACAGGACGGGUUAGUUCUCAACCCAUGGAACAUCUCUUGUACAAUGAGAAUAUUAUCUGAAAUCAAUCGUCCUUCUACAAAAGCUGAUUGUGUUUCCGAAAUCAGUUUUGGUAGCACCGUCUUUAGUCUUUGGCAAAGGAUCUUCGAUAUAAUUUUAUACCCAACAUUGUAAAGACUGAUAGGCCGUAAUUCCGUCAUCCGUGUCGGUCUUUCCGUUUUUGGAAUAAGGCAAAUAUUAGUCGUAUUUAACCGUUUAUCAAAAAUUUCAUCCUCUAAAAAGGAAUUGACCAGAGAAAGAAGGUCUGUUUUAAUAGUAACCCAAGCCUUUUGGAAAAAUAAGGCUGUCAUACCAUCAGGUCCUGGUGCCUUUUCCGGAUGCAUCAUAAACAGAGCCGUUCUCACCUCACACUCCAUUGCGGGUGCUGUUAGAAAAUUAUUAAUCUGAUCCGUAAUCAGAGUUUGAACUUCUGCCAAGGAUUCCUCAAAAGCCUCAGGCUUAGUUGUAGUAAACAGUUCUUUAAAAUAAGACACCGCUAUAUUUUGAAUAUCUUUAUCCUCUGCAGACCAAAUUCCGUUUUCAUCAUGUAACCCUGUUAUUCGAUUUCUAGCCCGUCUUUGUUUUGUUAGUGCAUGAAAAUAAUUUGAAUUAUUAUCCCCUAACUGCAUCCGAAAGCUCCUACUUUUCUGAUGCCAAUACAAUUCCUCAUCUCGAUAAGCCUCUUUCAACCGCAAUGUUAAUUCGGUAAUCUCCUCCCGUGGUCUUCUAUCAUCUCUCUGAGCCACAAGUAAUUCCGAUUUUAGUUCCUCAAUUGUUUGCCGCCCAUAGGGAGUUAAAUCUUUCCUCCACUGCGAAAUAGCCCGCCUACAAUUAGUCAAUUUUUCUACAAAUUUUCCCUCUCCUAACUCAGGGUCAGAAUUCCAACCAUUUGAAAUUGCCUCGAAUAAUCCUUCCUUCCCAAUCCAUCUUUUAUCAAACCGAAAAUUUCUUUUCCCACGUGGGAUCUUAUCCAUGAGUGUAGCUACCACAGGUGAAUGGUCGGAAGCUACCAUUGGUAAAUAUUCAACGAAAGAAUUGCAGAAUAAUUCAUGCCAAUCUUCGCUCGCUAAAGCUCUAUCCAAACGACACCGUAUUGGUUUCUUAUCCCGCCAACCCCGCCAUGAUAACCAGUCUCCGAUAUAUGGGAAUUCCAAAAGACCGCAAUUUUGAAUCAUUAAAUUAAAAUGUAUAAAAGAAGAUGCAUGUCUUAAGUUACCACCUCUUUUCUCGUGAUUUCCGGUUAACUCAUUAAAAUCGCCUAUUAAGAACCAGGGUGUGUCUCUAAUCAAACCGAUCCGUGUUAACCGUUCCCAAACUUGAUCUCUAUUUUUCGGAACCGGAUCACCAUAAACAAAAGUAAGAUGUAUUGUUUUUCCUUUUACCACUGCCUCAACAUCAAUUAAACGAUUACUUUCAUAAAUAAUUGAAACAUUAAAAUCAUUAUUAUAAUAAAGAGCUAAACCGCCACUACAACCGAUAGGAUCGACCGUUUUUAAAUUUUUGUAACCAAAAUGACCGAUAAAUUUUUCCAUAAACCAAGAAGGUUGUUUUGUUUCCGAAAGAAAUAAAAAGUCUGGCCGGUGUUGUUUCCAUAUAUCCCGAAGAUAACCGAUAGUAGCCUUAUUCCCAAGUCUUUGACAAUUCCAACUCAAAACCUUCAUAAAAUAAUUUGAAAUUUUUGUGAGAAUUGCUCCUCCCUAGGUACAACACUUCUCUUUUCCCGGGAUCUCCGGGCUGCAUCUAUGAUCGAUGUAUAAUUCAUUUUCCUUUCCUUUCCCAGAUGACCCGUGAAUACUUUAUAAAUUAAAAACCCUAUUCUAGGAGUGGAAAACGUAAUUAUAAAAAUCCGUUCCCAAACCACAUUAUAAUUCCUUAGGAACCGUAUAUUAUUAAAAUAUUUUUGUUUCCACAUUAAAACCCAAGAUUCCAAAAUAAUGAAUAACCGAUAAAAUGUAAACAUACACAAACUUGUCUCCAAACUCAAAACCCACAUUGUAUCCAAGAAUUUGUCUUGCCCUGCUGAUGCAUUUCCCAGUUGAUUCCAUAAGCUAAUCACCUCUAUAACCUUUCGUAUCUCCCUUAAAUCUAAAAUCCGGUUAUACCUAUAAAAUAGACCAUUGGAGAAAACCAGAACACUCCUCCGCUGUAGAAACACCGAAGCCCAAAACCAAAUUUGUCGAGCUGUUCUCAGACUCGAAACAUGAUGAAAAUAAACCCACCUCCUUCGAUAAUCCAGAAUUGAACCUUUCACCCAAUUGACCAAAAAACACCACAAAUUCCAAUUCAAGUUCAAUAAUUUCUGGGUAUAAACCAACCACCGGAAAAUAAACAAUAGAAUCCCAUGACUCAAACGAUCAAUAAUCGCAUCUAAAACUAAUCCCAAACUCAAUCCUUUCGGACCAAACAAUAUUGAGAUCAAAGAGAUCUUCCGAAUCUGUUCCAUCCACGAUAUAUCUGUUUCAUACAACCGAGAUAAUGAUACCACCACAUCUUUCGUUUUCGAAAUCCAUGAAAUAAUAUGACCAACGAGAAUCAAAUCGAGAACGAAUCCAUCCGAUCCCAUCCCCGAAGAAACCAAAGCCAACCACGUAAACCCAAAUUGGAAAACCAACAACCUCCGUACACCAACCCUUCUUUGUUCCUCCUUAGACAAUAUCGCAAAGAUUACCCGAGAUCGAUCAGAUAAGAUCUCCACCGAAUUAAUUUUCUCCAGCCGUAAUAGAUUCCUUGCCGGAUCCGAAAUAUUGUGAGCCUGAGUGACCGUAUAACACACCGUAUAACCAUGACUGAGAUCAAUCAUCAACCACAGAUGAAAAACCAUCUCAAAACCGAGAAAAAAUGAAAAUCAUCGCCGCCGCCUUACUUAGGUUUAGAGAGCGUUUUGUUAGGGUUUUGAGGCUCUAUUAACAAUUUGAUAUGUCGUUGACCAUGAUAUGUGUUAUAAUGUUUUGUAUCAAUAUUAUUGAUGUAUCAUAUCCUCAAACAAUUUUAUUUGUGAAAAACUUAUAAGAUAAUGUCGACAUCCCAAGUGAUGUCAAUAAAUGCUCGAGGAUCUACCCAACAGUCUACGUAGUAAUUGCAUAUAUCAGGACAUGGAAGUCAAUCUGGAAUGCAAUAAUAAAAUAAAAAAAAGCAUACUUCUGCGAGAGUUUUAUUUUCAAUUUAGAUGAUUAUUUUAUUACUUAGAUAUUUUUUUUGUUCGCAAUUAUAUUCCUUAGUUAAAAAGUACAACUUAUCCUAAAGUUAUUAUUCUUAUAAAUGACGAUUAAAUGUCUGUAAAUGUAGGGUUUUUUUUUUGGUAGGAAACAGGGAGUCAAGCCUCCCUGUAUAUUAUUAAUGAACUUGAAAAAAUUACAAACGGACAUGCCUUGGAAACGCAGUUCCGCGGUCAUCAUCCUCAACAAACGCUUCCACAAAAGGUGGAGCAAAAUCAAAAGCGUGAAAGCCUAAAGGCAAAGUAAAAGCAUAGUUGGCCAACCCAUCAGCGAGACGAUUAGCUUCCUUAUAAACGUGCGAUACACGGACUAUCCAGUCCCUAGAAAUAAAGCCAUGGCACAAGCGUACCAGGAACGACAGAGGAUGCGAAUCAUUGAUCCCCGUCUGUAAGAACCCAACCACCAACUACGAGUCCACCUCCAACUCCAACCGCCUGCAUCCCCUCUCCCAGGCUAUGUAGAGACCAUAGUAUACUCCCCAUAGCUCAGCCAGUGGCGCCGAACAUACACCAAUGUUCAGUGAAAAGCCGCCACGCCAAUGUCCAGCACCGUCCCGUAAGACCCCACCCGCGGUAGUCAGCCCCGGAUUGCCCCGAGAAGCGCCGUCAGUAUUCAGCUUCCACCACUCCCCCGUCGGUGGUUAUCCCAAAUACUGUCAUUUUGGAUUUAUUUACUUUUUAAUUGUCAUUUUGUAUAUUAUUUUCCUGAUGAAUAACUAUCAUUAUCUCAUGGGUAACCAAUUAAGGGGAUUUUUAAUAAAUGUGUGGUUGACAAAAAAAAAAAAAUUAUCAUUAUCUCAUGUAAGAAUUACACACCAGCAGAGACAAGUCCAAUGAAUUCAAUACUAAUAAGAGAAGCAAAACUGUUCUAUCUUGUUCUUUUUAGUAUUCGAGUUUACAAGAAGAGGUGUGUCUCCUGCGAAACUCUAUAAAAUACAGGAAAACAGAUGAAUCAAGACGUCGGAAAUAAUGAAAGAAUGGCGCGCAGAAUUAAUAUGGCAUGCAUUUACUCUUAGAUUUAGGUUAUAUCUAUAAUAAUUGACCUAGAUAUUUUUUAUUAGUCAUCAUAAGAAUGUUUUUGUAAUUCCUACAACCAUUUAAUUUGCUCUUUUUGUUUUUGUUUUUUGGUUAAAAUUACUUUUGCUAAAAUAUUUUGGUAAUGGUUAUUUUUGCAUAUUGAGUCUGAAAGCAAUCUAAAAUAAGAAAGAUUCAAACUUUUUAAUUAAAGAUAGAUAAUAAGCUAUGAAAUUAGAUAGCUUGGGCAAAGAAACUAAAAGGAUGUAUAGAAAGCUUAAUUGAAUAACAUCAGUCUUUGAUUAAUAUAUCAUACAAGUUAAUAUAUUAGAGGUAUGAUACAAGGGUUUAGAAAAAGAGUUGUUCCUAGUGGCAACUCUCAAGUUAACAAUUUUGAUGACAUUACAAAACUAUAUAUAUAUAUAUAUAUAUGAAUCUACUUGCUUAGCAUAAUUCCAUAUUUUAAUGAGCUUCUCUUUAGACAUAAUUCCAUAUUUUAAUAGAGUCAUCUUUAAAAAUUCUCCCAAAAUAAACUAAACAGUACUAGAUCCGCCACUAAAAAAAAGAAGCAAAAUAAGCAAGAACUAAAAGAAUUAGUACUAGAAUAAUAGGAAAAAGUCAUAAAAAUCAGCAAGAACUUUAAUUAUCAGGGUGCAGAAUUUUACAACCAAUCCAACAACCAACCGUACAAGGGCCCUCGCGAUGACCAAUUUGCACUUAUCCACUCGUUUUGCAAAUUAUCGCAAGUAGCAUUUACUUGCACGUACACUCUACCUUGCGAUCUAUAAAUAGAUGUUUUGCAUGGGACACUAUACUCACCAGUUCUUUCUUAGCAAUAUUUUCGAAUACCUUAUAAAUAACAAUUAACAAAAGUAGUGUUUUUAAUUAAGAGAUCGUAGCCUACAAUGGCUUCAAAAGCUUUGCUUUUUUUAAGUCUCAUUGUUGUUCUUCUCAUCGCUUCUGAGGUGCUAGCCAGAGACCUCGCUGAAAAAUCGGCAGAGUAUAAAAACAAUGGUACGUAAUAAAUUCAGACUAGUCUGAUUAUUGUUCGUAUAAAGUUAUAUAAUACUCAAAAUCAUUGUAUAUUUGUAACAUAACGACCGUGAAAGCAUGCAACGCCAUUUGAGUAUUCUUGAAAGUUGAAACCUAUUUAUUAUUCGAUAGAUCACUUUAAAAGUUUGUUUAUGGGUCAUGACUAUCUCAUCUUCUUAUCUCUACUAUGCAGAAAAUUUUCUUUUAUUGUGAAAAGACCUAAUCCUUAUUCACAAAGCUUCAAAUAAUUUUGGUCUGCUUUAGCUACAAAAACUCAUAGUACUAGUUGUAACAACGUUUAUUUUUUUGAAUAUAUCAUUAAGAAAAAUUACGAACAUAUAUCCAUUUUGACUAACAGGGGGAGACGAAGUAAAGCAAACUGAGCAGUUUGGAGGGUUCCCGGGAGGAGGGUAUGGAGGGUUCCCAGGAGGAGGGUAUGGAGGAAACCCUGGUGGAGGGUAUGGAAACCGCGGUGGAUAUGGAAACCGUGGAGGAGGAUAUGGAAACCGCGGUGGUGGAUAUGGAAACCGUGGUGGAGGAUAUGGAAACCGCGGUGGUGGAUAUGGAAACCGUGGAGGAGGAUAUUGUCGCUACGGCUGCUGCUACAGAGGCUACUACGGUGGCUGCUCCAGGUGUUGUUCUUAUGCUGGUCAGGCUGUUCAAACUCAGCAACAGAGUACUGAGCCUGGUCACUAAAAGUCUAAAAAUGAUGCAUAAUUACUAUGGUUGGAAAAGUCAGUACAAAGAUAAAAGAGUGCUUUGUGUAUUGCUUAUGUUUUAUUUUUAAGUUCGUGUUGUGAUAAUCUCUGUUCAUGUGAUAAAAGUAUGUUUGGAUUUAAACUUUAAAUAUAUGCAUGUAUAAUAAUAUGUACAAUAUAUGACUACAUGGUAGUUACAUACUUACAUUUUGCUCAUUAUCUACAUCGUAGAAGAGUCAUGAGGAACAAGUGAUCAAUUGAGAUCGAUCGGCCGUUUCCAUCUUACUAGACUAUCACAUAAGUAAACGAAUUCUUCUUUUGAAUAUUAGUUAACAUACGUUGUACUAGUUGUAACAACAGUUAUUUUUUUUUGAAUAUAAUUUAACAUUACAUUAAAAAAAAAAUGAAUUCUUCAAUAAUCUAAUAUUUUUAAAAGAGGGAACCGUUAUACACUUUAUUUCAAGUAAUAUCUUCAGUGACCACCAAGAUCAUUCCGUAGUUCAAAUAAUUUAAUCACUCAGCCUAUUCGCCUAUUAGGAGACCAUGUCUUCUUUAUUUGCCUUUAUUUGGCUUGCACGAUCCAGUUACCUGCCUCGGAAAAAAGAAUACCAGACUACUAGCUCGUAUAACUCGUGAUUAUCUACUUUUUUAGAAGAUAUCCGUUUGUUUGGGUACCUGUUUUUUUAAUCAUGUAUAAAUACUAAAAAUUAUUACACGUAAAGAUCGGAUGGGAUAAAAAGUAUUGCAAAUUUCAGAGUUAACCAUUCUCUCUCCAACCCUAGCUAGCUAUCACAUCUUUAUCUAAUUACCUCCCCUAUUAUGCAAAAAAAUUAUGUAUUUAUGAUCACAACAUAUAAUAAAGGCCCUAUUUUAAAAUCAAUUUGGAUCGUAAGAACAUCUCUAUUGGUUUAGAUACCCAAAUGGAUAUAUCAACAUAAAAGUAUUAGUAUUUUAAUAUAGUUUAAUUAUAUAUUUAAUUUUAAACUAAGAAAUGAACUAAUUAGGAAUAGAAAAGUGUAAAAAGAAGUUCUAAUUAGUAUACCAAAUUAAAUGUUCUCAAAUGAGAACUCUUCUCUUCAUAUCUUUCAUACUUUUAAAUUUUUCAUUAUUUUCGAGGGGGAGUAUCUCAUUAAUCAAAUUAUCUCGCUUGCUUGAGAGUUGGUUGAGUUUUGUUAAUUUUCGUGUGAAGUCCCCUCCGGAAGCCAAAUCUCUACCUUUGAAUCACCAUCCAAGUUGUGUCUUCAACUAUCAAAUCUCAUCCAAAGCUAUAAACUCUUGAAACCAAGUGAACCAUAAACUUGUAAUAUCCCAGUUUAUAUCAUUUGGAAUCAGAAUUUAAACGCUCGUAUACCAUGUUAUUUUUUUGUUAGUUUUCAUUUAUGUUUUGUUUUGUGUAUUUUUUUUUUUUUUGAUUAAAUGUAUAAUUCAUUAAUCUUGCAAAUAUGUACAUAGUUUUUUUAAAAAAGAGAAACAAUUAAACUGCCUACGAAUCAAAUACAAAGUAAACACUUGGUAGAAAAAAGAUCUUCCUCAUGUUGGAGCUGCGGCAAACCAUCUCUGGAGAAGGAGUCGAAGAUGAGGAUGAGAUGUGUAAUUCAUUGAUGCAAUCCUAUUGCGUAUAAUCUUGUCAAUAAGCUUGACCAUCUGUGGGGCUGAGGAAUAGACACCGCUAUGUAUGCGAGCGUUCCGCUCUCUCCAUAUAUAAUAGACUGUGAUUUGAAAACAGAGACGAAGAAGAAUGUCUUCUUCACUGUGCCCGUCCCGUACAACCAGACAGUGUAAGGUGAUAUCCCAAUCCGGGUCUAGCUGUUGUUGAAGUAGUUUUCCAGCUAUCUCUGACCAGGCCGUAAAGGAGUAAGGACAUGCAAAAUAGAGGUGAUCCCGAGUCUCAUCGCGUUCGCCGCACAAACACAUGGUUGAUUCACUCCCCAAUUACGCAUUCGAACACCCGUAGAUAACAUAUCUCUCACCGCCAACCAUGUAAUAAAACCGCAACGGGGGAUACCUUGUUUGUUCCAAAUCAAUUUUCCCCAGACAAUUGUAGGAGAGAUAGUCCUGACUUAAAAUUUAUUUAUUUUUCAUAAAAUUUUGAAAGCCAUAACAAAAAAAAUAAUUACAAGAAAACCUAGCGAUUUCUGACGAAUUUACGAUGCAAAAAUAUCAUCGAGAAUGGCUGGUCGAAAAUCAGUAUUUGUUGGAAAAAUUGUCGGACAUUUGUUGGAAAUUCUCGCGACAAAGUUCUGACGAAUUCCCAACUAUAUGUGGCAUCCCUAUUGAGAAAAUUUUGUCAAAAGACAUCGAAAAUCGCUAUGUUUGUUUGUAGUAUAAUUGCUUAUCAUUGAAUUUCGUAAACAAAAGAAAACCUAUAAAAUUACAUUACUUAGUUUCUUUUAAUAAAAUUGAAAACCAAGAUUUCUUUUGCUUAAUUCUUAGAUUUUCGGUUCUGUUGUUUCAUAAAAAGUCAAACAAAAUAAAUUUAAUUUCUUAUUUCUAACUUUUUUUAACAUAAAGAAAUACUAAGAAGAAAUUUUAUCAUAAUCGCAUAUGUUUCAAGUAGUCUACGUCAUAAUAUUAUUAUAUCAAAUCUAUAUAUAAUAGCAAUCUAAUAAAUACCAUUUACAUAUCUGAACGGUUGCGUCUUUUUAUCGCAACUUUUCGUUUAAAUCGGUUAUUUUUUACGGUUAUGUCUUUUUAUUGAAUUUUCUCUUUGAAUUUUCGUUGAAUUAUUUACGGUUGUAUUUGUUCAAUUACAGUCGUAUCUUUUCAGUUUACAGUUAUAUCUUUAUAGUUGCAUUUAUUCAUUUAAAGUUAUGUCUUUCCAUUAUAUAAUUUCAUUGCAUUUUUUGUAUAGUUAGUAAUACUGCGAAGUUUUUUUACAUCAACCAUUAGACUACAUAUCAAAUUGGUUUUAUUAACCAAAAUAACAACCUCAAUAAAUGCAUUUUGCACUUCUGAACGGUUGUGUCUUUUUAUCGUAACUUUCCGUUAAAAUAUUAACGGUUAUUUUUCGGGUAUGUUUUUUAUCGCAACUCUUCAUUAAAAUAUUGACGGUUAUUUUUUGGUUGUGUCUUUUUAUUGCAACUUUCCGUUAAAAUAUUGGUUGUUACUUUAUUCUUUUGUGUCUUUUUAUCGCAACUUUCCGUUAAAAUGUUGACGGUUAUUUUUUCUCGGUUGUGUCUUUUUAUCGCAACUCUUCGUUAAAAUAUUGAAGGUUACUUUUUUAGUUGACGGUUAUUUUUUGGUUGUGCCUUUUUCUCGCAACUUUUCGUUAAAAUAUUAAUGGUUACUUUUUUCGUUGACGGUUAUUUUUUUGGUUGUGUUUUCUCGCAACUUUCCGUUAAAAUAUAGACGGUUAUUUUUUUCGUUUCUGUUUUUUAUCAUAACUUUUUGUUAAAAUAUUGACAAUAUUUUCUUCUCGAUUGUGUCUUUUUUGUCUGUUAAAAUAUUGACGGUUAUUUUUUUCUCUGUUGUGUCUUUUUAUCGCAAUUUUUUGCUAAAAUAUUGACAGUUAUUUUUUUUUGGUUGUAUCUUUUUAUCGCAACUCUUCGUUAAAAUAUUAACGGUUACUUUUUUCGUUGACAGUUAUUUUUUUGGUUGUGUAUUUUUAUCGUAACUUUCCGUUAAAAUAUUGACGGUCAUUUUAUUUGUUUGUGUCUUUCUAUCGAAACUUUCCGUUAAAAGUUUGACGGUUAUUUUUCUUGGUUGUGUCUUUUUAUCGCAACUCUUCGUUAAAAUAUUGACGGUUAUUUUUUUCGUUGACGAUUAUUUUUUGGGUGUGUCUUUUUAUGGCAACUUUCCGUUAAAAUAUUAACAUUGCUUUUUCUCGUUUGUGUCUUUUUAUCGCAACUUUUCGUUAAAAUAUUAACGGUUAUUUUUUCUCGAUUGUAUCUUUGUGUCCUAGCUCUUUGUUAAAAUAUUUACGGUUACAAUUUUUCAUUGAUGGUUAUUUUUUCGGUUGUAUCUUUUUAUCGUAACUUUCAGUUAAAAUAUUGACGGUUUUUUUUUUGUUUGUCUUUUUAUCGUAUCUUUCCGUUAAAAUAUCGACGGUUUCUUUUUCUCGGUUGUGUCUUUCUAUCGCAACUUUCCGUUAAAAUAUUGACGGUUAUUUUUCUUGGUUGUGUCUUUUUAUCGCAACUCUUCGUUAAAAUAUUGACGGUUAUUUUUUUUUGUUUGUGUCUUUUUAUCCCAAUUUUUCGUUUAAAAAUUGACUGUUAUUUUUUCUCGGUUGUGUCUUUUUAUCGCAACUCUUCGUUAAAAUAUUUACGGUUACAUUUUUCGUUGACAGUUAUUUUUUUUGAUUUGUCUUUUUAUCACAACUUUUCGUAAAAAUGUUGACAUUUACUUUUUUUGUUGUGUCUUUUUAUCGCAACUUUUCGUUAAAAUAUCGACGGUUAUUUUUUCUCGGUUAUGUCUUUUUAUCGCAACUCUUCGUUAAAAUAUUGACGGUUACUUUUUGUGUUGACGGUUAUUUUUCUGGUUGUGUUUUUAUAUAUUUUUGGUUUUGACCAGCUAGAAUUUUUCCUCUCUAUAUUAUAACUCUUCGUUGUCACUUAUAAAUAAUUUUAUAUUCACAAAAAAUGUUUCAAAAGUAUUUUUUAAUCAUAAUUUUUUUUUACAUUUUUAUUCAUAAUAUUUUUUUAAUAUCUUUAGAAAAUAUUUACGAUAUAACUUUAAGACAUAGUUAAUUUUAUAUUAUAAUUCAAUUAUUUGAAUAUAUUAUAAUAAUAAUUUAAUACAUAAACGUAAUAAAAUAUAUUUGUUGAAAAUGAGUUCCCCCGCGAUAUCGCGGGGUUCAUGACCUAGUAUUUCUAAUGAUGAUGUAACAAAUGACAAAAAAAAAAUCUUGUUUUGGUUUAUUUCUGUUAUUUUAAAAGUUCAAACUAGAACAUCCAUAAAAAUGUUUACUGACCAUUGGUUCAUAUAUUUUUGAAUCUGAUACUUAUUUGUUAUGUGAUUUAUUUGCAAGGUACAUCAAUCAAAACCGAGGCAUAGAAACCUACGAAGAUGUCUUUCGAAUGGUUAAACUGUUAUACAUCGAGCUCAAUGAAAUGCAUUAACUACUAUACUAUUUGAUUUUUGGUCUUAACACUAUUUAUGCAUUUAAGUUCUUUUUUUUUGACCCCAUAACUAAUUAUUCUGACUCCACCACUAGGAAACGUGUAACCGAAACAACCUGAUCCAUCGUAGAGAAUCCCACGGAUGCGUAUUGCCGAUGGAGACAGAAACCGGAGUCUAAACAAGGGUUCAUCUCGUCCUUGCUGAUCAAGGAAGCACGAUGUAACGAAAAAAUUGUUUUUAACUUGUUUUUUUUUAUGUAGCAAAAAAUUUAACGACGACCUGUUUUGGGAAAAGCGCUUGAGCACCGAAACAAAUACGGUGAAAAGUUUUACAUCGCUAUUGCAUUUCGACAUUAUUGCAUCUUCGUUUUGUUAUAUUAUUUUUUUUGGUAUCAAUUUAAACGCUCUUAUCCCAUGUUAUUUUUUUUUGUUAGUUUUCAUUUAUGUUUUGUUUUGUGUACUCUUGUUUUUUUUUUUCAUAAAUUUUUUGAAAAAACAUGUUAUGUUAUUUUUUCUUACCUCUAACUUAAAAGCGUUUGACAGUUGUUUCUUGUGACUUUAUACUGUAACAAUUUAUGUAAAAGAAUCAAUGGAGACGAAUUAGUGGUUCUUUUAUAAAUAUUUUGUAUGUUUCUAACUUUCUUCUUACAGAUUCCUGAUUUAAUACAAAACCCGAUGCACCCUGCAUUCUUGUUUUAAUAUGGUCCAAGUCGUAUCAAAAUAUUGAGCAUAUGUUAUUUGUGUGUACAGUAGAUAUAUAGUUCAAUCUCAUUUUCGUUUAUUUCUGCUAUUCAUUAAAAGUUUCGUUUUUUUAAAGUUCUUGUACCAGGUGUAAUUUUACGUCCAUAUGCAUGGACAAGGUCAGUGUUUGAUGCCACCGUCACAAGGUAAAGCUAUGUCCAGAGUCCACAUGCACAACUCUAACGAACAUCACAAUAUACAUGUCAACACGAACACAUGCAAAUGGAAGAUACAUGGUUGAAAAGUUAGUGUUCGUAUUUUGCCAUAAAAAAAUACUGUAGUGAUUAAAAGUAGUCCCGCAAAACCUUGGUACGUGGCGACUCGGAAUCCUACGUGUUGGCUCCAGAGACUUGAACGAAGCUUGCAGACAUAUUUCCUGCCAACUAAGAUGUUUUCGCUCAUGAUGUGCCCUCAAGAUCCUUCACCACUUGGUUUUUCUUUAAGAUAUAUCAUUUCUUAAUUGCUUGCAUGCUCUUUGAGAGUAAGGUGCAAUUAUAAAUAACAAAACAAAACGGGUGUGUAGGUCGUCAAUAAAUUUUGCAUGUUGCAAAGAAAAUGAAGAUGAAUUCGCGAGCUUUAAUAGUGUGGUUUCUAUUGUUGUCGGCAGUUUUCGCCAUCACGGUUGUUGCCUCCGUCGAUGACACAAAACAAGGUUAUAGUCAGAUCCCUUACUUCCUUUUACAUGAUCUCUAUCAUAUGUUUUAACGGUUUGUUUUUUUUUUUUUUAUAUUUCAAAGUUGGUGAAAACUCAGUGGAGGAGUCAAAGUCGACAUGCAAGUACGGAAAUUGUGCACAUGAUGGAGAGAUUCCUUUUGUAGAAGUAGAUGAAGUCCUUGGUGGAGAAGAAGAAGAAUCCAAAUCUGACCAAGUUGGAAUUGGAAGAGGCCAAGGAGGACAGAAGGGCGGUGGUGGCGGCCAAGGAGGACAGAAGGGUGGUGGUGGCGGCCAAGGAGGACAGAAGGGCGGUGGCGGCGGCCAAGGAGGACAGAAGGGCGGUGGCGGCGGCCAAGGAGGACAGAAGGGCGGUGGCGGCGGCCAAGGAGGACAGAAGGGCGGCGGCGGCCAAGGAGGACAGAAGGGCGGCGGCGGCCAAGGAGGACAGAAGGGCGGCGGCGGCCAAGGAGGACAGAAGGGCGGCGGCGGCCAAGGCGGACAGAAGGGCCGCGGCGGUGGUGGUGGACAAGGAGGUGGUGGUGGUGGACACAAAGGCGGUGGUGGUGGCCAAGGAGGACACAAAGGUGGCGGAGGUGGUCAUGUUGGAGGAGGUGGCAGAGGAGGCGGAGGUCAUGGAGGUGGUCAUGUUGGCGGAGGUGGCAGAGGAGGCGGAGGUGGUCAUGGAGGCAGCAAAGGAGGUGGCGGCCGAGGAGGAGGUGGUGGCGGCCAAGGAGGAGGUGGUGGCGGAAGCGGCCGUGGAGGUGGAGGUGGAGGCGGCGGGAUGUAGGAUAUCUCUAUCUAUAAUACUAGCAAGUUUUAUUUUAAAUGCCAAGUGUUCACGUAUACUAAACUACAAUAAAGUUAUAUGUAAACGUACGAAUCACACCACUUCGCUGAAUGUUUAUAGGUGUGUAUAGGCUUCGGUGUCAUGAAAGUUUUAUGUUUGUCUCAACGUAUUAUCACAAUAUUGCCCGUUGUUAAUCUGUCACGCUCAAUAUGAUUUUAAGAAUAAGAAUACAACAACCAAAUAAACAAAAUCAUAAUUCAAAGAGUAUACACAAUGCAAGUGAAAGGCAUCAAGGAUGUCCAAGAAUUGGAGCAAAACCUAUCAAACAACUAAAAGAAGAUUCAGGCCCAAAAGGAAAAGAAGAUUCAUUUCCCUCUUCCAAAUGUUUCCAGCAGCUCCACACCAAACACUGCCACUCCUGGUUUGGUCUUUUCAGAUGAUACUGCUCCUUUUAGUCCGAUCACGUCUACAUCGACUCCCACUCAGCCUGAGAUUUUAACGUCUGAUCUCGAUCACUGCCCUCCUGACUCUGAACCGGCAGUCACCAACGAUGUCACUCCGCAAAUCACAGACAACUCUCUGUUUACCGAUUCUGAUUUUCCACCUCUGCAAUCUGCGGUCUCCUCUCCUCCUACUACAACAGAUACCUCUCAUCCCAUGAUUACUCGCGCUAAAGCAGGCAUCACCAAGCCUAAUCCAAAGUAUGCUCAAUUUUCAGUCAAAUCUAACUAUCCUGAGCCUAAAUCCGUCAAAGCUGUUCUCAAAGAUGAAGGCUGGACAAACGUAAUGGGAGAAGAAAUGGAAACGAUGCACGAAACUAAUACAUGGGACUUAGUCCCACCGGAAAUGGCUGAUCGUCCUCUUGGAUGUAAGUGGGUGUUUAAAACGAAACUGAAUUCUGAUGGGAGUUUAGACCGAUUGAAAGCUCGCCUUGUUGCAAGGGGAUAUGAGCAAGAAGAAGGCGUGGAUUAUGUUGAGACAUACAGCCCCGUUGUCAGAACUGCCACGGUUUGAUCUAUUCUUCAUGUCGCUACAAUUAACAAAUGGUCCCUUAAGCAACUCGAUGUGAAAAAUGCUUUUCUUCAUGGGGAAUUGAAAGAAACUGUAUUUAUGACCCAACCACCCGGCUUUGAAGAUCCCUCUCGACCUGACUACGUUUGCAAACUCAAGAAAGCAAUUUAUGGUUUAAAACAAGCGCCUCAGGCUUAGUUUGACAAAUUCAGCUCUUAUCUUCUGCAGUUUGGAUUUAUCUGCAGCUUUUCGGAUCCUUCUCUCUUUGUUUAUCUUAAGGACAACGACGUUAUGUUCUUGUUGCUUUAUGUUGACGAUAUGAUAUUAACUGGUAACAAUGCUGCUCUCCUUCAACAGUUAUUGACCACUCUCAGUACAUAAUUUCGAAUGAAGGACAUGGGAGCUUUGCAUUACUUCUUGGGAUUCAGGCGCACUACCACAAUGAUGGUCUUUUCCUUAGUCAGGAAAAGUACGCUUCUGAUUUAUUGAUCAAUGCGGGUAUGUCAGAGUGCUCACCCAUGCCGACACCUCUUCCUCUUCAGCUUGAUCAGUUACCAGGUAACAACGAACCUUUUCCUGAACCCACCUAUUUCAGAAGCUUGGCGGGCAAACUCCAAUAUCUCACUCUCACCAGACCUGACAUCCAGUUCGCGGUUAAUUUUGUUUGCCAAAAGAUGCACUCUCCUUCCAUGUCUGAUUUUCAUUUACUCAAAAGGAUCUUGCGGUAUCUUGAAGGUACAAUGACAAUGGGCAUUAAUCUAUCUUCAAACACAGAUUCUGUUCUUCGUUGCUACAGUGAUAGUGAUUGGGCUGGCUGCAAGGACACACGACGAUCUACCGGAGGUUUCUGCACAUUCCUCGGCUCCAACAUUGUCUCGUGGUCUGCUAAACGUCAUCCCACCGUCUCCAAAUCCUCCACCGAAGCUGAAUACCGGACAUUGUCUUUUGCAGCAUCUGAAGUUGCAUGGAUUGGAGCCUUGCUCCAAGAAAUUGGUCUUCCCCAACAUCAAAUCCCUGAGAUGUACUGUGACAACCUUUCAGCCGUCUACCUCUUUGCUAAUCCCGCUCUUCACUCUCGUUCCAAACACUUUCAGGUGGACUACCAUUAUGUCCGUGAAAGAGUGCCUUUAGGCGCUCUCACUGUCAAACACAUUCCAGCCUCCCAUCAACUUGCUGACAUUUUCACUAAGUCUCUUCCUCAAGCACCAUUCUUCGAUCUUCGGUUCAAACUUGGUGUCGUCUUGCCGCCGGACACAAGUUUGAGGGGGUGUAUCAAUCAACUAAAAGAAGAUUCAGGCCCAAAAGGAAAAGAGAAGCCCACGAAGCCCAACUCUGCAACUCUGCAACAAUCACGCGCGCCCUUACCGCUUCUAUCGCCGCCAACAAACAUAAGCGUGCAUAAUCGCUUUGAUGUUCUUGGAAGUAGCAACAUCUCAUGCAACUAGAACAUUCAUCAUUAGCUUUUUGUAACUCUUCUCUUUAUAAAGACCUCUGCUUGUAAUCCAAUUAAGUUAAGGAAAAAUAUUGAAUCUUUUCCUCUCUUUCAAGCUUUCUCUUCUACUUUCAAAACCAAGGGAAGCGUAUACAAUACAAGGUUUCGUGUUAGACGUGUCACCAUGUAAGUGAAAUGUAUAAUCGUAAUUAAACAAGACUUACUGUGUCAUAAUCAAAAAUUAAUCCAUAUUAGGAUUCGGUUAAUUGUGUAUGGUCAAUCUUUUGACUGGUCCGAGUCAUGUUUGUGUGACGUUUUUAUGAUCAUGUUUGACUCCGCCUGUAAUAUUCAUGCUCUCUAUACAUAGUCUUUGGCGUGAAAGGAAUGGGAGAAGACACAGGGAGUCUCCAACUCCUGCUUCCACGCUCUCAAAAAUAAUUGAUAAGACUAUGAGAAACAGGCUAAGUUCCUUGGCAUUGAAGGGUUAUCCCGCUUUUGAAGGCGGGCUGCGCUAUUGGUUUAGUUCCCAUUCUCGCAACUGAUGCUCUUUUGUUGUAAGCUCUCAAAUUAUUUUCAGAUUUUCGGCUCGAUGUCGCAUUUAUUGUAAAACAAUUCUUUUGGAUGAAUAAAUUUUACAUUCAUACAAAAAAAAAUAUAUAUUCAUGUGUAUGUGGUUCUUUGUGAUCACAAUGCGCAUCGUUAAUUGCACGUGGUCCUGUGGGUAUCCAAAGGAACUCGAGUUUUUGGGGCUAUCCCACGGGAAUUGAGACAAUUAAACUUCACUAAAAUAGUUUCAUUAGCUCCUGAGGUAUUAUAAGAUCUAAAUAUCGAUAGUUUAGUAUAGGAUUAAAAAACCUGGUAUUGAAAUAAAAUUAAUUAAUAGAUUGUGUAUCACGCAUAUACCCUUAAUAAUAAAAUAUUAAGAAUUUAAUUCAUUUAUUAAUAUAUAAUUCGUCAAUAUCUUAUUAUAUAAAGUAUAGUUUUCAAAGUUAGUAACUCAUAGGAUCGUGACACGUGGUAAAUCUAUUGAUUUUAGAUUUUGAUACUUGUAAAACAAAAAUUUCCUUUAAAAAAAAGAUAAUUGUAAGUACUUAUAAAUUUAAAUAAUUUUAAAAAUGUAAGAUAUAAUUAUAAAGAUAAUUAUAAAUAAUUAGUAUUUCUAUAAACUAUUUUAAAAAUGUAAUAAUAAGGAAAUUAUACGUUUUUAUAAUAAAAAUAUAUAUUUUAAGUAAACAAGAAAAAAAUGAAGCAAAUUUAUUAAAAAGGAAACAUAUGUUAUUAUAUAACUAAUAUGAUAUAUUUUUCUUUCUCAAAGUUAGUAGAUAAUAGUAUCAUGAAUCGUUAUCUGUCAAAAAAUUUAUCAUGUGUCAUGAUUUAAUUUAAAAUUUGAUAUUAUUUAUCUCAAUUUUCUUUCCAAUUAGAAAUAUAAAAUGAUUUAAUUAAACUAAUCCUCAUAUUAUUUGUUUGAGUUUAUUUUACAAUUAGAAAUAUGAGAGAUCAAUUUAUUUAUUUUUCCUUUUUGUAAUACUUUUUUACUUAACUGUGUUUUUUGUUUGUCCCAAUUAUGAUUGAAGUAUUGUUAGAUUGUUUAUUUCAAUUUAUCAUUUCAUAUUUAAAUUAUCAAAGAUUCAUAUAUCAAUGUGUUUUUUAUUUUUUUAUUUUUAGUUUAACUGUUGUAUCUUUAAAUUAUUUAUUUGGUUUCCACGUUAAGUUUAAAUUAUAUAAGAUUUAUAAUAUAUCAUAGUUUUAAUAAUUUUAGAUAGCGACAUGUGUCAUGAUUUAAAGUACAAAUUUACAUUAUUUAUUUUCUAAUUAGAAAUAUGUGAUGAUUUUAAGUAAACUUUUAUAUUGUUUAUUUGAAAUUCUUGAAUAUGUAAGAACCAUAUAUGCUUCUUCUUUGUUUUUUGAUCUUUUGAAUUUAAUUAUACUAUUUCAAAAUUGUUUAUUUAAAAUUUUUAUGUUCAUAUUUGAAUUAUAUAAGAUUCUUAUAUCAUCGUGCUUAUAAUUUUUUGAAUUUAUCAAUUUUUAUUGAUUGAUCAUAAAGUCAUUGCAAUCGAGUAUAUGGGAUUUAGUUGAUUUAUCAUCUUUAUAUUUUUAACAUGUCUAAUUAAAAACCAUUUUGGUUUCAUUAGCCAACGUUGUUAAUUAAUUUUUUGUUAAAUUUAAUUUGAGUUUUUAAAAAAUUAAACCCGUCCAUCGGACGGAUUCUUAUCUAGUUUAUAUAUAAAUAAAAGAAAAAGAACAUGUUAGUUAUAUCAAAAUUAUAAAACAAUAAAGAAUUUUAACUUAUCAUGGGAAAAUUGAAUGAUAAGUCCGUUACGUGUAAACGACUAACCAAUUAUUGUAGUAAUGAUAGUUUGAUAGGUUAGAGUAGGUGCUUAACACUAAAGUAAGUGUGAUACUAUAGAAAAGUAUAAUCGAGACGCUUAGAAAAUUAACAUCUUCCGAAGGAGCACGAAUGCAAGAAGGAAGUUAAAUAAUUUUCACUACAUAAUACUAAUUAAUCGGUUAGCAAUGGGAACAGUUCAGUGAUAUUCCUGGUAUAGUAGAUGCUAGAAUGAUCCGGAUUCAUGAAUCUACAUUGUAUUCUCACGAUUCUCUUUUGCAUUUUUUUCAUGUGAUCUUUAGAGUCUACAUGUUGGAGAGAGGCGAAUAAUUUGUAGUUUCGUGUUGAUAUUUGUAGCGUCUUUGUUAGUGUUCUUUUAUUUGGAUUUGAAAAUUGUCCUUUUUUAGAAAAGGGUUUUUAAAAAAAAUUAAAAAAUAAAUAAUGAUAUACAAAAGAGCCUACGAGCAACAUCAUCGGUCAUAUCUAGCAGAGUCUCUAACUAUUAAAAUGAAGAAAAAAUGGAUAAAUGAGGAGAGAGUGAUAGAGACGUUUCUUGUUUGAGAUACUCAUAGGAAACGUUUCUUACACAUGUUCUUUUACAAUUAGCCAAGUUGAAAUACUUUUCAAUAAAUUAUUAAUAUAAAUUAAGAGACAAAAUGAUGGUGAUGGUCUAACAUACUAGUAAGCCAGAAACAGAAAAGAGAGAAGAGCUAACAAAGUAGCUAAUUAAGGAAGAAGAUGAAGGAAAGUGAUAGAGGAGAGAGAUUCCAACCAACUCACUGACCGUAUAGACAAGAGGAAUUUCGAGUUAAGUAGGCCUAUUUAAACAACAAAAAUUAAUGAGAGGACCAAAAUGAGUUCAUGGAUGUUGAUAACAAUAUCUCGAAAUGAGAGUUUUUACACAUAUUUUAGAUAUUUUUGUUCUUGAGUGUUUUUGUCCCACAUUUCAUUACAAAUUCUAAGUGUCGGAUUCAAUAUCAACAAUGGAUCCCACCAAAAAAAAGUAUCAUCUCCAUUGCCUAUAUUAGUCUUGAGGAAGGACCAAGCAUUCUGUCUUAGCUUCAAAAGAGAGCGGAGCAUCCAUGAGUAUUUGUAGUUCUUCUCAUUUAGAGCCAAAAAGAAUGAGACAAGCCACCUAGCUAGAGAAAUUAGAUAGGUGGUAAAAGUAUGGAUCAUUUUCUUGUUAUUAAAAAAAAACAAAACAUGUGGAGAUCGUUUCCUACACCAUUGUCGGAGAUGUAGAUGAUGCGUCUUAAUUAGAUUGGUGAAAAGAAUCCAAACUUGGGCCAAUCUCACCCUGAAUCCGAGUGUUAAAGGUGUGUGACCAAAUCCAAAAAUUAAGUCGCCCAUAGGCUUGGAUAUAUGGGUAACCCGACCGGAUUCAGGUAGGACCCGACCGGAUUCGGAUAGGACUUGACCGGAUUCGGGUAGGACUCGACCGGAUUCAGAUAAGACCCGACCGGAUUCAGGUAGAACCUGAUCAGAUUUAUGUAUUUAGGACCUAACAUGAUAAUUGUAAAAAUUCGGUUUGGUUUUAGUUUGGAUCCUAUUGGGUUUGAGUGGAUUUAUGUUUAAAUUUUCAAAACCUAUAAAUACCCAAUAAAAACGGAUUCCUUUCGAAUUGGAUAUAAAAUAUCCGAAUAUACUCCAAAUCUACAUGUAUACGGUAUACCCAAAAUGUAACCAAAUAUUCGAUAGUACACACAUACACAAACACAUAAAACUCACAAAAUAGAGAAUUUAACUCCAUAUUGACAUCUAAAGACUGAAAAUGGUAGAGUAGAGAACAAAUCCAAAUCACUCAAUGGAAAUACAAAGACAAGAGACUAGAGAAUAUGCGGUACUUAUGUGGGUAUCCGAUAAUAUCCCGAUCUGAACCGAAACCCACAUGUAGGAUAUAGAACCAAAUAGAGUAAAUUGAUCAUACUUUUAACCGACUUGAACCGGAUUUUUCCCAUCGGUUCCCGAUUGAAUUUUUGGGUUCAGAUUUCUCCAUCUCCUAGCAUCUGGCUUCUCUGUCGCAGCAUCUUUCUCUUCCCUUUCCCCACCGACAAUUCUAUUCACAUCAUUCAUCUCCGAUCAAAAACUCCUCUUUCCGAUCACAAUGCAUGCUCUCAAGGACAAAGUCUCACAAAAACUUUCCAAUCUCUUCGCCGAUUCCCCAAGCCAAUCUGCUUCUCCUCGCUAUUCCAACUCCGAUUCUCCAAAGGUAUGUUCUUUUCGAAUUAAGAACCCUAAAAGUUUCAUCUUUUUAUGUCCCUAAUUGUUGUUUACCUAUUUUCCUGAGAUGGGUCUUGAUUUGAAUGUCGUUUGGUUGAUAUAUGUGUAGGCUAGGUUGAAUUCAAGUGUAGGCAAAUCGUUGUCUUCGUAUUUCUCAUUUGUUGUUCCUCAAUCUGGGAAUGAUGAUGAUUCUGAAUCAUGCCCACCUCUACCCAUUAGAACAGACAGUUAUGAGUCUAUUGAGAAUUGCAAAUCUGGAAAUGGGCAUGAUCAAGCUGGGACCUUUAAGGAAUCAGAUAAGGAUUGUGAGUUACGUGUUUCUGCGAAAGUCGAAGAAAGCGGUAAUGAUUACUUUCUAGGGGUGAAGCAGAUGAGGGAAUUAACAGAAGGCUCUGUUUUUAUUACUGCUAACUUGUGUGAAUUCUUGCACGCGAGUCUUCCGAAUAUUGUAAGAGGAUGUAAAUGGAUCUUGUUGUAUAGGUAAGGAAGUUUAUUUUCAUUUUUUGUUUGGAGGUUUUAGAAUUGUGGUUUUUGGUGUUAACUUUUUAUCGGAUGAAGGGCAGUACGUUGAAACAUGGCAUAUCACUUCGUACGCUGCUUCGAAGAAGCGGAGAGCUUCCUGGUCCUUGUUUACUGGUUUGUUUGUUGACCUCUAUGCUCUUUGGUAAGGUUUUGACAAAGUUAAUUGGUACAGCAGAUCUUAGUGUGUGAUGAUUUGGUAUGGUGCAGGUUGCUGGAGACAAAAAAGGUGCGGUUUUUGGCGCUCUGCUGGAAUGUCCACUGCAACCUACUCCUAAGAGGAAAUAUCAGGCGAGCUAACUAACUCUUACAAUAAUUUCUCGUUAGGAUAAUAUUUAGUUUCCUUAUUGCUGAUUCUCUUCACAUGUUUUUUGAUGAUAGGGUACAAGCCAGACAUUCUUGUUCACAACUAUAUAUGGUGAACCACGCAUAUUUAGACCUACCGGUAACCUUUUGGACUGCCUCUUUUUUCUUUUCCAUCUCAAUAAAUCGCAUAGGUAGCAAAUAGAUUUGUGGGACGAAGAAUAUAGAGAAAAUUGAAAAGUAAAUUUGAAGAGAAUACUUGAGAAGUCUCUUUAAAAUCAGAUCUUGAGAAUAUUUGGUUCCAACUGAUUUUUAUCAGAAUUCUUCUUGGUUCUUGUCAGCAAGACUUGAUCCACACUUCUUUUAGUUAGUUGAAUUGUUGACAUACUAUCUAUUGAAAGCAGAGUAACUUGUUUAGGAGAAGUUCCAGAAGGAUGCACCUUUACUGUUUUUUGGAUGACUGUCUUUAAUCUUUUGUCCCUACAUAGUGAUUCAGGCCCGAAAACUAUAAAGCAAAACCCCUCAAGUAUGUGUACUUAACUCACGUUACCUCUCUUAUGAAUUUGUAUGCAGGCGCCAACCGAUAUUACCUGAUGUGUAUGAAUGAGUUUUUGGCGUUUGGAGGUGGAGGAAACUUUGCACUAUGUUUAGACGAAGAUUUGUAAGGCACAAUUUGGCUCAAUCUCAUUUUGAAAAUUUUCACUUUUAAUCAUUUCGAGGAUACUCAAACUGAACGUUUCUACUUAAACAAGGUUGAAGGCAACAAGUGGACCUUCUGAAACAUUUGGGAACGAAUGUUUGGCUAGCAGCACGGAGUUUGAGUUAAAGAAUGUCGAGGUAUAGCUAUAUAAAUAUAUGCAGUAUGUGUGUGCUAAUAUCAAGUUUCCACCUCGUUCAACAUAUUAUGCAAUCUUACUUGGGUCUUGAAGUAAUCAGUGAAAGUUCAUAUUGUUAAAUCUGCAGCUCUGGGGGUUUGCGCAUGCAUCUCAAUACCUCUCCUCCUGAUCUUGGAGAUCCCUUUCUUUGUCAAGAAUCGAGAUACCUCAAUAGAAAGAAAAUCUUACAGUCGUUUUUCAAUCCGUUAAUUGUUUUCAAAGUUAUGAUUAGGCUUAAGGACAGUUUUUUAAGGCUUUAAUCUGUUGAAAGAGUGCCAAUAUAACAUGUUUGUAUUUGUUACCGAGAAUACUAACUCAGCUCUGAUAUUUGACUGUAAUUCUUAGAUAGUGCUAUUGUUUAUUAUCUAAAUCAGAUUCAUCUUGUUUAAAGAGAUAUCUCAGAUGCGGAUGAAAGUUUGAAAUCUACUUGCAAUCUACCUGAUUUGUUGUUUUUAAACUGUGAGAUCUGAAAUUCUAUAUUUUGUUUACAUGUAUUGUACAUCAUUGUCAUAUAUUUGGUUGCUUUACCUUUUAUGUGUGUUAGAGAGAUUUCUGAAGUGAAUUAGAGAGUGAGAAAGCAGGUCUUUGAGAAGGAUAUGACCGGAAGGGUUGCGGUUUUUGAAAAUGGUCGGGAAAAGGAAAUUUUGUUCAGUGAACGUCCUCUUCAGUUUGUGGGCUGCGGUUUUUCUUCUUCCAAAAGGGUUGUUUGGAAAAGGUUGAACAAAUAUGUAGCUUUUCUUGGAGUGGCGCUCCUAAUUCUUUAAGAGGGGCUAAAAUUUCUUGGGAAUCGGUCUCAGAAGACUUCAGGAUUAAAGCACUGUCUUCGGUCUCAAGCUUAUUUGGCUACUAUUUGCUGGUGCAGGAUUCUUAUGGGUUUCUUGGAAUCAGAAAGCUGUCAUUACGGGCAGACUAGUCAAGCUGCGCUCCCUAGCUCGUCCUUAUAUCUCUUGUCAACUUCAAUCUGGUUCCUCUGCCCACUUCUGGCACGAUGACUGGAUUGGUUUAGGUCUGUUUAUUAACCUGCCAUGCUCAAAUGGUCCCAUGACUGCUUGUCUUGUUUCUCAAGAUACUGGUAAUGGCUCUUGGCUUUUACCGUGUGGAAGGCACCCAUUAUUGGUUAUUCUUAGGGCUUGUUUACCCUUUCAGCUGCCAGUUCUAUCUCUCACUGCCUCUGAUUUCUUCUUCUAAUGAACCUCUUGCAAUCUUCUCAACUGCAAAGUUUUUGGGACAGCUUGCAUCCUCGGUCAGCUUAUGUUCCUUGGUUUAAAUCAGUCUAGUUCAAGCAAAGAAUCCCCAAACAUACCUUUAUACUUUGGCUGAAUAUUCGUUAUAGAUUAACAACAAGAGACCGACUCAAUGAAUGUGCCAUCCAAGUCUUCUCUGUUCCGCGGUCUUGGAAACUAAAUCAUAUCUCUUCUUUGAGUGUCCUCUUGUCGUUGAGGUUUGGAGUUCCUUCUUCGCUUACACCACUCUUUCUCCUCCAUCUUCUUUUCACCUUGUUGUGAAUUUGGGUAAUAAGAUCAGCUUCAUCAAACUCAAAUCCCAAUAUAAUGUGUAAAUUGAUAUUCCAAGCAUCCGUCCUACAUAAUCUGAAAGAGCGGAAUUCUAGACCAUACUUCAUUCUAAAUCAGGUGAAGCAUGCAUGUUAUUUUUGAGAAGGAAGCAAUUAAAUACUCUCUUCAACAACACCUUUACAUAAAACUAUAU